rnacentral:lncRNA from 1 species
GCAGCCCCGGCACCGGCGGACACCCUGAGCCCGAUCGUCCCCGGGAUGGAGCGGAGCCCAGAGCCAGGCCGGCCUGAGAGCGUGAGUAGCGGCCGGGGGCUGAGUGUGAGUGUGUCUGCCAUCCAGCACAGCCUGUAUGGGGCCCCGGGACCCCAGAAACCAGCACCUACACAGGGACAGCUCCCACAGAGAGCUCAGCUCAUCAUCCUCAGCCACAACAUCCUCAGCCACAACAUCCCCAGGUCAUCAUCCUCAGCCACAACAUCCUCAGCCACAACAUCCCCAGGUCAUCAUCCUCAGCCACAACAUCCUCAGCCACAACAUCCUCAGCCACAACAUCCUCAGCUCAUCAUCCUCAGCCACAACAUCCCCAACUUAUCAUCCUAAGCCACAACAUCCCUAGCUCAUCAUCCCCAGCCACAACAUCCCCAGCCACAACAUCCCCAGCCACAACAUCCUCAGCCAGAACAUCCUCAGCCACAACAUCCCCAGCCACAACAUCCUCAGGUCAUCAUCCUCAGCCACAACAUCCCCAGGUCAUCAUCCUCAGCCACAACAUCCCCAGGUCAUCAUGCUGAUCACAUCAUCCUCAGCCACAUCACACUCAUCACAUCACCCUCGGAUACUUCAUUCCCACCAUGCUCAUCCAUAUGAUACUUAGCCACACCAUGGCCAUUCACACACCAUGCUAAUUCCCACCAUGCUCAGUCACAUGCCAUCCAUGUGCAGGUAGCACACUACACACAAUGCAUGCACUGAUUUCCAGGGUGAAUGUAGACAGGGUGCUGGAUGGGUCUGACAUUGAUGGCUACAUUUAUGAUGGGGACAUUGUGUUCCUCCAGUGGGACCCCACCACUCCGGGCACUGCAUUGUAUAGAGUCCAUUCUGUCCUAUAAUACCAGCACCACAUCAGCAGCUUGCUGUUACUGCAGUGACUUGGUGCCUAUAUCCUGCAUUAUCAGCCUAUUGUACUCUGUACCCCAAUAACUGGGUAACCAUGACAGACCACCCCCAGAAAGGAUUUACUGUUUAUUAGACAGGUCUCAUCAAUGGUGGGCUUUAAUCAGAUCAGCUGUCCUAUGUGUGCUGGGAGCAGAGUAGUAAGCAUGACAUAGAAUUGUAAUGGAGCCCCCUCCUCCUUCCAGUUCAAAUAGAAAGUCACAUUCUGAUAGGAGCCGUCACAUCUGAAAGAAUUAGCACUCGGAAUGGUUUAUGGCCGUCCCAUGGCCGUCACUGAUCUCUCUCACACACUUCUAGUACAGACAUAGCUGGAAACCAACUUAUUCCCAAUUCUGAGUGAGUCAGAGAACAUUCAGAAUCACAAUUUGUAUUUAUUGGCUCUCUUGGUCUCCUAAUCUGUCUAGAUUAUAUGCUGUUUCUGAUUCUCUCUCUCUCUCCAUGCUUCUCUCACGCUUUCUGCUCCUCACUAUCAUUUCCCUCUCUCUCUCCUCUAUUGCUCUAACUCAUUCUCUCUCUUCCGAUCUCCUCCUUCCCUCCAUCUCUCUCUUCCUCCCCGUCUUACUUUCUGUCGCUCUCUGUCUCUCCUUCCAUCGCUGUCUCUCCUUCUCUCUUUCCUUUCUCCUUUCCCCUCUAUCCCGCAUUCUCUCUCUCCCUCUCUGUUUUGCUCUCUCUUACUCUCUGUCUCUUUCACCUAAGGGAUGUUUAAUGAUAUGAUCUGGGCUCUGUGUAAUAAUCAUAUUUUUCUUUUAUGCGCCAAUUGACUCCUUUCUGUAAGAAACUGCCUGCAGUGGGGAAAAAUAUAUAUAAUGUUUAACCCUUUGCUCCAAAAGAUCUGUUAAAGAUUAUUUUGUGUUAACUAUUUCCUAUCGGUGCCACAUUCCAUUAUCCAGUGUGUAUUGUUUCUUUAACCUGAUGACUUUGCAAGAUUAUUACUGUCGGUAAUUGGAUGGCAAGGUAUAUUGUUGCUGCAGCAGAACUUUUUAUUAUUAUUUUUUUAUCAUUGUUUUUCCUGCAGCUCCCGUAGAGAAGUUGGGUUUUUCGUUCUGAAUGACAAAAUACUUUUUAACACCCCUCUGUUCAGGGUGGCGUCCGAGCAAUUUUCGCAUUCCCUAGGGGAAAUGGUGUUUGGGGUACGAGUGUCAGAACCUUCCUAUGAUUAAAAUGCAUUCGCAACGUGACCGUACCCAUGAGACGCCAGCGCAUAAUUGCUAAAAUGAUAUUAUAAUAUGUAUUUGCUAAGCCAUAUGCAGAGUAAGAUAAGGAAAUUCAAUCGGCUGCCCAUGUUUAGAAGAACAAACAUGCGUUGUGACAAUGAUGAUAUGUGCAAUUGAAAUGGUUUCUCUGGCAGACUGAUUUACUUGUUUCUUAUUUUUUUAUAUAUUCCACUAGUCUAUCCUCUCUGUGACUCCAAUUUCUCGUUUUGGGAUACCGAUGAGUUGCUAAAAUUGUUUUCCUUUUGUUUCCCAGUUGAAAGCAGAUUAAGUUGAUAAUUUCUGCAUUCUCUAUCCAACACUUGUUCGGGGCGAGAUGUAAUUGUCACUGUGUCACAGAACUAAGUAAAACGUUUAAAAAAUGAUUGAAUUUUGUCAAGAGCUCAGACAGUACCAAACGUCUCUCUGUCUGCAGUUUGUUGUAUGUUAAAAACCCAGCAAAACUUGAGUAAGCUAAAAUAGGUGUCAGGAAAUAUUGCUGUAAAACAGACAUGAGACAAUGUGAGGGACUGACCCAGAUUUAAUACACCUAUCAAGAUAUAUCUCGAGUGAAUGACAGGCCGUAGAGUAUCAGUGCAGAAAAACAGCAGAAAGUUGGGUUCUUCCGACACUAGAGGAAUUUUAUGUUAAUAUAGGUUGGGAUUUAUUUAACAAUUUGUGAUAUAAAAACCAAAAAGCAAAAUGUAGAUCAAAACAGACUAGUGAGAGAAAUCUCCUGGCUUAAUUAUACUUCCAAAAUUAGUAUUUUUGGGUUGUUUCGUAGUUUUUGGUUGUCUCGCCAGUUUAGUGGAUAAACCACUGACACUAAAGAGUUUGACCAAGUCUAACAUAAAGGGUAGGACAUCUAAUGCACUACACUUGGUAUCCCCAAUUUGUAUUUAACCAAUGAGUUCGGCGGAUGCAGAGAUUUUAUUGUCUAUUGGGUAAACAGAUCUAUAGACUGCUUGGCCUUCUCUUCUCUUAUAGAGUGUGUGUAUCUAGUUAAUACUCUCAGCCUUUUGUCUGCCAGAGCAUCUUGAGAUUUGUAGUACCACAGCAGAUGGGGGGUCUACUUUUUGGCCAUCUCUGCAUUUAGAGGUCAAAUGUUUGAGAGACUCCAAUGUUCCUUUAUUGAGCCAGUUCAUGUUCUGGGAAAUGUGGCUCUAUAAGUUGUGAUUUUUCUUUUUUUUUUUUUUUUCAGUUUACAUUUUCCUUUUUAUUUUCACUGUCUUAGUGAAUCUGGUCGUCCUCCAAUUUGCAGCAAACUCUUAAAGCGGAAUGUUGCAUUAUGGCUGUCAGAAUUCGUUUCUAUUCAGCCACAGAUGCAAUAGCGAGGCCGGGCACCGAUUUUGGGAUGGUUAAGUAUGCCGUGCAGUAAAAGGACACAUUCUUCUGGGUUAAGGUAAAUUUUAGUGAGCUAUAGAGACUGUUUCUGUAGGGAUGUCCUUACGUGUAUAGGGACGGGCAUUGUCAUGCUCAACUAGGAAAGGUUGGAAUCACAGAAUUGUGCAGAAUGUCCUGGUAUGGAAAUGGUGUUUAUGGAAACGGUUUGUUAAAGGGAUACUCUAAGCACCAUCACCAAUACUGCAUGCUGUAGUGCAAAUGGUGCCAAGAGUCCCCUGGCUUAGCCUCCAGAGAGCUGUCAAACCAUUUACAAACCGUUUGACUGUUACCUGGCUCUGUCAGGCACCUGCACACCUGCAGUUAUGAUCUGCACUGAUCUGCCAGAUUUGAACUUAAUUUUUCUGCAUUAUAACAUUAACUUUGGACAUUAUUCGUUGACAUUGGCAUCAUCUGAUGCCUUUACAUACUGUUACUACGUUAAAAAAUAAAGCACUUAUUAACAUUUAAAAUCUAACAAUUCAUAGCUGCAGACUUGGCUCCUUUGGCUAAUGAAGAUCCACUCAAUGUUUGCCCAGUGCUUACUUCCUUGUUUGUCCAAUUAAAUGCUUUUCACAGAAAAGCCUCAAAGACAAAUUGUCCAUGCCCAGCAAGCUGCAUGAUUGCCCAGUGCCAUGCUAGUCAUAUCAUUGCUUAUCAUAAACAAGUAUUUAAAUGUCAAAACUGCACACCUGCUUAUACACACUACUCCGUUUGGACAACAUCUAUAACUUGCAGGUUUGCUCAUGACAAAGCACUUCCAUUCCUAAAGAUUGCAAGGUGACACUGAAUGUGACAUAAAUUAUAUUAAUAGACUGGGAAUGUUUUUUGUGACUUUCUGAUUGACAGCAGGGGAGGAGGAGUUAGGAAACAACGGCAGAAAAUUAACCCCUUAAGGACCAAACUUCUGGAAUAAAAGGGAAUCAUGACAUGUCAGACAUGUCAUGUGUCCUUAAGGGGUUAAAGAUCCUCUAUUAGCUUGACGUGAAAAACUGCAGCGACUGGAUAUUUGCACCAUAACCGGUUUAGUUAGCUGAAGUGGGUUUGGAGCUUUGACUGAGCAAUUAAGAUUUCCCACAACUGGAACUAAAUAAAUCCUUUUUUUUUUUCAAUGUAUGCGUCUUUAACAAAUUAAAGCCGUGAGUUUAGUAUCUAAACUACAUCUCAUAAAUGAUUUCACCUGUAAAAUUACUGAUAUAAACACAAGUACCUUAAAUCACAGACAGUGCAUUAAAGCAUGUUACAGCUUUUUUCUUGCGCAUGCACAGACAGACAUACGUUUAUUCUCUCAAUAAAUUUAGAUUGGUAACCCAGGAUGUCAGAAUAAGCCAUAAGAUCCGUUUAUUUUAUCAUAGUUUCUGAGACACAGCGCAGACCACCAGAUACCAAGGCGGUAAAUUGAUUUGCCUCACCAAUCCUAAGGAAAAAAAAGGGGUUUAACUGGCUCCUUAACAAGAUGUGGUUAACAGGCUUAAAUGCUCCAGAACAUCAACCAUAACUCAAUAAACGUGCGUGUUUUGUGAAGAUAGACUGAACGAUAAGGUCGUUCUUGAAGAAAAAUUAUUCCAGCUGUACUUUUAGAAUAAAUUAUUUAUAUUUUAUAUCUUACCCACAUUAUUUCACAAUCACUGGUUAUAUGAAGGCUUCUUUAUAAAAGGACUUAAACAUUGUUUUUAGUAAACGGUACAACAGAACUGUUUAAAUGAAUAUGUUUUAUUGAAAAUAUAGAAAAAGACAACAGAAAUGUAUUUGCUUGAUAAAGGUAAUAAUUAUAUAUGCAAUCAAAGUAUAUUCUGAGGAAUGAAAAAGUGAGAAAAAACAUGUGACUGCCAAAGGUUUGAGAACACUUGUUGAUUUCUAGGUUAACUUAAAGGGACACUAUAGUCACCUGAACAACUUUAGCUUAAUGAAGCAGUUUUGGUGUAUAGAACGUGCCCCUGCAGCCUCACUGCUCAAUCCCCUGCCAUUUAGAAGUUAAAUCCCUUUGUUUAUGAGCCCUAGUCACACCUCCCUGCAUGUGACUUGCACAGCCUUCCAUAAACACUUCCUGUAAAGAGAGCCCUAUUUAGGCUUUCUUUAUUGCAAGUUCUGUUUAAUGAAGAUUUUCUUAUCCCCUGCUAUGUUAAUAGCUUGCUAGACUACAAAACACACAAUGUGACAUAUCCACACACACACAACUCAACAAGCAGCCCUCAUACACAGCCCACAUUCAUAUGUAUCAUACACGAUACCAUAAACUACUAAUGAACAUAUACAAUAUAAUACAUAUACGCACAAAUACAACGAUACAAAGCAAUUACAGUAAAAAUAACACAAGCAGAAUAUGUCAGCAUACACACCUCAAUUUGAAAAAAAAUAGGAUCGGCACGCUACGGGACAUCACAAUCCUAAAUCGGCACAGUGCUGCUAAAAGGUUGCCUACCCCUGAUCUAUACACUAAAACUGCUUUAUUUAGCUAAAGUAAUUUAGGUGACCAUAGUGUUCCUUUAAUGUAUAACCCGCACUACUUUAUGUGCUAUAAUAAUUCUGAAACAUUGGAAGAAGAAAAAUUCACGUUACAAUGUACGAAACAGAAAACGCAUCAAAGCAAUGUUCAGAGGCAACUCAGUCUAAUGAGCUAGCCUCAUCCCCAUACAGUUUGUGUAGGGUGAAGAUUAUUUGACAAUUUUCAGUGUUUUAGGACAACAUCAAGAUUGGGAAUGACAUGCCCCUAAAUAAUGCCCAAUGGUGCAAUUUAAGUAAAAAUGAAAAUCCAGCGCACUCCCUUAUCCACUAACCAGCUACUUUGGUGCUGACAGAUUUUGUUAGUUUUUUUUUUUUUUUUUUUUUAAACACCUAAUCUAGGCAAACCGUAAUGGGGGUUUAGUUACAUCAUAUGAUCAUACAUUGCAUAAGCCUGCCACAACGUCAAUGUACCCCAUCUACUCUAACAGCCAAAUGUCUGCUAAAUUAGCCUACUUACUUGGGGAAAGCAAGUUUAGGUGGGUGCAGCCAACCCCUUGUUUUCUCACAAUUGUGGUAUUUGUCCUGACUUGGUAAACAUUGCAACCUUGAUACCAGCAAAGUAACCUUAGACCAUAAUGCUGCCAAACCAGUGUACUCAUUUGACUGGCAUUUUAUCUUGAAAAUAGAUACACCUCUGAAAUUCUAUACUUUCAGAUUGUAUAGUUGCAAAAAAAAAUAAAAAAUACCAGUAAAAUUUCAAGUGUGUUUGAAUUUCUCUCUUUUUUUUUUUUAUUCACGAGUUUAUUCUAAAAGUAUACAAUUUGCUAAUUUAAAGAAUUGAGCGGGUCAGUUGGUCUGCAUGUGAUGGAGGCGUGUAGAGAACAGGUGAGUUUCUGUCUGUAAAAUCUGAUCAGUAAAGUAUAGUUUGUAACACAUCAGCAAGGCGUCUUUGUAAAGUCAGCCGAUGUGCUUUUGCUUCUAAGCCAUGAACAAUAUUUAGUUUGUAAAAUGUCAGUGGUCUAGAUAGACUUGCAGUGGAGGUCACUUGUAACAGAGGUGUAAGGUCACUAGAUGACUUGGGAACCUGGCAUGGAAUAGUAAGGGUUUAUUGUGACAACUGACUAUUUAAAGGGCUGUCAGAGGGAAACGUAUGUACGUAUAACAUAUAGCCUGUAUGUUCUGGAGAGAGGUAAAAUAUGGCAGCUUCGGGUAUAAUUGACACCUUGAGGUAUAAUUUUUAAUGUCUUUCUAAAGUUAAAGUGAAACAAUAUAUUUAAUAUCUGUACAUUCAAUGUAGAAAUGAGAAUUAAUUGAAAAAAAAAAAUGACUUUAGAUACGAAAAGUGCGAGAGAUACAACAAGGUUUUCUCACUGUUUGAUCUCCCUUUGACCAAGUUUGAAAGAUGGACAGAACCAAAUAAGACCCACCUUCCCGUCUUGGGCCUCAUUUUUCUCGUUUUGCUAGAAUCUUCUUGUGUAACUUCUGAUUCUACUGUAACCUGUUUUUUAAACACUGGGAAGAAAGAUACACGCGUCAUUGUUUAUAACAAUACUAUCCUAUAAUGUAAAGCACGUUUUAGUUUUUAGCCCAUACUUUUAUCAACUAGAAGUUAAAGGUGAGGGUUUGAUAAUAACGACAGAGCUUUGUCCUUGUUGCCCUGGAAACUUCUGAAAAGCAACAGAAUGGGAGAGUCAAAGAAGACCGAGAACAAAGCUUUGGGAAAGUUUGAUGGUAGAUAGAAUGUGUGUGGGGGCCGUAGUCAGAGCAGAGAAAAGCAGAGGUGUGAGAAAUAAAAUGUGAAGCACGGGGACUCAUUUGUACCAACCGAGGGGAGAGUAGCAUUUACUAAUGAUCAGUUAGUUGGAAGACAUAACACGAGCGGUGAAGGUCUUUGUUCCGAGGCCAUGGGUUAGAACCAUGUCUCCACUAGGACCUGUCGCCCUUUUUGUUCUUGCUUUGGUUGUUGUGUACCAUAUUAAAGCUCAUUUUGUAUUCAGUGAAAACAUGCAGACACAAAGAAGCAAGAAAAUGCGCUCUAAACAGCUUUAUGUACAGAGUUGUUUUUCAAGGGAAAAAGAUUCAGUGUAUCAGGAGUGCUUUUUUUUUUUUGUUGUUUUUUGUUCCCAUGUAAUGAAGAAACCAAUAAAAGAUGCAUCAGCAGGCAGAAUAAUAUUCAAGAGAUUGUUUUAGAGGCUUCGGAAUUGCAAAUCAGAUCCUUAUUUGAACCUAUUGAUUUGUAACCGCUGACAUACGGCUCUCAGGUGAUAUUGAACGUUGACUAUUAUUAUCCCAAGCCAGCCUGUCAUGGCCGUAGUUAAGGAAGAGCCGCACGGUCGUUGGGUACAUGCCAUGGCUACUGGAGAGAUAGGUUGGCAGCGAUGCAGAUGGUAAAUUCAUUUAUUCUGUGCAUGAAAGAAAGUUUGUUGAAUCCCUGUGUCAUAAGACAGGGCCCCAUAGAGCCAUCACAACCGACAGGACCCCAUAAAGCCAUCACACCUAAAAACAAACAAACAGGAAGAUGGUAGCAAAUGGUUUUCAGUACAAUAUGUAGAACCCAAUGAUUGCCCCUUUUAUAGGCUUUUAUGUCACUUCAAAUACUGCACAUUUACAAACCUAUCUGUACACCUCCUACACACACACACUCUCUCUCUCCUACAUAUCCGACUGUGUCCACACACACAACUAACUCAAGUCAUGCACACUAUAGUCUGCAUCCUAGUGUAAUCAGAAUUGUCCCCUAGAUGUUUUACGGGUGCAGGUCUUCCUCAGGUGUUACAUGACAUUGCCCCCAACUUGCAACGUAGAGAUGAAUAUUGUUGGCCUUGAAAGAAGGGAUAUCUCUGUCUCUCUACAGGCCUGCUACAGCCAUCUCAUUGGUGGUACAUUUUGAACGGCCUGCUUGAUGGGCUCUUUUCUUUAUAUCACAAUAUCCCCACUCUGUCCUUGAUUGGCAUCCUCACAUUGCACCGUUAGGUAGCCAUUAGACUCCCCCAAACCAUCUCUCCAAAAAAUAGAAAAUAUUUCAGGACACACAAACUUCAACCAAAUGUCAGUUUGGAAUUCAAAUCAGAAGAAUAACAAAGGGCAGAAAAAUGUGCCAACCAAUGUGCUGCAAAUAUGUACAUAAUAUUAUGUGUAUAUUUUUCCAUACUCUGAUAGAAGUAUAUUUCCGCCAUUUGAUUCACAGGUCAAUAGAUUUUUUAUUUUUUUUACUGCCUAUCAUUUUUUCCCUCCAUGUAAAAUCAAUAUUUAGUGACUAUCCACUAGCAAUCAUUAAUUCUCCCCCCUGCCCCCCAUCACUUACUGACUUGCGCAUUUGGAAAUUCAACCCGAAUUUGGCUGAAUUACAGUUCAACCCAAAACAACCACGUCUAGUAACCAUAGCACACAAGUGUUAGCAACUAAGGCAGAAACAUGCGCUCUGCGAGCGUUUUAUUAUCUAUUAGAAGGCCUUGAGAUGACUAAUGGACAUUACUGCAGCCAUACUUAAAAAGGUCUAGCAUCUUUACUAGCCCUGAACAAUCUACAAACCAUGAAGGCCAUUUGAGUAAUGCCUAUUAGCACCCAUCCCCCAGUCCAUCUUCCAGUGGGCCAGGGACUAUAAGAGUUGAUAUCCUACCAGUCAAUAUUGCACCACGUCCUUUACUCACCCAGCAACCACUAUGCCUACAGUUGCUCUUGCUAAACACUACCAGGCAAUCCUGCAGAUCUGCAUCUACUUUUAAGACGAUUGAGUCCAACAUCCUCACUUGUAGAGUGGUAGCCUUAUUUCUGAUGUUUUUGUUUAUUUUUUUUCCAUUAUUUUAUUGCUGUGCAUGCGCGAAGCAGUAGAUUGCAGUAGCACGCAUGAAGAAGAAGAAUGUUAGCAAAGCCUACAUAAUUUUUGAAAGUAAUUAAGCUUAUCUUCUGGUUUGCGUAUAAUUUACUUUUAAUGUGCUGGAGGUGGCAGGAUUUACAAUCCCAUUACUGAGCUCCAUAUAUUAUUCUCUGUUUUAUACUGCGUGAAAAAAAAAAAAAAAACGGUCUUGGGUUAGUUCUACAUAAGCUUUGCGUUCUUAACACUAAAGUGCUAAAAGCUUUAGCAAACUAUGCAACAAUACAAGCAAAUUGAAGAUAAGGUGUCAGUUUGUGUUAACAUUGCUAGCUCGUUAAAUACUCUGCUAAAAAGGUAAUUAACGGUGCUAGUGUUCUAUUUGUCUUUCUGUAUAUUUCGAUAUCAUGCUUUUCAAUAUGCUUUAUAACAGCUGCCGAGCUGUAAUAAACGGAUAAUAAAAACGGACUUUUAUAAAAACAAAUUCUAACAUUCUGUGAGCAUACUAUAUAUCCAUUUAAAAUAAAAAAAAUGACAGCUUUAGUCACAGUUCUCUUAAAAUUGUCAUGUACUGUCUGAUGAACAUUUUUUCACUCAUCUCAAAUUGGCCUUAGGGAAAACCAUUAAUAUUUAAUAAAAUUGCUCCAAUAUUUUUUUUUCUUGAUUUUAAAAGAGGGUUAUUUACUAAACAAGGAAUUGUGGAGACUUGACAAGGAAAUUGUAUUAGAUAAAAAGAAAAACUGUAAAUGCUGAUCACAAUAUAGGGAGAUGUUACACCGUUUUAUUAUUUAGUGACUAUUUAUAUUUUUAGAGUUGAGUCAAAUUUUAAUGUUACUGCUAGGAAUUUUUACAUUCAACAAUUUAAAUCUGAAAUCAAUUAAAUAUAUUGGAUUUUGGCCCCUUCUAGAAAUUAGUUAAUUUAGAUUAGAAGUCUGUAUACACAAACCUUAUGAAAGCAAAACUCUAUCCUUCAUAACUUACCUCUUUCUGUGCUUUACUUAAAUAUCGAUAGUGCACUGGUUAGGGCAUUGUUUAGAGUGCUCACAGUCCCCAUGCUUUAAUUCAUACUACUCAGUGCCAUUCCAUUUAAUGUUGCAGUCAAUCUUUGAUUAGAACAUGGAUUUAUCCACAGGAACAUACUUCAUGAUGUUCAGAACAGCAUACACGGGAACUUACAAUAUGCAGUCCACAUAUACAUAACUACUAAGCUGUGCUUAUUCGUAUUUCUUACUCUACCAGUAUAGUAAAAGCUGUUAUUGGCACAUUACAGUAGAGGGAGGUACAGUAAGUGCAGUAGGUAUACUCAGCACUUUACAGAUUACAUUACAGUAGAGGGAGGUGCAGUAAGUGCAGUAGGUAUACAGUGUAUGUAUAUUAUAUUUAUAUAGCGCUAACAGGUGUACUUAGCACUUUACAGGUUACAUUACAGUAGAGGGAGGUACAGUAAGUGCAGUAGGUAUACAGUGUAUGUAUAUUUUAUUUAUAUAGCGCUAACAGGUGUACUCAGCACUUUACAGGUUACAUUACAGUAGAGGGAGGUACAGUAAGUGCAGUAGGUAUACAGUGUAUGUAGAUUUUAUUUAUAUAGCGCUAACAGGUGUACUCAGCGCUUUACAGGUUACAUUACAGUAGGGGGAGGUACAGUAAGUGCAGUAGGUAUACCGUGUAUGUAUAUUUUAUUUAUAUAGCGCUAACAGGUGUACUCAGCACUUUACAGGUUACAUUACAGUAGAGGGAGGUACAGUAAGUGCAGUUGGUAUACAGUGUAUGAAUAUUUUAUUUAUAUAGCGCUAACAGGUGUACUCAGCACUUUACAGGUUACAUUACAGUAGAGGGAGGUACAGUAAGUGCAGUAGGUAUACAGUGUAUGUAUAUUUUAUUUAUAUAGCGCUAACAGGUGUACUCAACACUUUACUGGUUACAUUUCAGUAGAGGGAGGUACAGUAAGUGCAUUAGGUAUACCGUGUGUGUAUUUUAUAUAAUGCUAACAGGUGUACUGAGCACUUUACAGGUUAAAUUACAGUAGAGGGAGGUACAGUAAGUGCUGUAGGUAUACAGUGUGUUUAUUUUAUAUAAUGCUAACAGGUGUACUAAGCACUUUACAUGUUACAUUACAGUAGAGGGAGGUACAGUAAGUGCAGUAGUUAUAUAGUGUAUGUAUAUUUUAUUUAUAUAGCGCUAACAGGUGUACUCAGCACUUUACAUGUUACAUUACAGUAGAGGGAGGUACAGUAAGUGCAGUAGUUAUAUAGUGUAUGUAUAUUUUAUUUAUAUAGCGCUAACAGGUGUACUCAGCACUUUACAUGUUACAUUUCAGUAGAGGGAGGUACAGUAAGUGCAUUAGGUAUACCGUGUGUGUAUUUUAUAUAAUGCUAACAGGUGUACUGAGCACUUUACAGGUUAAAUUACAGUAGAGGGAGGUACAGUAAGUGCUGUAGGUAUACAGUGUGUUUAUUUUAUAUAAUGCUAACAGGUGUACUAAGCACUUUACAUGUUACAUUACAGUAGAGGGAGGUACAGUAAGUGCAGUAGGUAUACAGUGUAUGUAUAUUUUAUUUAUAUAGUGCUAACAGGUGUACUCAGCACUUUACAGGUUACAUUACAGGAGAGGGAGGUACAGUAAGUGCAGUAGGUAUACAGUGUAUGUAUAUUUUAUUUGUAUAGCGCUAACAGGUGUACUCAGCACUUUACAGGUUACAUUACAGGAGAGGGAGGUACAGUAAGUGCAGUAUGUAUACAGUGUAUGUAUAUUUUAUUUGUAUAGCGCUAACAGGUGUACUCAGCACUUUACAGGUUACAUUACAGUGGAGGGAGGUACAGUAAGUGCAGUAGGUAUACAGUGUAUGUAUAUUUUAUUUAUAUAGCGCUAACAGGUGUACUCAGCACUUUACAGGUUACAUUACAGUAGAGGGAGGUACAGUAAGUGCAGUAGGUAUACAGUGUAUGUAUAUUUUAUUUAUAUAGCGCUAACAGGUGUACUCAACACUUUACUGGUUACAUUUCAGUAGAGGGAGGUACAGUAAGUGCAUUAGGUAUACCGUGUGUGUAUUUUAUAUAAUGCUAACAGGUGUACUGAGCACUUUACAGGUUAAAUUACAGUAGAGGGAGGUACAGUAAGUGCUGUAGGUAUACAGUGUGUUUAUUUUAUAUAAUGCUAACAGGUGUACUAAGCACUUUACAUGUUACAUUACAGUAGAGGGAGGUACAGUAAGUGCAGUAGUUAUAUAGUGUAUGUAUAUUUUAUUUAUAUAGCGCUAACAGGUGUACUCAGCACUUUACAGGUUACAUUACAGGAGAGGGAGGUACAGUAAGUGCAGUAUGUAUACAGUAUAUGUAUAUUUUAUUUGUAUAGCGCUAACAGGUGUACUCAGCACUUUACAGGUUACAUUACAGUAGAGGGAGGUACAGUAAGUGCAGUAGGUAUACAGUGUAUGUAUAUUUUAUUUAUAUAGCGCUAACAGGUGUACUCAGCACUUUACAGGUUAUAUUACAGUAGAGGGAGGUACAGUAAGUGCAGUAGGUAUACAGUGUAUGUAUAUUUUAUUUGUAUAGCGCUAACAGGUGUACUCAGCACUUUACAGGUUACAUUACAGGAGAGGGAGGUACAGUAAGUGCAGUAUGUAUACAGUGUAUGUAUAUUUUAUUUGUAUAGCGCUAACAGGUGUACUCAGCACUUUACAGGUUACAUUACAGUGGAGGGAGGUACAGUAAGUGCAGUAGGUAUACAGUGUAUGUAUAUUUUAUUUAUAUAGUGCUAACAGGUGUACUCAGCACUUUACAGGUUACAUUACAGGAGAGGGAGGUACAGUAAGUGCAGUAGGUAUACAGUGUAUGUAUAUUUUAUUUGUAUAGCGCUAACAGGUGUACUCAGCACUUUACAGGUUACAUUACAGUGGAGGGAGGUACAGUAAGUGCAGUAGGUAUACAGUGUAUGUAUAUUUUAUUUAUAUAGCGCUAACAGGUGUACUCAGCACUUUACAGGUUACAUUACAGUAGAGGGAGGUACAGUAAGUGCAGUAGGUAUACAGUGUAUGUAUAUUUUAUUUAUAUAGCGCUAAUAGGUGUACUCAGCACUUUACAGGUUACAUUACAGUAGAGGGAGGUACAGUAAGUGCAGUAGGUAUACAGCGUAUGUAUAUUUUAUUUAUAUAGCACUAACAGGUGUACUCAGCACUUUACAGGUUGCAUUACAGUAGAGGAAGGUACAGUAAGUGCAGUAGGUAUACAUUGUAUGUAUAUUAUAUUUAUAUAGAGCUAACAGGUGUACUCAGCACUUUACAGGUUACAUUACAGUAGAGGGAGGUACAGUAAGUGCAGUAGGUAUACAGUGUAUGUAUAUUUUAUUUAUAUAGCGCUAACAGGUGUACUCAGCACUUUACUGGUUACAUUACAGUUGAGGGAGGUACAGUAAGUGCAGUAGGUAUACAGUGUAUGUAUACUUUAUAUAGCGCUAACAGGUGUACUGAGCACUUUACAGGUUACAUUACAGUAGAGGGAGGUACAGUAAGUGCAGUAGGUAUACAGUGUAUGUAUAUUUUAUUUAUAUAGUGCUAACAGGUGUACUCAGCACUUUACAGGUUACAUUACAGUUGAGGGAGGUACAGUAAGUGCAGUAGGUAUACAGUGUAUGUAUAUUUUAUUUAUAUAGCGCUAACAGGUGUACUCAGCACUUUACUGGUUACAUUACAGUAGAGGGAGGUACAGUAAGUGCAGUAGGUAUACAGUGUAUGUAUAUUUUAUUUAUAUAGCGCUAACAGGUGCACUCAGCACUUUACAUGUUACAUUACAGUAGAGGGAGGUACAGUAAGUGCAGUAGGUAUACAGUGUAUGUAUAUUUUAUUUAUAUAGCGCUAACAGGUGUACUCAGCACUUUACUGGUUACAUUACAGUAGAGGGAGGUACAGUAAGUGCAGUAGGUAUACAGUGUAUGUAUAUUUUAUUUAUAUAGCGCUAACAGGUGCACUCAGCACUUUACAUGUUACAUUACAGUUGAGGGAGGUACAGUAAGUGCUGUAGGUAUACAGUGUGUUUAUUUUAUAUAAUGCUAACAGGUGCACUCAGCACUUUACAGGUUACAUUACAGUAAAGGGAGGUACAGUAAGUGCAGUAGGUAUACAGUGUAUGUAUAUUUUAUUUAUAUAGUGCUAACAGGUGCACUCAGCACUUUACAGGUUACAUUACAGUUGAGGGAGGUACAGUAAGUGCAGUAGGUAUACAGUGUAUGUAUAUUUUAUUUAUAUAGCGCUAACAGGUGCACUCAGCACUUUACAGGUUACAUUACAGUUGAGGGAGGUACAGUAAGUGCAGUAGGUAUACAGUGUAUGUAUAUUUUAUUUAUAUAGCGCUAACAGGUGCACUCAGCACUUUACAGGUUACAUUACAGUAGAGGGAGGUACAGUAAGUGCAGUAGGUAUACAGUGUAUGUAUAUUUUAUAUAGCGCUAACAGGUGCACUCAGCACUUUACAGGUUACAUUACAGUAGAGGGAGGUACAGUAAGUGCAGUAGGUAUACAGUGUAUGUAUAUUUUAUAUAGCGCUAACAGGUGCACUCAGCACUUUACAGGUUACAUUACAGUUGAGGGAGGUACAGUAUGUAUACAGUGUGUGUAUAUUUUAUUUAUAUAGCAUGAUUUAUUCAUCCAUUAUAUUUCUUCUAACACAAUUGGAAGAGUGAUGUAAUCAACAAAAGAAUGACCGUGCUAGAUUACAAAAUAAAAUCAGCCUAUUGAUGUUUUUACAGAUUCUUUACACAUAGGUCCAUGUAUAUUUACUUAAAAAUUAUUCUAGUUUUUAAUAUCAAAAUCAAAGUAAUAAGAAUGUACUAUAAAUAAAUAUAAUCAAGUCAUCUAUAUUCAAUUUCACUGGUUAAUUUCCUUGCGAUCCCGCAUAAUUUACUUUGCAUUGCAAAUAACUCAGAAUGACAUUGUAAUAGCAAUACUCCCCCAUAAAUCUGACAGUAUAUAAUAAAAUGAUCCCUUUUGUUCUCCCUGUAUGAUUCAGUCUUACCUCCUUCUUAUUUUAUACAAAAAAAUUAUUCCAAAUUAUUUGCAUUACACGUAAAUUAUUAUUUUAGUAAAAAAAAAAAUGCAUAUUUGACAUCUGCAGUUGUAUAACUACAAGUCAAAUGAUUAAUAAUUUAAGUGUAGGAUUCCCCCUAAUAAUGAAUCUAUUCUUAAUGAAAAAUAGAAUACAAUAAUUACAGAGAUUUCCAAGGAGCCUGGGUGGCUUUGCCAGAGGUCAGGAGAGAGCAAGGGGCAUGUCUGCAGAAGGGCUCCCCUGCUUUUCUCUUGUCAAUCCGCUUUUGUGGUCUAUGUCAACAGCAUAGAUCUCUAUGCUGAGAAAUGAUUGACAGCUGUAAGGAGGGACUCUCUUUCCAAAAAUAUAUAAAAAUCUAUACAUUUGCUAACAAUUCUGCAGCCCUAGCCAGGGAGGUGUCACCAGAGCUGCAAAAAACAAGGUGAUUUAACUCCUAAAUGGCAGAGAAUUGAACAGUGAGACUGCAGGGGCAUGUUCUAUACACCAAGACCCACCUCAUAAAGCUUAAGUUGUUUUGGUGCUUUGAGAGUCCCUUUAGUGAUAGUUAGAUAUAUUGUGGUUUAGUUGAUACAAAAAUAUCUUAUUGUGGGGGGCGGAGCCUGACAGCCAAGCAGAGCAGUCGCACAGUAAAUGGGCUCCUGGGCUGAAAACCUAAAAACAACUAAAGCUACCAAAAUUACCUACAUACAACUGGUUUUUCAGCCCCAGUAACAGAGGUAUGCAAUGGAGACAACGCUAACUCGAGACCCUGAGCAACACUGGCGACCGCAUCCAGAGGAGGGACCCAAGGCCUACCUGCGGCCUAUCCGGGCGGCAUGGGGGAGACGACCGAUCCCCCAGCCGGCUGGGGCCCGUUACGCCGGGGGCCUGUCCAGAGCAUCCUCUCCCCCCCCCCCACUGGUGGGGGUUAUCCCGGCAACCAAAGCAAGUAACCUAAAGCAGAGGUACCAACUCCAGCAUACAGACACAGCCGGGCCAUCGACGCCCAAAAUGGCGGACGCCAUGAGGGAUCAAGCACCCGAGUUCAUCCUGCUCCCACUAUCGGAAAGGAUGGACCGACUUUUGGCGGACUUCUGGGCAAAAAUAGACAGCCGCAGGGGCGACCCGGAGGGGGUCCCACUGGCGUCAGCUCCAUGGGACUCCACAACGAAGCCUACACAGACGACACAGACCCAGAGGGAGACCAGGAAAGCAGCGAGACGGAGGCGGGAAACCCGAUGCAGGCCUCAGCACUCCAACCCUCGACCACGGGUGAGUCGCCCAAAGCCUAAACAGGGGCUCACCCUGGGACCCCCCCAGCACAGCAACCCUCAUAAGCGCAAGCAGAAACAGGGGGCACUACGAACAUCGGGCAAUCACUCACCUCAACUACCACCACUCGCUCCUCAGCAACAGCCAGCAGCUCAGACAGAGCACAAAGUUGUAAGAUGGCGGCGGAGGGCUCAGCACUCACCUCUCCCACGCAAAGCUAGAAAGCUGAGGAGAUCAGUGGAGCCAAGACCCCCUCAGGUGCCCAACGCAACAGGGGUGACACCGCUCCAACGGCACGGCCCAGCAACUAUACACGGAAAACACCGCCCCAGGUAUGCAGACAAGGCCUCCAGAACAGGCAUUGGCUGAAGCAGACUGGACUGACACGUUGCACGGCUCACAGCCUGUGACCCUGCUCAUAAUGCAGAGACUCAUUACCCGGAGGCAACAAAAAUUUACUAAUUUUUUUUUUUUUUUUGUGAAUAUGAUUUUUAUUUUCAUCAUAUAACAAGAGUUAGUCAACUGUAUGCAUUCUGGGACCCGCAGGUCUCCAUUUAUAGGGCAACUGGUGAGACGCGCAGGCCUCGGAAUCAUUUAUUUGUGUUCGGUUUCCGAGUUUACUAAUUUUAAAUGUGUGACCAGAAGCCCAGUAUACUUAUGUUUCCCUCUCUUAUAAUAUCAUAAUAAUGUCUCCUGAAUCCCUCCUGUAUAGAUGAAAAUGUAUGCCACUCAUAACUCUUACCUUGCAUGUUGUGAUUACUUUUGUUUAUUCUUAGGGAAAAGAAAUCUUUUUUUUUUUUUUUUUUUCUUCCUUAUUCAUGUUUUGAUAACUACUAGCUGUCUGCCUCUACUUAAAUGUACUUACAUACAACACCACCUGGGGGGGCAACAACAUACCAGCAGCUGGCGUGGGCUGACUCCUGAGAUUUUUUAAGUUAACUGUCCUAUUUAUGCCAACGUACUCACUGUUAGACAGCCUAGCACAGUUGAUUUUACCAGUGCCUUAUAGUUUUUGGUUCUGCCUAAUGUGUCCCCUAGCGUACCUUUAUGAUGCCUCUAUAUGCCUUAGUGCCACCAUGAUCUACUCUGUCUUAACAAACAAUAUGUCUAAUAUCUACCAAGCCUAAAUACCAAUGUUUAAUCAUAAGAUAGGAAGUAGCUCAGAAGUGUUACCUGAUCUGCCAUCACUAGCCCAUGCCAAAUGGUGACACCUUCCAUGCAAAUAUAAUAAUCUAUCGUAUAAGCUGUGUUUAAAGCCUUGACUAGCUAAACAAUUCCUGCUAAAUGUUGAACAACUAUGUUUUUACCUGUUAUUCAUAUUAUAAAAUGUGCAAGUUUUUCCUGAGUGCCACGAUGCCCAUACAAACCAAGCACACUCAGGUCAUAGAUGUAUACCUAAGCGAACUCGGACUGUUUAUCCUAAAAACGCAUUGCUCUGUCUUUUCAACACCUAUGUCAUUAAGCAUACUUGAGGUGCUUGCCAAUGUUGUUGGGGCACGACGAGUUAUUCUGUUAUAUGUCAUACAUUGCACAACAAAAUAAAGAAUUAAAAAAAAAAAAAAAUAUCUUAUUGUGAUGUUGUUCUGUCCAAAAAAAAAUAAGUAAAAUGUUCAAAAUGAAAUAUUUAAUCAUUUUAAAUGUUGACGAGUUUUAUCAGCAUAUCUACUCAGACACUACAUGCAUGACUCUGCUAAUCCCCUCCCCCUUUAUUUUACUAAAUUAACCCAACUUGCCUCUUACAUUCACCCACUUUAUUCCUCAGGAUCAAUGUGUUAUCUUGAACUUAAAACUAAUUCACCAUUAAACUGUGCUAUACCAUUGUGUCAUUUUUGGCAGUUGUCCCCAGUCAAAAUCUUUUAAUGCUUAUUUCUUAUUUUACUUUUGUAUUUAAAUCGAAAUAAGAAAUAUAAUUAGAUGUCUAUAUUUCUUAUUUUAAAGUAAAUCUGUCAUGACAGUUUCACUUCAAGACAAAUUGUCUCUGUAUGCAUGUCACAGAAAUGAUGCACUAAUUGUAAAUGGUAUAGAUAUUCACCCACCAUACCUCCGAUCCAACUCCGCCAUGUCCUCCGCUUUGUGGGCUAUACUCUUCUGUAACACUCUCCUCUGCUUCGCCCAUGCUCUCACUGGUCACUUCUUUGAUUUGUCCUGUUUAGGGACAAAUCUUCUCAGUAAUGUUGGCGUCUGAUGUCAGUCAUUCCGUUCCUAUACUCCCUAGUCAUCGCCUGUAGCAUUGGAUAGGGAGCUCCCAUAGCAACCACAGCACAUGCUCUGUGGUUGCUAUGCUUCAGAGAAGUAAAGGACCACCUGUGGGAGGUCUCCUCUACUCUUCCUAGUAAGUCAAAUCGUCAGCAUAGAGGCUAUACUUCAGAGUAAUUGUGACUAUGCUGAAGAUUUGACUGACAUGUGGCAGAAAGACCUAUUUUGAAAUAGGUUUAUCUCCCAAUCUAUACAUUUGCUAGUCAAUCGGCUAUCACAAUGUAUGGAUUACAUUUUAUGCUCUUUUAGAAGAGGAUACGCUGUGGAUACCAUAACAGGAUCCCAUUAAAGCUCAAUAAAUUAGUAUUGUUUGUUUGUUACCAAAACAAAAAGGCAAGCAUAGCCAAUGCCACAAGUCCUAGACUAAUGAAUUUAGUGUGUCUUUCUUACGCUACAGAACCCUUACUUGUGCUGCAGGUAAAAUUGACUUUAUAUAAAUUCCAGUGGAUAAUCGUGAUGGUGACCGAGGUGCACUUAGACCUCUGACAACUAAAUUAAAUAUCUUUUUAUGUGCAGCGUUUUAUACUGAAAUGCUCUUGCACCAUGGCCAGUUCAAAGCACUGAAGUAGCUAUGGUGCUUGGAGUACCUGUUUAAAAGGACAUCAUAACUUGUCCUCUGAAAUGAGCAAACCAGCUUUGAAAUCCUCAAGUAAGUAAAUCUCAAAAUUGUGUGUGACAACUUAGACUCCACUUAUUGUUAUGGUUGUAUUGUUAUGUUAAAUCCUUACUGGUUUAUUUUAUUAUUAUUUGUCUCUUCCGUUGUCAGCUUGAUAAUAUGCAAAUACAUUUUAAAGUUUAUAGUACAAAACCAGUGAAUUUAUUAUUGGGGAAAAUGAGAUCAGGCUCUGUUAUUAGGAAGAUGACAUUUGGUGGCAGGGGUGGGAUUUUGAUUGCCUCUUUGGGUUUCUUUCCAAAGACCUCUCUCUUCUGAGACCCUUCUUGAAGAAGACCUGUGGAUUUUCCAUGCCUUUGUUUGCAUGAAUUGGUUUUUGGCCUUAUGCCCCCAUUUGUCACUACACUGGUUCUGGCUUUCUUCUACAAUCUCAGACUCUUGUGAAUCUGGUAUUGCAACAAUUUCUUCAGUUUCUUCUAUGAAUUCUUCUGCAGGUUCCUCGGCUUCCUCUUAUUCUUCUACAAUUUCUUCUGGUUCUUUCAGUUCUUCUACAUGUUCUUCAGCUUCAUCUUCUUUGUUAACACAAAAAUGUGUUCAAUUCUUAAACAGGACUCUACAUAUGACACAAGUUCACGCAUUUAGACUGGAAGAAAGGAGAUUUAGUCUAAGGCAAAGAAAAUCGUUUUUUACACGAAGACCAAUAAGGAUGUGGAAUUCUCUGCAUGUAGAUGUGGUUUUAUCAGAGUCUGUACAGAUGUGUAAACAUCAAUUGGAUGAAUACUUGUAAAAACAUAAAAUUUAGGAAUUUAAUUUUUAACUUGUGGGGUAAUAGCUUCUUAAUCCAAGGAGAUAUCUGACUGCCAUUCUUGGGUCAAGAAGGAAUUUCUUUUUUGCAAAAUCAGAAACCCUUCAAACAGUGUUUUGCCUUCUUUUGGAUCAAUUAGAAAAGCAGAUGUGAGAAAGGUUGAACUGGAUGAAUGCUAUGUAACCAUGCAUCUAUAAAAUCUAUUCUUAACGGUUUUGCUCUAGAAUACUUUUCUUAGGGGAAACAAUUUGUAUAGAUAUUAUUUUUUUAAAUUGACUUUGGAUGAAAAGAAGAAAAGGGAAAUAUAUAAUUUUGCACAGAGUAUAUCAGCAUUGCAAAUCAUGUAUUUAUUCUAAACCAGAGAGAAACUCUGUGACUCUCUUAUCGGAUAAAUGCUUUUUUUUUUUUUUUGAAUUCUUUCUUUUAUUGAGGUAUAGACUUUACGGGUACAGAAUAAAGAAAGGGAGACAAUAAAAGUCAUACAGGAUGGGGUAUCACAGUUUACCAUACAACAUCUCCGAAACUUGUCAGCCUCUUUUUUAUUUUUAAAUAAUGUGUAGUAAAGGCAUUAUGUAGAGUUAGGUGCCUGCCUGCUUGUGUCAAGGUAUAACUUGUAGUUGGUAUCAAGGCACCUUUGAAUGUGCUAGUGUUGAGCGUGGGGCCUUAGUUAGGUGAGCUAGGGAAGGUAUGUGUGUCUCAGCUGGGUGUGGUCAUCUAAGUCGCUAGCUGAGAGUGCAGCAUGUAGUGUGCUGUAUAUUUCAAGCUGUGUAACGCACUCUGGUUGUUAGGAGGGGGGGGUAAAAAUGGCUCAAUACAUAUGAUUGUUAUGAAGGCUUACGGAGCCAGUAUUGUGCGGGUUUGGGAAGAGCAUGAUAUUAAGUAGCAGCAUUGUUGGAAGGAAAAGGGAGAAUAAAAACAGAAAUAAAAAAACAAUAACCAACAGCAUCAGUAUUGGGUAUACCCAAGAACAAACGUGGAACGAAUCAGGUAUGUCCCUUGUCAGGCGCAACAGGUUAAGGGCGUGUGGGCCCUGCUCUGCUGCUGCUUCAGGUUGGUAGGGCAGAGGUUUUCUGAGCCUCUCUUCUAGGCACGAAGGGGGUAAUCUCCGCUACAGACCAUGUUGGAUGGGUCAACUGCUGUGUCGUUAGCGCUGGAAGGCCGAGUGCCUGCAGGAAGGCUGGUAUAUCAGAUGCGUGAGACAGCUUAUGUGUUUCGCCCGCCUUUUCUGCCUGUAGUCGGCGUGGGCCCCAUUUGUAGGGGAUGGCUUGUUCCCGGAGUAGCUGGGUGACUGGGCGAAAGGACUUCCUCCACAUCAUGGUGUGUCUGGAGAAGUCUUUGUAGAACGUUAGUUGUGCCCCUUCAAACGCCACCGUGGGGGAGCCUCUUGAAGCCCCCAUAAUCGUGCCCCUGUCAGAGUCCCGCAUAAAUUUAAUCAGUACGUCACCAGCUCCUUCGCGUGGUGUGGCGGCCGCCCUGGUGAGUCUGAAACAAGAGUCUAUUGUGAUCAACUUAGCUUGUCUUGGCGUAAGUAAAGUAGCUAUCAGCCGUCGGCAAUAGUGCGGCAAUUCCGAGCCGGUGAGUGUCUCCGGCACUCCACGAACCCGCAGGUUUCUUGCCUUGUACCGGUCUUCCAUGCCAGCCAGUUGGGUUUGUUGGUCUGCGUAUUGCUUGCGGAGUAAGUUCAGCGCUGCGUCCGUGGCACUUUGCGCCAGUUUAGUGUCCCUCAGGCCCUCUUCCACAUUUGCCACUUUAUUGGUGAGUGUAGCUACGUCUGCCCUUACUAGCGCCAUGUCUGCUUGGAACAUAGCCUGAAUGUCCUUCACCAAAGCUUUGAUAUCCGCCUUGGUGGCUGGAGCAGCGUCCCCCAUGUCUACGGGUCUCAGUGGCAGUUGUUGCGUGCGGGUCGGCAGUGCAGUCUCUGCAUAGUAGCUAUCUUCGUCCGAGGAUUGUGAGGCAUAGAUCUCGGGCGCCAUCUUGGCUUCAGCAGGCCGCGAUGCGGCUCGGAGAAAAGCCCCUAUAUCUCCUGAUCCCAUGCCCGGAUCCGCCCUCUGCUUCUUGUUCUUCUUCCCCAUAUUGUCGGUAAGCUGUGAACCGGUUUAGGUGCCCGGUGUGUGCGGGGAUUAUGGCUCCGAGCGAGUUAAUUGAGCGUGUCGCACGGAGCUGUCUGAGGAUGCGGCCGGUUAGCUCGGGUGCUGGCUCCGCCCCCCGGAUAAAUGCUUUUAAAGGUCAGAAUGGAACUACACAUCAUCUUAUUGCAAACCUCUUUGUGCUUGCAUGAACAAUAAAUAAUACGCUUUGGUUUUAUAAAACCCAUGAACUUACUAUACCUGUAGGAUGAAAUUGUCUGAAUGUAAUAAAACAUUUUGUUUGGGGAAAACUGAGGUUAUGAAUCCAGCCUGAUUCUAAACCUGAUUUACCACUCUAUUCAUUUAUCAUUAGGGACAUCAUAAUCCCUUAUUCAAUUAACACAUUAACGGCUGCCAAUGAUCACUAACAAUGUUAAUGGGGUCACAACGCCGCCAUUCCUUUUCUCAUGCAAUUUUUACCAUUUACGGGUCAUUUAUCAAGUACAGCUGGACUAGUGCCUUAUGCAAGUCUGAGUUAAAAAGUUCACUGGAAACCAGAACCGUUCUCAGAUCAAGUACAACUGGACCAGUGCCUUAUGCAAGGUAGCUAUAACUAUAAUUUUACUCUAUUUUAACUACUUGUAUAUCUUUGAAUCAAUGUAUCUGAAUUCUCCAUUUCUUUGUCAUUUUAACAUACCUGGGCGUACUUGUUUUUAAUAUAUAUAUAUACAGUUGUGGGUGGGUAUGUGUACCUGUUUGUUUAAACAUAUAUAUUUUACUUUGUCUUGCCCUGCAUGCUAAAGCUAAUUGUUCCCAGCCCCACUCAACAUUGUUGGUUUGUUAACUUAAAUGUUAUUCACCUAUCAGACUUUCUCUGUUAUUUCUGCAUCCUCCCCCCGCCCCCCUUAUUGUAUUGAUACCCACCCGAAUGCCUUGCUUGACCAAUCCUCACCUACACUGUGCAUCUCCAUUCCAUAGCUUUAUUGCAGGCCUUAUUGAUCCUAUCAUAUUAAAUAGGGGCAAAUCUUUGACUACUGCAAUACUCUUCUCAGUGGUCUUACGUGUUCCCAGAUUGCACCGCUGCAAUCUAUAAUGAAUGCGGCAGCAAGACUCAUUUUCCUGUUUGCUCGCACCUCUCCCCCCUCCCCCCUCUGUCAGUCACUGCAUUGGCUUCCAGUUAGAUAUAGGGCUCAAUUUAAGAUUCCGGUGCUUGCUUACAAGUCCCUACAUAAUGCUGCUCCAACCUACCUAUCCUCCCUAAUACACAAAUAUGUCCUGUUGAGGCCCCUGCACUCUGCCAAAGACCUACGUCUAUCCUCUGUCCAUACUCCCACCUCUGAUGCUGGCCUUCAAGACUUCUCCAGGGCUGCACCUUUACUGUGGAACUCCCUUCCCUUCUCCGUUAGACUUUCACCCAGCCUCCACUCCUUUGAAAAAUCUUUGAAAACAAACUUCUUCAUGAAAGCAUAUCAUUUAAACUGUUAGAGGGUUUUCAUUCCCCCCCACCCCCCACCAUGACUCCUCUCCUGCAACUCUCAGUAAAUACUUUUCUAGCAACCUAUAUCAUUACCCCUACUUAUACACUUUGUGUCAAUUUACCCCACUCCCUCUAGCAUGUAAACUCACUGAGCAGGGCCGUCAAUCCCUCUGUUACUGUGUCACUAUACCCCACUCCCUCUAACAUGUAAACUCACUGAGCAGGCCCUCAAUCCUUCUGUUACUGUCACUAUACCCCACUCCCUCUAACAUGUAAACUCAUUGAGCAUGCCGUCAACCCCUCUGUUACUGUGUCACUAUACCCCACUCCCUCUAACAUGUAAACUCACUGAGCAGGGCCCUCAAUCCCUCUGUUACUGUGUCACUAUACCCCACUCCCUCUAACAUGUAAACUCACUGAGCAGGCCUCAAUCCCUCUGUUACUGUGUCACUAUACCCCCACUCCCUCUAACAUGUAAACUCACUGAGCAGGCCCUCAAUCCCCCUGUUACUGUGUCACUAUACCCCACUCCCUCUAACAUGUAAACUCACUGAGCAGGCCCUCAAUCCCUCUGUUACUGUGUCACUAUACCCCACUCCCUCUAACAUGUAAACUCACUGAGCAGGGCCCUCAAUCCCUCUGUUACUGUGUCACUAUACCCCACUCCCUCUAACAUGUAAACUCAUUGAGCAUGCCGUCAAUCCCUCUGUUACUGUGUCACUAUACCCCACUCCCUCUAACAUGUAAACUCACUGAGCAGGCCCUCAAUCCCUCUGUUACUGUGCGUCCAUUUGCCUGGUUACAAUUACGUGUCUGUUAGUCCACCCAUUGUACAGCGCUACGAAGUUUGCUGGCGCUAUAUAAAUAAUAAAAUAAUGAUGAUAAUAAUAAUUGUUGAGCUGAAUACCUUAUGUUAAACACUAAAUUUUGUCAAUGCUACAAAGAGGAGUUAUCUACACAAUGAUGGGACCAUCAGACACUUAGAGAGUUCAGUAUCUCCGUAGUUUUCCGCUGCCACAAUGAAUUAAAUCAAGUUAGAGAGGUCUAGUAUGCCGUCUUUCUAGACCUCCACUUAUAAAGAGAGGAAAUGUUGUGUGAAAGCCAAAUCUGUAUAUAUUUUGCUUAUCGUACAUUUUUAUAACUAUGGUUUUCCUGUGUCCACAAGAAAAGGACAUCAGAGGAAAAAUCCAGGAUGGCCAGACAAGGGCGCAAAAUCAUGACUGUCCCAUAGGACUGGGACUGCUGGCAAGUAUGGCAAGGGAGAGAUCUUUCUUUUUCUGUACUUCUGUUUUCCGCAUCACGGAGAACUAGUUAUUUUAUUAUUCUUGCUAGAAAACACACAGAGAAACCAUGGCGAUAGACACAGCCUCAGUAAGACAUCUUUGUCAAGGUUAUUUUCCUAUCUCCAAACUUGAUGAGAAAUUCAGAGGAAAUAAUUCUGGCCAAUUUAAAGGACUAAAGCUGUGAAGUAAUUCAUAAAAUGUAUCAAUUUUCAAAUCUGUUAAAAUCACCACCGAAUUCCCUCAAAUCAGAUCCAAAAUGCUCUUUAAAUAACAAUGAAGAGACCUGGAGUUUGUCAGGAAAUAAAUCCCAACCAAUCCUGGAAUCAAUAAUUAAACCAUUAGUACAAUUUAUUGAAACAAACCAGAGAGCGGACGAGGACCCCUUCUUCCUAAUCCCGCACUUAGCUGGAAGCAGGGGCUCCAAAACACUUUAUAUUAACACUUACUGGCAUGCAAAAUGUGAGGAAUGAUGACCCUUCCCUGGUCCUCAUUGGUUACUAGUGGAAGAAUUGAAAUAUAUUUGUAUUACAUUCUAACCUCUUUCCUACUGGUCAGCAGGUGGAAAAUUAAUGUUUUUAUGAUCACUUCUGUGAUUAAGUAGGUCUAGAUUUGGUGUUUUUUUACUAAACAGAUGUAUAAUAUUAUUUACAUUGGUCGCCAGUAAUAAUACACCUUGCAUCACACACCUUACUGAUAGUGCUGCUGAAGGUCUCUCUGCAGGGUCCAUGUGCCCCCUGGACAGUUUGAGCACCUAUAAUUAUGCACUCACACUGUGCUACCCAGGGACAGUUCCUUGGUGUCCAUGGAUGUCAGACACCAGUGGAUUAAAUCAGGACGGCGGGAAAUAACCUUGAAACCAGGACUGUCCCACUGAUGGCGUGACUGUUGGGAGCUCUGAAACAGUUGAUAUGCAGCUAUUUUACAGCUUAGCUUUUACAGCCUCAGUUUCGCAAUCCAGUUUCCUAUUCACAAUGUUUCCCUUUUUAGCGAAUAAACGCCUUUAUUUAGAAUAUUGACCUUACCUUGGCUGUUAUAUUCGUCGGCAGACACUCAGAUGCAUUGAAUCAAAACAGCGCAUUGUGUGAAAAUCUGGAAUUGUCUUUACUGAAGGUUCAAUUUGCAAUUUUGAGGCAAAUUCUGGGAUUUCCCCCAUGUUUUGCAAUGCAGAGGCCAUAUUUUCAAGCUUAAGGAAUACCUCUGCUGUGUUUUCUGCGAGAGCAAGACCUACGCUCCCCGUUAUGCUCGAAGUAAAAGCACAGAAAAUAUUUUAUCUAUAGCAGCAAGAACUGUCAGAACCGGUAACUUGCACAUACAGUGACAUGAACAUUUAUUUAAAGAGGAAAACUACCCAUUAUUCCGUCUUUAAGGAGGCAAGCUUUGCAGCGCUGCGCCUUGACACUUCAAACACUUUGUCAUGUGUGCGACAUUUAUUUUAUUUUUUUCACCUUCUGAUACCUAACAAAAGAAACUGAAUUUCAUAAUGUGCCAAUCUCCGCUCCAUAUUUCUCAUGAGCAAAUACUACACAUCGCUCUGUAUACAAAAUCGAGAUAUUUUAUUCUUUCACCUGCAGCACCCCGCACCCUAAACAUUUCUCUGUUUGAGAAAUGAAACCACAUUCACUGCUUGAGAAAUGAAACAAUAUUCACAUUGUGCUAAUGAAAGAUGACAUAUUCGCCCACUAUGCUGCGUUUGUGUAUUGUUAUUUCACCAUAUGAAUAAAUAAAAAUGCAUGGAGUCCUGCAUCAGUUGUUACUAUGAUCGGAGAAGGCUGUGUCACAGUUUUAUCUCACAAUGUAAAUAAAUUAACUGAAACACAAACAGAUACAUACACAUUCAGAUAGGAAGCUUCCUUUAAGGCCUAUGUUGAUAUAAAUGGAUUUGGCUUGACGUUUAUUUAAUAUCUAGCUAAGUUGCCCUCUAAUAUGAGAAUAAUGUUGCUAGAAGUUCAUGCUAAUUCUGCGAACGUGGCUAUGUGAUGCCCCGGGGCCUUCCUGCAGGGGGGAGGAGAAGCUUCCGGUUCUAGUGACAGAAUCCAGAAACUUUCUAGGCACAAGAGUGCUGAGUGGAUUAUUCUGCUUGAGGGCCUGAACCGAAGAGCAUUCAUAAUGCACCUUAACGCUUUCUCUCCCCUUUUCCUUUAACCCCUUAAGGACCAAGCUUCUGGAAUAAAAGGGAAUCAUGACAUGUCACACAUGUCAUGUGUCCUUAAGAGGUUAAAUCACUUGUAUAGCAAUCCCAGGGAAUACUCUGGAAUGCCAGCGGUGAGAACGAUGACUCUGAUGAUGUCUGUGGCUGGCUGAGCAUACUAUGAGUCGAUAAGCAGAGCAGGUAAACCCUAGUGUAAAGACUGGAUAAAUACAGCCAUACACACAGUGAAUAAGCAGCCAUGCUUGUGCACGUUUGUGAUUCGUCUGUGCUUGUGCACAAAUGGACUUGACUGCUGAUGUGCAUGAGAUUUGGAUGCAGGUCCAUCUCUAGUUAGUCCCAUGCAUUGGAUGAAAGUUCUGAACUGGGAAACAUGACAAAGUUCCGGGAAUGAGUAUCCUAUGUCCCAUGUUACAUGAAAGCCAAGAGCCAGCAGGGGGAAUUCUUCCAGAUCCCAAAGUUUGUAUUCUCUCUUAUAGCAAACAAAACCAAUAUGAAUAUAGAUAGCACUGUCCUUUUAGCUUUUAACCCCUUAAGGACACAUGACAUGUGUGACAUGUCAUGAUUCCCUUUUAUUCCAGAAGUUUGGUCCUUAAGGGGUUAAAGCAUCUUUGGAGUUAUAGUCUGCUCACAGUUCACAGCAGCUUCAUCUUUAGGUUGAACCGCAUCUUCCCUGGACAAGACGCUUCAUCUAGCUGAGCUUGAUGGGAGUCUGAACCCACUGUAGCUGGGAUGCGAUCAUUCACCCGGGUUUCUUCUGCAGAAACUGUGAAACCAUUCAAUAGUAAAUAAUGAGCUGUGCAAAUGUGCCAGCGACAUGAGUAGCGACCACCGCAAGAAAUAUAUUAAUAUUAAUAUAUUUUUUGCCUCGUAUGCCGAGGAAAACUCCAGGUGCAAUUUCUCAUUAAUGUUAUUUAUUUUAUUUAUUUAUCUUUCUAGCGGUUAUCUGUGUCAAACUGUGAAAAAUAAUUUGCGAGCUGGAAGCUGUGCCUUGAAAUCGUUCACUUAUUCAUCACGUAUUUAUUAACACAGCACAAGGCCCUAGUGAGGCAUGCAGACAUUAUAACGUUUCCUAAAUAGAUUGCAGUUCAACACGUACUUAGUGCACAGCCCUGUUAUUAAAUGGAGAAUAAGACGGGAGAGGCACUCAGCCAUUAAAACAGCACUGCCACUUACUCGACAAUUUGAGUUAAGUUAUCAGGUAUGUGGUAAAGUUUAAACAUUUGCCCCCUGCUGGCCAUAGAAGACCUGAAAUGCACUUUGGGGCAACCUGCCACAGAGCUGGCAAAAGGAAUUUGUCCCUUAACAGUUCUGAUUUUAUGCAAGUGAAUUAGUCUUUAUUCUUUUGUAGGAGUUAAUUAGCAUGCAGUGCACGUAGUGAUAUCAUUAAGGGGGUGGAGGUAAUUAUAUUAACUCCCCCCCUUUAUUCUAUACAUAUAGUAAGAUUGUAAUAAUGCUAGCAGAAUGUAUAUAUAUAUCAUGAUCCUUUAGAUUAGAAACAACGUUCCCAAGAUUGCAGUGUCUCUUAAGCAUACCUGCCAAUUGUCACGAAUCCCACAGGACAGUACUGACGUUUGAACCCUUAUUUUACUUUUCCAAUGAAGUUUCCAGAAGAGGGGUGACCUAGAUAUAUGUGUGUGUGUCAGCACCCUGACUGGGCACUUUGCAAGGCUAUCAGCCGCCCUGGCACACAUACAUGUCAGCCUAACAAACUCCUUUUUACAGAUACGUGUCACUAGUUAUCUGAUUUACAUGUGAUGCUCUCCCAUCCUGACUUCAUACAUGUCCCGCACACUUUCAAAUCUUCCCCAAGCCUAAAGUCCUUUAAGAGAUCCCUCUCUACACACCUCAAAACAGAAUGCACCUGUGAUGGUUGAUUAUAUAUUUCCCACCUGUUCUAUGCUAAAUUUUGUAUAUAUUGUGUAUUAAUAUUGUUUUUGUAUUUUAUUGUACCAUAUUGUAUCAAUGCAAUGUUUUGUGGACCCAGGACAUACUUGAAAACAAGAGAAAUCUCAAUGAAUCCUUCCUGGUAAAAUAUUUUAUAAAUAAAUGUCAAUAAUAUCAUGCAUGCUUGCAUCAUGUGGAAUUAGGCAGGAAUAGCCAAGUGCUCUUCUCUAUACAAAUAAGGCAUACCUCCCAACUCUCCCUAUUCAGGAGGGACAGUCCGUAUCUUGUCCGCAAAUCCCUCUGUCCCUCUUUUCUAUCCUAAUGUCUCUCUUUCCAAGAGCUCCGUAUUGUUGGUGUGCCCGAGUGUAUAACAGCGAUAAUACCACCUGUAAUGUGUAUUUAAACUACAAGGAAUGUGUUUAGAACUCAGUCUGUGGAAAUCACAUACAUUGUUCUUGUCAUAAAUAACAUUUUAGUUGUAUAAAUUGUUAUUAGUAAAUCACAUAGAAUUUCUCAGAACAUCCCUGCCCCUGACCACACCCUCACUCACACCCCUAAAAUUAAAGAGUCUCUCUUUGUCCAUUUGAAAUUUUGGGAGGUAUGAUAAGAGAGUUACUUUAAUCAGCAUGGGCAGAUCAUGCACCGAUAACUUAUUUUGAUAGUUAAUGUCUCAUUUUUGAGGCAAUAGGAUUCUAGACCUUCCUUGAAGAUGUUCCUUGGGAUGUUGAUUUCAGUUUUUGCUGUUGUUUUUAGUGUUUUUGGGGAUUAGGUGAUGAUGAAGCAAGCUAAAUGCUUACUCCACUCUAGUGAAUGGUCCAUACAUCUGUAACACUUUGAGAAAGCCUGCCAACAAGGCGAAACGCGUUAUUGUGUUACUCUUUUAUGCUUCUACAUUUUAUUUUCAAUAAAAUUUGUGUUUAUAUCUAAUUUUGGACCUUCCUCCUUUCAACCAGAAGAUUGUACCUUCAAAUUCCUUGGUGGGGAUUAUGCCACCUUUGACAUACGGAUUGAGCAAAACCUCUUUUGCUCUCCACUUGUGAGUACCACUCCUUUUAUUACUUUUACCUGUUUUAACAGUGAACACUAUAUUGUUUUACACUGAUUUAUUUAUAUAUCUCAGGUGAGAAUCUGCUAUGUAAACCUAUAGAGUGUGAACCCCUGUAUACCUAAGUGUGUGGACUACCUCAUUACAUGCGCAUCACUGAGAGCCAAUAGUGGGCUCCCUAAAUUGUGAGUGUACAUCAACAUAAAUACUUUUUUAUUCUGGUGUUUUGAACAUACUACACUAUACUGUUGUUUUGUGUUGUUUGUUAUUUUUGUUCUACACCAUCUGGAGUUCCCCCAUUGGAAUAAGAUACCAAGUAUAUCCACAGGCGGGGAUUGUACCGCCCAUGCACAUACAUUUGGAGCUAGUUAAUAGCUCCAGAAAACUGUAAGUGCAUUACUUUUAUUUAAUUCUUCUGAACUUCAACAUACUACACUAUAUUCUGCACUUUAUCCUCUUUUUAUUUUUUAAUUUUUACAUAUUCGCCUAUCUGGAUUUUGUUUGGAGGACACAGCUAUGCUUCCCAUAUGUGUAUGUGCAUCUGUGUGUUAGUCUCAACAUUCAAACAUCAACACUUCAUACAAACACACCCCUCCAAUCAUAACACAACACUGCAUACAAUCAAACACCAACACUUGGAGGAAAGAUGAGACGGGGGAUAUGAUAGAAACAUUUACCGUAUUUUUCGCUCCAUAAGACGCACCUCACCAUAAGACGCACCUAGUUUUUAGAGGAGGAAACCCAGAAAAAAAAAAUAUUCUGAACAAACUGUUCCAUAGUGUUUCUUACUAUGGGACAGUUUGUUCAGAAUAUUUUUUUUUCUCCCCUGUCCCAUAAUGAUCUUUAACCCCCCUUUCCUCAGUCCCAUAGUGAUUGUUAACCCCUCCUCCCCUGUCCCAUAGUGUUCUUUAACCCCUUCUACCCUUGUCCAUUAGUGUUCUGAUCCCAUAAUGUCCCCCCUCCCAUUGUCCCAUAGUGCACUUUCCCUCCCAUAGUGUCCCCCCCCCCAUUGUCCCAUAGUGCACCCUCCCAUUGUCCCAUAGUGCACUUUCCCUCCCAUAGUGCAUUGUCCCCCCCGCCAUAGUGCCCCCGCUGUCCCAUAGUGGCUCCCCUUGUCCAUAGUGUCCCUCCCUCUCCCAUAGUGUGUCCCCUCCUUACUUCUCCCAUAGUGUGCCCCUCCCUUGUCCCAUAGUGUGUCCCUCCCUUGUCCCAUAGUGUCCCAUAGUGUUCCCUCCCUUUCUCCCAUAGUGUCCUUCCUCUCCCUAUGGUGUCUCCUCCCUCUCUUCUCCCAUAGUGUCCCUCCCCUUUCUCCCAUAUAGUGUCUCCAUGGUGUCUCCCUCCCCUUCUCCCAUAGUGUCUCCCUCCCCCUCCCCCUUCUCCCAUAGUGUCUCUCCUCCUCCCUCCCCUUCUCCCAGUGUGCCUCCUCCCCUUCUCCCAUAGUGUCUCCCCUCCCCUAGUGUCUCCCCUCUCCCAUGGUGUCUCCCCAUAGUGUCCCCUCCCCUCUCCCAUAGUGUCCUCCCAUAGUGCCCCUUCUUGUCCCAUACUGUCCCUCCCCCUCCCUUUCUCCCAUAGUGUCCCCCUCCCCUCGUCCCAUAGUGUCUCCCCCUCGUCCCAUAGUGUCUCCCCUCCCAUUGUCCCAUAAUUACUUACCUGUCUUGGAGCGUGGGCCGGCUUCACAGCGCGCUCCGCGGUCCAGGAACUUCUAGUUCAGGUUCCGGUUUCCGGCGGGACUGAAAGGAAGUGCACACUCAGCGCGCUGUGAAGCCGGCCCACGCUCCAAGACAGGUAAGUAAAGCUUUACAUUCGCUCCAUAAGACGCACAGAUAUUUCCCCUCACUUUUGAGGGGGAAAAAAGUGCGUCUUAUGGAGCGAAAAAUACGGUAAAUACAUAAAGGGAAUCAACACAGUAAAGGAGGAGACUAUAUUUAAAAGAAGAAAAACUACCACAACAAGAGGACAUAGUCUUAAAUUAGAGGGGCAAAGGUUUAAAAAUAAUAUCAGGAAGUAUUACUUUACUGAGAGGGUAGUGGAUGCAUGGAAUAGCCUUCCAGCUGAAGUGGUAGAGGUUAACACAGUAAAGGAGUUUAAGCAUGCGUGGGAUAGGCAUAAGGCUAUCCUAACUAUAAGAUAAGGCCAGGGACUAAUGAAAGUAUUUAGAAAAUUGGGCAGACUAGAUGGGCCGAAUGGUUCUUAUCUGCCGUCACAGUCUAUGUUUCUAUAUACAAAUACACAAUGUAUUAAAAGUCAACAUAUAUAAACACACCCCUGCAUUCAAACAAUGUAUGAUCAAUAGGAAUCUACCUUUUGGAGACCCUAAUGGGGGAGGGGUGUAGUAAAGACAUUUCUUGCACCAGAGCCCUCUCUACAUUAUUUCCACCACUGGCGUGAAAUGCUAAACUUUCUAUUUUCUUUCUCUUUUUGUGAUUUGGGAAUGUCGUAUCACUUUCAAUUACAUUUUGAAAUAAAAUUGAAUGGACUCUAUUGUGUUAGGAAUACAAAUGUGUAGUCUUAAUACUACAGUGCUGGAAUAGAUUUUUAUGUGGCCCGCCUCCUUCUCUGUGGAGGUUUUAAAUGUACCUUUUCACAAUUGCAGCACUGGUCUCUCUAAGGCUGAUUCCACCUCCAAGGCUGAGAUCAUCAAUCAUGAUGAUCUCAGCUAAUCCAAUACUUUCCCAUAGGAAAGCAUUGGGAGGCUAAUGCAAAAUGCCACGCUUCACUAUUCAGCAUCUCCUUAUAGGGAUUCAUUGAAGCAAUGUAUCUCUCUGAAGAACAUUCAGCGUCUCCAUGGAGAGUGUGGAGAUGCUGAAUGCCAGUGUUGCACACUGUGCAGCACUGGACUAGUAAGCACCUCUAGUAGCCAUCUGAGUGACUGGAGGUAGCAUUUACAUUGACAAGCCGGCACUGACAGCUGUAGUGGUUCUGAUGUCUAUAGUGUUCCUUAUAAUGGAUUUGUACUGUGCUGUUUUUUAAAUGCUCAUAUGUGCUUUCAGUAUCCAGCCCCUUGUUUGAUAAUGGGUGCACGUGCUCCCUUUUCAGGACCCAUUACAUUACAUGUCUCCUGCCAGUGAAGGUUGUUUGAGUCCUGGCAGGAAUGGCAGCAAUCACAUGAACUUGAUGAACUUUUAACUAGAUUGGCAUCAGUGUUAUGGACAAAAUAACAAAAACAUACAGUCCAAAAUAAAAGUACCCAAGUCAAUAAAUAAACCUCGAUUUGACCGUGCCGUCCUGGGUGGACCUAUUCAGCCACUUAGAUGGACGUGACCCAAGAAUUUACCUGGGCCUGGACCUCUAAUUGGCUUGAUCAUUUUAACACAGCUUUAUGCAAUUGCAGAUUUACUGCAACUUUAAGCAGAAGGCUUUGUUAAUGCUGCAGUGAUUCAUUUUCAUCCUUUUUGGAUUACACACGCCCUCCCACACACCCGAGCUUCUCUUCUAACUGUCGGACCAUCAGCUGACACAUUUGCUGCCUAUUUAUUGCAGAUAUAACUGUGAGGCUCCACCUUCUGCAACAGUUACAGAUGGUUGUUUUAUUUCAACUAUAUUAUUUAGUUUUGUUCUUGCGGGUUUAUAGAGCAUUGCGUUUUUGUCCACACACAUGCAGUGAGUGUUGCUGUGGCCCUCUCUGCAUGGUUCCUAAUACCCGUAGGACAGUGCAAGCCUGUCUAAUUAUACGCUCUCACUGCGCCACCUGGGGAUCGUUUUCUGGUGUCUCCAGAUGCGGGACACCAGGGAACUAAAUCAUAAUGGUGGACAGGACAUUAAAAAAUGGGCUGUCCUACCUAAAUCGGGACAGUUGGGAGGUCUGCUUUAGGAAGAGAAUUGUGUUGGCUGAUCUAUAGAGCUCUAGUGGUUUACAAAUAAUAAUAAGCGGAUGGGUUCUGAUGGUCUGAAAGGUGUGAUGGAUCAUUUACAAACUGGUAUCAUUGACCUCAUCAUCUUAGUUAAAUAACUUAUUUUGUUCCAGGGAAUUUUGUUAAAUGGACAACUAUGCAGGUUAACGGGGUGAAUACAUAUUCCCAGGUUAAAUGGGCCGAUUCUCAGGGCAUGUGGACAGAUACCUAGAGGAAAUGGACAGAAUUCCAGGCCGAAUUGACCAGAAAUAUAGAAUGUGACUGCAGAUAAGAACCAUUCGGCCCAUCUAGUCUGCCCAAUUUUCUAAAUACUUUCAUUAGUCCCUGGCCUUAACUUAUAGUUAGGAUAGCCUUAUGCCUAUCCCAUGCAUGCUUAAACUCCUUUACUGUGUUAACCUCUACCACUUCAGCUGGAAGGCUAUUCCAUGCAUCCACUACCCUCUCAGUAAAGUAAUACUUCCUGAUAUUAUUUUUAAACCUUUGUCCCUCUAAUUUAAGACUAUGUCAUCUUGUUGUGGUAGUUUUUCUUCUUUUAAAUAUAGUCUCCUCCUUUACUGUGUUGAUUCCCUUUAUAUAUUUAAAUGUUUCUAUCAUAUCCCCCCUGUCUCGUCUUUCCUCCAAGCUAUACAUGUUAAGAUCCUUUAACCUUUCCUGGUAAGUUUUAUCCCGCAAUCCAUGAACCAGUUUAGUAGCCCUUCUCUGAACCCUCUCUAAGGUAUCAAUAUCCUUCUGAAGAUACGGUCUCCAGUACUGUGUACAAUACUCCAAGUGAGGUCUCACCAGUGUUCUGUACAAUGGCAUGAGCACUUCCCUCUUUCUACUGCUAAUACCUCUCCCUAUACAACCAAGCAUUCUGCUAGCAUUUCCUGCUGCUCUAUUACAUUGUCUGCCUACCUUUAAGUCAUCAGAAAUAAUCACCCCUAAAUCCCUUUCCUCAUAUGUUGAGGUUAGAACUCUAUCAAAUAUUCUGUACUCUGCCCUUGGGUUUUUACGUCCAAGAUGCAUUAUCUUGCACUUAUCCACAUUAAAUGUCAGUUGCCACAAUUCUGACCAUUUUUCUAGUUUACCUAAAUCAUUUGUCAUUUGGCUUAUCCCUCCUGGAACAUCAACCCUGUUACAUAUCUUAGUAUCAUCAGCAAAAAGACAUACCUUACCAUCACCUUCUGCAAUAUCACUAAUAAAAAUAUUAAAGAGAAUGGGUCCAAGUACAGAUCCCUGAGGUACCCCACUGGUGACAAGACCAUGCAAAGAUUCUCAGAAUCUUUUGCUAAAUGGUUAGAUUCCCGAGGCCACCACAGCUAGUACCAUUCUGAUCCCGGUGGUACUAGAAUUUGUGCUAUGGUUUUUUUCAUGCAUUAUAUCACUGCUUGAUUACAGGUGGCUUACCGAGGGACACCUUUAAAUUAGUGUUUUCACCACAAUUGUCAAGUUAUUUUGUAGGAAACAAUCAUCGAUUAGCAGAGGGCUAUCAUUUGGAUAAAUCUCACGGCCAGUUAAUUUGGAAAGUUUCUAGGCAAACCAUCACUCAGUUCAGUAAUCCAGCUGUCAUCCAUUAUGGAGGUUUCUCGAAAGACCCGUGGGAACAAUGUCAAAUUCAUUCUUUGAAUAUGCAUUAAUAUAUACAUUUAACUAUCAAGCUCCUCAUCCUGUAUUUAAAGAGACUGCAAGGACUGUUGGAUGUAGAUUUAUUUACAGCAUUUAAAAAACUUGAAUAUUGUGCAUGUCUACAGGAAAUUGGGAAGCAUUUUUGUGUUGUUUUUUUUUUUGCAGCUCCCUGGUUAUUAGGUGGGUAAGGAAGAAUUUAGGGUCUUAACCUCUGAUUUUAAACAAUUAAAAUUCAAAUGAACACUAACGUCACCCAUACCACUGCAUCUCAACAAAGUGGUCUGGGCGCAGUGCAACUGUCAUUAUUAAUCCUGCAGUCUAAAACAUUGCCGUUUAGUAGAUAUUUAAUCUACCAACCUAGUUUGAGUCUGUUAUGUGAUGUUCAACAUUGAACAUUAUCAAAUACUGGAUCACAGGGGGAUGACAUCACCAGAGGCGGAAGCACAAGUCUUUGAGUCUUGACACUGGAAAACAGGUAAGUAAAACCCUUUUUUUGACCCCCGUUUUUACAUUUUUAUCUAGGAGGCCCUAAGUCUAAAUAGGAAGGCGAACACAAUACAUGUUUCUAUUCCUAAUGCCAUAGAGUUUCUUUCAUUUUAAACUGAAUGCGGACAGCAAGCUUUACUCUCAUGACUGUCUUAGUAAAAGUAUGUCAAAAUCAAAGGCUAGCUAACACGGGCCAAAUAAACAAGGUUUAAGUCAGUGUGGGCCGCAAAAAAAAAAAAACUUCAGUUUUCAUAGAAACGUAGGUUUAUUUUGCCAAGUACAGUAUAAAAAAAGUUGCCUAACUGACACUGGACAUCCUCGCGCUCUUAGGACUUCAAGGUUAACAAAAGACCAAAUUAAUUUUAAGGAGAUGUGCAUUAGCAUAUAACCAAUGUUUCAGUCCAACUACCUUGACAUAUUAAGAAAAGUUUGGUUAAUUUAAGCAACAUCAUUAAAUAGUAAAAAUUUAAAUGAAGUGAUUUUCGUGUUUAGGCAGAACCAUUAAAUGGACAAUGCGGGCACCGAUACAACUUUAAUGCAUUUGAUAGGUUUUUCAGAAUGCUGCACUAUAAGCCUGCCUCUUUAACCACACCCCCUUACUCCAGAAAAAGACUUCCUUAUUAAAUGUAUGUACACAGCUCCGUCACUAAAUGAUCUGAACAACAAAACAACCUGCAUUAGAGGGAGAGUACACGUAAGGAGUCAUAUAGUAAGGAUAUCAUUAUCUGUUUGCAGUUUCUUUGACUGUCCGUAGACAGGUUUGAAGUAAAAGCCGCUCACUCAGUGCUGUUGGGGCAGAGACUGUGUACAUACCUUUGAUAAGGAAGUCUUUCUGGCAUUAGGGGUGUGGCUAAAGAGGCCGGCUUAUCUGCAAAACCGUCAUUUUUAUUAUUUUUUUUGUGCAAAAAAACUAUAAAGAUUUGAGUAUUCCAACAAAAUACAGCAUAUCCAUGAGGCCAAUAGCUAUCAAUAGAACAUGUUGUAUUGUGCCCGGAGUGUCGCUUUAAGCAAUAAAACACUGGAACCAUUCUGACUGUGUUUGGAACAAUAGAUUAGAACAAUCAGGUUGGUUCUCAAGCUGCAUGUCACACAAUUAGCACUUGUGGCCCAGCAUCCCUCCAUUGUUGCAGUGAUAGACACGGUGCAGUGUGCUAUGCUCUCAUUCAAUGACCAAUAAUGAAAAUAAAUACAUUCCCACUUAGCUUGAUUUGAGCGAGUACAAAACAGACUUGGGUCAAAAUACUCCCUAAAAAUGGCCCAGAAACUGUCAUGUAGAAUUUGAUGUGUGCUUAAACUUGAAUUACAAGCACAAAGCACUUUGGGGGUUUUACGUACUUUAAUUCAAGUCCGUUUUAUACCUAUUUGGCUCAAGUCAAAGACCCCUACCAAGAAUACAUAUUUUAAAUUAGAACAAAGUCAUAACCCGUCCACAAUACUAAUAUUAUUUGUGGAGAGGUAAAGAAGUUCUUGACAUUAUCUUCUCCAAAUAGCAGGUAUAAGAGCGUGACAGGGCCGACGCUCCAUCUACAUAGUGUUUCCUGCAAUCCCCGCUGAGAUGGACAGUUGAUUGAAGCUUGAUCCAAACUAAAGCCAGGAUCAAGUGCGCGUCCAUUGAUCUGGAAAGAUUAAGCUGUGACCACGAGGCAGUGAGAUUCAGCAAUGUGGGUCAGAUAUCAUUAGAUCUGAGAUUUCAUGCCUUUCAUUUCUCAAGAGAACCUUUAUCACAACUUGUGUUGACUAAAUGUUGUUCUGUAAGAAGCAUAAUAUGAAGAGGGCUAUGGGGUGGGGAUAAAGCGUACAUUAGGUGAUGUGUGUUUUGUACUUUGCUCAUGUUAACACACAUUCGAAUGCAUGAUACUUUAAUGUACUUUUUGCAAUUAAAGGGACGGUAUAAGCUCUCCCUGCAGCCAUAACACAGCAGCCAGUGCAGUGGGCCGGCCUCUCCUGAUGAUGUCAGGAGGGGGCGUGACUUCCUCUGCUCUUCCCCCAGACUCCCCAGAGCUUCUGUGAGAAGAGCAGAAGAAGUCACACUCCCCCUACUGACAUCAGGAGAGGCCGGCCCGCUGCACUGGCUGCUGUGUUCUUGAUGCAGGCUCCAGCUCCUCUCUAUGUUUUUAUGUAUGUUUUUUGUUUUGUUUUUUUUAAAUCCAAUUUUGGCAGCCAUCAACCUACUUCAGUCCCUAUCCAUGCCACUACAUUUCCUAACCCCCCAAUUACAGCCCCUAACCCUCAACUACAGCCUCUAACCCUCAACUACAGCCCCUAACCCUCAACUACAGCCCCUAGCCCCCAAUUACAGCCCCUAACCCUCAAAGACAGCCUCUAACCCUCAACUACAGCCCCUAACCCUCAACUACAGCCUAACCCCCCAAUUACAGCCCUUAGCCCCCAAUUACAGCCCCUAACCCUCAACUACAGCCCUUAACCCUCAACUACAGCCCUUAACCCUCAACGACAGCCUCUAACCCUCAACUACAGCCUCUAACCCUCAACUACAGCCCCUAGCCCCCAAUUACAGGCUUUAACCCUCAACUACAGCCCCUAGCCCCCUACUACAGCCUCUUACCCUCAACUACAGCCCUAACCCCCCAACUGCAGCCCCUAACCCUCAACUACAGCCUAACCCCCCAACUACAGCCCUAACCUUCAACUACAGCCUAACCCCCCCCUCUAAAUUACAGCCCCUAGCCCCCAACUACAGCCUCUAACCCUCAACCUACAGCCUCUAACCCUCAACUACAGCCCCUAACCCUCAACUACAGCACAUAACCCUCAACUUCAGCCCCUAACCCUCAACUACACAAUCACAGCCUCUGACCCUCAACUACACAUAACCCUCAACCCUCAACUACAGCCCCUAACCCUCAACUACAGCCCCUAGCCCCCAAUCACAGCCUCUGACCCUCAACUACAGCUCCUAGCCCCCUACUACAGCCUCUAACCCUCAACUACAGCCUAACCCCCAAAUUACAGCCCCUAGCCCCCAAUUACAGCCUCUAACCCUCAACUACAGCCUAGCCCCCCAAUUACAGCCCCUAACCCUCAACUACAGCCCCUAACCCCUCAACCACAGCAUCUAACCCUCAACUACAGCCUAACCCCCCAAUUACAGCCUCUAACCCUCAACUACAGCCCCUAGCACCCUACUACAGCCUAACCCCCCAAUUACAGCCUCUAACCCUCAACUACAGCCCCUAGCCCCCUACUACAGCCUCUAACCCUCAACUACAGCCUAACCCCCCAAUUACAGCCCCUAGCCCUCAACUACAGCCCCUAACCCUCAACUACAGCCCCUAACUCUCAACUACAGCCCCUAGCCCCCUACUACAAGCUCUGUGUCCCCCUCUAGAGCCCCUGUGCCCCACACCACACCCCCUCUCCAGCUCCUGCCCACCCCCCUCUCCAACUCCUGUAUCCCCCACCUCUCUCAAGGUCCUGUCUCCUCCCCCCCCAAUUCCCCUGUGUUCCCCUUUCAGCCCCUGAGUCACCCCUUCUCAGGGCCUGCCUAUGUCCCUCACCAUAGCCCCUGUCCCCUCUCUCAGCCCAUGUAUAUUGGUUGACACAUCUGUCUAUCUCUCUCUAUAUAUAAGCAAAACUACUGUGUAUGUACAAGGUUUGUUGUUUGUUUGGUUGGUGGCGUUGAUCAUUCUGGCUCUUUGGUAGCUGGACAGACAAAGCGGCUUCCAGUUGGACGGUUGUAAGAGAUGGAGAAGUUUUGUAUCCUUUAGGUAAAAUCAGACAUUACCCCUGGGCACCCAUUAGUGAAUUGAGAAUUCCAAGAGAGUUCACAGUACUAGGACACAUGUCACUUCAAAACUAUUUUUAAUAUAACAAUCCUUCAAUCAAUUAUUGAAAGGAAAUACAAUGUUUUAAAUAAAGUAUUUGUUCAAAACAAGACAAAAACUCAUCCCAGCCUUUAGCAUAUGACAGGAUCCUUCAGCCAGAUACCUACACCUUUGGUCAGACAGAGUUGGAAAAACCAACAGUUAGUCUCUAUGGUCUUCCCUGUUUCUGUGCUGGGAGUGAAGCCGGGAAGACCAUAGAGACUAACUGGGUUUUCAAACACUGUCCGGCCUAAGGUGCAUGUAUAUAGCUGAAGUAUCUGGUCAUAUAAACUCAUAUAUGAGUUUUUCAUAUUUUUUACAUUUAAUUAAUUAAAAAAAAGAUUCUCUUUUAUAAUUUGAUAAAAGGAUUGUUAUGCCAAUACAUGUUUUUGAGGUGACAGCUGUCUCUUUUAAGAUGAAUUUAAAAUGAAGGAUAGAAAACGUAGAGAUUCGCUUGUGAAGUGCCACAAACUCUGCACAUAUCAUCAAUUCCCAACAUUUCUACUUCCAAGCAAGGUUGUUAAUGGAACAGUUAAAUUGGAAGAGCUUUCUUAACAAUGUAUUGUUUGCCAGGCCGCUCUCUCUCUGCUCCCUCUAAUUGGUAGAUGUUGCAUUUUCAAUGCUUUAAGAGACCUGCUUGUCUCGUCUAUGUCCUUGGAAUUGCUUAUGUUAAAUGAUUGUGUGUUUUUUUUUUUUCUUAUUUAAAAAAAAACAAAAAACACAAAAACAAGUCCUCUUGUGCUUUAAGGAUAAAAUAAACAGAUUGCUCAAUUCUUGCUGGUGAUUUUAAAUUCCUGUUUCUCCAAACUCAACAAAAUUUCCACAUGCUGCGUAAUCUCAUGUUACUCCAAAGAAAGAGGCAAACAGAAUUUGUCAACAGAUAAGGGGCCUCCUUAUUUUACCCAGCUGGAAUGUUGUGCACCUAAUUUUAAACCUCUUUCUUUUGAAAUGUCUUGUAUCUAAAUCAAGCGCGGAUUGAACAACUAACAUUUAAAGGGAUGGAGGAGUGAUAAAGCUAAAGGUGACCCCAGGUGUCCCAAGCAAGCCUCUCUAGUAAAAUCAGCAGACAUCCAUACCUUCCUCAAUACCACCUUAAAGAGUUUUUUUCCCCCCAGAAACAUUGUUGAGCAAAUGAAGGAUUCCGUGGCAUUGAGACUCCUUUCUUUCAUUUCUGCUUCACGAGUAAAUGAUUACAUUCAUUCAGAAGCUAAUUAUGGGGAGUAGAUAAAAGCAGUAGACGAGCCAGGUCAAGAAUAGGUAACCCUAAAUACCAGUACCUACUCGGAGGCGAGAGAAAGGUCUGCUUUAUUUUCACACUAUUAUCAUUAUUAUUGUUAUAAUUAUUAUUGAGUGUGUCUUGCUUAUCACAGGAGAGCACUUUAAAAACCUUUCAUGCCUUAAUGCCAUAAAGUAUCUAGAGUGAGAUGGCAAUGUAGACAGGGGGGGGGGGGAGGGGCAUUACCCCUCAGGUCAAUAAAGGAGAUGGUGGCCUACUCUCUUACAGCAUAAUACUAACAUUUAUUAUGUAACGGUGUUAUAACAGUACUAUAUUUACAGAGAUUUCAUUCUAGUUUCGAAUAAAACAUGCAAUAGAAAACUAAGGCAGGAAGUGGAGUGUAGUCAAACAAUGUGCUGGUUUGGACUCAGAUUGGGCUAUGGUAGUUGCUGCUCCCUUCCACAAGUAAAGCAUUGUUUCCAAGUGUCCCUAUUUAGGAGGGACAGUCCCUAUUUAGGGUCCAAAACCCUCUUUUCUAUCCUAAUUCCCAGCUUUUGUAGGAGCUCCAUAUUCGUGGUGCAACUGAGUGUAUAACAGAGCUCCUACAGCAAUAACCCUACCAUUAAUGUGUCUUUAACUCCAUCCUAACGUUAAAGCGUUCCAUUCUGUCAUACACAGAGUGGGUGUUAAUGUUUAGGAUGGCAUGGAACUCCCUGUAUUUAUGGUGUUAGUAGAGUUCAAUCCCUGCUAGCACUAAGAUAUCUGGCGCCCCUCUUGUCGGCUGGGGCCAUACUUAGUGGCCCCAGACUGACUGGUGAGUUCUAUGCAAUGCUGCAAGUCAGCACUGCUUAGAGCACUUUAAAGGACCACCCUCAGUGUCCCCCUCCCGCCAGGCUGAAGUUGGAGGAAGGGGGUUAAAUACUCACCUUUCUCCAGCGCCGGGCUCCCUCGGCGCUGGGGACUCUCCUCCCUCUUCUGAUGUUAUCGGCUGAAUGCGCAUGGGCAGCAAGAGCCGCGUGCGCGCGCAUUCAGCAAGUCCAUAGGAAAGCAUUCUCAAUGUGAAAAUCACAGUGAGAAGCGACUCUAGUGGCUGUCAAUGAGACAGCCACUAGAGGCUGGAUUAACCCUAAAGUAAACAUAGCAGUUUCUCUGAAACAGCCAUGUUUACAGCAGGCAGGGUUAAUCCUAGAUGAACCUGGCACCCAGACCACUUCAUUGAGAUGAAGUGGUCUGGGUGCCUAUAGUGGUCCUUUAACUAAAUUCAGAGCACUGUGACUGAGCGAGCGUUUCUGGGCCGGGCAAGCGUUUCUGGGCUGCAGGUUUGUUAAGGAAGAUACCUCAGGAUCUCCCUGCCUGUUCCCAGCUGAUUGUAAACGGUGUUGGGCUUUGCUAGCUGCUCAGCACAGAUCACAAUGUAAUCGGCUGGGAAGCAGGCUCCAGUCCUACUGUUUUAACAAGGAAACACAGCUUCUGGUAUUCUGAGAUUAGAAUUGACGUAGGGCUAUGGUUAGGGUUAUGGUAGGGUUAGGGUUAGAUGUAGGGUAGUAACUAUUAGAUUAUUAUAAGGUUUGGAUUAGAGUUAAAGUAAGGGUUAAUGCUGGAUUUGGGUUAAUUUUGUUAUAGUGUCAGGGACAGUGUAGGGUUAAGGGUAAGAUUAGGGUUAAGGUUAUUGGUAAGGUUGGUAUAGGUAUACAGUUGGAGUUAGUGUAAGCAUUGGGUAAGGGGUAGGGUUGGCAUAGCAUUAGUGUGGAAGUUGGCAUUAACUACUAAAUAUUAAUUUAGAUCCCAGACAUAUUAGGCAUUUAACAAUUAGAACUGAUAUAUAAAUCCAUUUUGAGUUAUUUUUUAAAAAAAGUUGCACUGUUUGUAUAAAAAAUAUUUUAAGCAAAAAUGUGAAACUAAAAAAAAUAAACACGUUUUUACAAUUUGUUUUACAUUUUACUGACAUGUAAUGUUGUUAGGUAAUACAUAUAGAUAUUAAAUGAAAGCCCUUUCUGUCUAUCAUAAAACAAUGUACAAUAUGUAUGGAGCACUUAAAUAGAAACCAUUAAAUUAUGGUGGAACAAAUAUGUACGGAAAAUUGCUUUGAUUCAGAACUUCGACAGUUACCUCCGUCCUUAAGGGGUUAAAGUACAACAAAUGUUUUGAAAUCGCUCUGUGUAAAUUAGAUAAAUUACAUUUUACAUAUAUUGAUUGUUAUUAGUAAGUCGCCUAAAAUUUCUCAGUACAGCCCUCCUCUGGCCUCCCCCCACUCACACCCCUAAAAUAAAAAUUUCCCUCUGUGUCUGUUUGAAAUAUUGGAAGAUACAAUAUGGUCAGUCCUCUUCUGAACGCAGCAAGCAGAUAAACGUGAAUUAACAUUUUGCUAAACACUUAUCUUGUGCAACAAAAAACAUUAACAUUUACCCCUAGUGACACAGUUUAUAAAAUGAAUCAAUUAGAUACAAUGAGAAUACUCGGAACACUAAGAAACUAUUUUAAAAAUAUAAAUGGUGUUAUUAUUAUUAUUAUUAUUUAUUUUGCAUAGCGUCAACAAAUGCCAUAGCGCUGUACAAUGAUUGGACUAACAGACACGUAUUUUUAAUUAGACAAGUUGGAUGCACAGGAACAGAGGGUUUAAGGGCCCUUCUCAAUGAGCUUACAUGCUAGAGGGAGUGGGGUAUAGUGACUCAAGGUAAGGGUAGGGUAGAAAGUAGGUUGCUAGGAUAGUGUUCAUUGAGGGCUUAGUGUUUUGGUUUUUAAAUGACUGUUGCAGGAGAGGAAUCAGGAUGCAGGAGGGAAAGCUGUUCACAGUUUAAUUGAUACGCUUUCCUGAAGAAGUGAGUUUUCCAUGAUUUUUUGAAGGAGUGGAGAGUGGGUGAAAGUCUAACGGAGAUGGGAAGGGAGUUCCACAGAAACGGUGCAGCCCUGAAGAAAUCUUGGAGGUGAGCAUCAGAGAUAUAUAGUGAAUGUCUGAUUGUGACUGUAAAAUCAGAAGUAUAACUGCCUAAUCAAAACCAGACCUUUGUAUAUAAAAAUUCAGUGCAUGCAGAACGUAUUUGUGAAAUAUAUCUAUACCCCAAUAUUUUGUUAGUAUGUGAUUCUGCAGCACAAGAUAUGGAAGUAGAGAAUGCCAAAAGAUUGAAGUUACUUUUUCGAUUUGUUUGUAAUUCUACUAUCACAAUGUAAAUGUAACUGUGCUAAUGAUAUUUUCUACAUUCACAGUGUAAAUAUUGUUCUAGACAAUAGUACAUUUAACUCCACAGCAACAAAUCGUUUAGCACCCAGCACUUCACACUAAGCUGUUGUAGUAAAUUGACAUCAAUUUGCAAGAUUUAGUCCAAAAAUAACCUAUAUGAAAGUUACAAAUUCGCUGUUUUAGCUGAAAUUUUGCAAGUCGUUAUUAAAUGCCCAAAACUCUAUCACAAAUGAUUCUUUACACCAGUGGGUCUUGGCACAAUUGGUUUCCCAUGCCAUUGUAAUGAGUCCCCGGGAUACUGCUCAUAAUAUGUUAUUUACUGUUGUAGAGUUCCCUUUCUUAGUGCAAUGGAGACUCUGUCCUAGUAGAAUGGGUCUAAUGACCUUUAAUGGGUCAAGAUAUUACAGGUGGAAACUGGGUCAGCAAUCUAAUGCUACAUAAUAUCUCCCAAAUUUGCUACGGGAGGAAUCGAGAUGGGGAGGUGGGAUGAUACAACUUGAUGGGGAGAUGGCAUGAUACAGCUUGAUGGAGAGAUGGGAUGAUACAGCUUGAUGGGGAGAUGGGAUGAUACAGCUUGAUGGGGAGAUGGGACGAUACAGCUUGAUGGGGAGAUGGGAUGAUACAGCUUGAUGGGGAGAUGGGAUGAAACAGCUUGAUGGGGAGAUAGGAUGAUACAGCUUGAUGGGGAGAUGGGAUGAUACAGCUUGAUGGGGAGAUGGGAUGAUACAGCAGCUUGAUGAUGGGGAUACAGAUGGGGAGAUGGGACGAUACAGCUUGAUGGGAAGAUGGGAUGAUACAGCUUGAUGGGAAGAUGGGAUGAUACAGCUUGAUGGGGAGAUGAUGGGAUGAUACAGCUUGAUGGGGAGAUGGGAUGAUACAGCUUGAUGGGGAGAUGAUGGAAGAUACAGCUUGAUGGGGAGAUGGGAUGAUACAGCUUGAUGGGGAGAUGGGAUGAUACAGCUUGAUGGGGAGAUGGGAUGAUACAGCUUGAUGGGGAGAUGGGAUGAUACAGCUUGAUGGGAGAGAUGGGAUGAUACAGCUUGAUGGGGAGAUGGGAUGAUACAGCUUGAUGGGGAGAUGGGACGAUACAGCUUGAUGGGGAGAUGGGAUGAUACAGCUUGAUGGGGAGAUGAUGGAUGAUACAGCCUGAUUGAUGGGACAGAUGGGAUGAUACAGCUUGAUGAUGGAAGAUACAGCCUGGAGAUGGACGAUACAGCUUGAUGAUGGGGAGAUGGGAUGAUACAGCUUGAUGGGGGAGAUGGGAUGAUACAGCUUGAUGAUGGGAGAUGAUGGGACGAUACAGCUUGAUGGGGAGAGAUGGGACGAUACAGCUUGAUGGGGAGAUGGGAUGAUACAGCUUGAUGGGGAGAUGGGACGAUACAGCUUGAUGGGGAGAUGAUGGGAUGAUACAGCUUGAUGAUGGGAUGAGCUUGAUGGGAUGAUACAGCUUGAUGGGGAGAUGGGACGAUACAGCUUGAUGGGGAGAUGGGAUGAUACAGCUUGAUGGGGAGAUGGGACGAUACAGCUUGAUGGGGAGAUGGGAUGAUACAGCUUGAUGGGGAGAUGGGAUGAUACAGCUUGAUGGGGAGAUGGAUGAUACAGCUUGAUGGGGAGAUGGGAUGAUACAGCUGAUGAUGGGGAUACAGCUUGAUGGGGAGAUGGGAUGAUACAGCUUGAUGAUGGGAUGAUGAUGGGGAGAUGAUGAUACAGCUUGAUGGGGAGAUGGGACGAUACAGCUUGAUGGGGAGAUGGGAUGAUACAGCUUGAUGGGGAGGUGAUGGGAUGAUACAGCUUGAUGGGGAGAUGGGACGAUACAGCUUGAUGGGGAGAUGGGAUGAUACAGCUUGAUGGGGAGAUGAUGGGAUGAUACAGCUUGAUGGGGAGAUGAUGGGAUGAUACAGCUUGAUGGGGAGAUGGGACGAUACAGCUUGAUGGGGAGAUGGGAUGAUACACCUUGCGUCACUGGUGACACCCAUAAUAGGCAGCUAACCCAGGUAGUUGGCGGAUCUGCCCAGCAUGCCUUUAGGCUUGUCUCCUACAUAGAAGACCAUGCAGUGCCACUGAACGUCUCUCUGCAUGGUCCUAAUGCCUACUACAUAACACAAGCACUUCUAAUGAUGUGCUUGGAUGCAGGACAAAAGGGAACAAAAUCAGGACUGUCUACUGAAAGCGGGACAGUUGGGAGUCAUGCUAUAUAAAUCAUUUGGAUCUGUUCCAAAACAACUUUUUUAGACUGUAGUGGUGUUCAAUCAGCACAUUAAUCUCCCGUCCUGUAUGUCCUACCAGCUAAUUGUUCGUCCACCCAUUGCACAACACUGCAGAACAUGUUGGCACUUUAAUAAUAACAAUAAUAGGAUAAUAGGCUUUGUUUACCCUGCACUCCCUAUUAUUUUAUAGUUUAUAUAUAAGAUCGCAUGGACGCUAUGUUAAUGAAGUACAACAGAUGCAGUAUGUUGUUUUUCCGAAUUCGCUCCACGGUCAUUUGAUCGUCACUAUGUUUAAAUAACAAGAGACAUUUGCCGUAAAUUCCAUUUGCCGGCUAAUAAAAGCGGGGAGAGGGAAAGACUCUGUAAUUGCAGUGUGCUAAGAAUAGCCUGGGAUCUAUCUGCCUCUCUGCACAUUCUUCAGCCUAACAUUGCUGACUUUAACAAUUUUACAAUACUCCUUUCAUGUAGGCUUGAAAUUUGCUCUGUGCAUUUGUGAUGAAAGCAGCCCCUGGGCUCCACGGCAGAGAUUCUGAUUUGUCCCGUUUGCCUGCACCCGGUCUGCCUGCCUGGCUUUUGUUCUUAGCUUGCUUAUCCACUUGUAGGUUUCAGCCUGAAGGUAGAAGAGGAAGGGAGAUGCUUUUUAGACAUUUCUCUUGCUUGCCGAAGCCUGGUUUAUUUAUUAUUAUUAUUUUAUUUUUCAAAUUCGUGGACGGUUUAAUCUGUCUGCAUAAAGCUCCGUAAACAUAUCUUUUCAUUUCUUUAUGAUAUUCCAAAAAGACAAGCACAAACAGAGAGGGACGGGGUUCACGUAUUAAAAAAUAAAAAUGGCAUCAAGUAUCAGAUCUUGCAGGCGAGAGCGUAGGGCUUACGGUUUGUUGGUUAUCUUUUUACAUAAUGUUGUCUUCAUGAAUAUGGUUAAUACAUUCUACUCCUGCAAGUGUUUUGGGAAACCCAGGAAAUUAUUCAAAAGUUACAAAUUGUGGAGAAUUUUCCAGGAAAUUCCAAUUUUAGAGCAAAAUUGCUCAAUGGACGAUUUCUCCAAAUUUGGCUGUUUUGACCUAAAAUGGGCUAUUUCCUUAUCAGCCUGGUUUAUGUGUAGCCCCUGACACCUUACAUUCUCAUCAGGGAGCAGGCUGGUGAAAUGGCAGCCUUGGCUUAAUGCCGCACAGUCGAAUUAUAAUUGAUCAGUGAUAUAUGGGUUAAACACUAUUAAAAAUACAUGCUCAUACUUCUCUGCGUUGUUUAAUAUGCAAGCAUCUGCAAGGAAGCAAUGUAAAAUUUAUUACAUUAGUCUAUUAUUAGAACAUUAAUUUAUUUUCUUGUAUCUAUUUCUGUAGCUUGUAAAAAUCCCGGUUCCAUAUCUGUGUUGAAUUAUAAACUCGUGGUCAUACAUGUUAAUUUCCGGAUCCCUUCCUUUGGAUGAAGUCGUUGAAAGAUAUGUAGAAUAUAGCAUACAUGUAUGUAGAUAGAGAGAUAGAUAGAUUUGUAAUUAUUGAACUUUGACUAGUAAACAUGUAUUUAUGUUGGUAUUAUGAAGGGAGGUCCCAUUCACCAUGAUACUUUCACAGUGCUACAAACCACAAGGUGAAAUUUCCCUGGUCGGUUCCCAGAUUUCAUGGUUCACAGAAUAACCCUGCGGUCACCAUGAUUACCUGCACAAUUUGGAUGAUUUAGAGUGAGUUCUACGCCUUUGCUGGUUAAGCAUUCGGGUAAAACUAAUGUCUGACCCAGAUCUUGUGUAGGGCCCUGGUUGAGCAUAGAAUUACUGCCUUGCACAUCAACUCCUUACCGACUACUAACAGGGGGAUGGGACAUACUGGCACAGGACAACGGUUGUACGUCCUAGAGAAACGACAGAGAAUAGCAAUUUUACCACUCAACAUCUCUAUACCACACAGGGUGCUAGACACCAAUGGUGCCUGUUGAGGGCAUGUGACGUGCUUCGAAGACAUAAACUGAGGCCCACCCGCACUGGGAGACCGAUGGGGUUGUUUAACCUCCCCUUUCUUACGGUUCCAAGAGAGUAUCUAUGUACUCGAGUAUGAAAAAUAAUUAGAGCCGGUUAUUACCGUAUACUCGCAGAACUACACCAGAUCUCUGAGGUGGGCACUAGAGCCUUGACUCCCUUAGGGGAAAAUUGAUACCGUUACCCAAGAGUUUUGUAACUUAUUGUUCUACUGUCAUGACACUGUACGCAGGAAUUUAUAACCUGUACUGUUACUUUUACACAAGAAACUAUUUGAAAAAAAAAUAAAAAAUAAAUAAUGACUGCCUUGGCGCAUCAUUUGACUUGGAGGGUCUGUCAAAAUUCUGCAAUGUAUCUGUAUGGGAGCUCUGUAGCCUGGAAACCCACUGUCCCGUUAUCUCACCUGAGGAUAAUGGGAUUCAUAGUCCAGAAUUCCUACAGAGUUGCAGGUUACUAACCUCUUGUUUCUGGGGAAAAAAAUUCUAAGAUUUUGGGCCAUAAAACACAAUAUCUGUGAAACUGGGUCCCAGGAAAACAACAAGAGCCAUAUUAUUUUUAGAGCUAAAAUAGAAUUUUGUACCUACACGUGUAUUAAACAUUUAUUGAACCUGCUGGUGCUUUCUCGUGGGCUAAGUAAUGUGAUGCCUCCCGCCUCCCUCCUUUAUCGAGAGCUUAAUGCAUUCUCAAAGCAUCUCCAUCAUCCAUACUGGCUUAACAUGCACCACUGGUUACAAUAAAGUUUGCUUCAUCUGAAUUCUACAUUAUCAGCAUCUUUUUAGAAUGCUCUGAACCAAAUUUCAAUCUUCCGAGAUGUACCCUGGAGUUUCAAUGCUCCAACAGUCCCCUUCAUGUGCUCCUAAUCUCAGACAUGUCAAAAUGGACUUUGUGUAUGUUCCGAGCAUCUAUUAGGUUAGCUGAUUAAAAUAUAGUGGUACAAAAUAUAGAGGAUGGGGAUCCUUUUAACAUUGCUAUGAUAAUAACAUACUUUGAACAUCCACAGAAAAUAAUCUUUCCUUCGAGGGACCAGCUGUCCAUCUCCAAUGACUGGACACUCCAGGCUGACGCUGACCUCCUAUUUAUGGAAUACUUUGAUAAUUAAUUCUCAAUAUAUAAACUCCAAUUUAUGCGUCUGCGUUUGCUACAGAUUCCUGGGACAGUACCAGGAAGUAGCGGAAACAUUUUGGCCAUUCCUAGCCCUCCCACUGUUUUCUAUUAGAGUUUAGCUAGACUCCCACAAACCUCUCUGCAGCGAGGGUUAAUUGGAUAUAUUUGCCUGAAAUGACAUGAAUGAACCAUUGAUAAUGAGGAUAGACUUCAACAUAACAGUUGCUUCAUUUAUGAUUUGUUUUUAUAGUUGCAGCAUAAAAAUUUUUGUGAAAGGUGUUGGGUACAUUAACCGUGUGCUGUGCUGUGGUUUCAGCUACCACGAAACUGUCAGUACACUAACUCCAUAUUAACUUACUUAUCUCCCCUCAUUUAUUUACUUAUUUAUAAAUAUUGCCUCAAUUUAAUAUUUUUGGAUACAAGUUUUUCAAAAGAUUUAAUAUUUUUGGAUAAGCUUCUACAUUUUCAAAAAAACAUAUUAACAUAUCAAUAUAUAUAUAUAUAUUAAAAAAAACAUAACACAAUAUAAUUUGAAAGGCUUAUCCAAAAAUAUUAAAUCGAGGCCUAUGUCAGCUUUUAGCAUGUUGGCUUCCAAUGUCUUUGUUCAUUCUAGUGAGAUGCAAAAAAAUUUAAAAUCAGUGCAUUAAAAUCCCCAAGUCCGCCACCGAUUAGACAAAGUCUGUGCUAAUUAAGAUGCAGUUUAGUUUUCCAUUCCCCCACUUGUCUUUGUGUCUGUCCAUCUCGGUCCUUGGAUUGAAAGACUCCGUUUAAUACUGUUUUUCGUUCUUCCACCUUUUUUUUUAGUUUAGAGGUAAAACAUAGUUUCCGGGCAUCACAGUUUGCAUCACCUCCGUUUUGCUUCAAGGGUUUAAAUCCCCCAUGUUCUGUGGCAAGUAAUCUCCUCUGUUAUUGAAUAGGGAUUGCAUUCUCAUGACAGAGUCUGGAAUCCUCGUUUUCUGUUAUUAUAUUUAUGUGAACCUCUCACUCCGAGCAGACGUAUUGAGCAGCCCGAGGACAGACAUCUUAUUCUUUCGCCUACAAGAUUUCUUUUUCUUUCUACCUUUUAACAAACAUCAAAUUCCCUUCACCAGUUCAUAAAAUUUUCAGCCUCGCUGAGUGUUGCAUUAGCAGCUAUUGUAAGCCAUGUCUGCAUAGCCUCACAUCUUAUAUUUUAUUUAUCAUCUUAUUUUGCCCUAUAUAUUCCUUUUUAACAUUUUUUCUGUAUUCAAUUCUAAGCUGUCGUUUUAUUUGUUUUUAUAGCUGCCUGCCAGUAAUAACGGUGAAAAAAAAACAACCAAACUGGUUAACCCUGUAUGUGUGGGACCUGAAUUUGGGGCUAAUUAGUUAGAUUUUCUACUAUACAGUUACAGAAUGUCACAGCAUUUCACAUUUUCCUGGUUGAUAGAAGCACAGAGAUGUUGGGACAUGAAAGGUGUGUUAGUGAGGAAUUGCCUAUUCUGGCAUCUCGGUCUGUAUUUAAGCCGUGAGUGGGUUGUAUUUUAAUAGUCUGAUUCGGCUGCUGGAAAUUUAUUGUGAAGAAAUGUUCCUUAACAGAGUAAUGGGGGGGGGGAGGGGAGGGUUACAGUUUGAAUAACAUGACUUUCCUGAGCCACACAGAAAUACAAUUUGAUCUCUACAUUGUUCAAUUUAUGGUAGAUGUACACAUCACAACAUAACAUAAUGAAAAUGGUAUGGGUAGAGUUCCCAGAUUGCCAGAUUUGAUUCUGUGAUGGUUAUGAAUUCUACAUUCUGUCUGGAAAGGAUUAAAAGUACUGCCCAGCAGUGUGUCAUACAUUCCAAGCAUGAAAUCAAUAAAUUGCUUAUUUCACAGGUGUGCAAUGUGUUGCACAGGUUACAUUACAGUAGAGGGAGGUACAGUAGGUGUACAAUGUACAGUAUGUAUAUUUAUAUAGUGCUAACAGGUGUACUCAGCACUUUACAGGUUAAAUUACAGUAGAGGGAGGUACAGUAAGUGCAGUAGGUGUACAGUGUAUGUAUAUUAUAUUUAUAUAGCGCUAACAGGUGUACUCAGCACUUUACAGGUUACAUAACAGUAGAGGGAGGUACAGUAAGUGCAGUAGGUAUACAGUGUAUGUAUAUUUUAUUUAUAUAGCACUGGCAGGUGUACUCAGCACUUUACAGGUUACAUUACAGUAGAGGGAGGUACAGUAAGUGCAGUAGGUGUACAGUGUAUGUAUAUUUUAUUUAUAUAGCGCUAACAGGUGUACUCAGCACUUUACAGGUUACAUUACAGUAGAGGGAGGUACAGUAAGUACAGUAGGUAUACAGUGUAUGUAUAUUUUAUUUAUAUAGCGCUAACAGGUGUAAUCAGUACUUUACAGGUUACAUUACAGUAGAGGGAGGUACAGUAAGUGCAGUAGGUAUACAGUGUAUGUAUAUUUUAUUUAUAUAGCAGUAACAGGUGUACUCAGCACUUUACAGGUUACAUUACAGUAGUGGGAGGUACAGUAAGUGCAGUAGGUAUACAGUGUAUGCAUAUUUUAUUUAUAUAGCGCUAACAGGUGUAUUCAGCACUUUACAGGUUACAUUACAGUAGAGGGAGGUACAGUAAGUGCAGUAGGUAUACAGUGUAUGUAUAUUUGAUUUAUAUAGCGCUAACAGGUGUACUCAGCACUUUACAGGUUACAUUACAGUAGAGGGAGGUACAGUAAGUGCAGUAGGUAUACAGUGUAUGUAUAUUUUAUUUAUAUAGCUCUAACAGGUGUACUCAGCACUUUACAGGUUACAUAACAGUAGAGGGAGGUACAGUAAGUGCAGUAGGUAUACAGUGUAUGUAUAUUUUAUUUAUAUAGCGCUAACAGGUGUACUCAGCACUUUACAGGUUAUAUUACAGUAGAUGGAGGUAGAGUAAGUGCAGUAGGGAUACAGUGUAUGUAUAUUAUAUUUAUAUAGCGCUAACAGGUGUACUCAGCACUUUACAGGUUACAUUACAGUAGAGGGAGGUACAGUAAGUGCAGUAGGUAUACAGUGUAUGUAUAUUUUAUUUAUAUAGUGCUAACAGGUGUACUCAGCACUUUACAGGUUACAUUACAGUAGUGGGAGGUACAGUAAGUGCAGUAGGUAUACAGUAUGUAUAUUUUAUUUAUAUAGCGCUAACAGGUAUACUCAGCACUUUACAGGUUACAUUACAGUAGAGGGAGGUACAGUAAGUGCAGUAGGUAUACAGUGUAUGUAUAUUUUAUUUAUAUAGCGCUAGCAGGUGUACUCAGCACUUUACAGGUUACAUUACAGUAGAGGGAGGUACAGUAAGUGCAGUAGGUAUACAGUGUAUGUAUAUUUUAUUUAUAUAGCGCUAACAGGUGUACUCAGCACUUUACAGGUUACAUUACAGCAGAGGGAGGUACAGUAAGUGCAGUAGGUAUACAGUGUAUGUAUAUUUUAUAUAGUGCUAACAGGUGUACUCAGCACUUUACAGGUUACAUUACAGUAGAGGGAGGUACAGUAAGUGCAGUAGGUAUACAGUGUAUGUAUAUUUUAGUUAUAUAGCGCUAAAAGGUGUACUCAGUACUUUAUAGGUACAUUACAGUAGAGGAAGGUACAGUAAGUGCAGUAGGUAUACAGUGUAUGUAUAUUUUAUUUAUAUAGUGCUAAUAGGUGUACUCAGCACUUUACAGGUUACAUUACAGUAGAGGGAGGUACAGUAAGUGCAGUAGGUAUACAGUGUAUGUAUAUUUUAUUUAUAUAGCGCUAACAGGUGUACUUAGUACUUUACAGGUUACAUUACAGUAGAGGGAGGUACAGUAAGUGCCGUAGGUAUACAGUGUAUGUAUAUUUUAUUUAUAUAGCGCUAACAGGUGUACUCAGCACUUUACAGGUUACAUUACAGUAGAGGGAGGUACAGUAAGUGCAGUAGGUAUACAGUGUAUGUAUAUUUUAUUUAUAUAGGGCUAACAGUUGUACUUAGCACUUUACAGGUUACAUUACAGUAGAGGGAGGUACAGUAAGUGCAGUAGGUAUACAGUGUAUGUAUAUUAUAUUUAUAUAGCGCUAACAGGUGUACUCAGCACUUUACAGGUUACAUUACAGUAGAGGGAGGUACAGUAAGUACAGUAGGUAUACAGUGUAUGUAUAUUGUAUUUAUAUAGCGCUAACAGGUGUACUCAGCACUUUACAGGUUAUAUUACAGUAGAGGGAGGUACAGUAAGUGCAGUAGGUAUACAGUGUAUGUAUAUUUUAUUUAUAUAGCGCUAACAGGUGUACUCAGCACUUUACAGGUUACAUUACAGUAGAGGGAGGUACAGUAAGUGCAGUAGGUAUACAGUGUAUGUAUAUUUUAUUUAUAUAGCGCUAACAGGUGUACUCAGCACUUUACAGGUUACAUUACAGUAGAGGGAGGUACAGUAAGUGCAGUAGGUAUACAGUGUAUGUAUAUUUUAUUUAUAUAGCGCUAACAGGUGUACUCAGCACUUUACAGGUUACAUUACAGUAGAGGGAGGUACAGUAAGUGCAGUAGGUAUACAGUGUAUGUAUAUUUAUUUAUAUAGCACUAACAGGUGUACUCAGCACUUUACAGGUUACAUUGCAGUAGAGGGAGGUACAGUAAGUGCAGUAGGUAUACAGUGUAUGUAUAUUUUAUUUAUAUAGCGCUAACAGGUGUACUCAGCACUUUACAGGUUACAUUACAGUAGAGGGAGGUACAGUAAGUGCAGUAGGUAUACAGUGUAUGUAUAUUUUAUUUAUAUAGCGCUAACAGGUGUACUCAGCACUUUACAGGUUACAUUACAGUAGAGGGAGGUACAGUAAGUACAGUAGGUAUACAGUGUAUGUAUAUUUUAUUUAUAUAGCGCUAACAGGUGUACUCAGCACUUUACAGGUUACAUUACAGUAGAGGGAGGUACAGUAAGUGCAGUAGGUAUACAGUGUAUGUAUAUUGUAUUUAUAUAGCGCUAACAGGUGUACUCAGCACUUUACAGGUUACAUUACAGUAGAGGGAGGUACAGUAAGUGCAGUAGGUAUACAGUGUAUGUAUAUUUUAUUUAGAUAGCGCUAACAGGUGUACUCAGCACUUUACAGGUUACAUUACAGUAGAGGGAGGUACAGUAAGUGCAGUAGGCAUACAGUGUAUUUUAUUUAUGUAGAAAUAACAUGUAUACUUACCGCCUUAUCGGAGCCAUUGCAUUGUAGUGGUGUACAAUAAGCGUACAAUAUAUUUAUAUUUAUACUAUAUAUUUUAUGCAUGUGGAGUUAACAGGAGCUGAGGUGCUGGGAGUGUAGUUGUUACAGAGCUAUUAUAAUAAGAAUUGCUGUAAAUACGAUGCUUUUAGUGAGGAGGUAGGUCCCGCCACGCUGAGCUUACUAUACUUAUAUACAAACUGCUUAUUUAGAUUUUUCGUUUUCAAGUGAAUUUAAAGUACUUUGUGAAUAUUCUGUAAUGUAAGAGACGUUGAGGGAGAUCUAUCAAAGUGAAACAGGGGCUAUUUGGGUGCAAAGUCCUAAAUGUUGACAAGACAUUCUAUUGUUUUCAUGGUGACUGCAACUUAUUAUGCGCCAAUCCCCAGAAUAGCAAAUGUUUGUGGAGAGAAUGCUGUUUGGAGUUACCAGACAAUGAGCUUAAAUCCCACAAUCUACCCCAGAUUAACAAAUUCAGGAGCAAUUCCAUUGCAGUUGGGCUAUCGAUCAAUACUGAGUUUAUUAAAUUCACCUUAGUUCACAGCAGACUCAGAUUGCAAGUGUGUUUAUUUAGGAACAUUAGACACAGAAAUUGCAAGACAAACCUAACUAAAUUUGUUGUCGUUCCCCUAUUUUUGAUAUAAUUGGUAUCUCGGUCUUGGAAACUUUACUCCAAUCAACAUGAUCCCUUCUGCUUUUUGAAGUGGUCAUGGUGGUAGGCGUCUGCAUGUGCAGGGUUUCAGCACUGUACAUUCUGAGUGAUUGGCAAUUGUGUGUCAGGGUCUAGUUGCACCCCCAGCAUACGUGACUUAGUUGUGCCUGGUGUCAAUCUUGUGCAUAUUUUACAUCUGUUGUCAGCGUGCACUGCACACUGGCGACAGGCGUGCACCGCCCAUGUCUCCCUCACUCCUACCCUCCCACACUGAUGGCAGCCCUUCCUAUCCCAUCCAAUAUUAAAUUUGCUGCCGCCCUCCCAUCUCCUUUCCCUCCACCGACCUCUCUCUUUAGUAGUUCAGAUAAUGCGCAUGCUCUCUGAGCUGGUUAAAUGGUGCUUUGAUUUGGACCUCAUCAUGGUACAGGUGAUAGUCAGAAGGCGGCGUGCCAAGCAGCUUUGCUCGGCACUGAAUUAUGGUAAGUAAUAACUACUUUCAUUACUUAUUCAGUAUCUUGAGUGCAGGGGGAGUGAGAGGGACUUGUCGAAUAAUGCCCAUAAGGGCUUUAUUCACUAACCAAAAAAAGUGUAGGAGAAACCCUUUAAUAACAACUGAGAUAUGCUAAACAUGUAGAACCGUUAAACGGACACAACAUAUAUGGUGGCAAUGUUCUGGGAUAAAAUCUUUUUUUAUUCUGCUCAUUCCUUAAUCAUCAGGUUGCAAAUAUUGUGAUUAAUGCGUUAUUAUAAAAUGAAGUUUCAUAAAAUAUAAUUUCUUUUUAUAGUUUAAUAAUUCAUAUAUUAAUGGCUGUAGAAUGAUGUAUCGCAAGGUGUUGGAGAAAAACACUCUUCUGGUCUGGAACAUCGUAUGAAAUAAACAAUCAACGUUUAAUAGAAAAAAGGAAAUUGCAUGAUCAAUCUCAGCCAUUCCUAUUAUAUAAAAAUCCAGGCUCACUUGACAGACAUUGACAGUACAGAGACAAUUAGGGAAAAUAUCAGCCAUGUAAUCCCACUGUCCCCAAUCUGCUGUUCUCAUAACUGCAUAGAAAGACUGGCUGGUGUUGGAACCUUUCAGGGUGUCUGUAGGACAGACGAACAGAGAGAUCUCGAUUUGAUUUGAAGAUUGAUCAUAUUGUCCUUGUAGAGACAUUGCUAAUAAUGUAUUGACCAAAUAAAUCAAUCUUUUUGUUGCAUUAUUUUUACACAUUGAUUGCUUAUAAAAAAUUCAGCAAUUCCAUGAAUAAUUGAUACAUUGUGUAUAUUUCAAGUAAAUGUUACAAAUUCAGUUUCAAAGUUAAAAAAACAACAACUUAGGUAUUUUUCAGUUUUUCAAAUGCAUUUUAGUUAUAUGGUUCAGACACAAUUUAACCAUUCUUUCAUCAUUAAUGUAUCGAUUGUGUAUCUAAUAUUAGACAAUUCUGCUUUUAUUUCCCAGAAAGGCAGGAGCAGUAGAGCCAUGGCAACUAGAAUGCAGAAAAGCAAACCAUUAACCACUUUGUAUUAGCAUCCAGUGUUUGACAGACAUUGCUAAUCACUGCAUAAAUUACUACCAGUUUUAAGGAGAAAUAGUAAUUAAUAAAUGAUUGGUAUGUUAUUAAAAAAACAUGAGCCGGUUUUAGCAAUGAAACUGCUAAUGGACAUUCAAAAAACAUCAUAAAACAUCAUCCCACGGGAGCGCAUGUCUGUUGCCAGCUUCAUUGGUCGGUUUUGCUAACCGAUGACGAUAUGGUCAUCUCCCAUAACGAGGGUGGGGACAAUAUAACAAAGGAUAAGGGCAAUCAGGCAUUUCUAUAUGUAGAUUCAAUUUCCAUAAAACAGUUUUCCUUAAAAAAAUGUAAUAAUAAAUAAAUUAAUUAAAAAUAAAUAAAUAUAUAUAUAUAUAUAUAUAUAUAAACAAGUAGCAAGAGAGGUGAGAACGGACAACAGCUCAAUUAGCCUGCCCUAUCAGACUGGUCCCACCCAUACACGCAGUCCAGAUCCGAAAUGCCUGCAAGUUCCCUCUGCACGAGAGAUACGGCAACCCCAGAUGAUCGUUUCCGCCUUGUAAGGUAUCAUCAGAGAGGUAUAGCCAAUAUUCCUCUAUGCACCGUGAGCAAGGGGUCCACGUCAGGAUUGCCCUUUAAACUUAAGGAGAGAAAAACAAGUAGAAAGAGAGGUGCAGAGGGAACUUGCAGGCAUUUCGGAUCUGAACUGCCCAUAUGGGUGGGACCAGUCUGAUAUUCUUCAGAUAUGUUCUCUCUGUAAUGGCACAAGAUGAGCUAAAACCAGCUUGAGAUCUGAGUGGGGACCCACCGAAGGGCAGGCUAAUUGAGCUGUUGUCCGUUCUCACCUCUCUUGCUACUUGUUUUUUUUUUCUCUCUCUCUCUCUCUUUAUAUAUAUGUGUGUAUGUGUAUAUAUAUAUAUAUAUAUAUAUAUAUAUAUAUAUAUAUAUAUAUAUAUAUAUAUAUAUAUAUAUAUAUAUAUAUAUAUGCCUUUUUUUUCUGUAUUAGAGCCAGCAAGAUAGCUCAGUGAUUAUUUCUUUAACUGUAGUAUGUUUAGUACCUAUUGCAGUCACUGUCUCAGUUCCUGAUUAGGUCAAACAUAAAAUGAGUAGGAUUGUGUUCUGUAACAGAGGGUACUGGUAAAAAGAUAACUAUAACUCUCCAGCUUAUGCAAUUAGAUAUAAUUAGCAUGACAUAUUUUUCGCUACAGACGUACUCUCACCACUCUUGUUUGGACCUGUUCAUAAGCUAGGACAGUUCUCCGAUGAACUGUGUUCCAGCAAUGUCCUUCCUUUCAAGCCAUUACCCCAAAAAUCUAAUAGUUUUUGGUCUGGAUGCCAGGAAACUAUUAAAUGUCUAUUAAAAAUGCACUUAAUUGAAGCAGAGAGCAGUGUAUAUAACAUUACUACUUUCCUGACCUUCGUAUUUCACCUUGACUGAAACCUAAUUGUAGAAAAUAAUUAUAAUAUCCCCCCUCCAUCCUGGGCAUGGCAUUUCUACACACAUUGAAGCCACAACAAAAUAGCCAAUGUCCUAGAUCCUGCAAUUUGGAAAAAAAAAAUUUAAUGAAUGGUUUAUUGAGUAAUAAAAUGUUGUUGUUUUUCUUGUGGACCAGACUUGGUCGCCUUGCAUCCGGUAAGAUGUGGACAGUAUAUGAAUGAUUUCUUUCUGGUUUGUCUUGUUGUUGUUGUUGUUGUUUUUUUUUUUUUUUUUUUAUUAUGGACCAGAGCUUUCUGUUGUUGUUUGAGGAUGUGUUAACCAUUAUAUGUGUAUGAAACCUCAACCAUUUCACAUCAGGAAUAUUUUUUUGCUAAGAUCAUGGAGGUUGCCGUUUGACCAUUGGAGAGUUACGUAUGUGCUAGACCGGUGGUUCCCAAACUUUUUAGGUUCAAUGCACCCUUAAUAUUUUAAUAUUUUUCCAAGGCACCCCAAGUCAAAAUUUCUAGGUUGUAUAUCUGUACAGCACUGCAGCAUUUACUGGCGCUAUAGUGUAAUAGUGUUGGGGUUUGAAGAGGUGCUUGUAUAUCGUUUUAGUGUUUUAAUACAGGGGUGUGUUUGUAUGUAAUGUUUGUGUUUGAUUGCAGGGGUGUGUUUGUAUGUAAUGCUUGCAUUUGAUUUCAGGGGUGUGUUUGUAUGUAAUGUUUGCGUUUGAUUGCAGGGGUGUGUUUGUAUGUAAUGUUUGCGUUUGAUUGCAGGGGUGUGUUUGUAUGUAAUGUUUGCGUUUGAUUGCAGGGGUGUGUUUGUAUCUAAUGUUUGCGUUUGAUUGCAGGGGCGUGUUUGUAUGUAAUGUUUGCGUUUGCAGGGGUGUGUUUGUAUCUAAUGUUUGUGUUUGAUUGCAGGGGUGUGUUUGUAUGUUAUGUUCACUUUUAAAUGCGGGUGUACAUUGUUGGAAGUAUUUGUGUUUGAGUGAAGAGAUGUGUUUGUAUAUCCUUUUGGAGUUUGAGUGCAGGGCUUUGUUUGUAUGUAAUAUUUGUGUUAGAGACACCGACACGUACACACACAUAAAUACACACCGACACAUACCUUAAUACACGUUUAUACCAACAUAUACACACACACGCACCCUAACUUACACAAACAUUGAUACAUGCACACACCAUGAUACAAAUACACACACUGACAUAAAAACACACACAAUGACACACAGAUGCACAUACACAGACACCUAUCAUGACACACCAAUGUGUGCAGCCACACAAACACACAUUGACACAGAAGCACACUGACAUAUAUGCACACACACAGAUGCACAAUCUGACACACACACACACAUCCUGACAAACACACAUUCAUAUAUACACACAGACACUCAUACACACACACAAGUUAUAUUUUUAAUAUAUCCAGCCACCCUCCUGUUAGCUUACCUUUUGUGUCCAGGAGGGUGGGAGUGAGGGGUCUGGAGCUCUUUGUGCUCCUCUCCCCUCAUGUUGCGGCUGCCUCCUCUCCCUCCUGCAUGACGCUGGGAGGAAGUGACAGGCUGUUACUUCCUCCCAGCCAGCCGACGUUACAGGGGCCCGGGGAAACAUUCCGUGGCACACAGUUUGACAAUUGCAGUGCUAGACUAUAACUCCUUCCUGUACAAGUCAUGUCAUUCCUGAAAAACAGUGUGAGAUUGUCCUCAAGUUCAGUGGUCAGGUGUUUAUGAAGUUUUCACAUGUGCUCAGGGGAAUAUCAGUACUGCAUGUGGAUAUCUCAGAAUCACUGACCCUCUGUACCUCUUGGUAUGUAUGUAUCUGGGAAGAGCUUCCUUCACUACUUCCUUCUCCACAAUUUGGGUCUUUACAGAUUACAGAGAAAGGAAUUGUUUCUGCCACCCAAGCAUGAACUGUUCUUGAGACCUAUUUUGUCAGCUUCAGUCACUGCCUAAGACAAAGGUAGCAGGCGAACCAAUGGAUCUUUUUAUGACUGCCCCUGUAGACUCUGGCUCUGCUACAAAAUACUAUCUUGCCCCCAUAUUAGAGAGCCUGCUUUCAAUGAGGGGUUUUAGCAACCAGGAGACAAGAUACACUCUUGAAUCAGACAUAGCUUUAGCAAUGCUUAAUUAUUUUGAAGAAAUGGUCCAAAACAGUAGCAAAGCUACAUGCUUCAGACACAGAUCUAAUUACGAAACAGACAUAAGGUCUCACUGGGUCAUGUAUCUCUGUAUGCAUUGUCUAAAGAGUAUAACCUUGUCACUUCCAGACGGGCCUGGAAUAGAUUGCAAACCCCUUAUGCCAGAGCCGGGAGGGUGCUCAUUCUUCACUGCUAGAAGUUCCACACUUGAAGCAACUGUCGGUCGUAUAUACAUAUUUUCCUCCUCCGUAACCUUUUAAAACCGCUGUCAAUCAGCAAAGCCCCUAGAGAAAUAUAUAGUGACUUGCAAAGGCUCUGGGUACCUGAGGCAGAGCCGGAGACCAACUGCUUAAAUCAAAGCAGUGAAGUGGUGAAUACCGACAAAAAGGGGACGUGAAUCCUUGUUCCUUUCACAGACACAGUGAUUACAGCCUGAGCUAAUGGUGAUGUUGUGUUGCUGCGAGGGGCCUUUACAAGCAGUGCAAGCUUGGGUUCUUGCAAGAAUGUGUGUACACAGACAAGGCAGUUAAGCAAUUGUCAGUUGGAAGUGCUUAUUUAUGGAGUGAACUGUGAGACUCCGUCCUCGUCUUCCUAUAUAUAAAUUGUGAAAUUUCUUAACUGCCUGCAUUUAGUAAAUGAGUUUGUUGACAUCCCAAUUUUUCAUACACGUAAGCUGUUGACAGAUUAAUGUCUCUGAAGGUUACUUGAGAUAAUAAAAGAAACUUAGUUACUUAAUAUAUUUUCCCUUCAGUUUAGCCCCAGUGAACCUGCAAAAUGAAAGUUACAGAGUUCUGUCGGAGAACCCAUCCAUCACAUUCAACCUUUCCAAAAUGGAACAAGGGGCUAACGCUCCUAAUGAACCUUUCGGAACAACAACAUGAAAAAACACUUUAAAAUUAUUUUUUUAUUUACACUUCUACUAAAAGGUGUAUUGUCUAAUUUAAAAAACCUUGCAAUGAAGAUAGUUUUAAUGUUCUCAAUGAACGGACGGUUAGCAGUAAAUUUAAACCUAUUGUAGAACACAUAAUCCUUAUUGACAAAACUGGGACAUAUGGGGAACGUGAAGAAAUAGUAAGAAACUGGUAAAAUGACCUGUCUGUGGGAUGGUAAAGAUAAAAGGGAUGGGGGUAUCUACUUCUGUCCUGUUUCACGUUUCUUACUUUGGACAUCUUCUCUCCCUUGGCAUGCCGCGAGCCACGUCUAUAAAACAGACGUAUUGAUGAUAGCUUGUAUUUAUAGUUAGAAUCCUUAGUCUGUUCCAGCAUGUUACAACUCAUCCAGAACUGCAUGUUUUACAGUCCUCUUUAAACCCACAGUCUGUAUCUUUUGCCUUAGAAAAUGUAGUCUGUACCAUCUGUUUUAGAACCUAUAGUCUGUUAUGUUUUCUUUAGAACCCAGCGUAUUGUCUGCUUUAGAACACACAGUAUACACUGCCUGCUUUAGAACCCACAGUAUAUACUGCCUGCUUUAGAACACACAGUAUAUACUGCCUGCUUUAGAACACACAGUAUAUACUGCCUGCUUUAGAACACACAGUAUAUACUGCCGGCUUUAGAACACACUGUAUAUAAUACUGCCUGCUUUAGAACACACAGUAUAUAAUACUGCCUGCUUUAGAACACACAGUAUAUACUGCCUGCUUUAGAACACACGGUAUAUAAUACUGCCGGCUUUAGAACACACGGUAUAUAAUACUGCCUGCUUUAGAACACACAGUAUAUAAUACUGCCUGCUUUAGAACACACAGUAUAUAAUACUGCCUGCUUUAGAACACACAGUAUAUAAUACUGCCUGCUUUAGAACACACAGUAUAUACUGCCUGCUUUAGAACACACAGUAUAUACUGCCGGCUUUAGUGCACACAGUAUAUAAUACUGCCUGCUUUAGAACACACAGUAUAUACUGCCUGCUUUAGAACACACAGUAUAUAAUACUGCCGGCUUUAGAACACACAGUAUAUACUGCCUGCUUUAGAACACAUAGUAUAUAAUACUGCCUGCUUUAGAACACACAGUAUAUAAUACUGCCUGCUUUAGAACACACGGUAUAUAAUACUGCCUGCUUUAGAACACACAGUAUAUACUGCCUGCUUUAGAACACACAGUAUAUACUGCCUGCUUUAGAACACACAGUAUAUACUGGCUGCUUUAGAACACACAGUAUAUAAUACUGCCGGCUUUAGAACACACAGUAUAUAAUACUGCCUGCUUUAGAACACACAGUAUAUACUGCCGGCUUUAGAACACACAGUAUAUACUGCCUGCUUUAGAACACACAGUAUAUACUGCCUGCUUUAGAACACACAGUAUAUACUGCCUGCUUUAGAACACACAGUAUAUAUACUGCCUGCUUUAGAACACACAGUAUAUAAUACUGCCUGCUUUAGAACACACAGUAUAUAAUACUGCCUGCUUUAGAACACACAGUAUAUAAUACUGCCUGCUUUAGAACACACAGUAUAUAAUACUGCCUGCUUUAGAACACACAGUAUAUACUGCCUGCUUUAGAACACACAGUAUAUACUGCCGGCUUUAGUGCACACAGUAUAUAAUACUGCCUGCUUUAGAACACACAGUAUAUACUGCCUGCUUUAGAACACACAGUAUAUAAUACUGCCGGCUUUAGAACACACAGUAUAUACUGCCUGCUUUAGAACACAUAGUAUAUAAUACUGCCUGCUUUAGAACACACAGUAUAUAAUACUGCCUGCUUUAGAACACACGGUAUAUAAUACUGCCUGCUUUAGAACACACAGUAUAUACUGCCUGCUUUAGAACACACAGUAUAUACUGCCUGCUUUAGAACACACAGUAUAUACUGGCUGCUUUAGAACCCAGCAUAUUGUCUGCUUUAGAACACACAGUAUACACUGCCUGCUUUAGAACCCACGGUAUAUAAUACUGCCGGCUUUAGAACACACAGUAUAUACUGCCUGCUUUAGAACACACAGUAUAUACUGGCUGCUUUAGAACCCAGCAUAUUGUCUGCUUUAGAACACACAGUAUACACUGCCUGCUUUAGAACCCACGGUAUAUAAUACUGCCGGCUUUAGAACACACAGUAUAUACUGCCUGCUUUAGAACACACAGUAUAUACUGCCUGCUUUAGAACACACAGUAUAUACUGCCUGCUUUAGAACACACGGUAUAUAAUACUGCCGGCUUUAGAACCCACAGUAUAUAAUACUGCCUGCUUUAGAACACACAGUAUAUACUGGCUGCUUUAGAACACACAGUAUAUAAUAUUGCCUGCUUUAGAACACACAGUAUAUACUGCCUGCUUUAGAACACACAGUAUAUACUGCCUGCUUUAGAACACACAGUAUACACUGCCUGCUUUAGAACACACAGUAUAUACUGGCUGCUUUAGAACCCAGCGUAUUGUCUGCUUUAGAACACACAGUAUACACUGCCUGCUUUAGAACACACAGUAUAUAAUACUGCCUGCUUUAGAACACACAGUAUAUACUGCCUGCUUUAGAACACACAGUAUACACUGCCUGCUUUAGAACACACAGUAUAUACUGGCUGCUUUAGAACCCAGCGUAUUGUCUGCUUUAGAACACACAGUAUACACUGCCUGCUUUAGAACACACAGUAUAUAACACUGCCUGCUUUAGAACACACAGUAUAUAAUACUGCCUGCUUUAGAACCCACGGUAUAUAAUACUGCCGGCUUUAGAACACACAGUAUAUACUGCCUGCUUUAGAACACACAGUAUAUAAUACUGCCUGCUUUAGAACACACAGUAUACACUGCCUGCUUUAGAACCCACGGUAUAUAAUACUGCCGGCUUUAGAACCCACAGUCAGUAUAGUCUGCUUUAGAACCACAGUCUGUACUGAAUGCUUUAAAUCCUACAGUUGUUAUUAUCUGCUUUAGAACCCACAUUCGGUGUCUCUUUUAGAACUUGUAGUCUGUUUAAAGAUUUUGGAGUCUGCUUUGGAAACUUCAGUCUGUACCACUGAUUUUGCUGUCUAUUUUUUAGAAUUCACAAUAUGUAUUGUCUGCUUUAGAACUUGCAAUCUGUUUUGUUUGUCUGCUUUAGAACCCCCAUUCUGUACUGUCUGCUUUAGAACCCCCAGUCUGUACUGUCUGCUUUAGAACCCCCAGUCUGUACUGUCUGCUUUAGAACCCCCAGUCUGUACUGUCUGCUUUAGAACCCUCAGUCUGUACUGUCUGCUUUAGAACCUGCAGUUGGUUUUCCAAUAAUACAGUAUUUACAGUAAAAUGUACUAUGGAACCCAGCCAGUUCUACAAAUCUAGAAUCCCCAGUCUAAUCCUGAAAAUGUGGCUUUAAAGCAAUCUGUAAAUAAUAAGACAGUACAUUUCUCUGUUUGCUUUGUUCAGUGUUUGUUUGUUUGUUUGUUUGUUUGUUUUUUGCUAGCUCUUUUAGGAGAGGAUUGCCUGCAACUCACUUCAGUUUUAAGGUUACCCUGAUUUGCAAAACAAGUGUGGGGAUCAUUGCCUGUAUUAUACCAACACUGGAAGUUACAUUAGUUUACUUUGAAUGAAUACCAAUUAGCUUCCCUUUUUUCAAAUCCAUUUUACAUGGGAUAGUGUCCCUUUAAUUUCAGAUACCAUCUGGUGUCCUUAAAGACAGAGCAAUGAUCUCCGUAAGGAGUUGAGGUUAAUGGAACUUUUCAGACGAGAUAAUGACAGGUGAGGUGUGACGAGGUGGCAGAGUCACUGUGAUCCCUUGAACACAUUAUGUGCAUGAUAAGAAGGGUUUUUGUAGAGCGGCGAAGGAAGUGUGUCGCGCCCCAGUUUUAUAAUUGGCAUGUUAAAUAUUGCAGGGAUUUUUGUAAACCGGACAUGGCGAACCGUAUGAUGUUUCGAGCAUUGCUGAUUUGGAAUUGCUUAGCAUGCAAUAUGCGUAAUGUUCUUACAUGACUGCAGAAUAAUUCCGUAUAGCCGUGGCAUUUUCUAUUCACUGUAUACUUCUAUAUAUUUUAGAUUUUAGUUUUUCGAAUCCUGGCUGCUGACCUAUAAAAACAACAGCAUGAGGAAAUAGGAAUUUUGCAUCUGUCUAUGUAUAUAUAUAUAUAGUUAUAACGUAUGGAAGAUAUUAGUAACCAGGGUAUAUAUUUAAUGUAAAGCAUUCAAGUUUGUUAAUAGGAUAUUUAAAAGCACACUCCAGGCACCAUAACAACUUCACCAGAAUAAAAUAAAGUCUCAGCGUCCCUGUUCAAAGCUUCCUGUUUGAAGACUUGGACUGUAGUCCUAGUUCUGUGGCAGAGCAGGCCAGCAAUGGACAAAGAUUUGGGGUUUAACCCGUGAAGGUAAGCAGGCACCAGGGACCUCCUGACACCAUAACAACUUAAUUCCAGUGAAUGGUGCCUGAACUGUCCCUUUUAUAAAUGAUUUUACUAUUACAAGUCACUCCAGGCAUGCAGGGUAAAUCACUAAAUACUGUAUUUUGUCUGGGUGGAAAAAAUCAGGUGAAAUUGACUGAAUAUUCUUACCAGAAUGACCAAAAUGACAAUUUUUAGUAAAGUUGUUUUGCAAGUAAACAAUAAUUUUAAGUACUUUUUGCAAAUAGAUUUAAAAAGAGGGUUAUGUUAUGUGGUGGCUGGCCGGGCCCCUUUGUAUAAUAAGAGCCCCCACCUGAAACCAAUGGCUUGGAGCAGGGUGGGGGCACUAUAUGCCCCCUGGGGUGUAUAAUAACUUCCACCCAAAGCCAAUGGGAGGGGACUGACGGGGAUAUGUUAAUAAGCAGCUCCCCGCCCUGACCAUUAAAAGAUAUUGGUAUUCAAUAGAUACGUAGGGGGGACAUUUAGUAGAAAUAGGGGCAGAUGAAGUUUAAAAACCUCGCUUAUAGUAAUAUGGCAGUUAUAUUGACCUUCCAAUAGGCGUAUUUAUUUAUUUUUACUUAAAUGUGGUGGCCGGCCAGCAAGCAUGGUUAACGCUUGCAGCGUUGGAGUGCCAGUGGGCAAAUAGUUCUGAUUAUUAUUAUUUUUUUUUUUAUCUUUUCCCAGAUUUGUAGGAUUCAGGACCGGAUUUCAGCUGUCUUGCAGUGUUUCACCCAGCAGAAAUUCAGACCUAAUUCAGGCUCGUUCGAAGACUAGCAAAUUCCGGACAUUGAUAAAUAGCAUGAACAAUGUCAGGAUUUGCCUUGUUCAGUGCGGAACCAUUCGAACUCUAGUGGAUUACCCUGAUAGUGAUCUUAAUUCAGGUUUAUUUAGGUUUCUGAAUAAGAGACCUAGAACAACCAGAGACCGGCCAAGCCGUCUACACAUUAUACAUAGAGAAACUUUGUUAAUCAUUUUACAACUGGCUACUAGACAGCUGUGUAGCGAUUCCUGAAAAUGAGAUCAGCUGACAUUUAGAGUUUUUUCCUCUUCUCAAAUAAAGGGUUGUAUAUUUUCAAAGGUGCAUAGUUAUAUCCGUAGUACGUGUUUCUGCUGUUUAGUACACAAAACACAAGUAUUGGGUGACCAAAUAAAGUAAUCUGAUGAAAUAAGACCAUAAAAAAGCAGCAGCGGUCCACAAAGACUAAAUUCUAGCGUUGUUGUCAGAACACAAUGAAGGAUGGGGUGCGCUCUUGUGGUUUUGUUGCUGCAGUUUCAAUCGUAAUAAUGUCUGAUAAAACUUACCAGGGUCGUUAGGUCUGAUACCCACCUCCUGUCUCCCUUACGUAGCGGGUACUUCUCAGGACACUAGUCAGGAGAACUCGCCACCAGCAUAUAUCUGUGUCUGAGACUGCAUUCAUCAUCUGUCUUCUUUAUCAUCUUCUGUACGACCCUGUUUUAUGAAAAAGGAGCUACUGAUUGGCUUAGAACAUCAGCUGACCUCGCUAGCCAAUCCGUUUCGCCCCUGCCAAGACGCACUCCGCAUUUCCUGUAACUGUAGUUUCAGAAGCCGGAUGACGUCUGGGGCAACAGGAGAUCAGCCCUGGAGGCAACCUUUUGGGUUAAACCGUUCAAGAAGGGUUUAACCACUUAAAGUAAGAGAGUGCCUGUGGGCCUUCUGGCACCAUAACAACUUUAUUUAUAUUAAGUUGUUAUGGUGCCUCAACCAUUCCCUUAAUUAUUGGCUAUUAACAAAUGCACAUUUUGUUUCUGGUGACCUGGUGCGAUAUGCUUGAUAAAUUUGUAACAUGAGCGGACAAGGUCUCUUUCCAAUAAUCAGGAAUUGGGAAAAGCUACUUCUGCUUGCAUAAUUGGGAUCUUUAUGAUAAUUUUUUGGUUAUUUUUAAGUUUCACAUGUGACCUUCCAUAGUGCGUGAGAGAUACUGCAUCUAGGUCUUGAUGGAAUCCUUCCUGUAUACCUGGGAAGGUUGAUACUUUCUAAGUUCAGACAGUGUUUAGCUGAGAGAAUAGAUUUACUGCUCGCUCCUGCUAUAACCGAUGGACAAUUAGAGAACUACAUGGAUGACGGAGCCUAAGCCAAGGUUUUUCAGAAUAAAUCACCUUGUCACUUGCAGGUACAGAAGCUAAACUGUCUUGAAGAUUCAGUACCAGCAUUAUUGAUAUGUAAAUAUAUCCGAUUCCUAAAAUGUGUUUUAUUGGAGCAAUAGUUUGAAACACUUAGAGGGGUGCCUUAAUUUAACGCUUCAUAGCCUGCAGGUAUUUGGCAAAAAUACAGAAAAUAUACACUGAUCGGCCAAAACAUUAAAACCACCUGCCUAAUAUUGUGUAGGUGCUCCUCAUGCUGCCAAAAAAAACUCUAAUGUGUCGAGGCAUGGACUCCACAAGACCUCUAAGAGUGUCCUGUGGCAUCUGGCACCAAAAUCUGCAAGUUGUGGGGUUGGGUCUCCAUAGAUCGAUUUUGUUGUUUCCGCACAUACUACAGAUCCUUAAUCAGAUUGAGAUCUGGGGGAUUUGGAGGCAAAGGCAACACCCUGAACUUUGUCAUGUUCUUCAAACCAUUCCUGAACAUUUUUUGCUGUGCGGCAGGGUGCAUUAUCCUGCUAAAAAAAUGCCACGGUCAAUCUUUACGUAGGUGGUACAUGUCAAAGAAACAUCCAUAUGAAUGCCAGGACCCAAGGUUUCAAGCAGAACAUUGCCCCGAGCACAUUACCUUCGCAGGCUUGCCUUCUUCGCAUAGUGCAUCCUACUGCCAUCUCCCCCCAUGCAAAUGAUGCACACGCACCAAGCCAUCCUCCUGAUCUAAAAGAAAACGUGAUUCAUCACACCAGUCAACCUUCUUCUAUUGCGCCAUGUUCAGUUGUGAUGCUCACGUGACCAUUGACGAUGGACAGGGGUCAUUAAAAGCACUCUGAAGCAAUUUGCAAUACACUGUGAGUUCUGACACCAUUUUCAUCAUGGCCAGCAUUAGGUUUUUCAACAAUUUGAGCUAAGGUAGCUUUUCUGUGUGAUCAGACCACACAGGCUAGCUUUCGUUCCUCACAUGCCUCCAUGAGACUUGGGACCCUUAUCCUGGUUCACUUGCUGCCUAAUAUAUCCCACCCCUUGACAGCUUUCAUUGUAACAAUAUAUUCAAUGUUAUUCACCAGUGGGAGGGGGGCCGGGGCUAGAGUUCACUCUCGUGAGAUCUGAUCUCCGACCUCGCGAGAGCUCCACCGGGUUCUCUCUUCCUCCCUCCCAGCUGGCGGUCGCAUGUUACUGCCUGUGGGCCGGUGAGGGAGAUCUUUGAUAGUGCCGGCUCUGCAUGGGCCGACAGGGGAGAUUCUGUGAUCGCCCGGUAUGCCCGAUAGCUAGCCCGUGCCUCACUUCACCUGUCAGUGGUUUUAAUGGUUGGCUGAUCUGUGUAUGCAGAGUUAUUUAGAUGUAAAGUAAAAAAGAUAUCACUUGCGUUUUUGUUAGUGUUGAUAACGAUGAUUUAAACAAAUUCUUAAGUGUUAUUAAAUAGAUAACAGGCAUGCAUACUGGUUUGCUAUAAUUAAGUUGAAAAAACAUCUAUUCAGAAAUGCAUGUUAUUAUAAACUGUUAGCAGUUUGGCUCACACCUUACAUUGACGAAAUGUUCAUCUGUAUAAAGUGACACUAAGUCAUGUUAUGUUUCAUUUGAAGAUAUUGGCUUGGCCUCAAGAAUACUUACAGUGAGAAUUGUUGGAAAUUCAAAGUAAAUUUGAAAUAAAUGUCAAAUUUAAAGCCAAAGUGGAAAAAAAAUCGCUCAUUCCCAUGCAGUCUCACUGCUCAAUUCUCUUCCAUUCACUUGUUGACUCACACAACUUAUUAAAAAAAAAUGGUUCGAUUUUCUGUCAGAGCUGAUAACACAGUAUAUUUACUUUAGAGGUUUUUUAUCUCCUGCUCUGUUAAUCGAACCUUAAUCACUCACAGGUGGCUACUGCAGACUCUAGCAGGUUAUUAAAGGAGCAGGAGAUAAGAAAAGUCAUAUUAAACAGACCGUACAAUACAGGAAGUUUAAAUAUUAGAUCUCUCUUUACAGGCAAUAUGUAGGGAGACUGUGUAGGUCACAUGCAGGGGAGGUGUGGCUAGGGCUGCAUAAACAAAAUGAUUUAACUCCUGAAUGGCAGAGAAUUGGGCAGUGAGACUGACAAGACAUGAUGUAAACACCAAAACCACUCUAUUAAGCUAAAGUUGUUUUGAUGCCUAUAGUGUCCCGUUAAAUUUGAAUUUCAGUUUGAAUUCCUGACAAUUCUCACUUUAGAGCAUUAACCUCUUAGCAAAAGUUGGGAUUGUCAGAAUGUUAUAAAUGUUAGUGCUAUUUAUUACACUAAUAAUAGUCUGUUCCCUGUCAAAAAACAGUUAAGGUAGGGAUAACAUUUCCUGUAUAUUUUUAAUUGUUUAGAUACUUUUUACAGAAUAGAGUGGAGAUGAAUGGCUAAGGAAAAGCUGAGUGGGUAAUAAAUGGCCGAUCAGGCAGUGUUUCAAUCUUGAAGGUCUGUCAGAACAGAAAUUGUAUUAAUUUGUGCAAACCUAUACUCAGUAACUGUCUUGUUCAGAGUAGGUAUUAACAUACCUCCCAAACUUUCAUGUGGACGAAGAGGGAGACUUUAAUUUUAGGGGGGUGACUGGAGGAGUGGCCAGGGGCUGUUCUUGUGUGGGGGGAGGUCUUUUCUGAGUGGCGGUGACUUAAUAAUAAAAAUUCAUAGAACUAAAAUUUAUGAGAAGAACAAUGUAUCUUAUUUACACAGACUGAUAUCUGAACACAUUUAUUGCAUUACUGGGAAUAUUAUUGCUGUGGAGCUCUGUUAUACACACAGACACAUUACUGGGAGUAUUAUUGCUGUGGAGCUCUGUUAUACACUCAGACACAUGACUGGGAGUAUUAAUGCUGUGGAGCUCUGUUAUACACUCAGACGCAUUACUGAGAGUAUUAUUGCUGUGGAGCUCUGUUAUACACUCAGACACGUUACUGGGAUUAUUAUUGCUGUGGAGCUCUGUUAUACACUCAGGCACGUUACUGGGAAUAUUAUUGCUGUGGAGCUCUGUUAUACACUCAGGCACGUUACUGGGAAUAUUAUUGCUGUGGAGCUCUGUUAUAAACACAGACACAUUACUGGGAGUAUUAUUGCUGUGGAGCUCUGUGAUACACUCAGACACAUUACUGGGAGCAUUAUUGCUGUGGAGCUCUGUUAUACACUCAGACACAUUACUGGGAGUAUUAUUGCUGUGGAGCUCUGUUAUACACUCAGACACAUUACUGGGAGUAUUAUUGCUGUGGAGCUCUGUUAUACACUCAGACACAUUACUGGGAGUAUUAUUGCUGUGGAGCUCUGUUAUACACUCAGACACAUUACUGGGAGUAUUAUUGCUGUGGAGCUCUGUUAUACGCUCAGACACAUUACUGGGAGUAUUAUUACUGUGGAGCUCUGUUAUACACUCAGACACAUUACUGGGAGUAUUAUUGCUGUGGAGCUCUGUUAUACACUCAGACACAUUACUGGGAGUAUUAUUGCUGUGGAGCUCUGUUAUACACUCAGACACAUUACUGGGAGUAUUAUUGCUGUGGAGCUCUGUUAUACACUCAGACACAUUACUGGGAGUAUUAUUGCUGUGGAGCUCUGUUAUACACUCAGACACAUUACUGGGAGUAUUAUUGCUGUGGAGCUCUGUUAUACACUCAGACACAUUACUGGGAGUAUUAUUGCUGUGGAGCUCUGUUAUACACUCAGACACGUUACUGGGAGUAUUAUUGUUGUGGAGCUCUGUUAUACAGUCAGAUACACCAACAAUAUGGAGCUCCCAGAAAGGAGAGCAAAUUGGAGAGAAAAGAGGGAUUUGAGUUCAAAAUAAGGACUUCUGCUCCUAAAUAGGGACACUUGAGAGACAUUUACUUCUGUGCGGGGACAGGGGGCACUGGUUUAUCAAUUUAUGACAAAACAAAAAUCCAAGGGGAAAUAUUUUUUUGUUCAUUUAACCGGUCCUGUUUUAUUCCAUCCACCUGUGCCCACUCUACCCCUGUAGGAGGCAGGAAGGGAAGGUUUGCAAGACACUGAAUAAAUAAAUAAAUAUACAUAGACAUUUAUAGCCAUAUCACAAUUGCUGUGAUCAGUGUCAUAAUUUUCUUAUCCCGUCGAAUGACGCUUGAAAAGACAUUUAUUGAACUAGCUCGAGUACAGACAACUCAUAAAUUCAGCCGCAUGUAUAAUUUUAUACCCAGAAAACAGCAUCCCAAAGCACAGAUUUUCAUGAAAAUUGGCACCCAUAUGAAACAGAAAAUUACACCGGAGUAGUUAAAGCCGUGUUUAAAUGUAAACAUGAUUAUAUACAAUUUUAAUGAUAGAUUUCCUUAAUAAAGCACCUCUAGCCAUAGCCGCGCAUUAAAGUUAAUCUUCUCAGGAUGGUACCUGCAUUGUAACAUCUACUAAUUAUCUUUGCAACGCUAAACUGAAUUCUCAGGGGUUAAUUUACUUUUCUGAGCCUCUGGCUUAUGGAGUGUGUGGAAAGAAAGAAAAGGGACCUCAGGGGUUUUAGUAAAACAAGGAGAACAACAAUUAUUGCACUCCAAAAAUAGGUCAACAACAGGUAGUCUUGCAUUUUGUUCGACUUCUAACGAAUCAGAGGCUGUCUUUCUGUUAAUUUGGGAAGCGGUGGAUUUCCUGUAUUUUUCAGUCUAUGCGUGAUUAGUUCUGUACGACCUUGUAUGUAACAAUAGGUGGAGGGUUUUCAGAAUGAGUCUUGUGUCUGCACUCACGUUUAGUAGAGCUAAUCUGCUGCACCUAUUCAUAAUCUGCAUACCUCACAAAUGUUCACUUUUGAAGAUGAUGCCUAAAUCCCUCUCUCUGCCUUUUGUAAGCGACGAGAAAAUGGAUUUCAAUAUAGUUAUAAACUUGAAGUAAUGUGUAUUGAGCAUGAGUGUAUGACAGAGCUCCAUAGCUAUACAACUCACAGUAAUGUGUACUGUUUAAGAAUAUAGCAGAGCUCCACAGCUAUAAAACUCACAGUAAUGUGCACUGUUUAAGAAUAUAGCAGCGCUCCACAGCUAUAAAACUCACAGUAAUGUGCACUGUUUAUGAAUAUUGCAGAGCUCCACAGCAAUAAAACUCACAGUAAUGUGCAAUGUUUAUGUAUACCGCAGAGCUCCCCAGCUAUACAACUCACAGUAAUGUGCAAUGUUUAUGUAUACCGCAGAGCUCCCCAGCUAUACAACUCACAGUAAUGUGCACUGUUUAUGUAUACCGCAGAGCUCCCCAGCUAUAAGACUCACAGUAAUGUGCACGGUUUAUGUAUAUCGCAGAGCUCCACAGCUAUAAAACUCACAGUAAUGUGCACUGGUUUUGAAUAUGCAGAGCUCCACAGCAAUAAAACUCACAGUAAUGUGCACUGUUUAUGUGAUCGCAGAGCUCCUCAGCAAUAAAACUCGCUGCAAAGCUUGUUUCAGCUAAAGUAAAUAUAUUCAUAAUUUACUUUUGAGCAGAUGUCUAACACUAGCUUAUUAUGUAUCCCAAUAAUUUCUGGAAAUACUUUAUCCUUAUAGCCAAACCCCCUAACUACCUCCUCCCCCUUAAAACUGUAGCACGUCUCACAAAUUCAUCUCCUUUGGAGUUUAGUCACUGAACUGUGUACUAGGGAAAUUUGCAAGAAUUAGGACAAAUAUGUUGGAAACAUUUUACUAUUUAGCUGAGAUAGGAAUAAAAUUAUUUGGCCUAAAUUUUGCAAUUCCGUUAUCUGUUUACCACAUCGGUGGUAUGUAUACUGUAUUCUUAAGGAAUGGAAUAUGUGUGUAACACAUGCUUUUUUAAAAGGUUUUCCAAAGUGUUGUGAAUGCGUCUGAAAAACACUAAAUUCGCUAAGUUUGGUGUACAACCUCAGAUCAAGUCUGUUUGGGCAACCACUUAAUGUUGAGCUGUCAAGAGUAGACGGUCUAUGAACAUGGUGACUCAUUAGUUUAUGACCAUAGAUGGUUUUUCCCUGUAGACUUGUUAUGCUAGAACAGUGUUGCAAUUUGUGAAACAAUCAUCCUGUAGAACCAGAUGAUUGACUAGUUUUUUAGCCAUAGAUCUCUGAUCAAUACUAUUGAUUUUAGAGCAACUCUGCAAUAUCUGGAAGGUGGCUGUUUAGAAUUUUGCCAUUGAAAUCUGAUUCUUGUAGACAACGGAUGCCUCAACAUUGCCAAAGUUCUACUGCUCUGCUUUUAGUGAACCAGUUCUAAUGGACGAUAUACCCAGAUACUAGUGAAUUAGGAAACCGUUAUUGCCCAGGGACGCUGGGUAACGUAAUCCACCUUCAGGGAUAUUAAUAUUUCAAUGUAUUGAGGGUAUUUGUGGUCUAUUCCAAGUCAUUUAGAAAUAACCAACAUUUGUUUUCUUUUCAGUAGUUACCUACCUCUCCCCACAUUAUCAGUCUACUGUUUUUAUUUUUCUGAUUGGUUUCCAUGUUCCUGUGUUUUCUGGUUUUCUUUAUAUUUUUUCUAUGAAAUAUUUAGUUUAUUGCUAAAAUAAUGUUUUAUUCACCCGUGUUCUCUCUCCCUAAAACAUUAACUGCAUUUGCAAAAUGUUAACCAAAAUUAUUUUAAAAAAAAUAAAUGAUCCAAUAAUUAAAUGUGAACGUAGAACCUGUUGUGGUUCCAUUAAAUAGAUUAUUAAGAACUUUACAUAUAAGUAAAGUGUGUUAAAAGUGAAUCUGAAACCAUUAGCCAUUUUCACUUAUUAUAAUUCAAUGAUUGGUGCUCCUCAUGCAUCAAAUGGUGUUUUAGGCAAAUUAAGCUCUUGCGUUCAACUCCGUAGGCCUUACGAUGAAUAAAGAAACAGCAAUCUCUGUAAUCUAAUAACUUAAUAUGGUAAUUCUUUCAAAUCUGCUUCUAACACAACCUACUGGAGAAAGUAUGCCCACGUCCGGUCUAUAUUAAAUCCUGAUGUUUUAAAAGUUUCUAUUGACUUGAUGAGAACUUAACCACUUUUAUCAACCUCUCGUCUUUUUCUACAGAUAAAUGGGAUAUACACACAAAGUAUCCAUAAAGUAUCCAUAUUGAUUUCCAUAGUAAAAACUCUUUGCCCCAUGCCAUCAGUGUUUUUCCAAAGAUUUCGUAUUAUUAUUAUUUUUAGCAUUUAUGUAAUGCUAACAUUUUUCUCAGCACUUUACAUAGUUACACAGUUACAUAGCUGAAAAGAGACUUGCGUCCAUCAAGUUCAGCCUUCCUCGCAUAUGUUUUUGUUGAUCCAAAAGAAGGCAAAAAACCCAGUCUGAAGCGCUUCCAAUUUUGCCACAAACUAGGAAAAAAUUCCUUCUUGACCCCAAAAUAGCAGUCAGAUGUCUCCUUGGAUCAAGCAGCUAUUACCCCACUAAAUAGAAAUUAUAUCCCUGUAUGUUAUGUUUUUGCAAGUAUUUAUCCAAUUGCAGUUUAAACAUCUGUAAUGAUUCUGACAAAACCACCUCUUCAGGCAGAGAAUUCCAUAUCCUUAUUACUCUUACUGUAAAAAAACAUUUUCUUUGCCUUAGAUGAAAUCUCCUUUCUUCCAGCCUAAAUGUGUGACCUCGUGUCCUAUGUAUAGCCCUGUUUAUGAAUAGAUUUCCAGAUAAAGGUUUGUAUUGGCCCCGAAUAUAUUUGUAUAAUGUUAUCAUAUCCCCUCUCAGGUGCCGUUUUUCCAAACUAAACAGAUUUAAUUUUUUUAACCUUUCUUCAUAACUAAAAUAAUAUAUAGCAAUUCCCAAGUCCUUCUUGUGUGUGGAUUUGGGAAUUUUAGGGUGGGGUAUAAUCAUUAACCUUAAUAUUAGUUAACAGGAGCAGAAGUCAAAGAGGGCCCUUGCCAAGUGAGCUUACAGUCUAAAGGAGUUGAUGUACUGGAAGAUAUUUGGAGGAACAUCUUAAAUCAUUACUACAGUCCUGUGUUUAGUGCUGUUAAAAACGUGCACAAUUUUAAAUAUUUCAAAACAUUAACGAAAGCUUGCUGCCUCUGUACAUCUCAAAAAAACCUGUUUGUGUGGAACUUCAAAUCUACAAUCUACUUUAUGUCUAUUACUAGGCUAAGGGAAGUACGUCUUAAUAUUUUAGUACUUUAUUUAGUGUCGACCGUCCAAGGAUUCUGUAAGGAUUUGCAAACCUACAGCUGUUGGUUCUUUGCUUAUUGGUGCAGUGCAGCCAUUGCUAUGCAUGCACACUAACCACUCAAUGGGGAAGCAUUGGAUUGGCUGAGACCAAUGCUCUGUGUGAAAUAAGUCAGCAAAUAGCAUUUUUGUAAAAUAACUUUUGACAAUAAUCUAAAUCAUUAUACUAACACUGUAGCUUUAGGAAUACAUGUUUACGUGCUAGAGUGUUGCUUUAAGGUCACAAUCCAGUUUAGUUCUGGCACAACCAGGGCACACAGAAUGGAGGAGGAUAAACAAACACAUUGUAUUGAUCCUGCCUAUUGAUCCAGUUAUUGGUAACAAGUUAUGAGGCAGUCUCUAUGGUGACUGCAUGCCUCCCGACUGUCCCACUUUCGGCAUGAGAUUUGAGAUUUUGGGGUCCUGUCCUGCUCACGCUGUGGGCAUUAGGGCCAUGCCGGGGGUGGUUCAGCAGUGGUCUUGAAUGCUCGGGGCUAACCAGGCAAACUGUAAGGUGUCGAUCCCACCCAUUUUGCAGCCUGGUCCAUCACCACAUUUGGACAGGAGUAGGGAGUCGCUAGUGACGUGGCUCGCAUCACCGGUGGCGCCCUCACACUCAAGACUCUGCCCACCAGUCACGAGUUGCAGAACCAAUAUAUGCUGAGAGGUAUGUGACUGCCAGGUACAAAGGAUGGUUUUUAAUGAAAAGAAAUGGCAGGGCUUACAACAAUAAUCGACAUUUAUCCCAGAUGGUUGCACUCAGCGUCUACAUUUUAUUGAAAUCACGUGUAGUUAAGGGUUCACGUUUGAAAUUUAACGAACGUGUUUACUACCUCCUCUGGCACCUGUAUAUGUCCGCUGACAUCUUUUAAAGAUGACUUCACUGACUCCGCUCUCCAAGACUAACCCUGUCACUUGUGGGACCAGUCUAACUCUGUAUUUGUUUCCAUAAAAAGUGACCGUCUGUCCAUACUGAUGGUGUAUAAGCAGCCAUGAUCUGCGGGGUCAUUUUGCUCUGAAACACAAUAUAGUAUUCACAAAAUAAAUUAUGUUUAAAUUCACGUGUACAGUAUACUUCGGAAAUAAAAAGAGCCUCAACUGGCACUUUAAAAAUAUUUUCUUUGCUUCUAAUGGCUGUUACCUAGGUUACUAGCGAUUAGGAGUUUGCUGUAUAUUAUUACUUUAACUGUUGCUGCCGAACUGAAAAUUUAGGGGAGGGAAAAAAAAAAAACAAGGCUUUUUUUCCCCCCUAAAUAAAUUAAAUGACAAUUUAAAUAUCUGUUGCCAAGAACUUUAGUUUGUUUUGUUUUCCCUACGCAGUAAAAUUGUAUUUUAAGCAGCUCUUCACUGGUGCAAUGGAUCCACAUAACGUGAUUUGUCAUAUGAAGGUGUCCUCGCUGUAAAGUUUCUGCCGUACAUUGCAGUAAUUAUCGCCAACAGCUGAGACAAUUGUGUCUACUGUUUGAGAAACCUGCAGACAAGAAACAGAGCAUGUACACUAGCCAGACUGAGAAAUAGAUUCAUCUACAAUGAGUUUUUCGAUUGUGCGUAGCUUCAUGCGUUUUUUUCUCUUGCGCUACAUGUAGCAUAACGUUUGUCAAGAAGACAUAAUCGUUAGUUUGUUUUUUUCCUCCCUUUUUUAUUUCUCCUUAAUGAGCUGACAACAUUUCAUGAUUGGGUAGCUUUUCUCUCUCUAUACAUAUAUAUAUAUUUAAAAUGUAUUUAUGGAACAGGCUGUUUUCUCAGAAUCCUCAGUUUUGCUCUUUUCACCUGUUCUCUCGUUUUGCUAAAUGUUUUUAGGCUUAUAUUUUAAGUAUGCACUAACAGUCUUUGCUGAACCCCUGGGGAAUGGCAUAUCGACAAAAAAAAAUCCAAAUUAACCAAUUAAAUCCAAUUAAAUCCAUUGAAAAUAUAUUUUCCAUUAAGACUGAAGGAAAAAACGGAGAAUCGAUGACCUAGGUAUGGUAAGUGGUCACUGUUGUAUUUUAUAAAUUGGCCCUUCCUGGGUGGUAACUGUUUAAUGCUACCUUUAUAAAAAGGCAACUUUCGAUUUGUUCAUGAAGAAGCAAUUCUUUUGAAGACCACAUUUCAUGAUUUAAAAUUUUUGCAAAGGUUUUUUUUUUUUUGUCUUAGUGACUUAGGAUGAGUGGACAGAUUCUCUUGUACUAUUGGUAGGUUUUCAGAUUUCAAGAUCAACUGAGAAUAAAAUCUCCUUAUAGAUUAUUCACAGACAAAAGUAUUCCUAAAAUGUAAAAGUCUUAUUCUCUUCUUUAAAAUCUGAAAAUAGCGGAGGGGUUAACAGUAAAAAAGAAGGAGGCAGGCCCGAACUGGCAUAAUGAGAGGUGACACCUUGUUUUGCCCCAAUUUCCAUGUCGGAUCAUCCAAAGAUUGCUGCUACAAGGUGGUUCAAGGCACAAAAUGACCCUUACACGUGGUCCACUGAAGAUUUUACUGUGCGUCCGUGCAGCCCUGUUUGUGAUCCCCAGGUAUUGGGACUGAUUAAGUCCCUGUGUAAUUUCACAGAUCCUGUUUUAAAAAAAAUUAAACAGAAUUAAACAUUUUAAUAAGCCCUUUUGUUCACUUCACCAAUUUAUCCAUUUAUUUAUAGUAUUUAGCGGACCAUAUUUUUGAAAGGUUGUUGCAACAUAUGUGUGCACUUUGUUCUUGAAAUACACAUGAAUCCUGACCGUAAAUUAAAACGGGACAAGAAGUCUACGAGUACCACAGAAAGAGGUGUGAUAAAAAUAAUAGUUCUUAGCAACUCUGUAUCCAUGAAGCCAGCAGGACUUUUAAAUUGGUCUGGCGCGUGGAUCCUCAGGUGAUGCAUAAAUAGAGCAAUCAUAAGCAGAGUAAACAGUGGUUGCAGAAUAUGCUGACAAUCGGCUGACAAAGCUCUGCUAAUGAUAGGGAAGACAAUUUUCGGAAAGCGCCAAAACAAAAAGAAACGUUCAAGCUCGAUUAAUAUCUUGAAUAGCACUUGUUGGCGUGUCACCCGGCCCUGCACACAAUAAAAUAGUUCAGCUAAUCUGUCAACAGCAAUUUUAACACUUAUUAUAUAGCAAUGGAUGAUGGAGGUGACAGAACUUCAUUCAGAUUUGACCUGGAUAAUCAAACCUUUUUUUUUUUUUUGCUAUUGUAGCGCAAAAUCAGUCUUGGAAAUUUCCUGAGCUGUCUCUGCGAUUCUUUCUCCCUUCCAUGUAGUCUGUAGGAGACAGUCCUGAUUACAUCGUUAUUGACUCGCUUCUUGAGAACCCCCAAAUUAGAAGUGUGGCUGGAUGGUAAUCUAUAUCUAAACAUGCCAUGGCUUCGUGAUGGACUCCCCAUGUGUGGUCAUGGUCAUAGCUCCCCAAAUCCUGUUUUACUGCAGGGAGAAGUUAGAAAGCAUGACAUUCUUAACACAUGUUAUAGUUACCUCUUUAGAGGGGAGCUCACUCCAGGAUUUUUAAUACUAUGUUGACUUAUCCCCUAUACUUAGAGGAACACUAUAGGGACAGGAACACAAACAUGCAUUACUGACUCUAUAGUGUUAAAACCACAAUAUUCCCCCCUCUUGCCUCCCUAAAUAUUGUAAAAUCUUACUUGUAUUCAAGUCUGCAUGUGCUGACUCUGCCCCUGUUUGCCUUUGACCUGCCUGCUGUCUGCUGACAUCAUCAGAAGUGGUGGUCUGAGCCAAUCACAAUGUUUCACCAUAGGAUUGGCUGAGACUGUCAGAGAGGCAGAUCAUGGGCAGAGCCAGCACAAGUCAAACACAGCCCUGGCCAAUCAGCAUCACCUCAUAGAGAUUAAUUGAUUCAAUUAAUCUCUAUGAGGAAAAUUUGGUGUCUGCAUGCAGAGGGCGGAGACACUGAAUGUCAGUUACACUAUGCAGCACUGCCCCAGGAAGCACCUCUAGCAGCCAUCUAAGGAGUGGCCAGUGAAGUUAUCACUAGGCUGUAAUGUAAACACUGCGUUUUCUCUGAAAAGACAGUGUUUACAGCAAAAAGCCUGAAGGGAAUGAUUCUACUCACCAGAACAAAUUCAAUAAGCUGUAGUUGUUCUGGUGACUAUAGUGCCCCUUUAACACUUUUAUGUAUUUGUGACGUUUAAAAAAAUAAAAUUAAAUGUAUUAAUUCCCAAUACUAUAUUUACCUCUAUCCUGGAUCUGGGCACCUCCAUCCUUGUCAGCCAUUCCUAUAAGUUCUGUUCUUCUCACUGGUCCAUCAGCAUAGAUCGAGGACCAAUGCAGCAUAUGCCUUGGCUGUUCCAUGACUAAACUCGAUUGUGUUGGCAAACGCUAAUUAUUUACAGAGAUGAAAAAGGUUAACACAAGUUAUAGCAGAUUUUCAGUGUUUUAUUGAAUGAUGUAAUUUUCAGGAAAGUGACGAUUACUCUUUAUCGCAACGUGAUAGUGCAAAUAAAAUGACAGAACCACUUAAAGUGGGAACCCAUAUAAGAAGCAUAUUUGACAAACUGUAAAGCGACAGAGCUUAAUUGUCACUUAGGAUCGAUUUUUGAUGUAAACAUGGUUUGGGUGACAUUUCUGCUUUAAACAAAUGUCACACUUGUCGUACAAGUAACUCCGGAGCAGCCUGUACCCCUCAUCCCGUACCCUACAUUACCUUGCUCGUCCCGCAGAGCUGUUUAACAUGCAGCCCCCUGGGGUAGGAUGUCAGAAACCUGAUGUCAAUUAUCUCACUCCUAGCAGGCCCCAAGAACAGGCGAUUAGAGGCUGGAGAUGUGGGAGAUUCGUAAUCUGUCGGCUCAAACUGACAAACACGCAUUUCUAAUCACACGGACGCUGUAAGCGGUUUUCUCUUAGUGAAUGGGACUUUUCGAGUUGGUUGAUGAAUCUUAGCACAAAACCUGCUAGGCUCUCACAUCUGCAUUUUGUAUCAGUGCGAGUGUUUAUCUCACAUACACACAUGGCCUUAGCUCAGAAAUAACGUGCGGGUCGUUCUUCAGUAAAAAUAACUCCUUUGAUGCUUUGCCUGCUAUGUGGCUGGGCAUAAUGGGAGUGUUACCUCUCCAGCUGGUCUCAUAAGCUACCACUUGGCUUUCUGGAGCGAAAUGCUUAACCCUUAAUGUGCCGGGGUGAAAAAUGCUUUGACUAUUCUUGAACAUUUUAUAGAUUUGAUGGCAGUCUGCUUAUAAAAUGAGCUGAUCUAAAUAAGCAGGAGCACCCCAAAGUAAGGGGUUAGCCCCUAACAUCGUUCUGACCACACAACUUGAAAACAAUGAGUGUUUCAGUGGGAGUUAGUGACUAAAACCAAGAUUGCAUUAAUCACAAUGAAACAUAACUUUUAUUAUAACACCCUAAAAAUACUCCCGUUAUAAAAAAAGUUAUGUUUUAUUGUGAUUGAUCCAAUCUUGGUUCCACUCAUUUUCUGUAACUAACCUUUUGUUACUAACUUGUUUUCAAGUCUUGACUAGCAGUGCAUGAUGGGAAUGAUAGUCUGAAAUAGUUAUAGUGAUAAAGGUUAGCUGUGUUCUGUCAUAUCUGAUGGUCCAUGUAAUAUUUUGUGGGGAAUUAAAUAGAGUAUAAAUUAAAUUAGUUUGAAUAGGUUUGCCACAUUUUGUCUCAAGGCUUUUCUACAUGAGCAGAUGUUUUUGGUGGGGCUGGUCACCUAGUUUAGGGUGCAAAACCCGAGACCCUUAGAAGACCACUUGUGAUGGCUGGGACUCGUUAAUGACCAGUCCUACUUUUUUGAGCUUGAAACCUGUUUAGAAAAGGAAAUGUUAUUACAAAGAGUAGAAAACCAAUAAUACUGACUACUGGACGGGGUCCUAAAGCAAAGGUUAGCAGUGAUGUUGGAGUCUUAAUCAACCUCACCUUUACACAGAACCUGUUGCUGUCUGUAUGGGACAUUUACCAUUUACACAACCUGUACGUGUUGUGGUUUGCCUAGUGGACCCCGGUGAGAUGGUUGGGGUGGAGACAAUGAUGUUUUAAGUUCACCCAAGAUAUGUUCGUCUAUCCGUCUCCCUGCCAUCCUGUGUAUUACAGCUUUCUGUGUCUCUAGUUGGAGUGAGAAAAGUUAUCCUUCCAUACUUCUGUACGAUAGUCUGACGUGGUCAAUCCCUAGCGGUAACAGAGAUGGUUUGAAGGCACUCCUACCCAGUCUAAUUUACUUAUCUUAACUCAUCACCAUCAAGUUCCUUCUGUCUUCCCUUGAUCCCUUUCAUUUCUUCUUUCUUGAGCUCCCCCAUUGUUCGUCUUGUCUCUCCCGGGCACUAAAGGCUUAAUAUCGACACUUUCUUCAUCCAGUGAUGGAUUUUUAAAUGUUGUAGAGCGGCGCAGGAUUGCACUGUGUAAUCUUGUAUCUGUAACCUGUGCAAAUGAUAGAAGUGGAAGCAUAGGUUUUACUAUAAAGCAGAGAUAUCAGUGAUGGGUAACAUUGGUGGACCUGUUUUCAGUGUUUUGGAGAGCAAUGUAGGUGAGAGGAAGCUACAAUGUGAUAUAAUACUCCUGGUUAAGUCAAACAGACUUUUAAUUUAAUGAGAUUACUAAACGAAAAAAAAGAUGGACCUUAAAAAGCCUAUGACUAAAAAUUACGGCCAAAAUACGUUUGUUUUUUCUUCUUUUUUUUUUCUGAUAUCACAGUGUUAUGCUAAAAGCAAUAUGUAAUAAGCAGACUCUAGUCCAGAAAUUCCAGUAGAAGGUACUCUCAGAGUAUUGCUUUCUUGCCAAUGGGUUACUGGAGAAAAAGAUUGUCAGCAAUCAUGUUAAUUAGAACCGAUGACGAAAUUAAAUAAAAGUUAUAGUCCAAAAAAGUAUUGCAAUUUAAACAAAAAUAUGAAAAGAGUGAGAGUGGGAAAUGUGUUCUGGUAAAAGCAUUCUAGUUUACUGAUCAAGUCUAGUUUGUUACUUGGUUUUUGUAGACUGCAGUGUUUACCGACCAAUAAAGUUCAUUUUAUUCACACAUGCAAUACGUGUUACAUCACGUAUUGCAUUAUUUUCAUUCUCCCCCUUAAACGCACACUAGAACUUUGGCUCCUUAGCCUUAUCUGACAGGGAACAAAAUUAUGGGCAUAGCUUUAGCUUGGCGACCUUGCGUAAAAUUAACUCAGUAACCCAUUCCGUGACUGCAAUAUAAGUAACAUUAAAAUCAAUUUAGCAAUACGCUGUAAUUAGACUCUUCAUAAUGUAUUGGAAGAGGGGUCUCUGUUGCACCGUGGAAGCAAUGCAAUUUAUUGUGGACAGUUACAUGGAACAGAGACAACAUUUGUUGGAUCUCUUCCUAAAACUGGAAAAUCAUUGCAAUAGCAAGGGUAGCUUAUUCAAAUUUGGGUUCUAAACCAGGAGUUGACUAAUCGUGUUGCGGUCUGUAGCUCCAACUGUGCACAUCUAGAAACAGGAGUGUCGGAAUUUUUGUACGGUCACAGAUGAAGAGCUUGCCACUUUCUCAGCCCGGCUAUGAAAAUUUUAAGAACGCACACUGCAUAUCAAACAGACGGAAAGUUUUAUUGUGCUAUCCACUUUUGAUGGACGCUUGUACCAAAUUACCCAGCGGAAUAGACGCAGCAGUACUUUCGCAAUAAAAAACAAUAAAAGUGAUGUUACUUUGAUAUAUUUGAAGCCUAAUUGUGAAGAGAUGUCAAGCUUUCACUCCGCGGGACGGAGCCUGUUGAGUGAGAAAGCAGACAUAUUGUCUUCCCAGGUAAUGUAAUUUGGUCGUAAGAAGUCCUCUUCAGGCAGGGGUAAAUUAAAAAGGGAUCUCAGCGCCCUGAAAGGCUGCAGAUCUAUCUGUUCGUCUUUACUGGUCUCAAUCAUUGUUAAAACUUGAUUUUUAGUGUUUAAAUAUUAUUUAACUAUUUUUUGCUUUUAAAAAAGGAUUUUAAAGGGAGUAUGUUUGUUCAAAAAUGCAUUAAAGGUUUGCAUUGCCGCCAUAUUUGGGAGCAUACUAAAUGAACUGGCGCUGUAACCCUACAAUAGUACCAUAGUAACUCCAUAACCGUAGAAAUAUUACACAUCGACCACCACGAAGAUAUACAGCAUUAUUCACUAAAAUGAGAAUUGUCUGGUUUUCAAAAUGAAUUCAAAAUGAAUUUCAAAACAAUCACCAAAUCAGCCAUGUGUCCAUAACCGCGUCAGUGUAAGAACAUCUGCAUACAUCUUGAGUUUCCUAAAGGAAAUCGUUUGAUUUGGAGGGAGUGUGAAAAUUUUUGUUUUGUUGUGGUGCAUUACAACAAAUAUAAUUUACUGCGAUUUGAACAUACUUCACUAUUCGUUUUAUUGAUACGCUCAUGGACACUGCACAUUACUGUUAGUGUGAUUGCUGUGGAGCUCUCUGAUACUCUCUAAAUCGUUCUGAGUUUUAUUGCUGUGGAGCUCUGUGAUACAUUCUUACACUCUGCAAAUUAAUGUUAGUUGUAUUGCUUUACUGUGAUAAGUUAGUUCAUAAUAAAUGAUAAUCUAUACAGGUCACUGUAGUGUUUAUGGUGCCUGCAGUGUGCUUGCAUUGUAGAUAAUCAAACCGUUUUAGAAUGAUUUGACUUAAUUCUUCCUGGGGUCUGCUAGACACCAUUUCCCACCCUCACUGCAAAUGACAGAGAGCAGUCAGUUGACACUCACUCAAUGAGCUGACUGUAAACUCCAGGGCUUAGCCCAAGAGAGCUAACUGAGCUUCCUGGCUCUUUGUCAUUAGUAGCAGAUUCUCAGCAGACCCCAGACCAGUUCGACUACUUAGAAUGGGGGGCGGGCGCCGAGGCACUCCUGACACCAUAACCACUACAACUAGCUGUUUGGUUAUAAUGUUAGAUUAGUUUCUUUGAAUAUUGUGAGAAAGGAGAAGGAAGGACAAUUGUAUAAAAGCAGGACAUGUGUUGGUUAUGUAUUCGUGGUAAUUUUCGUCCAUUUCUACUUGGAAAUCUUAUUGCAACAUUUCAGUGUUUUAAGAGCAGUGCACGUUACAAAAAAAAAUGUAUGAUGGAGAAUAGCACAAACUCUCUGUAAUACUGACAUGAGGACUGAGACCCUCAGUGCACUUUACAAAAAAAUAAAUAGGGGUUUAUUAUAUAAGGGUUUAUUAUAUAGGGGUUUAUUAUAUAAGGGUUUAUUAUAUAAGGGUUUAUUAUAUAGAGGUUUAUUAUAUAGGGGUUUAUUAUAUAGGGGUUUAUUAUAUAGAUGUUUGUUAUAUAGGGGUUUAUUAUAUAAGGGUUUAUUAUAUAGAUGUUUGUUAUAUAGGGGUUUAUUAUAUAAGGGUUUAUUAUAUAAGGGUUUAUUAUAUAGGGGUUUAUUAUAUAGAUGUUUGUUAUAUAGGGGUUUAUUAUAUAAGGGUUUAUUAUAUAGAUGUUUGUUAUAUAGGGGUUUAUUAUAUAAGGGUUUAUUAUAUAGAGGUUUAUUAUAUAGGGGUUUAUUAUAUAAGGGUUUAUUAUAUAGGGGUUUAUUAUAUAGAUGUUUGUUAUAUAGGGGUUUAUUAUAUAAGGGUUUAUUAUAUAGAUGUUUGUUAUAUAGGGGUUUAUUAUAUAAGGGUUUAUUAUAUAAGGGUUUAUUAUAUAGGGGUUUAUUAUAUAGAUGUUUGUUAUAUAGGGGUUUAUUAUAUAGGGGUUUAUUAUAUAGGGGUUUAUUAUAUAGGGGUUUAUUAUAUAGGGGUUUAUUAUAUAGGGGUUUAUUAUAUAGAGGAUUAUUAUAUAGGGGAUUAUUAUAUAGGGGUUUAUUAUAUAGAGGUUUAUUAUAUAGGGGUUUAUUAUAUAGGGGUUUAUUAUAUAGGGGUUUAUUAUAUAGAGGAUUAUUAUAUAGGGGAUUAUUAUAUAGGGGUUUAUUAUAUAGAGGUUUAUUAUAUAGGGGUUUAUUAUAUAGAGGUUUAUUAUAUAGGGGUUUAUUAUAUAGAGUUUUAUUAUAUAGGGGUUUAAUUCUAUACUGGCAGUUGUGUCAGCCACUAGAGGACAUUUCUGUGUUUAUAGAACACGAAAAGUGUUUUAUAACGUCGCUGGGGUCCUUACGCUGCGUGAGGACCUCCAGCGUCGCUGAAAUUCCCAUAGGAAAGCAUUGAAAACAUUAUUCAAUGCUUUCCUAUGGGGAGGUCUAGUGCGCGGAAUUGCCGCGCAUGUGCAUUAGGUCUCCCCCGCCGCUGGAGGCGCAUGCUCAAUAGGUCUCCCACACCGGAUGACGUUGGCGAGGGAGGAGCAUGGGCGGACCCUGACCCAGUGCGAGGGACAUCUUUGCUGCCUCUGGUAAGUCACUGAAGGGGUUGUAACCCAUUCAGCAACCUGGGAUGGGGGUGGGAGGGAGAGGGGACCUGCAGUGCCAGGAAAACGGAUUGUUCUCCUGGAACUAGAGAGUCCCUUUAAGCCAUUUCUUUGAGCUGAAUUUAAAGCUGAAUGAUUACUUAUUAAGUCUCUGUUAAUCAAUAAAGUUUGUAUCAGUUAUUUACAAGUAUUUGAUGUCAGUGUUUUUCCCUUUCUCAAUUCACUCAUCCCGAAUAGGGUUUCGGUGCUCACCAAUAUCUUUAAAAACCUUUGGGUAAUUGGUUAUUGCUUUUUGAUAUUGGUGCUUCAUGAAUUAAAUGAUUAGGCACAACACUAUCCAUCUAUCCAUCUAUCUAUCUAUCUAUCUAUCUAUCUAUCUAUCUAUCUAUCUAUAUCUCUGUCUGUCUAUCUAUCUAUCUAUGUAUCUAUCUAUCUGUAUCUAUCUAUCUAUCUAUCAAUACAUUAUCUGUCUGUCUGUCUGUCUCUCUAUCUAUCUAUCUAUCUAUCUAUCUAUAUCUCUGUCUGUCUAUCUAUCUAUGUAUCUAUCUAUCUGUAUCUAUCUAUCUAUCUAUCAAUACAUUAUCUGUCUGUCUGUCUGUCUCUCUAUCUAUCUAUCUAUCUAUCUAUCUAUCUAUCUAUCAAUACAUUAUCUGUCUGUCUGUCUGUCUCUCUAUCUAUCUAUCUAUCUAUCAAUACAUUAUCUGUCUGUCUGUCUGUCUGUCUCUCUAUCUAUCUAUCUAUCUAUCUAUCUAUCUAUCAAUACAUUAUCUGUCUGUCUGUCUGUCUGUCUCUCUAUCUAUCUAUCUAUCUAUCUAUCUAUAUCUCUGUCUGUCUAUCUAUCUAUCUAUCUAUCUAUCUAUGUAUCUAUCUAUCUGUAUCUAUCUAUCUAUCAAUACAUUAUCUGUCUGUCUGUCUGUCUGUCUCUCUAUCUAUCUAUCUAUCUAUAUCUCUGUCUAUCUAUCUAUCUAUGUAUCUAUCUAUCUGUAUCUAUCUAUCUAUCUAUCUAUCUAUCAAUACAUUAUCUGUCUGUCUGUCUGUCUGUCUCUCUAUCUAUCUAUCUAUCUAUAUCUCUGUCUAUCUAUCGAUCUAUGUAUCUAUCUGUAUCUAUCUAUCUAUCUAUCUAUCUAUCUAUCUAUCUAUCAAUACAUUAUCUGUCUGUCUGUCUGUCUCUCUAUCUAUCUAUCUAUCUAUCUGUCUUUUCUCAUACCCGCUGUAAGUGUAACUGAUAUAUAUAUAUAUAAUCCUUUCUGCUAUUUAAACAAAGGCUAAUUACCUCCAAUCCCCGUUUAAUUGGAUGCCUUAUUUAGGAAGCAUAGCUUGCUUUAGGUGCUCUAACAAAACUGAAAUGCAAAACUUGUUUGUUUCCGUGUGAAGUGUUUUACCUCCAAUCGUGCUUUGUUACUCAUUUUGUAUCACGCCGGCCUUUCUUUCUGUCGUUCCUUAAUCCUUUUUUAUUUAACAGUUGUACUCUGUUGAGCAAACCAGCUACUGUAAACAUGAGAUGUCAUGUAACUAAUUUUCACAAAAGCUCAGGGAGUGCAGAGAUAUUAAUCCAGACAAAGACGCUGGGAAUAUAGAGUCUCACUAAACGAAAUCGAGGGCUGGAACCUACACUGUCACAAACCACGCUAAAAACUGCUGCCCACUCUUUGUAUGAUGGAGAAUAGCACAAACUCUCUGUUAUACUGACAUGAGACCCUCUCACAGACUGCCACCGGGGACUAAGACCCUCUCACACACUGCCACCGGGACUGAGACCCUCUCACAGACUGCCACCGGGACUGAGACCCUUUCACAGACUGCCACAGAGACUGAGACCCUCUCACAGACUGACACCUGGAACUGAGACCCCCUCACAGACUGACACCUGGAACUGAGACCCCCUCACAGACUGAGACUGAGACCCUCUCACAGACUGCCACCGGGGACUGAGACCCUCUCACAGACUGCCACCGGGGACUGAGACCCUCUCACAGACUGCCACCGGGGACUAAGACCCUCUCACACACUUCCACCGGGACUGAGACCCUCUNNNNNNNNNNNNNNNNNNNNNNNNNNNNNNNNNNNNNNNNNNNNNNNNNNNNNNNNNNNNNNNNNNNNNNNNNNNNNNNNNNNNNNNNNNNNNNNNNNNNCCCAUUUCCCACACUCCGAUUCCCCUUUUCCCACUCCAAUUCCCCUUUUCCCACACUCCGAUUCCCCUUUUCCCACUCCAAUUCCCCUUUUCCCACACUCCGAUUCCCCUUUUCCCACACUCUGAUCCCCCAUUUCCCACACUCCGAUCCCCCAUUUCCCACACUCCGAUUCCCCAUUUCCCACACUCCGAUUCCCAUUUUUUCACUCUCAGAUGCCCCAUUUCCCAUACUCCGAUUCCCAAUUUCCCACACUCCGAUUCCCCAUUCCCCACACUCCGAUUCUCCACAUUCACACUCAGAUCCCCCAUUUCCCACACUCCGAUUCCCCAUUUCCCACACUCCGAUUCCCCUUUUCCCACACUCCGAUUCCCCAUUUCCCACACUCUGAUCCCCCAUUUCCCACACUCUGAUCCCCCAUUUCCCAUACUCCGAUUCCCCAUUUCCCACACUCAGAUUCCCCAUUCCCCACACUCAGAUUCCCCAUUUCCCACACUCAGAUGACCCAUUUCCCACACUCCGAUUCCCCUUUUCCCACUCCAAUUCCCCUUUUCCCACACUCCGAUUCCCCUUUUCCCACUCCAAUUCCCCUUUUCCCACACACUCCGAUUCCCCACAUUCACACUUAGAUCCCCCAUUUCCCACCCUCCGAUUCCCCAUUCCCCACACUCCGAUUCCCACAUUCACACUCAGAUCCCCCAUUUUCCUUGCUUUCCUCUUUCUUUCCUCAGACACUGCCUCCCUCCUACCCCUUUGUUUUCUCAUGUUAUUCGACAUGCACACUGCCAUGUUCCCCUCUCUCUGCCCUCCAGCUCAUUUGUUGUUUUCCUGUUUAUAAUCCCCCUCUCUGCUUUCCCCAUCCGUCUCUCUUUCUCACCGUUCACUCAGAUAUUCUUUCAGGUUUUCCCCGGAGACCCCCCACCACCUCGCCGCCUCCUUCAUCCUAUCACAGCUCUCUCUCAGACUCAUAAUCUCAAUUACACAAAGACAGAGUAAUGUCACAGGGCAGUCGGAUAUCUCAUGUAAAUACAUUAGGAAGUUAAGAACAAACAGGUCACGGAUAUAUCGAGUGUCGAGGAUCGGGCUGAUCCCAGUAAAGCAGAGAUUGGCAGGACUAAACCUCUAGUCUUUCUAGCAAGAUACACUGUAAGGUUUUAUUUUAUCCUGUCAUCUGUAAUUGUACGUAUUCUCCCACACUGGCUGUAAAAUGGUGCCCUGGCCUAGUGUGCUCGCUGAAUGCCACAAACCCUGGAGAUAUUAAACAUUGUAUCUCCAACUAUCGCUAUUGUGCAGCUACCAUAAUCCUUAGCAGUAGCCUGUAUGUAGCUCAGAGAUCUUUGCAUACUUAGUCAUAUUUGGACUAAAUGGUCUUUGUGGGCCCCUAGCCUGAAGAGAUAACAAAUAAAAAUCACCAUUUAGUAGAUAUACAUCCAAUGAAUGCAUUCAAUUGUGCUUCCUCCAAGGGGAGGGGGGCAUGUAUAAAAUAGCUUCCAAACCUGCAGAUCUCUUGCCUGCAGCCUUUGCAAGCCCUCCCCUUCUAACCCCGCCCAGACUUUCUGUGGCUCUCCAAUCACAGACGUUCCAAUGCAGCUCAAUGAGAAGUCAUUGCAAGGCAGGUGCCAGACACGCAUUUUGAAUCCUCCACUUUAUUUGAAAUGGGUUUAAUAAGACUGUAUAUCCUGUAUGCCUCAUUCCAAUGCUUCUAAUCCCCUGUAGUAUUUUGACUUUACUGAGGCCACAUCCUGUACUGCGUGAAAACUUUUACCUACUUCAUUUGGGGGUGAUGGAGAAGAACAUUCAGAAGAGUUUCUGAGGGGGCGUGGCUUGACUGUGAAGCUGUACAGACGAACAAGCCAAGAGUUCCUGGGCCCAGGGCCAAUUCCGGCUAAAAUCGGGGGCAAAUUAAAUAAUCCUGAACCCUAACUCACCACAAUUUGCUCCGCAGACACUUGCGAAAAGGUGGAUACCUCACAUGCCCAGAAAAACCACCGGAAUGACCAAGCUGAGGCCUUGGGCCUAUACCAAGCAGGGCAAGGGAGAGGCAGCCGCUCUCCUGACCCACAACCACACGCAGCACCCACAGUAAAUGGCUGUCCCCCCCCCCAGGACUGGUGGGGGUUAUCCCGGUCCCAAUCGUCUCGACUGGCAAGCCCCAGUGGACCCUAAAAGCGGACAUUAGCCCCACUCACGCACCAAACUUACAGGCAGCUCGCGCUUUGAAAUGUCGGACACGCAGACUCAUGGACAAUUUGGGCCUCCACAACAAAACCCCACCACAAAAGACUCUCUCAAUACCCGCCUAGACAAGCUGUUUGAGGCCUUCUGGGCAUGGAUCGCGGCCCGACACAAGGCAGAGCAAUCAAAGCUGCUGGAGAACGGAAGCACGGAGGGCCAACAAGGCGCCAUCGCCCGAAGUGGGACCAGGCUGCCUUCGGGCAAAGCCGUGAAAACACAGUCUAAGAAUCUCCACACCAGCCCAUCUGGGCCGAGGGCUACCAGGGGAUCAACCCCUGAGCAUCGAUACCAGGGGAUCAACCCCUGAGCAUCGACCAUGCAGGCGGAGACCCACCCGCCGACGGCGGCAUACCACCAACUCCAGGGUCUCCAGACCAGUCCUGAAAGGGAUGGACCCGGCCUUCACAAGUCCCUGAGUCCGUGGCCACAGGAUGCUGGCCCUUCUACAGGCCCGGAGCGAGAGGGCGCCACCGGUUAGCUCCUGGCCGACCGCCAACCUCCACAAUACCUCACACAAUCGCAAGAAAGCACAGCAGCAUGCGCCCGCGGCGAAGGCUCUAACAUGGAUGGUGCACAAGCAGCAGAGUCCAAUGAAGCUGUCAGCAACACGGAGGUGGGAACCACCGAAGAGCAGACCUCAGCCCUGCAUCAAACCUUGCAAGCCAUGCCUUGUUCCUGACCACCGAAAAGCACAGCCUCAAUCCUGGGACUCAAACCCCGGCACACUCCAGUACAGACGGGACUUUGCUCAACUGAAACGAGGCAUAGGGUGAAUGUUUUGUUCCACUACCUUUCUUGAUAGGGGGGACCCCCUGGGGAAUCGCCAUAGCAUGAUGUGCCUCACACAUAGCCGGUUAACUGCCUCUUACAUGUUGACUCAUUUUGUUUAUCAUAAAAAUGGCUACCAUAUAGUUGAUAAUCCUGAUUGCUAGCAAUGUUUUACUUACCUAUGCUCAGAUCUAUGAUUUAGCCUGCUUACUUAAACCAUAAAAAAUGUGCAGUUCUUAAUAUGCCAUGACACUGUAUUUACCUGCGAUUUUGCAAUAUGCUUGCCAUGCUGUCGUGGCAUCACAAGCAAAAAUUUUACUAUAAAGAAUAAAAAAAAAAAAAAGAAGAGUUUCUGACUCUUAAUAAAUUAAUAUUCCUUGUUAUGUUUUCAAAAAAUUUCAGAAAAUAAAAAAACAUUGUCAAAAACAUAAAAAACAUUUACAGCAUGGCUCAUGCAGGGAUAACAUAACCUCUUUGGAUGCGAUAUAUGAACAUGAUUGCAACAGUGAAACACAGCCAGAAGUGUGAGUUUAUACAAGCGUUAGUCCUGCACUUUAUUGGACCUUCUCUCUCAUCAUAAAAACUAUCAUUAGAACUCCGACUCGAAAUCAGGACUGUUCUGCCAGAUACGGGCCAGCUGGCAGGUAUAUUAUGUCAAUUAGCAACUUACAUACCACUGACAUUGUUACAAUAUACUUUUAUUUUACUAUAGAAAAUAUAUCAUAAGAGUAAUCAGACCCGAUACACUGAUUAUAUUGUUUUUCAGUAAAUAUUAUUCCUACAAACAUAAUCCAUUGAAAAAAAAACGCCUUGAGAGCAUGGCGAAUACAGAAAGUGACUUUUAACCCCUUUUUAUUUAUUAGCAGACAUUAUCCAGAUGACAAUGAGUACAGUCUAUAUGUGGAAAACAACGGAUAUUUGAAAGAGAUGAUAUGAAAAUGCUGUGAUAAAUAAUGUAGAAUACGUGCCUGUUAGUGAAUUGACCUCUAAGAAACCCCACAAUUGCUCAUUAUAAAUAAUACUCAUUCAAAGGGUUAAAUCUUCCACUGUAAAGACAAGUGAAUUGAAAAACUAUAUUGCAAAAUUUAGACAGAAAUAACUGAAUUUGGAUAAGAUUUUCCAACUCUGUAGUCACAGCUUGUCUGUUUUAGCCUAAUUCAUGCAGUUCAGUUUGCAAUAUAAUACUGGAAGGGUAUCAAAGGGACUUUUACAUUUAGACCAAUAUAGAUGAACUGUCACAUACCCCCAACACUGAUUUUCUGUGAAUCGGGACGCAUUAGGCAGGGCAAAAUGAUCAGGACAGUGACGCAAAAGACAUCUAUGGUGCUGCCCAACUGGGCAUACAUGCUGUGAACACAUGCCGGUCACAUAAACCAUCUCACUGAGGGAGAGACAAUACAGGGAGCACGGUUUCAAAAGUGGGACAAAUCUAGGACGGCGUGGCAGGACCCCAAAAUCAGGACUGUCCUGCAAUUGGGAGGCCUGAUGUCAACCAAUAUUACUUGGACAUUUUUUCCUAUUUACCGUUAUUGGCUAAAACGUGCAGUUCCCACGGUGAAUACGUGACAAUUCACAGUUUAUUAACUCUAUCUCUCUGUGUCCCUAAUAAAGGGAGCUGUGUUAUCUAAAUGAUACUUUGUGCUCCCUCUGCUCUGUUCUAUGCUGUAAAAUUAGCCGGCCGUGGUGUUUUGUAAUAAGAUAUACAGCUUACUCAAAUCUAGCACAGUGGUGUGUAUAUUUAUUUAUUUAUUUAUUUAUUAUUAAUUUUGUUAUUUUUAAAAAUAGCGAUGCUGGAUCCCGAACAAAUGGUUGAUGAAUAAGUAACCAGUUAAUGUGUUCUUCGUUCUUUUGUGUUGAGAUUUUUGUUGUUGUUGGUCGUUUUGAUUGACAGAUUGUUAUAUAUUUCAGAUUUUGAAUGGAUGAGUUUGGGGAUCAGAAACCAUGUCUAUGCAGGGUUAACGUGUGUACCCUCUUUAUUUAUUUCGUGCCGAACUCCUCGUCUCUCGGAAGCUGUCAUAUUACAUAUAUCUCUCGCAAAGCUUCAUCCAUCCCCUCUGCCAAACUCACCAGAUCAAGCACGUGUAAAUCUCGGCAUUUUGACAGGUACGGAGAGAAUGCGGCACCCACGACGGAUGGAAAUAGACCCAUUAAAAUGACACACAGCGUUCUCGCUUCCUACCCCACCCCCUCCUGCCGCUUCGCCUGCACCCAGUAUUUCUUUUAAGUGCAAAUCAGGGUUCAUCUCGGAGAGAUCCGCAGAUUCUAGAAUGUAGUUAUAUUUCUGAUCUUGGCAAAUGGCUGAUGAAAUAUCUGUGCGUCGUUAUUACAGCAUUAGGAAGCCUCUUUUUAAACAUCUCCUGGCUGCCGGUUUCUGCCAAUCCAGUGGGACCUUGACAAGAUAGCAUUAAUCAAUAACCAUUUAAAUGUAAAUUCACAGCUUUCCAGAGAUGUUGACAUUAAUAUUCACAUUUAUUUUUAUGUCACCAACAGAUUCGGGCGUGCUGUACAGUACAAGUUUAUGACUUGUCAAAGCAUCACUGUUUCUGCUCAGUUAUAAAUGUUUCUGCUCAAAUGCCAAGUGUCCCUAUUUAGAAGGGAAAGUCCCUAUUUUGUCCCCAAAUCUCUGUCCUUCUUUUCUAUUGUAUUGCCACUCUGUUCUAGGAGCUCCAUAUUGUUGGUGUGUCUGAGUUUAUACAGAGCUCCACAGCAAUAAUACUCCCAGUAAUGUGUCUGAGUUUAUACAGAGCUCGUCAACGCUAAUACUCCCAAUAAUGUGUCUGAGUGGAUAACAGAGCUCCACAGCAAUAAUACUCCCAGUAAUGUGUCUGAGUUUAUACAGAGCUCGUCAACGCUAAUACUCCCAAUAAUGUGUCUGAGUGGAUAACACAGCUCCACAGCAAUAAUACUCCCAGUAAUGUGUCUGAGUGUAUAACAGAGCUCCACAGCAAUAAUACUCCCAGUAAUGUGUCUGAGUGUAUAACAGAGCUCCACAGCAAUAAUACUCCCAGUAAUGUGACUGAGUGUAUAACAGAGCUCCACAGCAAUAAUACUCCCAGUAAUGUGUGUCUGAGUGUAUAACAGAGCUCCACAGCAAUAAUACUCCCAGUAAUGUGUGAGUGUAUAACAGAGCUGCAAUAAUACUCCCAGUAAUGUGUCUGAGUGUAUAACAGAGCUCCACAGCAAUAAUACUCCCAGUAAUGUGUCUGAGUGUAUAGCAGAGCUCCACAGCAAUAAUACUCCCAGUAAUGUGUCUGAGUGUAUAGCAGAGCUCCACAGCAAUAAUACUCCCAGUAAUGUGUCUGAGUGUAUAACAGAGCUCCACAGUAAUAAUACUCCCAGUAAUGUGUCUGAGUGUAUAACAGAGCUCCACUGCAAUAAUACUCCCAGUAAUGUGUCUGAGUGUAUAACAGAGCUCCACAGCAAUAAUACUCCCAGUAAUGUGUCUGAGUGUAUAACAGAGCUCCACAGCAAUAAUACUCCCAGUAAUGUGUCUUUAGACUCUGAUAAUUGUGUUUAGAAAUCUGUCUGUGUAAAUAAGAUACUUUACUCUUGUUAUACAUUUACAUGACUUAUCAUGUUGUAAUAAAUGCUUAACGUAGGAGAUAAAGUCGCCUAAAAGACCCUGUUGUCUCAUAGGGCUAUGGGGAUUUAGGGCAGAAUGAGGGACUGCCCCUUUGAAACCAGGACACUUGGAAGCUAUGCAGUAAUAUAUCCUUUUAUUUUGUCUUCUGUAUUUUUUUUUUGUUCUGUAUUAGCCAUGUGACUAGCUGCACACAAGCUGAUUUCGAUUCCUUGGGUUAGGCAGUUUCUAGAAAUUCCCUCUGUGAAUCGGACAUCGCAGCGUCUGCCUGUUGGACCCAAUCCCAGCUUGCCGCCUUCACACUCAGAUUCAAGUAAUGUACAAGCGAUGGGUCAUCGAGUCACGCUCUUCUUACUUUAGAAAUUAUUCAGAGGCAACUGGUAGAAGCAACUCUGUAUCCAUCGCCCACUAUGGUGAGCUGGGGAGAGAGGACAAAGAGGCCAUUAGAAUUGGCUACGAACCCAUAGGAACAAAAUGCUUCAUUUGCUUUUCCUCUUGCCUCUGUAAAUUGCAUGCAAUUAUGAUUGGGGUUCGAGCACGGACAGUAAUAUUAGUGAUAUACAACAUAUAAUUAAACUCACUGCUCUAAAUGGCAGGGAAAACAUUUAAAUAGUGCGAUUAAAUUAACCAAGUCCAAAAAUCAUUCCAGGGUUUUUCUGCAAUCUCCAGCAGAACCAUAGGUGGAAUAGCAUUGCACAGAAAUACACACAGAUGCCCGACAUUUGCAUAAUAUAUUAGCGAUAUUAAAUCUGUAGAUUAUUUUAUAUUUAUUAUAAUAUUUGGGGUUUUUUUGCUUCCAGUUAGGGAGAACGCACUAUAUAUAUAUUUUUUUUAAGGAGUAGGUUUGAUGGGUUGACUGUGUGUGCGGCCUGUAGGUCGCAAGUCAUUGAACACGACCCAUCACUUUUGGAACAAGUCCAUAAAAGUAACUCGUGUGGCUUGGAUUAUUUAGCUGGAUAGAGCUAAAUCCUCUGAGACAAUGUAUAUCUGGCAGGUUUACGAUUUCCCAAUGACUUCUGUCUUUCUCCAAAUUUCAGAGAUUGGCUCACAGGCCGCUUCCCCAUGCAAAUAAAUAGAGAAUGAGCUCUAGAAAACCUAUGAGCAGGAGCUGCACCAAAGCAUCAUGGGAAAAGGAGUUAAUUAGCAUCUAAAGACCUGGACUCUUUUCACAAGGCAAGAGAGUACAGCAUCUUUUCACUGACCAUAGAGCAGAGCAUGGACACUGACCACGCAGCACAGACACUGACCACGCAGCACUGGCACUGACCACGCAGCACUGGCACUGACCACGCAGCACAGACACUGGUCACAUAGCACAGCAUAGACAAUAGUCACUCAGCACAGACACUGACCACGCAUCACAGACACUGACCACACAGCACUGGCACUGACCACGCAGCACAGACACUGACCACACAGCACUGGCACUGACCACGCAGCACAGACACUGACCACGCAGCACUGGCACUGACCACGCAGCACAGACACUGGCAGCACUGGCACUGACCACGCAGCACAGACACUGGUCACAUAGCACAGCAUAGACAAUAGUCACUCAGCACAGACACUGACCACGCAUCACAGACACUGACCACACAGCACUGGCACUGACCACGCAGCACAGACACUGACCACACAGCACUGGCACUGACCACGCAGCACAGACACUGACCACGCAGCACUGGCACUGACCACGCAGCACAGACACUGACCACGCAGCACUGGCACUGACCACGCAGCACUGGCACUGACCACGCAGCACUGGCACUGACCACGCAGCACAGACACUGACCACACAGCACUGACACUGACCGCACAGCACUGACACUGACCGCAGAGCACAGACCCUGACCACGCAGCACAGACCCUGGUCACGCAGCAUAGACACUGACCAGGCAGCACAGACAAUAGUCACGCAGCACAGACAAUGGUCAUGCAGCACAGACACUGACAGCGCAGCACAGACUCCACCAAAACAUUUGCAAAGAUACUUUCCACACAAUCAGUACUCCACACACCUCUGCUGUUAAACCGUUCUUUAUUACUGGAAGUCUAUAUUCAUUGUGCGUCAUGGUCACUUCCCCCUAUAUAUAUAUUUAAAUUUAAUUUAUCUCGUACUUUUUUCACAGUUAGUUUUUGGCACUGCCAGUUCCCACCUGUGGGCGCUGCAACUGGUAAGGCUCUGACUGUACAAAUGACAAAGCAGAACUCUUUAGAGGCAGAAUUAAUGUUUUGCUGUAGUUUAUAUCGCAAAAGACAGACUAAUAGAAAAUGCAAGCUCCUCGAUAGGAUACCUGUGUGCGUUUGUCUGUGUGUGUCUAUAUAAGUGUGUAUAUGUGCGUGUGUUUGUGUGCAAAGGUUUGAGAGCCUUACUAAUUUACCAAAUGCCAUAUGUAUAGACUAGACGUGUGAUUAUUGCGCAUACACAGGACCUUCUGCUACCACUAAUCGGCACAUGGGAGAGUGCGUAGUGGAAGCCCAUGUAUCUACUUUGGUGGAGAUACAUGUAUGGGUGACAUGCACCAUUGCUUGCCAUGCAGUGCCUUCUCUUAUUGGGACCUGAGAGUAUGCCAACUGUAUUAUAUGCAGAGAUUAAUAUUUUAUGUACUUAAUUUAAUAAGAUUUUUUUCACAUCCACAUUUUCAAGACAUAAAUAUUGGUGGUGCAUCUUGUACUUGUCCAUUUUUGUGCUAAAUAUUACUCAGUUUCCAGUGAUACAGUAGACUGUUUUAUCUUGCUGUGAUUAUCUGUUGGUUUCCGUAUUUGUAUUUUUACAUCGGGAUGCAUAAAAUAGGCAUUUAUCAAAAGUUGAAAGCCCUAAAUAUGUAUAGCUGGGAGCAGGAAACGCGUAAGAAAGGCAUUAUAGAAACUUCAAAUAUCUCCAGGGAUUUGACAUAGUACAUAGAGUGACACGUUUAAUAUAAAGAUAUCAUCUAGACUAGAGGAUGCUACCCAUAGUGGGAGAUGGGGAAUUUAGGAUAUUGUCUAAAAUGUUUUAUGCAUAGAUUUGUAAGUACAUGGAACACAGUUCAAGAAAGCUUUGGAAAACAUAUUGUACAUCAGGAAAGUUUCGCCUAAGCCGUGCAAUUCUCAGUUCUUCUAAGUUUUUGUGAAGAAUCCUGUAUGUGUUUUGGGCAAUUCUUCAUUUAGGCAUCAGACACUGAUUAUUCUGCGUUUAUAAGUUAUUUUCAUGGAGAGCGUCUGGCGCGUAUUGCCAAACGAGGCUGAGGAAAUGUCAUGGUGUGCUGGAAUAUGGAAGUAUUGUACUGGCAAGGCACCCAUCUCAGAACAUUGAUAACGAGUCAGAUCAGUUCGGAUCGGACCAUCUCUCUGUCAUCAGAGUAGCACAAUACUGUAGCCAGUACGCUGUGUAAGGAUACACCACGAUUGGAUAUGGUUUGAGAACUGUUUUUUUUAUUGGUGGAUGGUGCUAGAGUUUAUGAGGCAUCUUUUUACUGAUCUAAAUGCAACGUUAGCCACAUUUUACAUUUUCUCUUGAAAUUCAACCUUGAUUUUCCAUAAUUUCUCAAAUUUCAAUCCCCUGUGUAAAGGAAAGAGGGACUCCGUUAUACAAACUCUCGAACAUAUAAGUAGGCGUUGUAGAUAUUAGUAGAUUAAAUGCAAAUUUGUGAUUUUAUUUUUUUUUUCCCAUUAUUACUAUUAUUCUAUUAAUCAAUUUAGGUUGAAUACCAUUCAAAUUCCAUACAAUUCUCACAACCCUGAUUAUCUCACUUAUCAGAAUAGACUACAUUAGGAGAGAUUUAUCCAGACAACAUGGGCGCUCUUUUGGGGUAAAUGCUAUGUGUUAAAAAGCAUUCUAUUGGUUCCCAUGAUGAUUGCUCCUUAUUCAUCACUUCCCCCUUAGCAUCGCACCUGCUUUUGCCUUAGUAAAUCCCCCCCAUUAUUCUUGUCCUUAUCAUGUUGAAUGUGGGUGUAGAUAGUGCAUAUCACUAUGGUCUAUACAUUUUAAAUUAUUAAUCCUAUAGAUAAUUCUAAUUAGUUUUCGUCUGUAUCAAAGACCUUUUAAGCCACACCGGGAUGAAUCGAUCAUGAAUCGAGUUUUGUGCUGGGUGAGUUUUAUCUUGGUAAAUCCCAAACGAUUGAUUUGUCCGGGUGUCGAUUAAAAGGCAUUUGAUGUGGACGAACCGAGCAAAACAAAUCUUUGCUCAAGUCUAAUAAAUGCUCACAGAAGAACAUCCGAUUCAGCUGAUUGAAUACUUAUUGACCAUUACGAUGCACCAUUCUUGCCACUGAUAUUUGGAGCAGGGCGUUGCUCAGCAGAGUGUGAGUGCAGGUUACAGAUGCUCACUGGCUUUAUAUCAUGCAAAAAACACUUUGUAUCUGGUUUUAUUUGCUUACAUCCAGCCGAUGCUUUGUGGGGUCAUAAAAACAGUCUCCUAUUCUAUACACCGAGACCAUCGACUAAACGGACAGAUAUUUCUCUAUACUUCAGCACAUUUUUACGUAGAUUUGCAUAAAAGCUGGAGAGAUUUAUUGUAAGGGAGUGACCUAUCUCCAAUUCAUCUCACAUUGAUACAAUGUUCCCAAGGUGUUUUAUUAUAAUCCAUAUCUCCCUGAAGAAUCUGGAAUCCACUUUAAAUAAUACAGUCAUAUAUUAACGAUAUGGUCAUUUUUCAAUGUUAUUAUUUUAUGGCUGGUCAGACUUUUUUCCUCCUUGGAAAUUGUGAACCGGAGAACAGAACGCAAACAUAAUUUCACUGGUUCCCAGCUCUUGACAAUUUUUUUCUAUUUUAUUUUUAUUAUUUUUUUUUUCGUUUGGAUACAGAAUCCUUGAAAGAAAAAAAAGAUGACUAAAAGGUGCAUGGACAGAGAACAAAACUAACAAUGCUGCUCAGAGUGCUCCCAGCUGCAGGAGAGAGCGUUGUGAUGAGUCUGUUGCGGGCAGCAUUCUCUGAAAGAGCCUCAUUAUCUUCUGCUUGUAGAGGCUUCUAUCCACAGCGGAUGCAAGCAGGAUACAAACUUCUGAAGGAAGACGCAGCCUAGGACACUUCACAUGCAGCCUAAAAAUAAAGGCAACUAGGAUACAGCCCCCAAAAAUAAAAAAAAAUAAAAAAACAUAAUGAAAAAAAUAUAUAUAACCCGAUUAAUAAAUGCCAACGUCCAAGUAUGGAGUGAUUCCUGUCACAUAGCAAACUCUCAGCGGGAGCGAUUUAAUUCCAAGCUCUGUAACAUAUCUGCGUUCAUUGUUAGCCUGUGGAUGGCUGCGUUCUGGAAUAUAAUAGGGGCCGCGAUUUAUGUAACUCUGCACCAAAUCCAUGUUUUUGUAAUAUGUUGAAGGUGUCCUUUUAGUGGUGAAGGAAUGGGUACGGAUCAUUGGUUUUAUUGAACCAAAAAUGCAUUUGAAUAGCCUUGAAAUGCACAGCGUUUUCCUUGUAUAUCUGGAAACAGUGGGGGGUCCACAGACCUUCGGUGCCUUGUCCAGGUGCUAAAGAAAUUAAAAUGUAAUGGUCUGAAAAGCGUGUGAAGUCUUGCAUAUCUUGGAACAUUGGAAUAAAUCGUUGGGGGAAAAACAAGAACAUUGCUCCAGUCCACAAGGGGCACAAUUAGAUAUCAGUCAGACUUUGCAGUGUUUAGUAUAUGUAGUGAUAUGAUUUAGAAUGAUUUUAGAGGAAAUUAUGAUAUUGCUAUCUUACCAACCGAUAAAUAGAAUAUUGGGCUUUUUAGUCUUGCUCUUACAUUCAGAUUUAGCUAAUCGGUGACCCGUAGCGUGUAUUUCAGUUCACUUGUUAAUGACCAGCUAAUAGAACCCCAACUGAGACAACGUAAGCGCGAGUCCCUGUUUGGACAAGCUUGUGCAACUUUAAAUUCCCCCCUCCCUUCUACAAUAUACUUUGCGUUGCACCCGAGGGAAUGUUCAGCGUCUCCAUGCAGAGUGUGGAGUUGCUGAAUGCCAGCAGCACCAUCCCAGGAAGCACCUCCAGUGGCCGUCUGAGUGACUGACACUAGAAGUGUUACUAGACCGAAAUGAGAAGGCAGUUUCUACAUUGAAAAACCUGCGGGGACAGGUUAUAGACACCACAACCACUACAUUCAGCUGUAGGCGUUCUAGUGGCUAUAGUGUCUCUAUCAUAGGAUGUAACAGUGAUUGUCUUUGAUAAGAAAGGGUUAAUAAAUACAUGUGGGCCACGGAGGGUUAAUUUACAGAUGUAGGCAAUCAGCUUUUCUGUUAGACCCAAUCCUGAAUAUAAAUUACAGCUUGCUGCACCCGUCCACAGAAACACAUUACGGGAUUAGAACUGAGCCUUUCAUCUCAAAUCAUCCGGGAUCCCCAACUGCGCAGGUUUUCAACACAUCUUCACUUACCUAACGAUAAAGGGAAAUUAUACAUAGCCUUGUCUCCUUCAAUGCUGUUGGCAAAACAGCCAGUACAUGAUGUGAAUCUCCAUGUAUCCCUGUGAUAUUUCUCUUUGUAUUUCGAACACACUUUUAACCCCCGAAUAUUUCUACUUUUAUCAGCUGGAAGGUCAACAAGCAAGUAGAGUAAUGUAGAAAAGUUUAUAAAGUUCAGAGGGAAGAGUUUUGGGGACACCGGGUCCUCGGUCAGCAUUCCAACUGGCCAAUGAACAACUCUUGUUUUUUAGGAGGGGACUAGUCCAGAGCCAUUUCUACAUUUUAUAAUAUUGUACCUGUCAUAGGAAAAGCCAGCAUUACAUAUGUCACAGUAAGUUUAGUUUGAAUUAGAUGGCAUUAUUUUUUUCUUCUUUUUUUUUUUUUUUUUUUAAAUUGUAUAUUGAGUGUGCCAAAAUUCUGAUAAAAAUGAUAAAUAAUCAGAAACGCUGUUAAUUUAAAACACUACCUACUCAGAGGCAGUUAUAUGGGUUUCCUGUGGGCAGCUAGAGGUGCAUUGAUGGGCCUAAAACUGGCAGAGCUAAUAUUCUGGCUCACUAUAAAUACUGGUCAGGUUUGAGCCAAAAUAUUGCUUGUACCUUGUCUUAUGAAAUUACCCUGAACUUAAACCUGGGUAUCUGGCCACCAGUGCUGGCAGUCCUAGGCUGUGUCUGGUACUGGGCUGUUUGGUUAAUAAUUAUUGUGUGCCAUCUGUGCCGUAUCUCCCAAGUGUCCCUAUUUACAAGGGCCCAAAUCCCCCUGUCGUUUUAUGUCAUUAUGUCCCUCUUUUCUGGGAGCUCUAUAUUGUUGGUGUGUUUUACAGAGCUCCACAGCAAUAAUACUUCCAGUAAUGUGUUUUUAAACUACAAUACAAGUGUUUAGAAAUCACUCUGUGUAAAUAAGAUACAUUGUCCCUGCUCUAAAUACAUUGUAGUUAUAUAAAUUGUUAUUAGUAAGCCACCUAAAAUUUCUCAGAGCAGCCCCGUCCCUGGUCACACUCACGCUUAGCACAGCCCCACCCCUGGUCACACUCACACUCCUAAAAUCACCCUCUUUGUCCAUUUAAAAUGUAAGAAGGUGGCAUCUUAAGAUCCAACUUUGGCCUAAUUAGCAACCUUAGCAAGCCAUCAGCCCAUCACGAUUACUCGCAACAGGCUGGAUUGCAAAAUGGGAGUUGUAGUCCUCCAUCAAACACUUGUCUUCAGUUGGCUGUUUAUUCCCCCUUUCCUUUGCUAGAAAUUCCACUUCAUCUGUCCUCGUUUUUGUAUCUUUCUGUAUAUUUAUUCAGCUCAACACAAUAAUAUGUGUUGGCUUUCAAGCAUAAAAUUCUUUAAGUAGGUUUUUUUUUUUUUUUUUGAGACUGCUCAUUUUUCCCUCAGUGGCGCAGCAGGGGAAGGAGCAGGAGAUUGGGAAAGAGAACCCAAGUAUCUUAAUUCUGUAAGAGCUCACAUCAAAUUGAAUUACAGGUCUGCUGGGCUACUCCCAGAGGUUUCAUCUUGUUGCAAUGAAGUCGGUGGGAAUUGUGAUCGCUCUUAAUAUCACCUGUCUGCUCGGCUAGUAACGAGAGAAGAGAAAAGAUGAGGCAAUAGAGGAGAGAUUCAAGAAAUAAGGAUGGCAAAUCUAAAAGAGACACAAAGAAAAAAAACACGUCUUCUCAAGCAGACGCUCACAUUUUAGCACAACAUUCAAACUGUCAACAUCUGCACUCAAUUAGUAAAUAUUUUAUAGGGUCUUGUUAUCAUUUUGCCAAACCUUCUCCAAGUCUUUCCUUCAACAGAUUAGGCAGUUUGGGGAGAAUAAUGAUAGCUAAUUAUUUUGUUUAAGUGAAACCCUCAAAAUUAUUAUUAUUAUUUUUUUUUUUUAAAUGUGAAUUUGUUUAAUUGUCAGAGGGCCCCAAAGGGAUGAACCAAGGUAAACGGUAAAUAUUGCAGUGACAGAUUCAUACAUUCUUGGAGAAAGUUGUUACGUGCAGUUUAUAUAACUAUGUAUUUCACCAAGUGUUCAACAAUAUUUCUAUGUAGAUGUAUCCACAUAUACUAACAUACUGUACACAUGUACUAUACUUGUAUGUUUGUAGUUCAAACUUCGUGGGUGCAUUCUAGCAGCUUGUUGGGUUCGAGAGAGGUAGGGCUCUAAGUACUUGGAGUUCACUAAAGGGAUUUGUUGUGUGUGCCAGUAGUCGCAUGCAAUGCCUGUGUUAUCAGGGGUUAGUUGCUGUCACUGUACUUUAUGUAUGUGGGCACAUACACAGUUUAUUGUCGGAUAUUAGUGGCAUAUUUAGGAAGCUGCAUUCCCAGAAAUGCAAUCUACACCCUUACAUACACCUUAUCCAGGUUAUUGGACCAUUUUUAUUUAUCUCUUUUUGUCACCCCCUACUUUAUGUGAGAAAAAUGUAUUUCUAUAACAUUUCAGAUUCAUUUUCUCCCAUUAAAAUUUCUAUAAAGGUUUGAACAAAUUGAUAAAAAAAAAAAAAAAUUCAAUGCACAUAAUUUUACUGCUUAGUUUUUUUCUCCUCCUGAUUUUGCCUUCAGUUCAGUACAUUUUUUGUUUAAUUUCCCUAUACAGUGCCUUAUUGCUCACAUCACAUAACAAAUUACCUAUUUUUCACACAAUCUGGGUCUCUGAAUGCAGCCUUCACUCACAUCGUCUGUAGGCGUUAAGGGUUUUUGCUCGUUCAAUCCUCUUUUCAUCGUACAUCUGGAGGAACUAGUCCACCUGUGUCUUUAUAUGUUUGUCUUGUGCGUCCUAUCUCUUUACAUCUCUUGUCUUCAUUUAUUUUAAGCUCAAGUGAAGGCAUUGGGUUUAUUUAUUUAAAAAAAAGCAAUUCUGGGGCAACAUACUUAAAGUGGGCAGUUACCAGGGUAACCAGCGGAUUGGUCCUGCUGAUUGCUCCUCAUUUAGCAUUUUGCACUAGAUUUGCUCUUAAUAAAUAACGUCCAUUGUGUCUCCCUCUCUCCGUGUCUCCCUCUCUCCGUGUCUCCCUGACUCCGUGUCUCCCUGACUCCGUGUCUCCCUGACUCCGUGUCUCUCUGUCUCUGUGUCUCCCUGUCUCUGUCUCCGUUUCUCAGUGUCUCUGUGUCUCCCUGUCUCUGUGUCUCCCUGUCUCCGUCUCUCCCUGUCUGUGUCUCUAUGUCUCCCUGUCUGUGUCUCCCUGUCUCUGUGUCUGUUUCCCCCUGUUUCCUGUCUCUGUGUCUCCCCGUCUCUGUGUCUCCCUGUCUCUGUGUCUGUUUCCCCCUGUCUCCUUGUCUCCCUGUCUCCGUUUCUCCCUGUCUGUGUCUCCCUGUCUCUGUGUCUGCUCUGUGAUUGUUUUUUCAGUUUUGCUAUUGUUACUCUCCGUAAUUUAAUUUAUAACUUGAAGCACUGACUUCACAAUGCAAUUCAUUCCCCAUUGUAUUCAAGAAAAAUGAACUAAUGUAAUGAAAUAAUAAAGGAAAAAAGUGUGAAACAAACAUUUUGCUGCUUAAAUUGGUGGCAGAAAAGUGAAAAUGUUUAAAAGAUUUUAGUACACGGUGCUGUCCUAGACCGGGGCCCCGUGCCCUAGAGAAAAUGGCUGUAAAGGGAGAGGGGUGCUUUGCAUAACUUGCCUAAUUAUUUAUAGAUACUAUUUCCAUGUGUUCUAGAAUUUCUCACAGUGCACUUUGCGUGCAUACAACUAGUAAUUAGUGUCAUCACCUGUGUGCAUGUACACCAUCCUUAUAAUAUCAACACCUGUGUGCAUGUACACUGUCCUAUCAUCACCUGUGUGCAUGUACACCGUACUGAUAUCAACACCUGUGUGCAUGUACACCAUCCUGAUAAUAUAAUCACCUGUGUGCAUGUACACCGUCCUUAUAAUAUCAACACCUGUGUGCAUGUACACUGUCCUAUCAUCACCUGUGUGCAUGAACACCUUCCUGAUAAUGUCAACACCAGUGUGCAUGUACACCGUACUGAUAUCAACACCUGUGUGCAUGUACACCGUCCUUAUAAUAUCAACACCUGUGUGCAUGUACGCCCUGAUAUUAUCAACUGUGUGCAUGAACACCGUCCUCUUAAUAUCAACACCUGAGUGCAUGGGCCCAUCCUGAUAUCAACACCUGUGUGCAUGUACACCGUCCUGAUAUCACCUGUGUGCAUGAACACCGUCCUGAUAUCAUCACCUGUGUGCAUGAACACCGUCCUGAUUAUAUCAUCAUCUCUGUGCAUGUACACCGUCCUGAUUAUAUCAUCACCUCUGUGCAUGUACACCGUCCUGAUUAUAUCAUCACCUGUGUGCAUGUACACCGUCCUGAUAAUAUAAUCACCUGAGUGCAUGUACACCGUCCUGAUAGCACCUGAGUGCAUUACACCAACCUGAUACACCCGUUUUUAGAGCUCUCAUAGCCUUCCUCCUUAUUGAGAGGUAUUCGAUACUGAGCGGCACUGUUAUAAGAAGAUCCUAAAGUGAUUUCAAUAUUUGUUGCUCUCACAAGCUGCAUUUUAUCUCUCGCGUUCUGUUUCCGUCAUGGAAUCCCAAAUCCUUUUCAAUCCAGGCGAGUGUUUGCAAGCUUUAGGAUAUGCACAGAAGCAGCGACUCCGUGACUCCCUCAUACGGUUUUCCGGGAAUACAAUCCCCGCAAUAUGUUGACAGUUUGGCAAAGAAAUAUCACCACUUACCCAGCUAUGAACCCUCCAUCUGAGUGCAUAUCAAGUAUGUGUGCUCUCAGGGCUUUUGGGUGUUUAUUUUAAUCCUGUUGCUGUCCUUUUUUUUUGUUUACUUGUUUAAAAUCCUGGAUUUAUUAUGAAUGUUGGCACCGAAUCAUCGCAUAGGUUUGCCUCUAUGUCUAAUGUUUAGUUUUCAGAGUCCUCCUAUCUCCGCUUUGGUGGUUAUGGUUGAUUUUGGUUGGAAGGAACUGCUUUUCCUGUACGACCAUUGGGUGAAAGAUGUUAUGACAUUUGAAACACAUCGUCAGGUUUCGGAGGACGUUUUAGUUAUACAAUUUGUCUACAGCACAAUUUAUAUCACCCGUUAUCUACAGCAGCUUGUCUGAUAGACUAAGCUACAAUAUUAUUGACAACACAAUCAUUGGGUUUUUUUUUUUGCCCCUUCCCCCCCCCCACAAUUUUUAAGCCAUUAACCCCUUAAGGACACAUGACAUGUGUGACAUGUCAUGAUUCCCUUUUAUUCCAGAAGUUUGGUUCUUAAGGGGUUAAAGGCACAUGCAUUAAUCUGAGACAACUGUCUCGUUCAAAAGCUAAUGCUUGAAAUGAGACAGAUGCCUUACUCUGCAGGCUGGAAGAAAGUAGGUAAACAGGAGUUGCUGCUUUAAAAACUGGUUUUUUUUUGUUUGUUUUUUGCGGACACAAUAGACAAUGACAGUGCAGACACAAUGCAUGUUAUUUUUAAUUGUCAAGUGAUGCAUAUCCCUUUAAAAAAAGGUUUAAUAAUUGAUCCUUGACAUAAUUAAGGCUAGAAAAGGAAGCUGCAACAUACAACCAGGCGGCCAGUCAGUCACCCAUGUUUCAGACCACGGGCAUCUGGGAGGUGUUGGCAGCAAUGAGUUGAGAAUUGUGCGAUCUAUGCCGCAACAAAGAAAGUGCUUUGGUUAUAUCUAAUCAUAAGAAUGCUGCCUCCCCAGGAGCGGAUCUGGGGCAUCCAUCACGCAGGAGAGGAGAGGUUUUUAGAGAUUGUGAUUAACUGCUUUCAUCAGGCCUGGCACAAAGUGAUAAAAUAUGAGAUACCACGUUCUUUGACUUAAAACUUAAUUAAAACUAUAUAUCAAAAAUGCAGGACCCCAGGCUUAAUAAAACUUGAUAAAAUUGUCCUAAUGCACUUCAAUUUCAAUCUACUGUUCCCUGAUGGAAGCCUGUGUGAAAAUUCAUGUCCAUAACCAAAUUAGAGGCACCUAUUCAGUAAUAUUAAUAAGUCCGCUCUCCCCCCUCCUUCCUUCUUUCCCGAGAAGAAGCUUUGGUGCAGCGGUGAGAAAAAGGAAGUGCAGUUGCUUCAGUUUCCUACCCAGUUGCGUAAAGUCUUUAUUAACCAUUUCGACUCCUGGGUGAGCGUACACGUGGAUCGCAGCCUCUUAGUGCUAGCGUAAUCAGUUUAUCGCCUGCAUGGGAAUUUAAUAUUUUAAUAUUAUCUCUAUUUUACACAGUCCUAGCAAAAUGCGUCAGUAGUCCAUAGAAAAGGCCUUGACACAUUUAGGAUGGUGGACCUAGGGGCCAACCACAAAUUUGGAGAGCUAGAUGUCAUGUGGCGUCGCUCCCACAUACUAAACUGAUAUGAAAUGCAGACCCCAUUAUAUACAGCAAACACAGGUCAGCAAAACCUUAAAGGUAGACACCAGUACCUGUAUUGUUGGAGCCCUGGAUAAUGGCGUUUGUUAAGUCUUGCCCAAUUAAUGACUUUAGGGGUUAGUAGGAAAUCCCCCUUCUCCCAAUUCAUACAUUUGGAACGUGUCCAGAUUCAGAACCUAAUAUUGGGUGGGGCACUGGCAGGACAAUUUCUGUAGUUUUUUAAAUGUAAGAUGUUGGUCCUUACAUAUACAUGAACAAUCACAAAGACAAACUCACUACACACAGUUCACCUCAGAAAAAGCAGUGAUACACACAAGCUCACUAAUAUACAUACACAAUCACACAAUUCACUAGACAGCUCACUAACACACACACAAACACACUGCAUAAAGCUCACUAACACACAAGCUCACACAGCUCAGUAUAGACAGCUCACUGACACAUAAAAGGUCACUACACUCAGUUCACUACUCACAAGCUCACUACAUACAUCUUACUACAAAAAGCUUACUGACGCACACAACAGAUAGCUCAAUGUCACACACACAAGCUAUUACACACAAACUCACUGAUAUACACACAUCACAAAGCUCACUACAAAAACCUCAGUAACAUAUUCACAAGCUCACUAGCACACACAAGCUCACUACACACAGCUCGCUAGAACACACAAUCUCGGUACACACAGCUCACUAGCUCACACAAGCUCACUACACACAGCUUGCUAGAAAACACAAGCUCAUUACACACAGCUCACUAGCGCACACAAUCUCACUACACACAGCUCACUAGAAAACACAAUCUCACUACACACAGCUCGCUAGCGCACACACGCUACUACACACAGCUCACUAGCACACACAAACUCAUUGUGAUUGCAGCACUUUGAGCACUUACGACGAUUCCUCCACAUGCGCCAUUUAUUGCCAGAAAGGAAGGAAGACUGUCGUCAGUGAUAGUUUCACAGGGUAGGUAGGGUGGAACAGUGUUGAGAAAAAAAGGUUAUUUUGUUUUUUAGGUGUACGGGAGAGGAGGUCCCUGGCAUCUAAAGUGGGAGCCCCAAGGGCUAAAAAAAUUAACAUUAACUUGGUGUCACUGCAGAUCCCUAAGAUCCAGUUUUCUCCGGGUGACCCGCCAGUCCCCACAAUACUCAAAUCCAAACCGAAGGAAAAAAGGGGAAAGCACAAAUGGUCACACCAAGAAUCAUUGCCCCAAUAUAAAUAUGUAUUCCAUCGCAGAAAGAGAAGGUCAGGUAGGAGCCACCUCAGGUCACGCACUUCAUGUUGCACAGAACACUUAAUUCUAAGACUUAUGAUGAAGUGUUCUCUGCAAUAAGACCUAUGAUUAAGUGCUCUGUGCAACACGAAAUACGGAAAAUGAGGCGGCUGUAACCUGACCUUGUCUGCACAAUAGUCUACAUUUUUAUAUUGGAGCAGAAGCUUCUCUACCUCUUUUUUUGGAUCAGUUUUUACACUGCAUUGUUCUUUAACAGAAUUCCAAAAUAUGUCGCUAUGUUAGCUUCUCGUCGUUUUUUUCUCUCUUUUCUUCUUUUUUUAACAUUGCUUUAUGAAUCCCUGCUGAGGAAUUUACCAAAAUCGCACCUAGAUUCCAGGUGCUGGGGUGCAGGUCAAAUUAGGUGGCUAGGUCAAAUGAAGCUCAAUACAUGAAAAUGAAUGAAUACUGAAGGUGUUAAAUUUGAUACUUAUUGCCACAUCUUCUGAAUUGAAGUGAUUUCAAAUCUGAACGGCAAGAUUCGUGGUAAUAAAGCCAAGCUGUCAUUAUAAUAGAAGGAAUGUUUUCAGAUCAACUACCUUGGCCUAAGCUUUGCCACUCCAAUGGCAAUUUCCUCCUUAUUUAGAGUAUAUUGAGUAACCCCCCCAAUAUCUCACUUUAAGCAUAAUCAACAGUAAAUCUGUCCAGAUGGUUUAAUUGGGCUCAAACAAACUAUAGAUGACUACAAUGGAUUGUAAAAAACUAUAAGACUCUAAUGGGUUUUAUACUUAGAGUUCCGGGGCCACAACACUGACAAAGGGGACUUAGCAACAUUUUAACAAUUUCAAUACAUAUAAGGAUGCGAAAACACGUUUCUAACAAAUAAUCAAUACCCUGAAAUAUUGUUCUGUAUUUUGGCACGAUAAAUUCAUAUAUACACAAUAACUGAAAUCUCUGUAUACAGCUACCUUGUAGCGUAUCUGUCACACCAGAGCAUUUCAUGAUCAUAAAAUCAUUAUGAAAUGCUCAUAAAGACUGUGUUAGAAUUUCAUUGUCUUAUGAUAUUCUUUGACUGUGUUGGAAUGUCAAAGUAGAGACAAUUCGUGCUAAAGUCUCCAAUUGACAUAACUUGACAAAAAGUGGAACGUCGCCAUCAAGUUUUGUCACUUCUCACAUCCGUCACUAGCUACAAAUGUGGGAAUAAGACGUUAUUUUGCUCAUAUUCAGAUAUCUAUCGAAGCUGCUGUGAUUUCAAGGGAUCCACGAUAGACCUCAGUGUUGUCCUCUCAAGCAUGUGCAUGAGGCCCUGACGUGGACUGCUGAUGAAUGAAUGCCAAGAGUUGAUGUUCAAAGAUGGCGGUGCAAGCAAGGGACAUAAUCAAACCAACUAUUUCACUUCCGCUGUAAUCCCGGACCACCGCACACCCAGCAGUGAUGUCACAAUAUGCUAAGACCCCAGAAAGUGACGGCUGUGUUAAAGAAACCCCCUGCAGUGUCCAUGAGGAACAUAGGCUUAUAAUGCACUGACUCCUUGUAAGAUUUAGGAAUCAAUAAUUUACUGAAUUCUUUUUAAUUCAGAUACUUUUCCUUCUUGACUAUUCUAGACUUCAUUGGCUAUUUUGAUAGCAGCUAAUUUUUGACAUAUUUAGCGGAUGGUUAAUAAGUCCUUAGCGUUAAUAUGUCUUCAACGUGUGGAAGGAAAGCUCGCCUUAGUCUUUGCAUUGUAUCGGCAAAAUCACCAGCAAGUGUCUAGCUUAAAAGAUACUAGACUGCAAAGCUGCCUGCUCUGUCGCAAAGACAGUCUCUGGGAAUGAGCUGCACGCCCGCUGACAGUUACCCUGAUCUAAACAGACACGCGCAUUAUCAAACCGUUCCUAGCAUGUGGCUGACGAGGGCUAGACGAGUAAUUAACCCCUUGGACGCCAUAUUUAAAAUAUUUACCAUUAUGCUGGUAAAAGUUGAAAAGCCCAUGAAAUAAAUAUUGAAAUGCGUUUAGUUCAUGCGCGUGCUUGCAGUUUGGCUGCACAAUGUCCAGAAUAAAAUAUUAUUUUCUAUGUAAUGACAUUAAUUCAUGUUUGCCCUGACAGCUGCACUUUACCGCUAGACCGUCAUAUCAUGAUAUUAUUAGACAUUAAACAGGAUUUUUUUUUUUUUCAGCAAACACAAUAUAGAACUUGUUUCAUUAACAAAAUUAAGUUAAGGGGUUAUAUUGCUUCACAUAUCCCUGUGAUAUACUAUAUAGAAGUCCUAAAUAGAGUGGAACCUUUGCGUUAAUGAUUAUAAACAUGCAGAGUUUGAGGUUUGGAGUGCGGCCCGCGUGUUCCUCUGCUAUCGGAGCUCCGAGUCAGGGGAGAUUUUAAGUGUAAUUAAGGCUCAUUGACACUCACUUUGAUUUUUCCAGAGCUCCAGGGAUUCCAAGUUGCAAAAUAAUACUUGUGUCAAUGAACCUUAAUUACACGUUAAUUCCCUAACACUCUGAGCCACAACGGUACAAUGGCCGACCUCUAUACUAGCUGUAACUGUUUGUGUGCCAGCCUGCCAGAUUAAUCUCUUUAGCCAAUAAGGUAAUAUUGUUAAAUAAUGUGACAUCUUCUGGAUUGUAAUGUACGUCACAUAUAAUAUAAAAGGUUAAUAGUUCUCUUUGAGGGUUAAUUUAAGAAACUAUAAGUUAAAGACUCAUCUCAGCCUUUUGAUACUGUUUUGGGGGUAGCUGCUACUAGACAAAAAUGGGCUCUGACAAGAGAACCCCCAAAUGAUCUGAAUUUCCGAAUGGACGUAAAACAAAAACGAAAGAGCUUUUCUUAAUUUUGCUCCUUCAACAGUUUAGCAGAUUUUAAGGGUAUCCCAUUAGGGCACUGUUUAACAAAUAGCUCCCUUAUUUGGUAACAGGUUCCCUACGUCGGAUUGCCAAAUUUAAGGGUAUCCCAUUAGGGCACUGUUUAACAAAUAGCUCCCUUAUUUGGUAACCGGUUCCCUACGUCGGAUUGCCAAAUUUAAGGGUAUCCCAUUAGGGCACUGUUUAACAAAUAGCUCCCUUAUUUGGUAACAGGUUCCCUACGUCGGAUUGCCAAAUUUAAGGGUAUCCCAUUAGGGCACUGUUUAACAAAUAGCUCCCUUAUUUGGUAACAGGUUCCCUACGUCAGAGGGUAUCCCAUUAGGGCACUGUUUAACAAAUAGCUCCCUGAUUUGGUAACAGGUUCCCUACGUCGGGUUGCCAAAUUUAAGGGUAUCCCAUUAGGGCACUGUUUAACAAAUAGCUCCCUUAUUUGGUAACAGGUUCCCUACGUCGGAUUGCCAAAUUUAAGGGUAUCCCAUUAGGGCACUGUUUAACAAAUAGCUCCCUUAUUUGGUAACAGGUUCCCUACGUCGGAUUGCCAAAUUUAAGGGUAUCCCAUUAGGGCACUGUUUAACAAAUAGCUCCCUGAUUUGGUAACAGGUUCCCUACGUCGGAUUGCCAAAUUUAAGGGUAUCCCAUUAGGGCACUGUUUAACAAAUAGCUCCCUGAUUUGGUAACAGGUUCCCUACGUCAGAUUGCCAAAUUUAAGGGUAUCCCAUUAGGGCACUGUUUAACAAAUAGCUCCCUUAUUUGGUAACAGGUUCCCUACGUCGGAUUGCCAAAUUUAAGGGUAUCCCAUUAGGGCACUGUUUAACAAAUAGCUCCCUGAUUUGGUAACAGGUUCCCUACGUCGGAUUGCCAAAUUUAAGGGUAUCCCAUUAGGGCACUGUUUAACAAAUAGCUCCCUGAUUUGGUAACAGGUUCCCUACGUCGGAUUGCCAAAUUUAAGGGUAUCCCAUUAGGGCACUGUUUAACAAAUAGCUCCCUGAUUUGGUAACAGGUUCCCUACGUCGGGUUGCCAAAUUUAAGGGUAUCCCAUUAGGGCACUGUUUAACAAAUAGCUCCCUGAUUUGGUAACAGGUUCCCUACGUCGGAUUGCCAAAUUUAAGGGUAUCCCAUUAGGGCACUGUUUAACAAAUAGCUCCCUUAUUUGGUAACAGGUUCCCUACGUCGGAUUGCCAAAUUUAAGGGUAUCCCAUUAGGGCACUGUUUAACAAAUAGCUCCCUUAUUUGGUAACAGGUUCCCUACGUCGGAUUGCCAAAUUUAAGGGUAUCCCAUUAGGGCACUGUUUAACAAAUAGCUCCCUUAUUUGGUAACAGGUUCCCUACGUCGGAUUGCCAAAUUUAAGGGUAUCCCAUUAGGGCACUGUUUAACAAAUAGCUCCCUUAUUUGGUAACAGGUUCCCUACGUCGGAUUGCCAAAUUUAAGGGUAUCCCAUUAGGGCACUGUUUAACAAAUAGCUCCCUGAUUUGGUAACAGGUUCCCUACGUCGGAUUGCCAAAUUUAAGGGUAUCCCAUUAGGGCACUGUUUAACAAAUAGCUCCCUUAUUUGGUAAUAGGUAUUCUUAUAGCAAUUCUACGUAAGGAUAGCAAAUUAUAGAGUUACGUAUUAAACAGCUGAAAGAUCAAAAUUAAAUCGGCUUUUUAGCAGUUUUGCAGAUAACACCCUAAAUUAAUACAAUGUAACUUUGUGACUGACACCUUCAUUCAUUCCUCAUAGAGAAUAAUGGGCUUCCGAAUUUCAGAAAUGAACAACAUUUUGGGACCAAAAUUAACAAAAUCGAAACAAAACAAAUCUUUCACCUGUGCAAAUCCCUACCUUAUAUUUAACAAUAUUGUAUAUUUUCUAGAUUUGAUUUUAAGGAUAUAAAAUAAAUUCAGUACACCAAUAGACCAUUGGUUCUAAGGUGACCUUACCAGACGAUUUAUUUUUUAAAUUUUAUUUCUUUGCAUUUUUGAUUUGUGAUAUCUAUACUUAAUAUAAGGCAAUAGAGCACAGUGUGUAGCUAUUUUUCCAUUCAGAUCUUUAUUAUUUAAUAAUCAGAUACAAUAUAAAUCUAAAAUAAGGUAUCAUUUCAGUAAAAUGGUUUAGCAUGGUGGGUGUUUAAUGGUAGUAUGGAAUUAAGCAUGCAGAGCUAUGCACUAAACUGAGAAAUGUUGAGAAUUACAAGUGAAUUAAUAGUGACAGCCUGAUGGAGUCUAUAGAAAAAUUCACAUGUACAAUCGAUAUGACAUGUAAAGUAAUCAGAGUCCAUAUAAAAUCUAAUGGAAAAGAAAAAAGGCCCAUAUUCUCUGCUACAAACUGUAAAUCGGGCUGUAUUGAUUUAGUUUGGGUGUUUCUGAUUAUUUUGCCCUAAAACACUGAAGGUGAUUGUGACAGUAUCAGAUGGGGGUCCUAUUUACUGUAUAUCGCAAGAACAGGUAGACAAUCUCUAAAUGUCUACUUUCUAUCAUGCGGAAUAUGUCGGCGCUAUACAGAUACUAAUAAUAACAAUCUUUAUAUGGUGGUGUUAUUACCUGUUUAAUAAUAAAUGCUGGCGGUCUCCUUAUCUACUGCAGAUUACGUAUCACUGUGUAAUAAGAUUAGGAUUUAUAGCAUGUGUGGGAUACAUAGUUACACCAAAAGUGGACUCCAAACCUCAUCCUGAGUUACAUUGCGACAAACUCAGACUUACAUCAUGCUGUCUCCCUCCUAGAGGGCUCUGCUGCCUGGUGUCCCCUACUCUAAAUCUGUCAUCCAUUUAACAUGUGGCUGACAAGGUCACCUUCAGAUAUUUAUAUCCUUAUUCUAUACAAUGUGCAGGCAGCAUCUCCGUCUCUAGUUUACAUUAAACUAUAUGCUAACUGGCUGUUGUAUCCCUUUAAGAUGGUGGAUAGGUCGGCUGUGUGUGCAGUCACCAGAAUAAAGAGGUAAUACGUAAUAUUUUUUUGAGGGGAAAAACCCCUAACAAACCUGUAAAUAAAAGUGAAUUUUUGCAAUGGCUAGCAAUUUGACUGUCACAAUGUAUCAAUGGAAUCCUGUACACUGUAGUGUACCAUGCUGAGUGACAGGGAUAUUUACAAGCACAUACCAGUUCUGGGUUUUCACUGACGCACUCCUUUGGCAAUAUUUUAAUGUUUUAUAUCUAACAGUAACCUUUAGAAACCUCCUCCUCUAUAGCAUAGGGUACAUGAUCUAUUCUUUAGACAUUGGGGAGUUAUGUAGAAAGUCAUUAGGAGAAACAAAGGGGAUAUUGCAAGAUAUGUAGGGUCUGUGCUGAUGUAUCACGUAAGAACAUAGUAUUAUAUAAUUAUAAUAUAAUAAUAAUAAUAAUAACAGAGAUUUCAUGGCCAAAACAGAACAGGGAUCUCAUAAUUUGGUAUAAAUGUUUUCAAGUAAUUUAGUAAAAAAAUCCCUGCAGAAAUGCAGAACUUGUUAUAUCAUUUUGUUGUGCUAUGUUUCCACGCCAUCUGCAACCUGGCAUUAUGUUCACAGCGUGAGACUAAAAGAACACAAAUAUAUUAAUAACAGAGUCACGCUGCUGUCCCUUUAAUGAUGCCUGAUUAGACAUCUUUGUGUAAAAUAUAGCAAUGUUAAGGGAACUAUAAGAACAACUGUAUGCGGUUUAGUGUUAUCAAUCUUAAUUUAUACAUCUAUUAUAUGAUCACUUAGAAACAUAAACUGGUAUCUCACCUCUUGGUAUAUAUAAGAUGGUUACCACACCCCCUGUUAAAUAUAAACCGUUAUCUCACCCCUUGGUAAAUAUACGAUGGUUAUCACACCCCUCAGUAAAUACAAACUGGUAUCUCACCCCUUGGUAAAUAUACGAUGGUUAUCACACCCCUCAGUAAAUACAAACUGGUAUCUCACCCCUUGGUAAAUAUACGAUGGUUAUCACACCCCUCAGUAAAUACAAACUGGUAUCUCACCCCUUGGUAAAUAUACGAUGGUUAUCACACCCCUCAGUAAAUACAAACUGGUAUCUCACCCCUUGGUAAAUAUACGAUGGUUAUCACACCCCUCAGUAAAUACAAACUGGUAUCUCACCCCUUGGUAAAUAUAAGAUGGUUAUCACACCCCUCAGUAAAUAUAAACUGGUUAUCACGCCUCCUGGUAAAUAUAAACUGGUAUCUCACCUCUUGGUAAAUAUAAAUUGGUUACCACACCCCCAGGUAAAUAUAAACUAGUAUUUCACCUCUUAGUAAAUAUAAGAUGGUUACCACACCCCUCAGUAAAUAUAAACUCGUUAUCACACCCCCUGGUAAAUAUAAGAUGGUUAUCACACCCCCUGUUAAAUAUAAACUGGUAUCUCACCACUUAGUAAAUAUAAAUUGGUUACCACACCCCCUGGUAAAUACAAACCGGUUAUCACGCCUCCUGGUAAAUAUAAACUGGUUGUCACUCCCCCAGGUAAAUAUAAACUGGUUGUCACUCCCCCAGGUAAAUAUUAUCUGGUAUCUCACCCCUUGGUAAAUAUAAGAUGGUUAUCACACCCCCUGGUAAAUACAAACCGGUUAUCACGCUUCCUGGUAAAUAUAAACUGAUUGUCACUCCCCCAGGUAAAUAUUAUCUGGUUGUCACUCCCCCAGGUAAAUAUUAUCUGGUAUCUCACCCCUUGGUAAAUAUAAGAUGGUUAUCACACCCCUGGUAAAUAUAAGAUGGUUAUCACACCCCCUGUUAAAUAGAAACUGGUAUCACACCCCUUGGUAAAUAUACGAUGGUUAUCACACCCCUCUGUAAAUAUAAGCAAAUUUGCUCUUUAGAUUUAAUCUCUUUAAGCUAUACCCUCCGCUACUGUUCCUGAAUGUGAAACAUGUUUUCUUAGAAUAUGUUAUACACCGCUGUGGAAUGUGUUGGCACCAUAUAAGUAAUUGUAAUUGUUAUGAAAUCCCUGGUAAAUAUAAGCUGGUUAUCACAGGUAGGGAAGUUAACCCCACUUAUAAAAUGUAAUCGAGCUUUGAGAGCUCUCUCUCUACCAAUCGUCUUUUCCUGUGGCCUGAGCCAUGGUAAUUAUGAUUGGGACCGAUGCCAGGAUGGCAUUGCAGUGUGUCAGGCUGAGAUUGAAUGUGACCCGGGGCUUGCCGUGCUGCGGGGAGAUAAUCUGCAGCGCCCAGGAUGGGGACAUUUGAGCGAUGAGGAGGGGGAUGUGGUGGAACUGGUGCUGCAGACGGGGGUUCACAGCAGAGAGAGAAAUAGGAAGGCUAUAACGUUAUUGCCCGGCUUUCAGCUCAUGGUGACCUGGACCGUGGGUGAUCUGCAGAGAUAUCCCCGGUUCAUUACAAGCCUGCCAACCGCCCCGUCACAGAUAAUAGCUAGUGUUAUGGUGGAAAGGUCAAGGAGGAUAAAAUUAUUAUAGGGUUAUAUGCCGGAGACUGCCUAGAGAAUUAUUGCGGUAACAUUGUAAAUUCAGCAUUUUGAUGUGCUUCCAAGUGAGUGUAGGUAUGUUGUGUGACAGUCAUAUACACCAUUAGCAGUGGGUAUGUGUGACUCAGAAUGUAUUGCAUGGUCUGUGUGUGGGUCACUGUGUACAGAGUUAUGUCAGUGGCUCUGUGUGUGCAGGGUUAAGGGACGGUGAGCCUUUCGGUGUUUGUUUGUGUUAAAAUGCAAUGUGUACAUUUGUUUUAUUCUUUAAUUAGCAUUUGUAGCACUAACAUAAGCACACACACUACACAAUAGGUAUAUGCCGCAGCAAGUAAUUGUCAAAUAAAAUACGCUAACAGAUACAAGGGGUGAAGGAAGCUCUAUUACAGCGAGUUUAUAAUCUACAAGGCCUGUCUGUCUGUGUCUGUCUGUCUCAUUAUUGCUGUGGAUAAAACCAUGACUCCAUAAUGGUUUAAAUGAAUCCAAAUUACUAUAUUCACCAGCAUCUUUAUGUUAUGACGGUUCAUUUGUAGCUGGCUAGGCGUGAUUCUGGCUGAGGAUGAUGAGGGUGUAUUUGAUUCUGGCUGGGCAUGAUGGCUGUAUGACUUCAUGAUAGGACAUAACUGUUUAGAGUGGCUUUGGGCUGGGGAUGAUAUUCCUAUGCCUCCAUGAUAAGCGAAUUUGGUCCUGGCUGAGGAUGAUGAUAGUUUUGCGGUUAGGAUACCUGCAUGGUGACUGCAAUGAAGAAUUAAAAGCGGGGAUAUUGUGCAGUUCACAGCCCAGACACGCAGUUCAAACACUCGUAUCUGAAUCACAAGAACUGAUCAAUAAAACUUAGCAUUUAAUGAUUCAUUUAAAACCAUAAAUCCAUUAACAGUGUGUUACAAACAGAACAAAGACGACUGCCGAUGCAGGCUGCAUAUACCAACAGGGCCUGGGCAAAGCAAAUGGCCACUAAUUAGGAAAUUAAGCUUUGUUCGUCUUGCAUUCAUAUAGUGAAUAUACUGAGCAAACCUGCUUUGUAAAGUGAGAGCCUUUAGCCUAACGAUAAAUAAUAAAAUUGUGCGCGUAUUUGAUUCACAUUCCUGUUUAAUUAUGGAAAGGCUGGGCAUGGGGUGAGGCUGAUAAAUAAUGGAAUCCUGAUUUAUAAUGAAUUAUGAAGUUCCAUAAUGAGAUACAUACUCCGUUUUCAAGGGGAGCCAUUGCUAACCAGCACAUUCUUUUGUGCUACCUGGUCAUUGAUGUGUAACCCGUGGGGUACCACGACUGGAGUGAAAAAUAUAUCAUCAGAACUUAAAAUCUCUCUGCAGUGAGACAAAUCCUGCUUCGCUUUGCUAAUUGACUAAUACCAGGGAUAAUUCUACAAAUGCUUCAUGUACAGAAUGUGCAAUGCUGGUUACUAUUUUUUUAAUAUAUUUUUUCAUUCAUAAAGCGUGGAGAGUGCGUGGAGAAUUGACAUUUUUCUAGCAGAACAUUGGGAACAAAUAAUAUGAGCCCUAUUUUUUAUCCUACGCCCUGAAGCCACUUGGAGUAAUAACCGACCUUAAAAAAUAUUAAGACAAAAGUUUGUAGGCGAGUAUUGGCUAAAGCAAGACAGGCGAUCAGAUUUCCUGCUUUCUAUUUGUCCUCAACCCCUCUCACCAGGUGCUGUUAUCAAUACAGAGGCGUUUUGUAAAGGACGCAGGGGUUAACGCAUCGCCAUGUUUAUAAAAUGCCUAUUACUGUGUCAGUCUUUCUGAUACCGGCAGUAGCGCAUUGCUUUAGCAAGGAAAGCUGAUAUUAUCACAAGAACAAGAAGUAAUUAAAUUUCCUUUGGCCAUCAAGCUGCACCAUUUUCUGCUCUCUCCAAACAGAUGCAAUCUAAUCUGUCGCUUCCAGUCCAACCUAACCAACACCUGCCGGAUUUAGAGGGGCAGGGAGAUAAAUUGUUUAAGGACCCUUAUCCUUUUAACCCUCCCUUUCAAUCCUAUCUCCCCCCUUUCAUGUUAUUAUUUUUUUUGUUAACUCAUGCAAAUCUAAGUGUUUUUACUUCGGUCCCAGUGUUUAAUCUGUUAAAUCGUAAUGGAAGGAAUAUUUUAUAACAACACAACCCCUGGAGCUUCCAUAUGACCUCAAGUAAAAUGGAGGUCGAGUGAGGUUAUUAUGAAGAUGUCUUUCAUAUUUAACGUUGUUUUGUACAUGUCCGAUCCAUUUAGGUGUCUAUUUUGUUUCAGAGCAGAUUUUGUUUUUCUAAAUUUGGCCAAAACUUUGCAAUUCAGUUUGUUUACAACAAUUUGAUAUUUAGCAAAUAAAUCACCACAAGACAUAUAAAUAAAUUAAUAAAGUGUGAUCUGUCAUGAGGAUGAGAAGAAAGACUGCCUGAUGGGGAGGGAGGGGUCUAUUUAUACCAAUUUCAGAGUUUGAUCAGGAAAAGGGAUUUCACAUGUUAAGCAAAAUUAGCUCAUUAGGAGAAAUAUCAGUAAAGCUCUUUUUUGGUAUAACAUUUGAAAUUGACUUAAAAUACACUUUGGAGUUAUCAUGAAUUACAUGUUAAUCUCAUUCAGUGGUUGCAAUUGUAGACCUUCUAUAAUUUUACUUCACAAACCUUGUGCCAGAUUUUCAACCAUACUUGCCCACGACCAGGUAUGGGGUAUAUUUAAACUCUUUGCUUUGCCAUAUUUGAAUUUAGAAAUGAGAAGAUUUGCAAAAGUAUUAUUUUAUAAUAUUAAAUAUUCAAUAUUUAACAUUUCUCAUUGCAUUGCACAUCGUUUUCCUUAAUAUUUGUAACUGAAAUCAUGUGCAUAAAUUAGAGAUAUGAAAAGCCAAUAGUAAAUACUUUAUUUUUAUACUUUUUUUACAACCAUUAUAAUAUUGUUUUUCUAAACCUAGCACACUGUUUGUUAAAUGUGUAUUGGGUUUUAAUUACAAAGAAAUGCCAUUCUCUGGACAAUGAUUCGGUCCUUUUACAGUUUGAUAGCUCACAGUGUAAUAUACAAGAUAAUGUUGAAUUUUGACAUGGCUGUUGGCCAUUUUGCUGCCUUUACCUUGGUCAUGUGACCUCUCCUUCUCCUCCCCAAUUUUAAUAUUCAUUAAGAUUCUGGUGAUUCUUAAGAUUCUGGUGAGGUGUCAGUUCCACUUGACCAUCAUUACAUUUUAUGAUGUAAAAUUUGACUCUAACUUUGAGACAGGCAUAUCUGAGGAGUCUAAAGAUUCUAGAAUCCAUUGCGGAAUGUUGGGCACCACCACUUCGAUUGGCACUUUAGACGUCUGUUGGUCCAGACUACUCCCUAGUUAUAUCUCUCUUGUCAUACCCUUGGGUGGUCAAAUCCUGUCCACUCUCUGCCAGGAUAUAUCAAGGAUUAGGUCACUGCCACUCUGACACUUGGAGAGACGUUCCGGGUCCUUCAUCUUUGGCUCACUCAGGUUGAUAAAUAUUGGAUUUAUUGGAAGAUACGAACAAUUCCCAAAACUGGUGCCAAUUGGCACUAAUUUCUGAAAUGAUUUCACACUGUGUGGGCAACUGUCAGGUAAGGAGCUGUUUGUUCUCAAAUCUUGUUGACAAUGACAGUGAUUAUAAUGAGGAGCAAAUUGUGGCUUCCCUUUAUCACAUUGAAAUUACUUACUAAUUCUGUGCCAUCUACCUCAACUGGUUUCAUAUAUUAAUUUAUUAAUUUCUUCCUUAAUUUAUCACCAUCACUAAGUCUACACACCUAGCCCAACCCCGACAGUUAAACCUUAAUCUCUUCACACCAAGCGCUUUGGCCGUAUCAAUAAAUUGUAGCCAAGGCUUGAACUUAAUUCCAUCCACAAUGCAUUAUUCUAACACUAAUCCCAACUCACAGCUUUAGCCCAGAUUCUAAAACCCCUUAUUAUGACUCCAAAACACAUCACUGACUUGUUUGGGGCCUGAUCCUCUUGUUCCCUAAAAGUACUAAGACCACAUAACGCCCGAAUGCCAAAUUCAGUGCUCAUAAUGAAUGCCAGUGUUUCCAAAAUACAAACAAAUGAUUUGCCUCAAUUUAAAUCCUAAAGGGGAAAUGUCACUUCCCUAGAAUUUACGCUAUUGAAUAAAACUUUAAAAACCAUCUAUAACGGGUGUUAACGUUAACCUUUUUUAUGCGAUUCUCUUUUUUUCCUUAUUAUGCUAAAGAUUUCGCAAAUGACAAACAUUGCAAAUGAAGAGAUAAAACCUUGUUUCAUUUCUCCUCCUCUCUGUCUGCUCUCUCUCGCUGACUGCCAGGUGCAAAGGACGUGUUUAUAACAAUGAUUGGCAGUGAGCUGAGAUGGAGGCACCCAGUUGUAGAAUAAAAAGAUGUGAAUUUCUGCAUUUAAUUGUAUUUUUCACAUCUUACAAAUACAUAUUGGUUAAGUAUGAGAAUAAGUAAACAUCAUAUUAAAAAUUCUUGUAGUUAACAGUUGCCUUCUAAUUGUUGUAAAAACAUAUAAACUAUGUAUAAACUUGGGCUUAUUACUAGAUUCAAAAUUUAAAUGAAUAUUGUAUUUAAGUAAGUUUUCUUUUUAAUUAUUUUUUUGUUUGUUUUUUAUUCUUUUAAACCAGAAGUAUAAAUAUAAAUAUUCCACACUUUGAAUAUUUUUUCUGCCCAGUUUUUUUUUUUUUAAAAGCUAAGUGAUAGAUUUUAUUUUCCGCACUUACAAAGCCGUGAUUGACAGCUCAGACUUAGAAGAGGUACCGAAGCAGCGACAGUGAUCUCUGCUUUCAUCUUUCACAUAUAGGAGUCUUUAUUUGGAAAUAUUGAUUUUCUGAUUUUAAUGUUUUUUUUUUUUUCUUUUUUCUUCUUCGUAAGAUUUCUGUAACAUGAUGCGCGUCACGUGCAUGAAAUCAUUUUCGCAUUCAAUAUAACUUUGAUGAAUUAGCUGGUCAUGCACUUAAGAUUAAUUGAAAUUGCUGGUUGCAAAAAUGAGGAAAGAAAGAACCCAGCAGGUUAUCCUGCGUUAGGCACAUCUGCAAAUAUAUGCAGAUAUUCCUUCCGUGAAUAAGCCGCUUGCAAAAAAAAAAAAGAACCACUUUUGGUGAAUAAUCAGCCUGUAUUCCAAUUUUCUCAUUUUCAUUUUAAUGAAUAGGCUCCUCUGUUUCUUACAUAAGCUGUGCCGCAGAAUAUUGAUGCUGUCAGACAAUUUGUGGAGGAAGUUUUCUCUUCGAGAUAAAAAUCUCAGCUCAUGUCUUCAACAUGAAAAAAAAAAAAAUCACUUUCUUUAACCAGUAGCAUGUCUCGAUAGAACCUGGAUAAGGCGAUGAAGUUAUUAGAAAAGCAUUGUCAGUUUUCUGGAGAAGGGAGACCGUGUAGAGUCUUUAUGUUGGGGGUUUUUGUUUUGAUAAUAGUUAAUUAAUAAAACAAUAGAAUCACGGGGUUUGUCUUGCAGCAUUUGCUCAGGUAAAAACUCCUGAUGACGAUAUUAAGUCCAAAAGUAUCCAUACAUUGAUGCUGUACUGUGGGACACAAUAUACAGUUAACUGCUUUAGAUUUGUCUGGGAUUUGUUAUUAAAGGGAAACUCCAGUGCCAGGAAAACAGUCUGUUUUCCUGGAACUGCAGGUCCCCUCUCCCUCCCACCCCCCACCCCCCACCCCCCAUCCCCGGUUGCUAAAGGGUGAAAACGCCUUCAUGUCACUUACCUGAGACUCCGCCGAUGCCCCUCGGUGGUGGUUUCUGCUCGCCGCCGCUCCUCCCAGUCAUUACGUCGGCCGGUGGACAGCCACUAGAGGUGGAGUUAACCCUGCAAGGUAAUUAUUGCAGUUUAUAAAUAAUAAUAAUAAUUACAGUUGCAGGGUUAAGGGUAGUGGGAGUUGGCACCCAGGCCACUCCAAUGGGCAGAAGUGGUCUGGGUGUCUGGAGUGUCCCUUUAAUUAAAGUGACACUGUAGGCACCAUAACCAUUUCAUUUCAUUUAAGUGGUUAUAGUGUUUCGAGUCCCCUAGCUUUCUCCUUCCAUUCAGCAUUAAAUAUUUCUUAGAGUUUUAAAGGGACGCUGUAACUAGGUUAACAACUAACUUCGUCUUAUUGAAGUUUUUAUAGCUCCUGCAGAACUGCCAACCGGUCCGACCUCCCAAAACCCAAUAUAAAACAAAUUCAAAGGCUAGGAUGUGCAGCUUCAAGCGAUGCCUCCAAGCCCUUAUGCGAGCUGGGAAUUUUUGUUUCCGACUCUCAUACUGUGACAUCAAAUAUGCACUGCGCAGUAUCGUCACGGUCAGUCAUACAGAAUAAUUGAAUACAAUGAUUUUCUGUGGAGGAAUUGCGGUCACCUCAUGCGCCUACAUUUCCCAAUGCUCUUAUCUGUGGAGCACUGGAUCGGCCCAUUAUUUUGCAGGCACGCCUCUUGGAUGAUGCAAAUCGUGUAGGAGGUCGCGGCAGAGCCAAGGGAGAUAAUUAUUAUUUUUAUUUUCUAUUUUACAUGGGGGGGAGCUAUGUGUUCCUUGUCUAUUCCUAACACUGCUGUGUUCCUUUGAUGCUAAGCCAGGGUCCCCGGUAACCCAUCCACUCUGGGCUGCCUGGGCUAAUGAAGAAGCCAUAGCCGGAGCAGCAAUGGGCGACUGCGAUACAGAAAAACAUUAUAUAAUUAUUAUUAUUAUUAUUAUUUAUAUAGCGCCAGCAAAUUCCGUAGCGAUAACAAAACAAACAUUACAAAAUAAAUGAGAUACUUUGAAGUUCCUGCAUUAGGAGAUUACUGGAACCUUCCUUCAAGUUUCUCUAGGUUGUCACGUGUUGGCCCCUGCAGUAUCUGGUGACAAAUAUGAUAGAAUUGUCUAGAAGUUUGCUAUUUGAAUUACCGUUGAAAAACCUGUUCUUCUAAAAUGUUCCUGAACAUGGCCGGGAUUUGUGAGAACAAGACAGGAUCUAGAUACAAACUGUGCAAAUAUCUAGACACUUCUUGUAUUGGUUCCCAUAUGAUAGGGCUACUAAAAAAUUGUUUUCUGGAAUGUCUGAUUUUUCUCAACCACCACAAUAAAUACUUAAAUUAUAAAAUGCAGUCUCUCGUAUGACAGCGUCCCUUGUAUCAGAUUCUAGAAUUACUUAGAAUUAUAUAUACCUUAGUUCCCGUAUUUCCCGUAUAUCUUCAUAAUGCAAUAUAUAUAUAUUAGCCUGGUACACUGUAAAAGACAUUAUAGUUAAUAGCGUUCGUUAAAUAAUAAAAUAAUGUCAGAUUUGUUUUAUCUUCUAAAGAGAAAUUAAGUUUUUAUUUUUCAUGUUAUUUUAAACUAUACUAAACUAAACUGUUCCCAUCCAAAAUAUGAGGUUUGUAUCUUAUCCCUGUUCACAUAAAUAAAAUAUAUGUAUUUCACACGUGAAGCCUUUUGGGAUCCUAAUGUCAGUUGUUACAAAAUUUAAAUUGACACUCUACUGCCCAAAUGAAAAUUAUAAUUGUUUAAAUCACUGUUUAGUCGAUAUACCCACAAUGAACACAUUUAUUUAUACAGUUUUCUAUUGACGGUAUAUCUAAAAAAAACAGCUUGCCUAAGCUGCAGAUCUCUUGUCUGCAACCUCUGUAAGCCCUCUAUUUUUCAUCCCGCCCAGACCUUCUGUAGCUGUCCAAUCACAGACUUCCCAAUGCAGUUCAAUGAGAAGUCUUUGCAAGGCAGCUGCUCUGGGCAAUUGCUUUCUCUUGAGCUUAGCUUUGCUGACCUAAACAAACCAGGAAGUAACAGGAUCUGUUGUCUGAUUGACAGCCAGGGGGUGUAACCAGGUUAAUUUAUAAAAGUGCCAAUUUCUGUUAAAAAAAUCUUAGUUUAUUGUAAAAUGAAGAAAAAAAAUUAUAGAGCAUACACUCCACACACAUAAAGCAUUUCAGCAAGCCAAAGGAAGUCUCUAAACUAGUUGCGUUAACUUACACAUUGUUGCUAUGCAUCCUUUAUUCUUGGUCUCGCUAUGCCCCUCCCCUACAAAAAAAAUUAAAAAUCUUACAAUUACAGGUAAAAAUGUUUUCCAGCAAUACAUUCUUCUAACCGAUUAUUGUGAGCAGCGGUGGCUGACAAGGGUCUUGACGAGCAGACAUUGUGGAAUCCUGUUAUAUGCCUGACCUCAGCCCGUUGAUUAGAACCCUUUUAGAGUGUUAUGUCGAUCUGCAGGCAUAUCCGAUAAGAAAUAUUUGCUGUCAGUUUGAUUGCAUUCCUAUCACUUCAGUGUACGAUUGCGCGGCAUAAAUAAAUAAUGGCGAGAACGUGAAAUGGAACGCAGAUAGAUCAUUAUGUGCUGGUAUGUCUUAAUAUAUAUCCCUCUCUCUGUAACAAUACCUGCGAUCAUUUGUUAACGUGUGUGAAGCGCUCCAGAUAAGAGCACUAUAUAGGAAAUUUUACAGAAAUAAAUUAGGGCAGGCAGCGUGGUGCUACGUGACAAUUGUUAUUUUGUAGCUUGUCCACCAUUAAAAUUAGCUUGUGCUACAUUGGCUAACUUUUCGUGUAUACACUGAGCUACCCACAGCGUUAGCAAAUGUAUAGCUUGAUGGUGUUCCUAACUCAAUGAUUCGGACUUCCUCUGCCUUUACUCUUAUGACAUUGGCGUAGUUAUAUAUGACACUGAAAUCACAACAUGCUUAUUGAAGCAACAUACAAAACACUGUGCAAUAUACCAUAUGCUGUUUUGGUUUGGACUCUGUCAUCUAAUGUGGCGGCCAUAUUGGAGGUGGAGGAAGUGAUGGUCUGGUACGGGGGUAGGGGGGUAAUUUCGUACCUAAGUAUUAGACUUGAUUUUGUUUUGUUUUUUUGCAUUAUUGUGGAUGGUGGACACUCUUUAAUGUUUUGAGAAGGCAGAGCAAUUAUUUUUUUUGUCGCUUUCUGACUCAGAAGGGUAAAUACUUUUCCAAAAUGGAGCCCUUGUCAAUAAGCUCCAAUAAUGACACUGGAAGUGUUUGAACAUUUGUCUAAUGGUCGACCAUUGGGUAUCAGUAGCCUGUAGUAAUGUACAGUUCAUGUUGAAUGUUUCAGUAUGGUUGCUUGGCCGUGCCAUGGUAGCAGUUGCUUUGUUCGUGGUAAGACUUGGUUUGUUUUUUUGACAAGUCCACGUGGAGCACUUCGUUCCAUCUGCACGCAAACUAGUCGUCCUUCAGCUAGAUUUUUAAAAUACUUCAAAGUUUGAUUUAAUAUAUUUCUAAAUCUUAACCCGAUAUACAUUCUAUGUGAAUGGGUUCUGUAGAUUGGGUGAUCCUGAUCUUUAGAUGUUAUUGGCCAAAUAAUUAUCAUAAUAAUAAAUAAUCAUAAAAAUAUAGUUUUUAUCCCCAUUGUGUUAUGGCUUUUCUGUGUUAACACGUGUUUUCCAUGAUCGAGUAUUUCAAGAACUUAUGAGAAAUUAACUUCCUUUACUGCAACUAUUUUUGUUUUUUUUGUUUAUUUUUUGCUAAUACAUUGUACAAUACAUUUUUUUGCAUGUUUUGAGUGAUGACUGAGACUGUCAUGAGACUUUAUUCAACUGCUGCUCUAAUGCCAUGGGGGGUGCUAGAAGUAUUUAAACAAUCCUACCUGUUGAUAUUUUUGUGUCCAUUAAAGAGCUCCAUCUCGUUCCCUACGCUAACCUUCUCAGUUUCCCUUCCUGAUUUGGGAACAGACUAUCAACUCCUUAUAGAUUUUCUUCGCUGUCUGAUGCCUGACCUCAGCCCGUUGAUUAGAUCACGGUUGCCCUCUGUAAUAUGAGAUUUGGAUAGAUAAGCACUCCAGUUCACUUUAAUUACUAUUGAGCCUCUUUCCUCUCCCUCGUUUAUACAAACACUCAGUUGGGAGGAAGGAAAGCCAUCAGACACUGUUCACGUCUCUACGUGUAUACAGUAUAUGUUUCAAUACAUCUAUAUGUGAUUUGCUAAAAUGUUAUUUAUAUAAAUAUAACUACUAGGUGGACUAAGGAGGACUCCCAGCAUACUCAGGGCAUCCUGUCUGUUCAAGCAUUGAAAUUACUGCAUAAUGGCCAGGCCCUCUGCACAGGUCGGGUGCUUAAAGAACUUACCUAGCAGCAUAGCUGUAUGGUGUAGUGCAACAAGGAGACUGUGCAUUCUAUUGAAUACCUCACUAUUCAGCCAAGCUGUAGAGUGUCUGACUGUUACUGAUCUAUAGAAUGUCUGACUGUUACUAACAAUCUAAUCUAUAGAAUGUCCGACUGUUACUGACAAUCUAAUCUAUAGAAUGCCUGACUGUUACUAACAAUCUAAUCUAUAGAAUGCCUGACUGUUACUGACAAUCUAAUCCAUAGAAUGCCUGACUGUUACUAACAAUCUAAUCUAUAGAAUGUCCGACUGUUACUGACAAUCUAAUCUAUAGAAUGCCUGACUGUCUGUUACUGACAAUCUAAUCUAUAGCAUGCCUGGCUUUUACUGACAAUCUAAUCUAUAGAAUGCCUGGCUGUUACUGGCAAUCUAAUCUAUAGAAUGCCCGGCUGUUACUGACAAUCUAAUCUAUAGAAUGCUCGGCUGUUACUGACAAACUAAUCUAUAGAAUGCCCGGCUGUUACUGACAAUCUAAUCUAUAGUAUGCCUGGCUGUUACUGACAAUCUAAUCUAUAGAAUGCCUGGCUGUUACUGACAAUCUAAUCUAUAGAAUGCUGACUGUUACUGACAAUCUAAUCUAUAGAAUGCCCGGCUGUUACUGACAAUCUAAUCUAUAGAAUGUCUGACUGUUACUGACAAUAUAAUCUAUAGAAUGCCCGGCUGUUACUGGCAAUCUAAUCUAUAGAAUGCCCGGCUGUUACUGACAAUCUAAUCUACAGUAUGCCUGGCUGUUACUGACAAUCUAAUCUAUAGAAUGCCUGACUGUUACUGACAAUCUAAUCUAUAGAAUGCCUGGCUGUUACUGACAAUCUAAUCUAUAGAAUGUCUGACUGUUACUGACAAUCUAAUCUAUAGAAUGCCCGGCUGUUACUGGCAAUCUAAUCUAUAGAAUGCCCGGCUGUUACUGACAAUCUAAUCUAUAGAAUGCCUGACUGUCUGUUACUGACAAUCUAAUCUAUAGAAUGCCCGGCUGUUGCUGGCAAUCUAAUGUAUAGAAUGCCUGACUGUUACUGACAAUCUAAUCUAUAGAAUGCCUGGCUGUUACUGACAAUCUAAUCUAUAGAAUGCCCGGCUGUUACUGACAAUCUAAUCUAUAGUAUGCCUGGCUGUUACUGACAAUCUAAUCUAUAGUAUGCCUGGCUGUUACUGACAAUCUAAUCUAUAGUAUGCCUGGCUGUUACUGACAAUCUAAUCUAUAGAAUGCCUGACUGUUACUGACAAUCUAAUCUAUAGAAUGCCUGGCUGUUACUGACAAUCUAAUCUAUAGAAUGUCUGACUGUUACUGACAAUCUAAUCUAUAGAAUGCCCGGCUGUUACUGGCAAUCUAAUCUAUAGAAUGCCCGGCUGUUACUGACAAUCUAAUCUAUAGAAUGCCUGGCUGUCUGUUACUGACAAUCUAAUCUAUAGAAUGCCCGGCUGUUGCUGGCAAUCUAAUGUAUAGAAUGCCUGACUGUUACUGACAAUCUAAUCUAUAGAAUGCCCGGCUGUUACUGACAAUCUAAUCCAUAGAAUGCCCGGCUGUUACUGACAAUCUAAUCCAUAGAAUGCCCAGCUGUUACUGACAAUCUAAUCUAUAGAAUGUCUGACUGUUACUGACAAUCUAAUCUAUAGAAUGCCCGGCUGUUACUGACAAUCUAAUCUAUAGUAUGCCCGGCUGUUACUGACAAUCUAAUCUAUAGUAUGCCCGACUGUUACUGACAAUCUAAUCCAUAGAAUGCCUGACUGUUACUGACAAUCUAAUCUAUAGUAUGCCUGGCUUUUACUGACAAUCUAAUCUAUAGAAUGCCCGGCUGUUACUGACAAUCUAAUCUAUAGAAUGCCUGACUGUCUGUUACUGACAAUCUAAUCUAUAGCAUGCCUGGCUUUUACUGACAAUCUAAUCUAUAGCAUGCCUGACUGUUACUGACAAUCUAAUCCAUAGAUUGCCCGGCUGUUACUGACAAUCUAAUCCAUAGAAUGCCCUGCUGUUACUGACAAUCUAAUCUAUAGAAUGCCUGACUGUCUGUUACUGACAAUCUAAUCUAUAGCAUGCCUGGCUUUUACUGACAAUCUAAUCUAUAGAAUGCCUGACUGUUACUGACAAUCUAAUCUAUAGAAUGCCCGGCUUUCACUGACAAUCUAAUCCAUAGAAUGUCCGACUGUUACUGACAAUCUAAUCUAUAGUAUGCCUGACUGUUACUGACAAUCUAAUCUAUAGAAUUCCCAGCUUUUACUGACCAUCUAAUCCAUAGAAUGUCCGACUGUUACUGACAAUCUAAUCUAUAGUAUGCCUGACUGUUACUGACAAUCUAAUCUAUAGAAUGCCCGGCUGUUACUGGCAAUCUAAUCUAUAGUAUGCCUGACUGUUACUGACAAUCUAAUCUAUAGUAUGCCUGACUGUUACUGACAAUCUAAUCCAUAGAAUGCCCGGCUGUUACUGACAAUCUAAUCUAUAGAAUGCCCGGCUGUUACUGACAAUCUAAUCUAUAGAAUGCCUGGCUUUUACUGACAAUCUAAUCCAUAGAAUGCCCGGCUGUUACUGACAAUCUAAUCUAGAGAAUGCCCGGCUUUUACUGACAAUCUAAUCUAUAGAAUGCCCGGCUUUUACUGACAAUCUAAUCUAUAGAAUGCCCUGCUGUUACUGACAAUCUAAUCCAUAGAAUGCCCAGCUGUUACUGACAAUCUAAUCCAUAGAAUGCCCUGCUGUUACUGACAAUCUAAUCUAUAGAAUGCCCUGCUGUUACUGACAAUCUAAUCCAUAGAAUGCCCAGCUGUUACUGACAAUCUAAUCCAUAGAAUGCCCUGCUGUUACUGACAAUCUAAUCUAUAGAAUGCCCGGCUGUUACUGACAAUCUAAUCUAUAGAAUGCCCGGCUGUUACUGACAAUCUAAUCUAUAGAAUGCCUGGCUAUUUUAGCCAAUCUCAUUCAUGGAAUGCCUAGCUAAUCUAAUAUAUAGAAUGUUGCUCAAUGUUGCUGUUUCAGCUGUUCUGUAAUAAAGGAAUUGUGGUGUGAGCAACAUUUAUCUUGUGUAUCUCUCCUUCUCACUAUAUACAUAUUUAUAUUUCCAGAACCCCCAUACAAGUUACUGUACACACAUCAUGUAGCACAUCGUGCUAGACUGUCUACGGUCCUCAGGAAGGAUUCCUUUGAUCUCACAAAAUGGGAAAGAAACUCUACAAUCUAAUGAAAUCUGCCAUGGACAGGGGUCCUACUUUCCACAUAACUUGCCCAAGGAGUAUAUGUGUUUAUGGUGCUUGGAGUGUCUCUUUAAAAGCCUUAGAUGCUAAUGUUGCUCUGUGUGCACCCUCUAACCAUGCGUGUGCCCCUCUGUUGCAAACCUCACCCCAUGAAUUGCAGUGAUAGCAUUUGGAGGAGACAAAAAUAGGAAAUUAUCCUCCGAGAAAGUCAGAGUACUCUUUAAUAGGCAGGUUUACUCGAUAAAACGUCCGCUGAGCGUGUAUAAUGAGCAGCUACCUGUUAGCCCUGAAUUGCAAAUGUGACCCACUAAACAGAUGUGUUUUCCUGCACAAAGUGCGACGUGGUUGGCAGUUUAAUGUGUUGGGGAUGUUUAUGAACACCUCUGCAGACCUUCCUUGUUUUCUUCAAUACAAUCAACAUAUGUAGGGCGAAAACUGCUCCUUUAUUGGUGAAUUUAUGGUAAUAACACAGCUUGUGUCAGUGUACACCUAAAGGGCACAACGCUGAUCAAGAUGCAUAUUUAAUCACACGUUAAACCACAAAGGAGCCAUUUCUCUCCGAUUUGUUGCCGGCUCACAUUUAGUUUUUUAGUUUGAUUAGUUUGAUUCGUACGAGGUUUUGGGCAAAGUUGGGCCCGGCCUCAUAUCAAAUACCGACUUCAAAGGCCGAUGCGUUCACAGCAAGGGAACCCUAGAGAUGUAUUUUUAUGAGUGCUGUCUGUACGCAACAGAUUGUUACGCAACACAGAUGAAAUGCAUUGCUCGUCCCCACGGCACGCGAGGCAUUAAUAGUGGACAGAAACCAGAAAUAAAUUCAGCAACAUUGUUCGCACAGCUCAAAAAAUGCUAAAAUAUUUGGCGGUAUUCCUUGGACUCGCUCAGUUUAGAGGUCAAAUGGUUCUCAAACUGUCGGCAACCAACUUGUUUGUAAAGCAUAGGACGCUUAAAACUGCAGCAAUGUGAACUAUUAGGCCUAUUAAUACCUGUAUGACGCCUAACAUUAUUUGAAAGGAACACUUUGGACACCAUAACAAUUUCAUCAGAAUGAAGUGGUCAUGGUGCUAGGAAGGCCCUGGCACAUCGUUACUUUCAGGGGUUAACCCUAAAGUUUUCUGACAGGUGCCCCCUGGCCCCCUACACAUCUGUUUGAGUCUGAGGCUUGAAAGUGGAAACCUCAGACUGGGCGCCGUUGAUAGUCUGAUGACGCUUUCAGCCUAUCAGUAACUCCACAUUCAAAAAAACACGGUGCGAGGUAAGCUGGCACCAGGGACCUCCUGCCACCAUAAUAACGUUGUUUCCAUGAAUUGUUCCUUUAAUCUAUUAUCUUAUCGUGUUAAUCUGUUUUCUGGAUUUUGCCUCUCGCUUUUUGCAAGGAUACACAAGCACGUCUUUUUAUUUUUUGUUUAGCUCAUUGUACUUUUCCUCUGUAACACAGCUGCCAUUUGAAAUGGCGCAGACAGGGCAUUCUGUAGAAAUGAACUUACCGUGCCUUUAAUUCCAUGCUGUGAGCACCCGCAGCGUGCCAGCGCAGUAUACUGUAAUUUGUUGUUGUUGUUGGUGAGGUGCGUUCACGGGCUAUAUUCAGUAGGGACGUAAAUGCUGGCAAAACUCGAAAGCACUCUGACACAAUUUUAUAGAAUGAGAGGACUCGCGGGAAUGCAGAGACAAUUAACAUAAUCAAAAUGGUACAGCUCAUUACCCAAUUCCAUUGUCAGUGGUAAGUUGGUUUUAUUUAUCCUUCUGCUUGCUGCCUGACAAUACUGAACAGUUUGAGAGUGUGUUUACUGGGCGAAUAUAAUAGAAAAACAAUUCUUUAAUUGUGGAAUCUGGAUCUUCCGGAUAUUGAAUCUGUAAACUACAUCGAAGGGCUUAAAUUGAUUAACACUGUCUGGGGCACAUAUCCGUUAUACAUGAUGGUGGGCAGAGUAUGACAAGUGCUGGCUAUCUGUAUAAAGGAUUUAUAUGCCACAAAAGCAGACAAGACUUAUACUUAAAGGGAUUCUAUAGUGUAAGGAAUACAAAUUAUAUUCCUCGCACUGUAGUUCCCUCUGGCACCCUACACCAGGCCCUCCUCCCCCACCCCCUGGCAUGGACAGGGUAAAAAAAAAACCUUUGUUUACUAAACCAAUUCCAGCUCCACCUCCUCUGACGUCAUCUGACGGGGGUUUAAUGCGCAUGCGCUGCGAGUGCUUCCAGUGCAUUAGGCCCUCUCCAUAGGAAAGCACGCAGAGCGUGAGGAUGUCCAUUGUCAGGCGACCAAAAGUAGCAUAGCAAACAGAACGUGCCUCUACUGGCUGUCUGAGUCCUGCAAGGUAUUUAUUAUUAUUGCACGUUCUAUAAACUAGAACAUUCAAUGAGCUGAAGUGGUCUGGGUGCCUAUAGUGUCCCUUUAAAGUGAGAAUUGUUAGGAAUUCAAAGGGUAUUUCAAUUUUAACAAGAAAAUAUUAAGUGCGCGCAAAACAUUAAUAACAAGCAGCUCAAAAAACACACUUGUGAAAGGUACCUUACUUUUAGUUUACCAAAAUAAUCCUAAAUAACAAUAUAUACUACAUGUGCAAGACUUCUAAUAUGAAGUGGAGCGCUGUGUGGGAAGGAGUAUUGUAACCUCUUACAACAUGCAGUACAACAGCGAUGUUAAAACAGCAGCAUAUAACAGAUAAAAACAGAGAGAACAACAAACAGUGCAGAUGGGAACAACCCUUGGUAAAUAUGAAUAAUGGGGUGUAAAAACACUCGUGGUAUGGAGCCACAGAAUGCGACCGGGCCCGUCACUCCAGGGCGUCCGGGCGACCCUGUGGACCACUGAGACCGCAGUGCCCAGCCAGCCAUGUGUUGCGGCCCCGGCCCAUGCGGUUGAACCAGCCCGCAUGUUAAGGGGCCCAACCGGUGGCCCAUGCUGUUAGGGCUACACAAUGCUAUGUAUUUCCAAGUGGCCCAGUCAGCGUUGUGGCACUUUAACCUCUCUGCUAUCUGGGGACGUGUCCUUCAGAGAAAACAUGGGAAUGCCACAAUAGGGCAGUAUGCCUGACAAAGUAUUAUAUCUAAUAUGGAUAUAAUGAAAAUGGAUGCUCGCCUGAUUCAGAACCUAUAGGGUCGUUGGCUCUCAGGUCUGCACCUGGUGUAAAAUUGUGGCUGUAGCUGUAUAUCUUGAUCCUUGUUGUAAUAAUGUGCUGGCGACAGUGCUACAGAUAUUAAAUUUAUUAUAACAUCAAAAAAACAAAUAUCAAAACAAUAAAAGUGCACCUAACAUAAAGUCUAGCUUGUGUAAAAAGCCACCAGAAUGCAUUUCACCGUGAUAGCUUCCUCCGUUAUCACAGCGAAACACUUCCUGCUGGUCUUCUUCGGAGUACCGCAUUGAGGUCUAUGGAGGAAAUUGCGAGACCGCGGUAUCAUGGAAGUACGAUUGUCAUCUUUCCCUUUACAUAUCUCUCCAGUGUCCCUAUUCUGUCCCUAAUGUCCCUCUUUUCUAGAAGCUCUGUAUUGUUGGUGUAAACAGGGGGUAAACAGCGCCCCACUGCUCACAGAAAAAUAACUAAACAACACAGCAAUUCAGAAUCCUGGAAAAAAACAGGACAGAUUCAGCCAAAAUUGCUAAUAAACCCCCCAGCAGUUUAUCAGAGUCAGAACAUUUUUAGUGCUGGUUUUUUUUUUCCCGAUAAAGGAAUCAGUCCAUGUAAAAUAAACUAUGUUGAGUAUAUUGCCAUCCGUGGAGCAGAACGCGGAACACGGCUUUUUGAAAUAAAUGUUUCCUGCAAUCCCAGAAUGGAACAAGAAAGCUGUGAGCUGGAUUUGUGUGUGAACAGGCGGCCAGGUUUAAAUGGCUAAGUGAUAUUUUAUUUAUAUGUGUAUUCCCUGACCCUAGCCUUGCUUUCUUGUGUUGACAUUAGUCGCUGUCUCUCUUUCAUUCUAGUCGUUAAGCUAUUAAAUCACUCCAUUUAUUUAGUGUGAGUGUUGCUGAGAGCGCUCAUUUUUAUCUCGCUGAAAACCAGGCUGCUUCAUAGACAGAUAAUGAAAUUGCAUAAAUAUCCCCUUCGUCUGAAAUCUAAUUUAUUUUUCUUGUUCAUUACGGGAGAGAAGGCCAUUAUGAAAUGUAGAAUCUUUUCACUCUCUUUUUUUUUUUUUCUUCCUGUUUUCAGUGUUGAGUGAAAAGCCAUCUCCUUCCUUAUAUAUUUAUUUUAAAUGGUAAUUUCCCACCUGAUUCAGUUUAUUAGCCAUUGGAGUGUACUUGACACGGGCUCCCAUCAACCUCAGCAAUGAGCGUUUUAUUCUGUAAUAGAGAGAGACCUGGUGGGCUUAUAUUCCUGUAAAUUGAACAAAAAUACUUUGUAUCAACAUUAUAAGAGAGGAGACAUUCUUUUACAGCUGGCGUUUAAACAGUGCUGGGUACCCCUCGUGGGGCCGUCAGUCCUGUCUUGAUUAGUCCCCCCCCCCCCCUUUCAUUUAUUUAAGCUGGAUGUAGAGCUGACCUGCUUCAGAAAGAUUGGUGUGACGGGGCGUACAGAAACAGGUGAGUAAAUCCUUUAUGUAACAUUUGCCACAGAAAGCACAACAAGGUAGGAGGCGCUAUAUUAUGCAGGUAUGUAUAUAACGUAAAGCAUGAAGUCAUUUUACUGAUGAAGGCAGUUUAAUAAAAGCUAAUUAUUUAAUACUUGUUUUGCAUUCUUGUUUAUUUGAAAAUAUAAAUAAAUAUAUAUAUAUAUAUAUAUAUAUAUAUAUUUUUUUUUUUAAGUGUUGUGAAGCGGGCAAAAAUCUUUUUAUAGCCGAACUCUCAUUGUCUAAUUAUUUAUUAUGGAUUAGUAGGUGUGGGUCUUUGCACAGCGUUUGAUUGAAACUCCCACCAUCCUCAGUCAUCCAAGGCUGCCUGAGUGUAGCAGGAGUUCAAUCAGAAUAGUGUGCUUGCCAGUUCUAACUUAGAUUGUGCUGAGAGUGUGAGUGAACUUGUCCUUAGAAAACCUUCUCUGGUUUAUCUGUGAAUCAUGGUUCCAGUUUGAAGAUCUAUAGCUCAAUACAUUGUUAAUUAUAGUCCGUGUUGGAGAUGUAAACCUUUUAGAGUGUGGAGUUUGUGAAAAACGCAAUAAGUGGCCGGUAAAGUCACUGAGGGCGUAAUUUCUCAAACUUUUAUUUUCAUUAAUGGGGGCAGCAAGUAAAUCUAAAUCAAACCCAGCUGUUUAAUCUCAUUCCUUCAAAAACUGUGUUGACCAGCGGUUCCCAAACUGUGUGCCGCGGUGCCCCUGGGGAUAUUUUCCUGUGGCUCCCUCUUCCAUGCCGGCUCUGCAGGACUGGAGGGGAGAUCAGAGAUCUCCCUCACCGGCCCGCUAGCACUGUAAUGCUGCAGCCGGCAGGGGACGGAGAGAGGACCCAGGGGAGCUCUUACUUGCAGCACCGUCAGGUUCUCCUCUCGCUAACUCGGAGCGUUGUCACAGUUACCAUGGCAACGCUCCAAAUGUCACGAGAGUGAACUCUAGCCUGAGCUGCACGCUAGAGUUCACUCUCACCACUAGGACCGCCAGGGCUUCUCCACCAAGUUAUAUAUUUAUUAAUUUGCCCUUCUACCCCACAGAGAAACAGUAACUCCCCCCCCACACACACACUGCCCCCAUACACACAAUUGCUCCCUUCCAUACAUACAAACUGUACCCCUCAAUCACAUUGCCCUCCCACAGACACACUGUACUCCUCACACAACCUCCCCCCCACACACACUGCACACACACUAUUCCUCAUACAACCUGCCCCCCUACAUCCACCUCACACACACACACACUGUACACCUAGCACACAAACUGCCCCCUCAGGGAGGGCACUAAGGCACUACUGGCACCGUAACCACUGCAAAGUGCUGUAGUGGUUAUUGUGUCUGGAUUGUUUCUUUAAAUAAUCUACCAGUGCCCCUCCUAAUAUUAGUUUUUGGAUCUGUGCUUGAAUGGCAAGCAUUUCUGCUGAACAGGGACCCAGUAUAUACCGCUGCGCUGUACAUAUAUGCAACCUAGAAAUUGUUAUGACUUAGAGCGCCUUUGAAAAAUAUUGAAAUAUUAAGGGCGCCUUGAACCUAAAAAGUUUGGGAACCACUGGUGUAGACUAAGGUUGCUGGUUGACAAUACGUGAAAAGUGCUGGACUGCUGUUUGUAGCAGUGAUGCUAAUUGUAUCACUGGUGCCACCUAAAUGGGUAGACCUGCCCUGAAAGAUGCUGGGUCUGUCUGAAGAAAAGGCGUGAAUGCACCCAGGAUAGCCCACGCGUGCGGCCCACCCAGGGAGCUCUGUUUCUGUGCUUUCUGUAGUGAGUGUAGAGCAAGCCCAUCUAAUGAUUGAGACAGGUCCCUGGUGUUCCUAAAAGCGGGACACCAGAAUACUAAAUCCAAAGUCAGGAUGCUAGGACUGGACCUUAAAGGAACACUAUAGAGUGCUGGUGUUGUCUAGGUGACCUACCUACAAGAUUGUCCGGAUAAGGUGAUUUUUUACUCACCUUUUCUCCCACACUCAAUCUUGAUGAUCUCAGCCAAUUCUCCCAUAGAAAGCAUUAAAAGGCUAUUGUGCAUGCACGGCGAAACACUGUGCCAACCAGCAUCUCUACAUAGAGAAGCAUUGAAUCAGUUCAUCUCUAUGGGGAAUGUUUAGCAUCUUCAUGCAGAGCGUUGAGACGCUGAAUAGAAAGCACCUCUAGUGGCUGUCUGAUUGACGGUCACUAGAGGUGUUACUAGGCAUUAAUGUAAACACUGCCUUUUCUCUGGAAAGGAAGCAUUUACAUUGAAACUCUGCAGGGACAAUCUAUAGACACUAGAUCCACUGCAUUCAACUAUAGUGGUUCUGGUGAAUAUAGUGUCCCUUUUAAAUUGGAAAUUUUCGCACCUAAAUCAGGACUGUUGCGAGGCCUGCAUUUGGCUCGUUGGAACUCUAGUUUAAGGAUUGCUAGUUUAGCAUCCUGUUCCUUUAUAUUUAAAAUAGAUGCUUAUAAUAGCAACAAGAAUUUGCAGAAAUCCAGAAUCUAUCCACUAUUUUUGAAUAAAACCGUGGACAAGGUUUUCCUGAUUGAUGGAGCCUCUUCCUGCUCUGGGGUUUUUAUAUUGACUUUAAAAUAACUUUAUAUUUAGAUUAGUGUCCCUUAACACUGCAUUAAACAUCAUUAUACAUUCUAUUUACACAAAUAAAAUAACUUAACUCACACAACUCUCAAAGCAGCAGUGUCCGUUUUUAUUAUGAUUGUAUAAUAGCUUACAUAGACUGUCUUAGUUUCCACAAAAUUCCAAAAUUUUAUAAUACAACUUAAGGAUUUUUUGGGGGGGGGGGGCAAACUGUUCAAAAAUGCAGAAUCUGUGUGUCUCACGUUGCCAUUUCUCAGCAUUAAUCAUGCAAAAUCAAACAAGCAUCUCCUUGUGUAAUAGAUAGCUAUGGCAACUCGCUGAAGACGCACAGACAACUCUUGGCCUUGCAGGAUCUUCCAUAGAUUCCUGGCUUGUGUCGCGACUCGUGCAUGUGACAUGCUGGUCAUUGCAAGGCCGCUGCUAGCGAAGCCUAAACGUAUCUUGCCACUGCAACCCUGGAGAUUCCUUGGCAAUCUCAUCAGGGGUGAAUUUCUACUAGACAAGGCUGAAUUUUCACUCCUCAAUAGCUAGUGCGCCAGUAUAAUUUUAGCACUGCUCUACAUAUAGUAUAAUAAUAUUUUGUACAUACAACGCCUGUUUCUUUCAUACUACACAAGAUGCAUCCCAGAAAAAUCUAACAAAUGCCAAGAUUUGAUUUAUUAAUACCACGUCUGAUCCAAAAAAUGCUGUGUUAAUCGUUAACCUCAUGCUCACUACAGAUCUUCAAUCAGUAUCGGGGCUCGUGAAUUAACACCCAUUCAAAAACCAAGCAUGGAAUCUGGUGAUCUUAACGUCCUCGGGGACGAAGAGCAGGACUAAUUUAUGUUAAAGAGACUAAGCUUGGAAUUUAUUUAUUUGAAGGGACUUGAAAGCGAAACAUCCUCAGAAUCUUCUCACCUUGAUUAGACUUUUCAAACCAAUCGAACACAAACAAAAAAGGCAAGAAGGAAAAAAAAAAACACUCACUUUUUAAUUCUGGAGAGAUCACAGGGGCUGUAGUUUCAGCUCUGUGUUUCAAGGGCACCAUAGCCAAUGAAUGCUAAUCCAGUUCCGGAGCAACUCAUUCCGAAUCCACAGCAUCCCUGCCACGCACACCGGCUCUCGUCCUGCCCUCAAGGCUUGAAGAGAAACGCUUGACUGCAACUCUUGAUAGAGAGCAAUCGCUUUCUCCUUAAUCCCCUUAAUUCGCCAUCUUAAUCUGUAUGUACAUCCACUACAUGGGGAGCGUGGAAGAUGAUGGUGGGUCACAGAUUGCUAGGACCACUCAAGGUCAUGGAUGGUGACCUCCUGUACUUGGAUAACUGGAUGGUAACUCCCAUAACCUACAAAAACAUAUAAAGCACCAAAAAGUUCCACAGUUUGGGGACCACUGGUGAUUUGAUAAACAUUGUACUAACUUGGCCGUGGAUAAAUUGACUGUUGAUGGGGCAUCGGUAAACUCUUGUAAUGGAACACGCAAAUGAAAUGAUUUUGGCAGCCUUUUACUGUGUUUUUGGAUGUUUACUGCUCUGUGUUAUAUCUUGUCGGCACAGUUUACUCUGCCAAAAAUGUACUGAACCUUUCACUGUGAAUAUAUUUAAAUGUCCACUCUCCUCAUCCACAGCGUGGCAGUCCCGAUUCAGCCACAGUUACUGGUGGCCUAGUGGUAGUGAUGUGUCUUCCCUUGCAUUGUUACUUGAUAGUUCUGGCUGAGAGUGAUAGGAUGUGAUGCAAUGCACUGGUGUGCUUAUGGGUAGUAUAGGGAGGAGUUCCUGGCAAGUACAUUUUCUGACUGGCUAUGGGCUAAUGUCGUUGUAAAUCUGUUUUAUGUGUAAAUUAUAUCUGGUUUGUCUGUUGGCAGACUACAUCACCCAUGUUGACCCAGCAAAUAGAUGGCUGUAUGUGUUUGGAGAUGAGGUGGUGCCACUGGCCGACUAUAGCAUAUAUUUUAGGUAUUCUUGGAAUCACUGGAUAAAUUAUUACCAAACUAGGAGGUUUGAGUAGAACCAUUACUAGUUAUGGGUCAUUCUGUGCGGGUUAUGCACUAAGACAAACUCUGAAUUGAUUUCUCAACAAAAUAUUCUAAACACAGAUAUGGUUGGUUUGGGAAAAUGUCUGUCUAGAUUUGCCAUAGUUUAUUAUUUUACGAUGUAGUUGAAAUCAAGUGAGUCAAAACCAUGGUUGGACACCGUUUUUGCUAGAAACAAAUGAUUGGGGUAUUUGGGCUUCUUACUGCAACCCACUCUCUCUCUGCCGAGUUAAUGAUGGCUUCCCCCCAUUCCUUGAUUUAAUGGAACGUAUGGAUCACAAAAUCAGAAUUUAGACAUCAUCCCUUUACUACUCGUCUAUGAUCAGAUGCCAGGAUACAGCUGUCAGCCUUACUGGCUACUUCCCAUUGAUCUCUGUACAGUGAUAGAGUUGGGAGACAGCCAGAAUCUUCAUCUCCUGUAAACCUUAAGGUCUAAUAGGGACAGACCGAUCACUAUUUCCUCCAUGCUCAGCAACGUCUAAGAUUUGUAAUAUUUAUGACGGGGCACUGGUGUCCACUGAAGGAGAUGCCAUCCUCCAAAAAGUAGAAUUCUGCUCUAUGGUAUGUCCCACUCGGCAAAAAUGUGGGACGACUUAAACAAUAAUUCAAUGCAAAGCGAUGCAAUACGAUUGCUAUUGGCUUUCAUAGCAAUAUGGUAUUACUUAGAUAAGCAUAGACAAGCCAUUUCUAAGUACAUAGCAGGACAUCAUUCAAUAUGCUGGGAAUAAUGGUCAAUGGAAAAGGAAUUGCUAACUAAAACUUGGCUUGGUUGUGUUAUGCCUAAAAUAUCCAAGACACUUUGCAAUACAUACUUUCCAAAUCAUUUCAAAUACUUUUUCAGUUUAGUUAGUAGCCCUUAGUCUACAAACAACACAAAUAUAUGCAUACCUCCCAAGUGUCCAUAUUCCGUAGGGACAGUCCCUAUUUUGGGCCCAAAUCCUUCUGUCCCUCUUUUCUAAAAGCUCCAUAUUGUUGGUCUGAGUGUAUAAUAGAGCUUCACAGCAAUAAUACUCCCAGUAAUGUGUCUGAGUGUAUAACAGAGCUCCACAGCAAAAAUACUCCCAGUAAUGUGUCUGAGUGUAUAACAGAGCUCCACAGCAAUAAUACUCCCAGUAAUGUGUCUGAGUGUAUAACUGAGCUCCACAGCAAUAAUGCUCCCAGUAAUGUGUCUGAGUGUAUAACAGAGCUCCACAGUAAAAAUACUCCCAGUAAUGUGUCUGAGUGUGUAACAGAGCUCCACAGUAAUAAUACUCCCAGUAAUGUGUCUGAGUGUAUAACAGAGCUCCACAGCAAUAAUACUCCCAGUAAUGUGUCUGAGUGUAUAACUGAGCUCCACAGCAAUAAUACUCCCAGUAAUGUGUCUGAGUGUAUAACAGAGCUUCACAGCAAUAAUACUCCCAGUAAUGUGUCUGAGUGUAUAACAGAGCUCCACAGAAAUAAUACUCCCAGUAAUGUGUCUGAGUUAACACAGCUCCACAGUAAUAAUACUCCCAGUAAUGUGUCUGAGUGUAUAACAGAGCUCCACAGCAAUAAUACUCCCAGUAAUGUGUCUGUGUGUAUAACACAGCUCCACAGUAAUAAUACUCCCAGCAAUGUGUCUGAGUGUAUAACAGAGCCCCACAGCAAUAAUACUCCCAGUAAUGUGUCUGUGUGUAUAACAGAGCUCCACAGUAAUAAUACUCCCAGUAAUGUGUCUUUAAACUACAAUAAAUGUGUUUUAGAAAUCAGUCUGUGUAAAUAAGAUACACUGUUCUUGUUAUAAAUUAAUUUUUUUUUAUAAUUCAUUAAUAAUUCACCUAAAAUAUUUCAAAAAACAGCCCCAACCUGGUCACAACCCCAGUCACACCCCUAAAAUAAAAGUAUCCCUCUUUGUUGAUUUAAAAUGUUGGGUGGUUGGUAUAUUUCCAUACUCCAUUGAUAACUAACUGCUUUAAUGUGAGCAGUUCCAUAAGGAUCUCUAACUAUGCUCUGCUCGGCUCCGGCAAAGUGGAUUUGACACCUGUAUCUGCACAAUGAUAACUUUGCUGGCUAAGAUUGAUUCCUCUGAUUGAAAUUACUAUCUGUUAACAUCUCAUUCGUCCCUGAGCUGAGAGCUGCAGUUUGGGAGCUCUGUAUUAUGGGUAGAUUCUAUUCUUUGUAAAUCUCCCCAGCAGUGCAUCUUUACUCCCCCACAUUUCUGUCGGUGUCCGACUAAAACUUCUCAAUCUGGCUUUUCCCAGCAGAUAAAAUGGAAAUGAUUGCACAAGGCCAAAGGUGCUUUUGGUCUGAGCACAUGCGGCAAACCUGCCAGAAAGUGGGGGAGGGAAUCCUGAUGAGAAGUGAGUUGAUUAGAGGGUUAAAGUGGCAGAACCGAGAUUUUCAAUUGUGCAAUUAGUUAACCUUAUGUUAUAGUUGUCAGCGCAUCCUUUUAACUAGCACUGUCCCCAAUGAGCCUUCAAACAACCCUAGAUUUAGAGACUGAGCCGUUUGCUGCCUGAUAAGUCUCUUAGAGAAUUUACUGGAACAGUUAAUAAAAGAAGAAAUUGGUUUGGAUUUCAAAGUGGCCAGCUUAGGGAAUAUUCUCUGGUUUUCAUCCUUUUUUAUGUUUUAUUUUUUUCCGUGUUCUUUUUAUGUUGUCUUGCUUGUAUUAUUCUUUAUUUUGGGAAAGAGAAUGCAGGUUCUUAAAAAAAAAAAAAAAAAAAUUUCUUUAACAAAAAACUGUAGCUUUUCCAAAAUAAGGUUUUAAGCUUUGUGCCUUAACCCCUUAAGGACCAAACUUCUAGAAUAAAAGGGAAUCAUGACAUGUCCCACAUGUCAUGUGUCCUUAAGGGGUUAAAGAAAGUAAGGCAGUACAAUGUAAGAUACUGAAACCUUAGCCUGAAAGCCACUUCCAGCAAUGUCUAGAUUAUUUGGUUAAUGCCUGGGUUGGGUGAUUUUGAUCGUGUAGUAAUGUGAUUGGUACAUUCUUUACUGCUGUCUGAAAUCUGAUUAAAGCUUUGGCAUUUUUUAAAUCAACUUGACAUUUUUGUUUUCCAAGCUGGCAAUAAAACACACAAACCCAACUUUAAGUGGGUGUAGCCCAUACGUAUUGGUUUAUCCAAUGUCCCUUCUUUUCUCACUGUGGUCUCGUUGGACAUUCCUCCAAUCUCUUGGUGUACCCCAAAUGUUUGAUACUCCAGUGUUGUCUUGUUGACCAGCAGCUCCACCAGAACCCUAAAUACUUGGAAACAUUUGAUGCUGAGUUUUAAUCUUACUAUGUCAUAGUAAAUUGGCAGCGUUUUAUGUUCUUGUAGACAAGUAUUGACUCCAGAACAUUCUAUACCUAUUCCUUGACACCUUGGGUACAGCUACCUGGGGACUCAUUAAUCUAAUGGCCUUCUGCAGAGUUUUGCAGUUAAAGUUACAAAGAUACAGCAAUUAGGAUGACCAUGUAUUGACCAUACAUUAUUUCUGUAGUGACAGACACUAUUAAAGUGAAACACACAUUAGCAUCAACAUGACUGAGGCCAGUAGGCACACCAGGGAGUUUAAUGAGCUGACCGUGUGAGGCUUCAAAUAUCUUCACCGUUUAAUAACACACCAUGAGGAUGCUGGGUAGGGAUUUGCCCCUAAAUAACCAUAAGAAAACGUGAAUUUGUCAGUAUGGGAACUUACUGUUAAUCCAACUGUACUCUAUGAAAUUGUAUUCAGUUUAAAAAAAAAAAAGUGAGAAAACUCAUCCUUUUAGUAUAUGAUUUUUUAGCAUAUACAUGCACCUUGGGUCAGACAGUGUUUGAAAACAAUUAGUCUCUAUGAUCUUCCCUGUUUCACUCUAUGCACAGAAGCAGGGAAGACCAUAGAAACUGUUGGUUUGUCUGACCCAAGGUGCAUGUAUAUGGCUGAAGGAUCAUGUGAUAUACUAAAGUAUGGAAGAGGUUGUGGAUAUCUCCUUUAAUGCUCUUACAGCCAUGAUGCUAGCAAGGCCUCAGUGGAGACGUAAUCUACAACACCUUGAUUGCCAAAGGUUGCCUAGCCCUGUGCUUGAUGUAGUUGACUGGUGAACCCUCCGGUAACAGCAUCCUCUGAUGAUGGUCGAGUCCAAUGAUCUCCGUUAAUUCUGAAGAAGACAAACAAGACCUCAAUACUCUGUGCCAUCUUGAAGUCCUAAUGCAAACUGGCCAUUAAUAUGUCCAUUAUUGCCCUGUGGCUAAAGAUUUCAUACAUUAGGUUUUAGUUAUGGUUUGCCACCAGACUACCAAUUGUUUGGAGAGGUAGAUUGUUCUCGGACAGCCUCAGGACAUUACAGCAAUCAAAGUACUGUAUUAAUAGUUAUUCUUAUUUAUAGACACAGGAUGGGUCACAUCUAGAUUUAUGUUCGGAGUUCCCUUUUGACAGCUGGGAAUUGCUGAGUGCAGCAUGUCUGCCAUGAUCCUUCUGUGACCUCAAGAUCUUACACAGGCAUUGUAGAUAUCCUACAGAAAGCGAGGCGAGGUUAUCGCCCCGUCCUCUUGGCACAGAGAAGCGCUGAAUUGGUAACUUCAUUGACUUGACAAGGGUGAAUUUUGAUUUCUAUGUUUAAAUAAAGUGAACGUGAAUUAAUUUCAUUGUUUGGAAUAGCCACGCCUUGCACACUAUAUUACACAUCUUACUUGACUAUAAAAUGCAAGGCUCCGUAGUUUAAGAGCUUUCUUUAUUAACUUCUUCUGAGCUGGAAUUUUUACAAUCCCUAUGAUUUUGGCAAAUAAUUGAUUAACGGGACAGUGCAAGCCUCCUCCUAUUGCACUGGUUAUUUUGCAAAACGCUCCCUCUUCUUAAUCUCCCUUCUUUUCUAUUGCUAAUAUAUGAUGCUGUAGGGAAAGCACAACAUUUUUUAGUUGUUUAAAUGCUGUUUGCUGCUCUUUCAUAGACGUAGGUACACCCAUUUUGUUCAAUGACUAAAUAUACUCAUGACAUAAAAUUCUCUAGCACAAUGGUGAGAAAAGGAAUGGCUUUGAAACCUGUUCUAUGAAGAACCUAGGGAUUUGCAAAUAUCAAACCCCACUUUUCUCCAAAUUGCAGUUAAAAUGAAUGAUUUGGCUGGCACUACCUUUUAUUGGGACAUUGCUUAGGACCGUUGUUAAUCAGGGUGUUGGUUGUGACUCCCCUUUACUGGAAAGGAUAACAUAUGAUUUAAAAAUAAAAUUUCUAUGGUUUCUCCCAAAGUCCUUGAACAUCUGCCAUAACUUUUCUUCGGGUGGCUUUUUGUUUUCCCAGAGUUACCUGCUUGGGCUCGGGAUGAGAGGUGACCGCAUUUGUAAGGAUAUGAAUGCAGGUGCCUCGAAGCCUAUAGCUAAUGGUUUCAGCAUUUAAAUCAUCCUCUUUCAGAGAUUAACACUUGGCUCCAGCAUUGCUUUAAGCAAUGCAAUAAAUAAAUAAAUUAACAUAUGAUUAUACAAUGUCAAUAUAUUGACCUCAAAGCAGGGGUCUUCAUUAGGGCUUUAAUGGCAGAGGAGGUAAUGAUCCGGAUCCUCGUUCACCUGCAGAAGCGAUUUACAUAUUAAUUAAGGAUCAUUAUUAGCAUGCAGUGCAGUAAAAAUAUACAGGCUAAUGUUCUCAGGCGCCCCGGUAAUGGCACCCUAAGGGUUAAAUUAAACCGUGUCUGCUUUAUAGCUUUGACCUCUCUCUAAACACAUGUGGAGCCCACGCACACCCCACACCGACAAAUGGAAAUGCAGACAGCGGUGGGCCGCCUGGAGGCUUUAUUUAACUGCAACAUCUGCACGAUAGGUGUAGAUUGAUAGGAGUUGUGGUGAAACUGGUCCCUCGACGUGCUGAUUUCCAUAAUGAGCGCACCUUCAGGAAGAGGGGCUGUCUCAUUUUAGAGGGUAAUUCUGUAACCAGCACUUCCUCAAACAAAGCUUUACAUGAACGUUGGUAGAUCCGAUCACUUCUGUGUCAGCGUAAAUUCAGUUUUCUUCAUUGUGUGUUAUAAUUUAAAGAAAUGACCAACUCAAAAAUGAAAUGUUCAUUUUUUUUAAAAUCAAAAAUCUAAAUAAAUUAUGUUUUGGAAAAUUGUCUGUUAUUUGCAGAAUAGCAACUCCAGGUAGCACCAAAAAAGUGUCUGGCAGGUUCCCAUGCCCUUGGAAUAAUAAGAAACCAAGACAUUCUUAUAGAAUUAUGUUCUGCGUCCCUGAUCCUUUAACAAUAAAAACUAACUUGAAUCCACGAAUGACGUGUUAUAAACUAAAACCUGUUAAUAUUGCCAGUUUUGUAUUAUUCUCAAUAUAACGAUUCAGAACACUGUGUACUUGCCACUUCCUUCUUUUUUAAUAUAUCAAAAUAAUGAGCGCUCAAUGUUUUGCAGUGCUGAAACAGAAAGUGAACCCUGGUGUGCAGACAACGGGAAUAUUGUGAUUACAGGGAAGUCAGUGGAGAGUGUCUGAAUCAUCUUUCAGGGGGUAGAGUUGAAAUAAAUUAACAAUUUUGCUGCCAACUAUCUGAACCCAAAACACUGGAUGGCAAUCAUUCUCCUCGGACAGAUUUUAAAUGGAAUACUUGAACAUAUCGUACAAGGACAAAGCGAAUCCAAAAAAUCUUUAAAACUCCCAAAUGCGCAUUAACGGCUGCUAUGUGAGCAGUUGUUGUGAUUAGUUUUCAGCUCAGGAUACAUAAAUGCAGAGCAAGAGGCUGACUCCUAAACCUGCAACUACCAUACAACAAAAAAUGAGACAACCUUCAGAUACACGUUGCCGACAUGCCAAGAAUCACAAUGAUGGGGGAACCAUUGACAACUGGCACUCACUUCAAAGGGGGCAUUUUGGCAUAUACGUUGGUGCUGGUUUAUUGCACUCACUCUAAUCUCUUAUUCAUGUGUUAGCGCGUUUUAUGAAGUUCUGUAUACCUUACUAAUUUUAGGCUUUGAUUUUAAUAUUUUUGAAUAAGCUUUUUGAAUGACUUCUUAUAUUGAAAAGUGUUUUAAUAGUUUUAGAUGUAUUUUUUUUAUGUAUUGAUAUUUUUUUAUAUUUUAAUUUUUUGAAAUUUUUUUUUAGAAAAAAUGUAUCCAAAAAUAUUUUUUUUUUUUACUUAUCCAAAAAUAUGAUCAAGGCCUUUAUUUCUUUUGGAGAGGCUUUCAACAUCUGUGCAAACUUUAAAUAAUGGCAAAAACAUGUUUUUUGGCUAUAAGAGAGAGAAGAUGCAGAGACAAAAACAGGAAAAAUUAUUUUAAUUCUGGUUUAAGUUUAAAACCAUCUCUUCACCCGGACAGCAGUGGGGUCUAGCGGAACCCUAACAGCUGAGAGACAUUGGUGGGAAGGAGUGGUGGAAUUUAUUCAGAUACAAGGGUCAGAGUUCUGGUGACGGGUGGACAUAGACAUGGCCAUUCUGAUGGGCGUUGAGAAGCAGCAAAGAAAUCUUUUUUGGACUUUAACUUUAUUUAAAGUUUUCUCAGUGAGUCGCAAAGUACUCGAUUAUCCGCUGACGAUCUCCAGAGGGAGCUUGAACAGAUGACAAUUUCUGGCCCACACCUGUCAUAGUAUCUCCUAUUUAGCAGCUUCCCAUUACCUCCGCAUACAUCACCCCUGUGCAGUCUGGGAACCUCUGAAGUCUUUUUCAGUCCACUAUUAAAUUGUACCCAGAGUUAGAGAACAUUUACAUUACCUCACACUGUAACAUUCUACAUCUCAGCUCCUGUGUUUGUAGUCCGUUAAAUGCGAAAAUACUUUUUGGUGUUGUAUACAUUGUUUUUCAAAGCUCUAAAACUGUUUUUCACUUAAGAAAAUUUUAAAUCUUGUUAAUUACGUGUUUGGCAAAUUCCUUUAAAAGUGUGAUCCUUGUUCCAUUUAACAACUUUUUUCCCUCCUGAAUACAAUUGCCCAAUUUAAGCUGAUGCUGGUUUUUUUUGGCCAAAGUCUAGAAUGAUACAUUUAUGGGGUCAUGCACUGCAACUAUAUUGGAAAAAUUCCUGAUUUAUAAUCUUGCUGAUAGCUCAUUAUUCUGUAAUAAACACUUGUUGUCAAGUGACUUUUAAAGUCAUCUAUCAAAUUCCCAUGUGGGCUUGAGAAAGGGAAUCCAUGGUACCUUCUAAGGGGAAAAGAAGAGAAAGAAGCCCUCGUAAUAUGGAGAGUCUGUGCAUAUUAAUUAUCCGUGAGAUUAGAUAUGUUGCCCUCUGGGAAAGCUAUUAAAGGGACACUCCAAGCACUGUAACCAUUGCAGCUAAUUGCGGUGGUUAUGGUGUAUGGUAUGAUUGCAGUAAAUGUCUCUUACAGAGUCCAUCAGCAUACCUACUAAAGUAAAAAGUAUCGGGAAUGUAAGGUGAAUUUCAAAUAUAAGGCCAAAAUUGUUGACCUUGAAAAAAUGUCUAAAUCAAAUAAGCUUUCAUUAAGAUUUUUUUUUUUUUGGUCUAAACAUUCGACAUUUACUUUGAAUCCCCAAUAAUUCUCACUUUAGUGAUUAACCCUGCAUGUCCAUUCAGCUGCACAAAAUGUGUUUAAAUGCCUGCUUGAAUCCUACUUACAUGUACCCAUAUAUUGAAAACAAAGAGUAUUGUGACACUUCCUCAUUUGACACCUCCGAUAAGAGGUCAAAAACCAUUUGAAAAGAGUUUGCUAAAAACUUGGGAUUGUACCGAAAGGGUCUUUAAAACCAUAAAUACUGCGAUGAGCUGCAUCGAUACAAUAAGCUGUAGUGAUUAUCAUGCUUAUAACUUUAAUUUAGUGGCUGGGAAAGGGGUGGUAUUUAAUUUGGAUGUGGAAUCGAUAACAUAUAGGGAUACAAAUUUGCUGAAUGUAAAUAUAAGUGUUUGUUGUAGUUUACUUAACGUUUAUGAUUAAAGGGACACAGUAGUCACGGUCUGCUUCUUCUGAUUGAAGUGGUAAUAGUGUCUACAGCCACCUGAUGUUGUCCUUCCAUUCAGUUUUUAAUGUUUUAAUGCUAGAGUCCCCAGCAACCCAUCCCCUCUGGUCUGCUUUGGCUAAUGACAAAGUAUUAGUCUGAGCAGCAGUGGUCAGCUGUGAUUGGCUGAGAAUCUCAGCUGACAGCUUUUUACCUAUCAGAGCUUCAACUGAUUGGAUGGAGGGUAUGACUAUAAGGAAGUGCGUAAUCUCUGCCUUAGCCACACCUCCUGUAGGGGCCGGACUGUGGGAAGACAGGGAUCAUAAUUUUAUUCUUAAACUGUUCUAACAUGGUUUAACACUGAAUGGAGGGACAGUGUUAAGGGUCUCCAGACACUAUAACUAAUUCAAAUAGAUGAAAUGAUUAUAGUGACUACAGUGUCCCUUUAAUUUUGCUGGGGAAGGGCUUAUAAGCUUGUCCAUGACCUGAAGAAAUAUAUAGAAUAAAGAACCGCUAUUUAGAAAAAUGCGUUAACAUUUAUGCAGCUUCGUUCUCAUGCCUUAAAAUCUCAUUUUCCAUGGAAUUACAUUUAUUUGGUAAUUAUCUGCCUUGCCAUCUUUCAAUGUCAGAUCGCAGACAGGCGCUCAUAACUUUCGCAGCUACAAACUGCAGUCUUUGUUCUGAGACCUUCCAGGGUUUUAACUUGUUAAUAAAUGACCAAGGACCUUAUGGAAGGGUAAGGUCUGAACGGCAGAGAAGUGAUUUUUAAUAAAGUAGAUAAUGUUUAUAAUUUCCUUAGUUAUUGUCAUAGCUGUGAGUUUAUCUGCCAUUUUACAGUCAAAUUGCAUAAUGCAAUAUACACAGGGUUAUUCACUAAGGCGUGAAUUGUUAUAAAUUUACAAGGAAUUUAACAUAUAGGCCCAAAUUGUCAAAGUAAAUACAUUACUGACUUUUUACAAAGUUUGUUAAAGAAAUAUACCAUAACCACUACCGCUUGCUAACACCCUGUAGAGAGUCAAACCGUUGCCUCAGGCCAUUUAAAAACUCUUUGGGCACCUUACAAUGGGACAGGGAGGGCACCAGGGCACUUCUGGCACCAUAAGUGAGAUGUAGUGGUUAUGGUGCUUGGUAUAAAACGUUUGCCAUUUUCUUACACGUCUUAAAGCACUAUCUAAUCUUAUCUGAUGACUUGCCUCAUUUAUUUUUUAAUUUGAUUACUGGGUAUUAAUUUGCAUUCGUUGACCUAUUAAAUUCAAAUUACAAUAUAUCUGAAUGGACGGAUACAUUAUGUACAUGUUUGGGAAACAAAGCUGUUUCAGCUAUUGUUUUGUCUUUCAUUUAAUGGAUUCCAAUUCAAAUUGUAAUAAUAAACCUAUAAGAGAGAAAAAUACUCAAUCAUUGGCUGCAAAGAGAAAGGGACAUUUAAAAAGUGCGUUUUGCAGAGACCAGGAUGGGCGUUGGAUUUACCAGCCAGUCCUAGACCUCCAAUAGUUACACCCAAACAUUCCUGCCUACCCAGAAUGGGUGUAUGGCAUAAUACAUAUAUAGUACAACAAUGACAAGUAGUUUCUUUCAUGAAAUCACCUUAAUAAAACUACUUGGCAAACGUAGCCACAUUAUGACGAAUUGUUUCAUUAAUGCUUAUUUAUGAAUUAAGCUGUUUAUAGCCAAACGUACACACAGCAUCUUGGUCAGCCACAGGAGCUUAAAAGGUUCAAUCCCUUAUCAGUAUCCCCUUAUCCCCCUUCCCCUUGAUCCUGCUUGGUCCCUAAACCUGUAUGUAGACUUUUUAUUUUGUAUAUGAUAUUCUGUACAUCUAGCCAGCACCGCAGAAGAUCGGUUUAUUACCAGAAGUUCAACUUAGUGGAGUCUAGAGGUUUUUUAAAACUGUUUUAUUUAUUUAUUUAUUCCUCUCUAAACCAGGAAGUGUGGAGAACUUUAAAAGGGAAUUGGAAGGUUCUUCUAGCACAUGGGAUUCUCUGCCUGAAGAGGUGGUUUUAUCAGAGUCCAUACAGACGUUUAAACUGCAGUUGGAUAAAUACUUCCAAAAACAUAACAUACAGGGAUAUCAUUUCUAAUUAGUGGGGUAAUAGCUGCUUGAUCCAAGGAGACAUCUGACUGCUAUUUUGGGGUCAAGAAGGAAUUUUUUCCUAGUUUGUGGCAAAAUUGGAAGCGCUUCAGACCAGGUUUUUUGCCUUCUUUUGGAUCAACAGCAAAAACAUAUGUGAGAAGGGCUGAACUUGAUGGACGCAAGUCUCUUUUCAGCUAUGAACUAUGUUACUAUGUUACUAUGAUCUGUUAUUUUGUCGUUAAACUUGCAGUUCUCUUGUCGUUUCCCCCAGUUUAGGGAAUGAUGUGACAGCUGAGAGCUGUAGAAUCUGGUAGAAUCGGUGUAUAUGUAGUGUAUUGAAAUGCCAAUGUAUACUCAGCAAUUGGUUCACACAGCGCUAAAAUGGAAAAAGAUCUCUGAGUUUGGGAAUGAGCAGAUCUGCUGAUAUAACUCUCCUGUACCCAGCAUGUCUAUGAAGCCUUAUUGUGGCUUUUUAAUUAAUUUAUUUAUUUUUUCAGCCAGGUGCCUCCCCCCAUUAAUCCUGAAGUGAAGGGAGAGCUGAAUUACUACCGUACAGUGCACAACAUGUCCCUCUGGGCUGCCGCUAUCUGGGUUUCAUUUCCUGUCUCAUUCAGUUCACUGUUGACACUAAUCCUUUUUAGUUUUCACCCGGCCUGUGGGCACAAGUCAGACUGCUCUAACCGACGGUGCCGGCUGCCCUCUCUGCCCCCGCCCUGGGACAUCCAACCUUCCCUUCCCUUCUUCAGUGACUGAUGAGGCUGUGUCAAGGCACACUCUCCGAAGACAUUAACAACCAGUGUUCUCUGAGAGUCUAGAAAUGCAGAGUGUGCUGAUUGAUUUCCCAGGGAGUGAGCCAUUGAGAGAGAAUGAGGGGAGGGAGCAUGCAGAGGGUACACAGGCUCGCCUUCCUUCAAUACACAACCUCCUUGGCAGCUUCUAUUUUAUGCAACAAUGGUUCCCUGAGUGAUCUGCAACAAAAUAGCUAGAGCUGGAUCCCUUAGAAACUGCCCGAGAGGGGGGAGCACUGGAAUUAAUUAGGGCAGGUCUGUUAACCCCCUGCACAUCAUGCUGCUGGGACACAGUCUGCUUGGCCAUCGCCCUACCGCCAUGUAUGCUGCUAUCUUUCCCUUGCAGGAGCACAAACUCCAUUUAUGACCGCAUGAGCACGCAUGUACAGUGUCUGCUGCAGGACAUUGUUCAUUGUUCUCUGGUGGGAGGAAUGGUGAUAGUUACAAAGUGUCUGCGGAAUCAUAACCGCACCUUGCUUGUUUAAGCGUAUUUUAUCCUCCACCACGGCCACCUGUAAGAUCUUACAAUGGUCAUGGCUAUCUUCUCUCUAUAUAGAAACUGCACCCUUUUUGUUUUUUUAUAUUUAGCUCAGUCUCAGAUGAAAAUUACUUGCGAUUUGAUAUCAAUGUAUUGAUCCAUGUUUUUGUAGGUUACCCCCAAAAAACAAUACAAAAAACCUUCCUGCUACCAUCUUAGUUUUUUUUUUUUUCCUGUAUACUUUACGAUAAGAGGCUCCUUCAUGUUUUAACAGACCCUCAGUCUCUGUGUCCAGGCCAGAUUUCUACCAUUUUACUGAAUGUUCUGCUGAUCCAUUCCACCCAGAGAGUCAAUAACUUGAUAUAUAAGCCGCACAGUUUGUUUUGGGUUUUGUAUUUUGUUUUUCAUUAAAUGCCAAGCCAGGUGGAUCUUGACUCAUCUCGAAAACUAUAAAUGUCUACUCCUGCACACCCAGCCUUACAUGCAAGGACAGGCUGUUGUACAGAGGUUAAUUUUAGAACACAAACAAUAUAUAUAUAUAUAUUUUUAUAUUUAAUGAUCUGAUUGAAUGUGCCCGGGUGACUGGUGGCUGCGUUUGUGGGAAUUAUCCAGAAUGCCAAUGUUUUGGGGUGCUCGAGAAAACCUGCUUCAAUAAUUACUCUAACAAAAUGUUGCUUUGCGGGAAAUUCUUUUGGGGUAACUCCUCCCUUGUCGACCCAUGUCUGUUUGUAAAUGGGGUCCUUAUUUUAUAUUUUCCACAAUCAAUUGGAUAAUAAUAGACAUAUGUUUAAAUAUUUAUGUCACAUGAAAUAUUUUUAUACAAUCUGUUUACAAUGUUUCAUUAAGGAUAAAAUCCUCUGUCCCUUGGUGGACACAAGAAGGUAGGAUAUUCGUGAGCCUGGAGCAGCAGGGUAGCAGGUGGUAAGUGAGGUCAGGUGGAAACGUGUAUGAGCACAGCUGGUACCGUGUAGCUUGGUUGGAUUUGCUGAGUCUUGCCUGCAAGUCGCUCAUUAUCAGUCAGCCUUUAUACCUCCAAAGAAUUCACAGCAAGUUUCUGCGUUUUAAGGAGUCGUCUCUGGCUACGAGGGGUUCACAGCUUAAAAGUGUUCAUUCACUAUUGAAUAUUUAUACGGUGAGAAAAGUGGCUGUGUGGAGUUGCAUUUUUUUUUCUCUUAAUCUCUCCAGGAUCAGAAGCCUCCAACUUGUGGCCACACGAUAACAUAAACAGCUUAAAUCUGUUCACUGCUGUUUUCAAUAUUAGAAAUUUUAUUAUUCACAUAAAUCACAUCCAGUCUGGAUUAUGAUAACUGCUGCUGUCGAUCUAGAAAUGGACAUACCAGCAGAUGCUCAGUGCUUGGUCCUUAAUCUCCGUGUUACUUGUUGUCAAUGGACAGAUUUUCAGCAUCAUUCUGAAGUUCACUUGAAGUCUUCCUUUCUGUUCUUUUCAUAGCAGAGUUUCAUAGUUGAAAGCACUACUUGAAUACAGAUCAGUGUUAAUUUUAAUGGCAAAUUUCUAUUUAGUUUUAGUCACAGUCUUUUUAGUCAUAGCCAUUUUAGUUUCAGUCGUAUUUUAGUCAUCUGAAUUGUUUUAGUUUUAGUCUAAUUUUAGUCGACUAACUCUCCAGUAGAUUUUAGUCGAUACAACUAAAAUCUAAUGGGUUUAGUUAAAGCCUCUAUAUGUCUUUUCUGUCCCUUCCCCAUCCCCUGUGUGACUCUUUAUGUCCUCCCAGCCCCGAUUAGGUAUCUCUCUCUUCCAAGCCCUGGUCUGUCUCUUUUGCCCCUUCCGCAGCCCCUCUGAGCAGUGUUAAUGUUGGCAGCAAAUUUUGUUUUAGUCAUAGACUUGUGCCUAAAAAACAUUUUAGUUUUGGGCAUAUUUUAAUCAUCUGAAUUGUAUUAGUUUUAGUCGACUAAAUCUCAAAGUUUAGUCGACUAAAAUUGUAGUCGACAAAAUUUAACCCUGAUACAGAUGACAAGACAACUCACGAUCUUAAAUAAGGCUUUAUUAAGGUUUUAAUGAGAACUGUUAGAAUCAUGUUGUAUCCAAAACUGACUUGCUGCAUACAAUGUUCUGGCUUAUAUAUUAAAAGAUUAAUAACGGUCUCAAGGCCCGUUUAUUUGGAAUAUCCCCAUGGAGAUUCAUGCAUAGAGACGUUUAUAGAUCAGUACGUAUAUUGGACGAUAACAGAUCGAUGGAUGUAUAGCGCUUGCUUUUAAUGGCUAGCUCUGCAGCCAGAUAGUUUUCCAUUCUCUCCCAGCUGUCUGCGGCCUGUGAUAUACUGAUAUCUAGAUGGAUAGAUGCUUUUACAACUCUUUAAAUGAGUGAUAUGCCAUGUUCCCAAUUUUGCCAUGUGAUUAAUUACCUAUAAUAUUUCUCAUCAGGGAGAAAGAAGUGGCCGUUUUAAUUUUUUUAUUUUGCAUCGUGUUCUCUCCAUUCCGUGUAUCAAUGAUUUGGAAGUCAUUCCAGUCUAAUUGUCCCUCCAGAGAUCUCCCCUGCUCAGUAUAAUUUAUCGUACAGUGGCAAAGCUUGAAUUGAGGGAGGCUGCAGGAUGGCUGGCGGUUUAAUUACACCAGAUCUGUGUAUUAACUCUUUGCUAUUACUGGAGUAUGCACUCCCCCAAGCACACACUCACACUAACCUUUAUUUAAUUAACCUGCUCCCUUUGUUCAUCUUCUAUUUCUCCUUGUUUUCUUUGAUACCCCAAUAUACACACUUGUCACAGGCUUCUCUCCCAGACAGGUUAGCGUUUAGAAAAGCCAACCAGUAAAUCCUCUACAGAGCUUGUAUCUCAGAGCUUGUAUCUCAGGAUCAUCGAUGGGGGUGGUGGUGGGUGAGGUCACAGGUAAACUAUUUGGGUUUUACCCACUCACGCACGCUUUCACAAUAAUAUAGUGAUUACUUGCCUUGGACACUACCUACACUGGAUCUUCAUACCAUUUACUAAAAUAAUAAAUUGCUAAUCCUCAGUACAUAUUAAUGUAAUGCACAAUAUGUUUAUAAUAGUAUCCCAGCACCGUGUGCUGUUGGUAUUAACAUAGCAGAGGUGAAUCUAUCCCAACUCAUGUACACGUACUGUCUUCACCGGUCGUAUUCCUAAUUUUUUAAUUCUGUGAUCUUGUGAGAUUAUCCACCAAUCUGAAUUAUUUACACAGUUUAACGCCUGAUAAAUCCUUUCUCCUUUAGUGUCAGAGAAUCUGCUAUUUCACUGUGGGAUAUGUUAUAACAGAUGGGUGAUCUGUUUUUACCUGAUUCUGUAUAUCGCCAUCAUUACGAAAUUAUUAUUUGAAGGAACUCUUCAAACACCAUAACUAUUGCAGCUUGCUGAUAAUGAUAGAUUGAGCUGUAAUGACACAAGUUCUAUCCCUCCCUCCCUCUCUCUCUCUCUCAUUCUCUCUCUCAUUCUCUCUCUCGCUCUCUCUCAUUCUCGCUCGCUCUCUCUCUCUCAUUCUCUCUCUCUCUCUCUCUCAUUCUCGCUCGCUCUCUCUCUCUCUCUCUCUCAUUCUCUCUCUCUCUCUCUCUUGUUCCUGUUGUCUUGUCCAACGUUAACCUUGUCUUAUCAUUGGGUAAUUAGCACAAUUUAAAAAUUUAAGACUAGGUGCUUCAGCUGGCUUCUUUUUUUUGUCCUUUUAAUAGAACAGAAUUAGACAUUAAAAAUCAAAGUGGUUAUUUUACAUAAUCUAAAUUAUCUGGGAACUGAUUUCUUGUUUAAUGUUUACCAUCUCUGAGCUGUGUCAUCGCAGAUCGAUUAAGAUAUUGCUCCUUCAUACAGUAAAAAAGGGAAAUAUCGCGUGCAUUCUGCUGCCUGGUUCUCCUUCAAUUAUCACCUAAACCACACUUCUCCUCCUGACCAGGAAUUCAUUUUUUCCUUUCUUUCCCUUAAUAAUUUAGCUAAACAUUCAAAAAAAUCAAUAAACUUCACUUCCUCUCACGCCAUCCUACUUUCACUCCCCAUCAUUCCAUCCUACCUUUACCCCCUCUCACUCCAUCCUACCUUUACCCCCUCUCACGCCAUCCUACCUUCACCCCCUUUCACUCCAUACUACCUUCACCUUCACCUUCCCUCACUGCAUCCUACCUUUAAUCCCUCUUUCUCCAUAAUACCUUCACUUUCCCUCACUCCAUCCUACCUUCACCCCCUCUCACUCCAUCCUACCUUCACUCCCCAUCACUCAAUCCUACCUUCAUCCCCUCUCACUCCAUCCUACCUUCACCCCUUCUCACCCCAUCCUACCUUCACUCCCCAUCACUCCAUCCUACCUUCACCCCUUCUCACUCCAUCCUUCCUUCACUCCCCAUCACUCCAUCCUACCUUCACCCCCUCUCACUCCAUCCUACCUUCAUUCUAUCUCCCUCAAUACAACCUUCACUCCCCCUCACUCUGUACUAACUUCACUCCCUCUCACUCUGUACUAACUUCACUCCCCCUCACUCCAUAUUAACUUCACUCCAUACUACCUUCACUCCCCCACCCUCUCUCGCUCCCUACGCAUUCCGCUGGACUCCGAGGUUCCCUGGUGGACCACUGAUGUUCUUCCAGCUUUUGCAGAAGCUGAAAGCCAUGGCCUUGCCCUUCAUUGUCUGAGAUUGUCAGCAGACCAGUCUCAGCCAAUAUUAGUGACUGCUGCUCAAUAUAUCUGACAUCAUAUCCUUGGACGGGAUUGUUCCGUACUGGCAUGCAAUAUUAGAGCUAAUUGAAGCUCUGGAAAGUGUGAGUGUUCUAUUAACAGUGUCUUUAUAUCUACUGCAUUUCUUACAGUAUUAUACUAUUGUACAUUUCUUUGUUAAAGAUAUGUCUCACAAUUAUCCUUCUCCGUUGAUUGUAUGUAUAAUCCUUUUUAAUUACUAAGCGCGGCUCACCAUUUGUUUGUAUUUAUCAGCCAAUGACUGACCUGUUCUGCAAUGAAAGUUGCACAGAAUUGGCAUUAAUCAGCUUGGAACUCUAGUCAUGGUCUGGGUGAUGACACCCCGAGGAGCUACCGGAGGUGAAAUUACAUCUCUGCCAGUAGAGAGGUUAAACUCGUUAUGUGUAGCGUUUCAAAGUGUAACGCUGUACAUAAAGAGGUGCCAUGGUCUUGGAGUAACUUUUACAUUUUAAAUUUACUUUGAAUGAAGUUUAGUAACUAAUCUUGUUGGUCUCUUGUUGUUGUUCCCCUUUUAACUCUGUGUCAUAACUUCCCUCACAUUAAGCUCUCACCCCCCCCCCUACAGUUUUUUCCAUUCUGAAGUUGCAUGACUCAAUUCUAUUUGCUCCCCAUUAUCUCUGUGUGACAGACCAUAGGAAUUGGGCUGCAAUCAAACACUCGCUUUGAGGGCCUAUUCCAACCGCAUGUCGCCGGUCGAAAUCCCUUGCCUCCUUGAAUCAGUCCAUUCUGGAAAAAGCAGGGGGCAUCAGUGGGCCAUGACAUUGGCUCCAUUGAUGAUGUACUCUUGCUUCAAUUUGACUCCUGAGGCUUGCUAUUUAAUUACGUGUCAACAAGAAAAAAGAGCAACAGGGCUUGCAAAAUGACUGCGGCGUGAUAACCGUACCAAAGAAACUCAUUAGACAGAGUUAGAUUACAUAAAAAGAACUGGACGAGGCGAAUGCUCGGUCAGUCACUUGGCUUAAGGUGUAGCUCGAAAACUCCAACAUCUGCGAUAAUAGGAAUUCUGUAGCAAAUACUUCUUAUUAGUUCCACCUGUUAUUUCAUGUAGGGGCAUUCUGUUUUUUCUACAGCUUUAUCUAUACAUCUAGAACAAAUAAUUUUAAUUAAAUAUUUUAGGAUAUAGGUAUAAACAGCACGCAAGCGUCCCUCAGAGGAUGUGGGCAUCCUUGCAGCGACACUGCAAUGUGUGAUGUCAUGUGUACGUCAUAUGAGCGCACAUUUUGUAAAAGGUAAGAUACAGUUCAAGACCAAUUUUCGCUGCUGGAAACAAGGUGAUUGAGGCAGCGGUUGUCACUGGUACCUCAGCUGUCACGGACUGCAACUCUCAUCACACUUAGCCAGCACACUAUUGGCUAUAUUCUUGCAGCUGGAAACAGUAGAACCACUUGCUUUGCUUUGUCUAUCUUCCGCAGGCUAUAAUGCUCCGUUUAGGGCUGGGUACUUUGUUCCACCAGACUACAGCCCAGAAAAUCCCAAGAUUCAGACGCCAUAUUCAUUUCACUAAAUGAGGAAUUAUUGGAAAAUUGAAAGUGAAAAUAGGGGGUUUGGAAAUCCUUUUUUUUUAACAUCAGAAUUCUUCUUUAUAACUCGUUUAUGACUUUAAUAAUGCUACAGCAGAAACAAAAACCCAAAUAAAAACCGAUAAGGUUUGAAAUCCUCUUGUUUAAUUCUUGAUGCUGCCCAGUGUCAGUCAUGUCGGGUAACACUUUGCUGCUCUCUCCCUGACCCUUAAACUCCGGCAGAAGGACUGGGUGAUGAAUACCAUUGGGAGACUCUGAAUUUCUUUACCUUCCCAUUAAUCACUGGAAAGCAAUGCCAGUACACGUCUGCUUGAGAUGCAAAGCCGCUGCAGAGGUGAGAGAGAACCGGGGGUAAUCUACUGAUAUCUGGGAUCUUCCUUCAUAGGAAAAGAGAAAGCUCUUAUUUGGCUUUCUAAUAACAGGGAAUUUUUUCUUACUUUUUUUUUAAUUCACAUAUAGACACAGAAACAAAAUUUCCUUUAAGGAGAUAUAAUUUAAUGGCAUUAAUCAAAAUACACAGUCCGUUCUCGUUUGACAGGUAAAAGUACAUGCAUUCUCUCUCAAAUUACAAUGUUGUGUUUUUUUUUUUUUUAUUGAGCAUCUGUCAGCUUGGCCCCAAGGUAUUCCAUAAUUUUAGCCACUCAGUUUUAUAUUAUUAGGGACACUGAACUGUGUUUUAUUUAUUUAUUUUUUUAUAAUGGACCUGUCACUUAUAAACAUGUGGCUGGGGAGGUCCCCUUCAGGUAAGUAAUAAAAUUCAAUCAAUAUAUCAUGCUGGCUACAUUGCCAGUAAAUCCGUAGAUGAAAACACAGAGGUUUAUUGACUUAAUGGCAAACUGUAUUAAAUGGAAAACAGAAUUGCUACAUUUAGGAAAUGGUAUCGGAUUUAGGAAAAAGCCCUCCAUUUCUGCUCUAGUCACAGCUUAGCUGUUCUAAUCUAAAGUUUGCAAAUUGUUUUUUUUUGACUGACUGAAGUUCAUUGUUUUGUGAAUAAUACCCUAAUGAUCUCUGUUUUUUUUUUCUCUUCAAUACUGCACAUGCGGCUCAAUCCCAGAAUGCCGUGCUGAUGAUUGCGUGCAUUGCAUUCUGGUAUUGCCUCUAGGCAUUGUGGGAGAGCACUAUUGCCUACGCUCCCAUGCAGGACAUAGAUGUACUAUGUGACUCUAUGCCACUGGCAAUGAAACAAGACACGAAAUCUACAAUUUAAUGAACAUUUUAGCUACACAUUUGCUUGCAAUGUGUCAGCUAUGUCAUUUUGGGUGACAAGUAAGUCUUGGAGGAAACCGGGGGUGGUGGGAUGAUAGACACCUUCAAAUGUUUCAAGGAAUUCAAUAAAGUUUAAGAAGUAAUUUUAUUAUUUUAAUGUAAUUUUUUUUGGAAGAGGCGUGUUAGGAAAGGAUUUGAAGUUGAAGGGUGGAAUAUUGUGUUUUUUUUAUAUUUAAUUUAUUCCUCCAUUGAUGUCCAUCUCCAAACUUCAGCAUUGGAUAUAAUUACUUGUGUUUCUUGUUACAGCUAUUCUUCUAUCCUGUUGACCAUCCAUCUCAUUGCAGCUAAUAUGAACUACAUUUCCCCAGGAUGCAUUAUGGGAAUCAUAGGCCACAUGAGUGCAAUGCCAAGGGAUACAUUAUUACUGCUGUUGAGACAUUGUAUAUUUCCUCUACUUUCCAACUAUUAACUCCUUCCACUCAUAUAGCGGAGUUGGCAGUGAGGGGUGUUUGGUAACAGAUGGCUGUUGUUGGGGUCGGACACUCUUCAUUAUUUAAUGUUUUCGUAAAUGGUAUAGCAGGGUUUAUCCGUGUAUAUUCACCUUCGAAUUUAAUGACUCUCAGCCGUAACGAGAUAGAAAUCUCUCCUGUGUGAAAAGCAUUUUCAAUCACUGUUACCGUCUACAGUCUUUAUUUCAAACUGGCCGUACUGUGACAAACUGUGAUAGAUAUAGUUACAAAAAAACAUUUUUUUGAGACCUGAGCAGGGAUUCACCGAAUGUUGUUAUCAAGGUUUCUCUGAGCUUUUGCCCAUUCCCAUAAUCUCGGUUUUUGUUGCAAUGCAUUUGCUUAGGCUCUCCCUAAGCUAAAAUAAUAAUUCCAGAUGUGGACCCUAUGCUCACUGUGCCUAGAGGGGUAUCAGAUACACCUUACUGACAAGGCCCAAAGAAUGCCGAAACGAUUGUCCUGGGUUACUGUAUCUCCCGUGCAGAGAUAACUUGCAGGCAUUCCAGUUCUGGACUGCCCUUACGGGAGGGAUCAGUCUGAUAAGUAAAUGGUAUUGGCUCUCUCUGUAAUGGCACACGUGAGCAAAACAUUUUUGAGACCUGAGUUGGGACUAACCGAAGCUAUUGAGUUUUAUCUGAGCUUUUGCCGGUCCUCACAGUUCUAAUUUUCUCAGAUUUUUGGUUGCAAAUUUCUAUGCAUCUCAUACAGUUAACUUUCAUUCUGAGUUGCAUAAUAAUGCUUUGUUCAGAGCCAUCUUCCUGCAGUCUCUUGGCUAUUUCUUAAACAACUCCCAUCACUAUAGCCAGCUUUUUAAUUUAAUACUCCAUCAGGAUCAAAAGACAUAAUUAAUUAGAGGAAGAGAUUAUAUAUAACACUCUUUCCCCCCUUCUUUUUUUCUGUGCCAGAGUAUUGGGAGUUACACAUUAUCAAUAGUUGGAGGGUGGCUUGUUCCAAAAACAUGGGUGAAGUGGGUUCACUAAACCAGGAAUGGUCAAACUACGGGAAAAAUAUCUAUAUAAAACUUGCAAUUGGCGAAUGAUCAUGGUCAGGGAUAUUCACUAAAAUUUUAAGUUAAUGCUGACCUUGUGUUGUCCAUAGUCCUGAAUGCUGACAGUGUGUUACUGUCCAUGGUGCUGAAUGCUGACUGUGUGUUACUGUGCAUAGUGCUGAAUUCUGACAGUGUGUUUCUGUCCGAUGCUGGAUGCUCAUUGUGUGUUACUGUCCGUGGUGCUGAUUGUGUUACUGUCCGUGGUGCUGAAUGCUGACUGUGUUACUGUCCGUGGUGCUGAUUGCUGAUUGUGUGUUACUGUCCGUGGUGCUGAAUGCUGACUGUGUUACUGUCCGUGGUGCUGAUUGCUGAUUGUGUGUUACUGUCCGUGGUGCUGAAUGCUGACUGUGUUACUGAACGUGGUGCUGAAUGCUGAUUGUGUUACUGAACGUGGUGCUGAAUGCUGACUGUGUUACUGUGCAUAGUGCUGAAUGCUGACUGUAUGUUACUGUGCAUAGUGCUGAAUUCUGACAGUGUGUUACUGUCCGAUGCUGGAUGCUCAUUGUGUGUUACUGUCCGUGGUGCUGAAUGCUGAUAGUGUGUUACUGUCCGAUGCUGAUUGUGUGUUACUGUCCGCGGUGCUGAAUACUGAUUGUGUGUUACUGUCCGUGGUGCUGAAUGCUGAUUGUGUUACUGUCCGUGGUGCUGAAUGCUGACUGUGUUACUGUCCGUGGUGCUGAAUGCUGACUGUGUUACUGAACAUGGUGCUGAAUGCUGACUGUGUUACUGUCCGUGGUGCUGAAUGCUGAUUGUGUUUUAUUUUCCAGGGUACCGACUGUUAAUUAUGAUGAUGUGAAGUUGGCCGCUUACCCUUGCUGUCCUCUGUCUCUAGUGCCGAAUGUUCUUUGUGGGUUACAAUCCGUGGUGCUGAACGUUCUGUCCGUUGUUCUUACAGACGACUGUGUGUUUUUAGCCCGCUGUCCAUGGUUCCGAAUACUGACUGUGCUACUGUCCAUGGUGCUGACUGUUCAACCUGGACUCUUACAUUGUGCAAUUACACUCCAUAUUUAUUUAUUUAUAAAAUAUGUUACCAGGAAAGAUACAUUGAGAUUUCUCUUGUUUUCAAGUAUGUCCUGGGUUAUACAAUGUAUUAAGUCUAUUAAGGUGGGUUUGCGGUGCAGGUGUAUCUACUACAUCACCAUAAUCAAUGAUUGGCAUCAGCAUUUGUUGUACAAUCUUUUCCUUUACUGUAGGGCUUAGGCAGGAUUUGUUUCUGUACAGGGCACCUAGUUUUGACCCUUACCUUCUCCUACACUGAAUUUUCAGCUGCAGAGACUCGUUUGGCAAUGGGACUUAGUCAUUUUUUCAGUGUGAAAUAGACUGACCGCACAGUCGGUCAUAAAAGGACUUCCAGCUAACUUUUUAACCCCUGGAAAGAAUUGGCUGAAUUUUGACUAGGUAUUGUACGUGUUGAUUGGUUGUUCUGCAAAACACUGUGGGCGGUACUAUGUUUGUAAAAUGGGCAUAAAAGCAGAGUGUUUGAUUAAAAGCUUCAGUUCUACUUCACCCUCAAUUUGGAGUGCCAUCUCUUAUUGGGGGAAUCUGCUACAACGGGUUGCUAUGCUAGUCAUACUCUCUUGCUAUAAUCACUACUAAGUUCUUUUAAGAGCUUGUUCCUGUUUUGCUCGCUGAAGGAGUCUACGGUGGUUAUGGUGUCUGCUGGAGUGCUUGGAGCCUACAGGAAGCACUAGGAGCAUCCUUCAAUGGAGGUACCCAGAUGGGGUGCCAGGUGAUCUGUUACAGAGGCCAAAAGAUUGGGGUCUAACAACAUACCCAAGUGUGGACUGCGGUCAGUGUGCUAUUUGAUUUUGUUUUGAUGAAUAGGUGGGGAUUGUGUAAUUUGUGUAAUUUAGGUACUGUUCCAAAGAUCAUUGUGACAGUUUUGUCAGUGUUUAGGAAGAGUUUGUUUUUUGCGAUCCACUUUUCUACCUCUGUAAACUAGUCUUGGAGCACAGCUUCUAGCUGCGGUAGAUUGGAUUUGCUCGCAUAGAUCACUGUGUCGUCUGCGUACAUGUGUACAUUUGAGGAUUUGCAGACAUUAGGCAGAUCAGUUAUAAAUAAUGUGAAUAGUAGUGGGUCAAGAAUGGAACCUUGGGGAACACCACACGUGACUGGGAGAGGGAGGGAGUCGCUGUUAGAAAUGGACACAUAUCGCGAGCGAUAUCUGAUAUAUACGAUCGAAACCAGGUUAGCGAACGAUCACCAAUACCUGAGUUUUUGAGUUUGUGCAGUAGAAUGUUUUGGUCUAUUGUUUCAAAUGCCUUUGCAAAAUCAAGGAAAAUAGCUCCAGUUAGGUCUCCUUGUUCCAUGCCGGUUUGGAUGUCAUUGCGAACUUUUAAGAGGGCAGUUGUGUAGUGGAGUGAUUCGGGCGAAAACCUGAUUGAUCAGGGGUCAGAUAGUUAGAUUGUUGAUAAUAUACACAUGUGUGCGUAUGGAUGCAUUUUUCUAAGAUUUUUGACAAUACCGGGAGCAAUGAAAUUGGGUGAUAGAAACCAAAGUAGUGUCACCACUUAUUGAAAAAUAUUUAAUUGCAUUUUUAACAAAACACUUUACAAAAACAAACAUUAACGUGACAUAUGUUACAGGAAUUGACAAGUGUUUCCAGCCGCAUUAAGCAUGUAACAGCAGGUUCAUGUAUCAUAUAUCCGUGAUUCUGUGUCAAAGCGCAGUCACUGCGUGGAUAAAUGUAUCAAUAAUUCUAAUUCGAUGUGUGGGUUCUCGCUAGGUUAAAACUCCUAAUUUGUGUCUGUCUCUGUAUCUCUUCAUCAUCCACUUUCCAAAAAGUAGAAAUUCUUAUUUCGGCAUCAGUGCCCUGUUAAUCUGUUAAUGUAUUUUAUUAUAGGCUAUAAUCGUGUGUUACUAACAGUUUAGGCCAUUGGUUAAAGCUUUGCACUGGGUAUUGCUGCGAGGUACUGUUGAGUACCGGAGGAUACUAUUGUAGCAGUUAGAAUAUGAUUUCAGAUCUUUGUCACCCUGCACCGCUAGCACACAAAACAUCAAUAAUCAUCGUUUCUGUGAACAAAAAGACUCCUCUCGUCUCUGCUUCAUUAAAUCCACUGGAGUGACAGACUGAUUUUUGGCCUGGUGAUAAUUCAGGAACAAGCCAUAUUAAAAGAGGCCAGAACAGUGGAAGACAAGCAAGGGAAUAUUUUUUAUUUUCUAAUGGAAAUUUAAAAUUUUACAUUUAUCCCCUCUUUCUUUACCCACGUCUGUUUUUUAUGUUAUUGCCUCUUACUUGUCCUUAUUACCACAGGAUGUCCUGCAGCUUAAUAUAGUGGUUCUGGUGUCUAUCGCCUGUUCCUGCAGAACAGAAAAGGCAGUGUUUACAUCGGUUCUUAGUAACACCUGUAGUGGCAGUCACUCAGACGGCCACUAGAGGGACUUGCUGUGUCAGUGCUGCAUAGUGUGCACAAUGCUUUCUAUGGAGGCACUGGUCAUUCCUUGUGCUUGCGCAAUAGCCCCCCUCUGCAUUGUAUUGGCUGAGAUCUUUAAGAUUAAUGAUCUCAGCCCUGGAGGUGCUGUGCAGUGCAGAAAUAUUUGGAGAGCCCAGUGGUAAAUAUGUAACACAGCACAUAUACUCUGCAUUUUUCAAAAUGCCACAUUUGAAGGCUAUCUCCAUUGCUCCUAGACCAGUGAUGGUUAGCAUGGCAUUGCAGUUGUUUGUACCUUAGGCUUGACUGAGCAUCAUGGAAUAUGUAGUUCACAAACGUGAGUCAGGACUAGGCAAGUCAUUAUUGAACCACAGCCUUUCAUAACUAGAUGUGUAAGAUGCAUCCAAUCUGACUUCUGCGAGACCACUGCAGGUUGUCUAGCCAACGUUAACCCCUCAGUUUCCAUCUCCCGGUAGAGAUGAACAGACUGUAUGAAUAAUAGCUGAGGUAUUGCGGUUUUGUUUUUUGUUUUUAUAUCUUUGUAUAUGUUUGUCUGUGUAGGCAGGAGCUGUGUGUGCGUAUGUUUGUCUGUGUAGGCAGGGUCUGUGUGUGUAUGUUUGUCUGUGUAGGCAGGGGCUGUGUGUAUGUGUGUGUGUGUGUAGGCAUGGGCUGUGUGCGUGUGUAUCAGGAUCAGAUUGGAGAGCAGAAAACCCUCUAACCUCAUUAAUCACAAACUGAGCUGCCGGCUGUGAGUUGGUAUGAGGUUCCCGCAGGCUCUGUGAAUUAUUCUGCAGGAAACGUGCAUGGAUUGUUAGAAGACUUGUCUUUCCUGUGCACCUUUACUGCAGCUGUCUGUCUCCACUGUCUAUGCAGAAAAGGGCACCUAAAGGCAUAUUCACUAAACUGAGAUCGGUGGAAUAUUGCAAAAUGAAUGUCAGUGCCUCUAGCUCGGUUUGUGAUUAAUCAUUAUUGUGGUUUUGCGGUUACAUGGUUUUUCUGUUCUCCAAUCUAAUUGUGAUUCUGCCAAAAUAGUUAAUUUGGGAAAUUCCAAAAAUUGUAAUUCACGUGUUACUACAGCACAAUUCCUGGUCUGUACCCGUUGUUACAUUUUCUGUCUAUUUUAACUUUGCCUCAAAUUACAUGACCCCUCUCAAGUGGCCCCAAUCCCAGAGUCUUUGUGAGGCUAUUGGCUCAAAUAUUAAAAAAUUUCCCAUAAUGGAAGUGUUUAAUUUGUUUUGCUAUAAAUUUGGGCUUCCCUUGUGCAUAUAUACAAAUUUUCAGCCUCAUAUAUUUAGGGACACUCUAAGCACCAAAAUAACUUUUUAGCUUAAUGAAGCAGUUUUGGUGUUUCAUGCUCGUCGAGUCUCACUGCUCGAUUCUCUGCCAUUUAGGAGUUAAACCACUUUUGUUUCGGUUUAUGCAGCCCUAGCCACACCUCCCCUGGCUGUGACUCAAACAGUCUUCAUGGAAAAAAUGGUUCAUUUUCAACCAGACCUGACAACAUAGUGUGUUUACUUUAGAUUUUUUUUAUCUGUUAAUUGAACUUUAAUCACAAGUAGGAGGCUCCUGCAGACUCUUGUAAACACUUAACAGAGAAGAAGAUAAGAAAUUCUAAAUUGAGUGUGCAAUUAAGGAAGUUUAAAGGUUAGAUCUCUUUUUACAAGAAAAGUGUAGUGAGAGUGUAUAAUUCACAGCCAUGGGAGGUGUGGCCAGGGCUGCAUAAACAAAAUGAUUUAACUUGUAAAUGGCAGAGAAUUGAGCAGUAAGAAUGCAAGGGCAUGAUCUAUACACUAAAGCAUUCAUUAAGAUAAAGUUGUUGUGGUGUUUAUAUUGUCCCUCUAAAAAUCACACGUGAAUUCAAGACUUACUCGGUAUUUUGGUUGUCCAAACACUUAUUGUAUGAAAACUGGACAAAACCAUACUAAAUCUCAGCACGCACAGCUUGUAUAACUUUUUACAACAUGGAGAGGGCUAGGCAAGCUGUUGCACUGAACCCAUAUUAGCCAGAAGUCAGUCUAUGGCACAACAGCCGCUCUGGGUUAUAUGCCCCCAUGGCUAGGAGUCCUCGCUAGCAGUUUCUGCAGUCUGGGCAUCAGGAAGGUUUUAGUGAAAUGGUAGAUGGAGGCUGUCAGAGUCUUGUGGAACGACUAGUGAUUUGCAUUCUGUCCACAGCCCAGUCCUGGUACGAAAUGCCAUAUUUAUGUUAACCUGUAAGGUUAAACGCCUGCAGUGACCCUUAGCAAGGCUUGCACUAAGCAUGCAGCAGAUAGGAAAUUGCUCUCCACUGGGAUAGAGGCUGGAGAAGCAAGGCUUACUCCUCCAGCAUAAUGCAACGCAGGGAUCAGCAAGCGAUCAAUAAAGCACUCAGGAGGUAAUUCAAUCAGCGGCACAGAGAGGAGCAGGAGACUGUUAAAAUAGAGUCCGGAUUGUGCCCACCUACUCAUCUAUGCCAUGAAGAAGUCGCUCGGAGCCACGGCCACCAUGAGAGAAUCCCUUCAAAUUAUUGCAAAUUGCAAAACGUGGGGCUCUGAGGAGGCAUGAAUAGUUCAGGGAUCUAGGGUAGAAAACUCACUUUUCAGUUACAAAUGAGAUUGUAUGCCGCAUAAAGAUGAAUAUAUUUUCACCCUGUCCGUGAGUCGUUUCCCUGGAAAGAAAAAAAAAUGACAGAAUGUCUGUUCUUUCGCUGCUUGAUGUACUUCUAGUGAAUUUAUUAUCCAUCGAUGGCAACAUAAAUAUAUAUUAAUAUACAGAUAUAUAUACACAUGCUGAAUAUACUGGCAGGAACUACAGUGAUAUAUUCUUGUGCCAUUUCAGAAUUAAAAAGUAUAUAUAACCUGAAAGAUAAAGUAAAAAAAUAUAAAUUAUAUCUAACCUACAAGUUCCAGCACUCACAUAUCCAAUAAACAGCAACUCACAUAAUGGAAUAAUUAUUUUUUUUUAAAAUUAUUUAUUUUUAAUUUAACUUCUAAUUUAAAGUAUAAUAGUUAUUAAUAGACAGGGUGGGAUGUGAACUUGUUUCAGCGAUCUCAUGGUUAACGGUUAAAAUGUGGCUUGCAACUUUUAGCAAAGUACUAAAAGUGGAGCUAUCACCAUGGAAACCAGUGGAACCAGCAGUUUGAAUCGGUGACUCCUCUCCUUUGUACAUCUUCGCAAUUCUUUCAUGAACACGACACUUUGAUCCAUUUAUCAGAAUGCGCAGUCACUGAUGACGAAUGAUGGUAACCUGUAAGAAGCUUGUCAGUUUUGCAGACAACAUAAUCAGUGCAGAAAUAUUCUCACAUGGUCCAAAAUGCCCUUCGAUGUUCUAUGCAGAGUAAGGGAGUGUUUGAGGACUGGGCCGGGGAUGGGGAGACAGAAAUCCAGAAUCAGGACUGUCUUGCUGAAACAGGAGACUUGGGUGCUAUAUACAUAUAUCUAACCUAUCUAUCAUAGCUAGCACUUUUUGUGGUUUUUGUUUUAGGAGGCAGUUGAGCUGUCAGACCUUAAAAACACUUGCAGGAUGUUGUUACAGAGAACCUGUGUUUUGGGCCGGUUCUUGGUUCUUGCAGGUUGGUUUCACUGUGGGGGAGGGUGUGGGGGACAACCAACAUGAAGCAAACCUGUGAAGUUAAGAAUAUUCUGUCCUAUCCACAUCAGCUUGCUAUUUGACAUAUUCUGGGGGGUAUCUUGACGUGACCCAGGACAUGGUGUGUAAUUUACUUCUAACCACUGGCAGCCAUUGUCCUCUUGAUUUAGGUUAGAUUCGGCGAUGCAGACCCUUAUCAUUUCUCUCCUGAAAGGCAUCCAGGGUUUGCGGGUAUUCAAUAAUAAUUUGCCACUGGCAUUUCAACUGAUAUAAUGGUCUACAUUGGCCAUAGUAAUAAGCCAAUUAAACGAGGAGUGUCUAUGGGUAUCAUGUCUACCUUGCUGAAUGUGUUAUUGUUCUAGAGCAGGGUUAGGUAACCUUUGGCACUCCAAAUGUUGUGGACUACAUCUCCCAUAAUACUCUUACAGUCAUAAUACUGGCAAAGCAUGUCUACAACAUUGGGAGUGCUGAAGGUUGACCACCACUGUCAUGGAGGAGAACAUUGAGUGGCCAGCUAGCAUGGCUCCUGAAGGCUUAGAAAUAAGACUGGCCUCCCCUGCUUCAAAGUCAGGAGCUGCCAUGGUUUUUAUUUAAUGUCUCUGAAUUAUUACGUUUCUGUUGUCUGAACCUCCCAUGUCUAACCAUUGGAGACCCACCACAGGGCUUUGUUACAGAAAACUCAAUAAAAAGAAACAACAAUCAUGGCUACUCUCCAUCCAGCUUCCUCACUUUAUCCAACUGGCUUAGAGAGUAACGGGGACAGCUGCACGUCAAGAUAAACUCUGCAUUACCAGGGGAACAAUUUAUAUUUAGUCACUAAUAGCUUAUAUUUAUUUAUAUAACCCAACCAGGUGGGGAGGGAGGUUUGGCUGUGACAUGUAAUAAAAGAUGUGAAAUAAAACAGGAUUGUAUUUUAUUAUUUGGUAUUUAUAUAGCGCCAACAUAUUCUGCAGUGCUGUACAACAGAGGUAAUGCCGACUGAUCAAAUACUGUUACAUAAGGAACAGAGGGCUCAUCCCAUGAGCUUACUGUCUAGCAAAUACAGUACUCUUAGACAUUAUCGGCAAUAUUCACAUUUUUCUCCAUUCAAUUCACAGGUUGUUAUUAUUAUAUAUAUUUUUUAUUUCUUACAUAUAAUUCAGAAAUAGUUCCGGAUUAAGAGACAGUGCUCAUCUCAUCCAGCACGCUUAGGGUCCAGAACAACAAAAGGUGCUUAUUAAAAGAGACGCUUCAUGGAGCCUGUUAGAAACCGCGGCAGCCGUGAUACGCAACACAUUGACUUGUUUCAGGACGAGGGAAAUACAAUCACUGUGUGGAUAAGGACGAGGCUUCGCCCAGCGGGACUCAGGCUCCAAUUUUUUAGAAAGCAUUCACCAAGUAUUUACUGUGUAUUUUUCACACUUUAGCUUUAAAUUAAUUGUAAACGGUUCUGAUGCUGCUGCCACGACUGCUAACGGUUUAUAUAAGGGAUAUUAUGUGACCUGCUAUGUAGGGCAAUUACCACAGAAUUAGGCCAGCAGGUAGAUCUGGGGUUCUGGGGACAAGGGAGGAGAUUUGGGGUUCUACUGUUGUAUUCCUCCCAUAUAUCCGUAUUUUCAGGAAAAGUCCCUUUGUCCCUCUUUUCUAGGAGCUCCAUAUUGUUUGUGUGUCUGAGUGGAUAACAGAGCUCCACAUACUCCCAGAAAUAAGGGGUUUAGGAAGUAACAUAGUGCCCCUGAGGAGGCUCUCAUGAGCCUUGCUGCUUGCGAAAUGCGUGUGUCAUGGGUUCUCUGCUACUUUUUAAACCCUUGGUCUUAUAUGUGUUUCCACAUUCUGAUUUAAACCUGUUUCUGAUCAUGGAGUCUGUGGUUUGGAAGUAAAUUGCACUUGCUCUCCUUAGCAUUAACAUUUUUCGUGUGAUACAAUCUUACCCAGCAUUCCUUGAAAUGAGAUUGGGGACGUUUAGUGAUAGAUCGCAAUCUGCUCAGUGCAACAUUUAGAUAAUCGGUGCCCUUAAAGGCACACUAGGGAGAUCUGGGGUUUUAAUUACACUAUUGCUAAAAAUGCUCCAUCCUUCUAGGCGAAGAUAUUUAUUAUUGUUUUUUUGUUUUUUUUCUUCUGAGUGACACCUUGUUUUUACUGGUUAUUUUUCAGCUUUUUCUUAUUUUAUUUUUCAUUGCUCUUUACUGCAUGGAAGCGGUGUGCGGUAAUUAGAUAUUACUCUGCUUAACCGUAUCCUAGGUAGUAGCUACACUUCUAUCCUAAUUUGGAUUCUUUGUUUCAGGAGGCAACAGACUCACAAUACAUGUAACUGCUGACAACCACAUUUUUUCUUUGUUGGUUCACUAAUAAGCAACUGUAGUUUUUUUUUUUUUAGUGUUUUUACGCCAGCUGCUCAAUUUAUUUAAUAUUUUUAAUUCUUUAUAUUUAAUGUUUUUUUUCCUCUCCUUGUUAUUCUUCAUGUAUAGGGGUCCCCGCUCCCCCUUUCUUGUUUCUUAGCUAGUAUCCACUCUAACCUGCUGUAUGUAUGUGCUGCGUGAUAAAGUACAGAGUAUCUCACUGUGGUGGGAUAUACAUACUGCAUCGGUGUUAAUGUAUAGUAUAAUGUGAAUCUCACCUGUGUACACACAUCGCACUGACAUGUAAAUCAUGCAAUGUACUGUAAGUCACACAGGUGUGUAGUGAUCAGUGAUAUCGCGUGAUAUAACAGACAUUGCUGGAGUGUGUGUGUGUGUGUGUGUGUGUGUGUAAUAUAUAAAUAAAUGUGCUUUUGUGCCGCAGGUUUUGUUCUUCCCCUGACAAAGACACGGCUUGUAAAAUGCUCGCUGCGAGCUUCCCUAAAUCCUGCUGUAUUCCCUGGAUCCAGCUCGGUAUGACUCCCACCCCAUAGCGUCUCUCGCAGAUAACAUGUCGAGAUAUGCUUCACAUUGCUGUCUGCGUAUAAUGGCACUACUGAAUAAACAAGCUUGUUUUAUCUCCCAUCUCCCCCCACCCCUGCCUCUGGUGCCCUCCAUUCAUUUGUUCUCUGGUUGGAGAAUCUCUCCAUGCAUAUCCAGCCAGCGCGGUUUGUGUUACAGGGAGUGCUUCAGGCAGAUAACAAGAAGGAACCGGUGACACAGUUUAGCAGGUGAAGCGAAAACGCGUUCCUCUCCUCUUCCCCCAGCGGAGUGCCACUUAUCUGCUCAGCCCCGGGCGCUGCUCUUUUAUGCCCCGAUCUGAUAAGGCUGCCAGGAGACCUGCAUGGGCUAGUACUGUUUGUUCAAUGCCUACCCAGACAGCCGUGGCAUAACUCGCAUGGCCUAAAAUCAUUAACGUUUUAAUGUGAACGAUGACGCUCUCCUCUCCCUGCUUUGCAGUUGGUGUCUUUGAUUCACAUAUUGCUGUAGGACACUCACUCCCACUUCACUGCAGGAUCGGGUUUACAGUUUGUCCAGAAUUCAGCAAAAACACAGAAUUUCUGGGGGAUCAUUCUUUACUUAGAGCUCUGCACACGCACACUGGAGUUUUAUUAUUGUGGAGUUCUGUGAUGUAAUUAUUAUCCCUGCUUAUUACUGGGAGUAUUACUACUGAAAAGAUCUGUGAUACACACCUACACUUUAUUGCUGUGGAGCUCUGUGAUGCACACCUACACUUUAUUGCUGUGGAGCUCUGUGAUACACACCUACACUUUAUUGCUGUGGAGCUCUGUGAUAUGCUCAUACGCAUUGUACAUUACUAUGAGUUAUAUUGCUGUGGAGCUCUGUGAUAUCCUCAUACACAUUGCACAUUACUGUGAGUUAUAUUGCUGUGGAGCUCUGUGAUAUGCUAAUACACAUUGCACAUUACUGUGAGUUAUAUUGCUGUGGAGCUCUGUGAUAUGCUCAUACACAUUGCACAUUACUGUGAGUUAUAUUGCUGUGGAGCUCUGUGAUAUGGUCAUACACAUUGCACAUUACUGUGAGUUAUAUUGCUGUGGAGCUCUGUGAUAUGCUCAUACACAUUGCACAUUACUGUGAGUUAUAUUGCUGUGGAGCUCUGUGAUAUGCUCAUACACAUUGCACAUUACUGUGAGUUAUAUUGCUGUGGAGCUCUGUGAUAUGCUCAUACACAUUGUACAUUACUAUGAGUUCUAUUGCUGUGGAGCUCUGUGAUAUGGUCAUACACAUUGCACAUUACUGUGAGUUAUAAUGCUGUGGAGCUCUGUGAUAUGCUCAUACACAUUGCACAUUACUGUGAGUUAUAUUGCUGUGGAGCUCUGUGAUAUGCUCAUACACAUUGCACAUUACUGUGAGUUAUAUUGCUGUGGAGCUCUGUGAUAUGCUCAUACACAUUGCACAUUACUGUGAGUUAUAUUGCUGUGGAGCUCUGUGAUAUGCUCAUACACAUUGCACAUUACUGUGAGUUAUAUUGCUGUGGAGCUCUGUGAUAUGGUCAUACACAUUGCACAUUACUGUGAGUUAUAUUGCUGUGGAGCUCUGUGAUAUGCUCAUACACACUGGACCUGUGGAUCACCAAGAAGUAAAGCUUGCUUUUGGGAGUGGGUAUUCAUGUAAACACUAUAAUGUUCGAGCUUAUUGUUAGUUGACUGUUCCAUGCAAUGCUUUUUGCUGACAUACUUUAACAAUCCUGCUUAAUAGAGCAUAAAACCUUUAAAAUAUGUAAAAGAAUAAACUUGUUCUAUAUAAGUGUAAUGUGGAUAGAUUCCGCCGUUCCUCCCGGUUACUAGGAUACCUCGCUCGUUUUAUAUUUACAGAGCCUUGAUUUUAUACCAGAUCUUAAACAUGUCUUUUAUUUCUACAUUGAAAGCACAGAGUACCGCUAGCAACAGAGGCCACAUAGAUUGCAUGCUCCAAAAGCCACAGUAUUUUCAAAAUCAGGUAGGUGUGUGUGUGUGCGUGUGUGUGUGUGUGUGUGUGUAUGUUAUAGGUAGCGAUUUUAAUUAUUUUUUUUUAAUACAUUUAUGCAUUUCUUAUCUUGAUGCAUAGAAAGUAGCUGUUUUCUGUCUGUGUGUAGUAUGGAAGUUAUUGAAUGUUGUUUUUAAAACCAGGGAACAUCAAAUAUUAACUACACCUAUAGCUCCCUUAAGAAAAUACUAUUAAAAAAUAGAAAAUUUCCCUAGUUAUAUAUUUGCUCCUGGAGUCCAACCACUCUGUAGUUCUGUAUUUUGCUAAUUUCUGGUACAUCGCUUAUAGUUAGCGACAGAUCUACUACUUGCGCAAUGGAAGGACAAUGCAUAGUUAAUGCACGUUCAUUGCAUAUUAGAUGAAGUUCACAUUAAAGGUUAGUGCUGGACAUUAACUAUCUUUUUUUUUUUAACAUUUUUGUUUAUUGUAUUUGUUUAUUUUUUACACCCAUGUUUCUGUGAGUGGGGAAAAAAGAAAAUAGAUUACAGCAAUAUGCGUUUACAGGCAACCUUUAAAUACAAAACUCCUAAGAACGUCAUUGUGGAUGGUUAAUUAUCUGUGAAUGCUAAAUAUUUUGUGCCUUUUUUUUCCAACCAAUAUGGAUUAAGGUUUUGCUCCCUACCCAUGAUUUAAGAGAAAUAACCGGUAUUCAUUCCCUCAUCCCAGUAAAUAUUAUAAAUAAAGUAAAUAACUCAGCGGUCACCACUUCCCAUCGCCAUGUUUAAGGACUGUAGAAAUUGUAAAACCCUCUGUAAAAAGAAUUCCCCAUUUAUUUUUAAAUAAAUAUCUUAAAGUAAGUGGAAUCCGUUUAUAUAAAAGUUCCUUCUGCGUCCUUGCCAUCUGCUGCCAAAGCUCUUCCAUUACUGACACGUUUCACCCAUACUGAUUGACAUGUUAUUUGUACACCUAGCAUAUACCAGAGCAUGGACAUUUGCUCUAAUAAACGUGAGUAUAUUAUCACUGGGAGAAUCAUUUAUAUACCGUGAGCCACAGAGUAUACAUUCUAUGACUUUCAUGUACCGAGACUUUUAAUAUUUUGAUGAGUUUUGGCAAAAUGUACAAUUGCUUGUAAUGUGUUGUGCUGUGGACAUGAAGAUUCUGAUGGAAAACGAUAUGUUUGUAACCAUUUAUCUCAAAGCUGUAUUUAUUUUGUGCAAUUCAUUUGUUUAUGGUGAUCCAAUAAGAAACAGCAAUUACGUUAGGCACGUGAUUUUAUGGUUCAAAGUCACUAAGUGCUUUAUCUAUCAGUUAUCACUGUCUAUUAACAAACCAAACUCUGCAACGCUGAUGGUGAAGGUCAAAGAAUGGCAUGUCAAUUGCUUCUAAUAAAUGGACAUUAUAAGACAGCCAGAGAAUAAUACUUGUUGGAAGGAUAGUCCUGUUGUCUGCGAUGGCUGUUUUGUGAGGCAUCUGCUGUUUUGUUUUGGUUUUUUUUCUCUCCUCCCCCGGCUUGCAGAGAAUAGGUCGAAGGUAACAUUUUACCUUCUCCCCCCCCACGGCGUCACAAUACCUCCAUAUGGUCAUAGUGGAGUAGGACAGACACCUUGUCAGCCCAGAUUAGACAACCGUGAAUCAAAUCACAUUAUGGCGUGUACACUGGCACGAGCCCAGGGGGAGAAUAACGCUAACACAAUUAGUAAGAAUUUGUGAUCGCAAGUACAAAUAAUUUAAUAAUGCAGAGAUUAGAUAUUUUAAUAAGUGUGUUUAAGUGAGAAUUGGCUAAAUCCACACACUGAUGGAAAGAGACUCACAUGUCCAUGUGACUGAACUCGUUCCUGUUUAUACUGUCACAGAGACAGAUCUAAUUGAUAAAGCAUUCUUCUAAUUUUUAAUUUUUUUUAAGAUUAUUUUUAAUCUUCAUUUGGCUGACACUUGUAUACAAGAGGGCUAGAAGUUACAUAGAGAAAAAUAUGUACCUUAUAUUUUGAUUUGACACUCGUGUUCAGUCCCUCUGCAUUUUUGUGCAUGGCAAAAUAGCACCCUACUCCCCACAUUGUAAGGCGGCCUCAAAGGCUCACGAUGUACGGAAUUCUAGCAAGCUGAAGGGAGAACAGACACUGUGUCAAGGUCACGUUAUUGCAAAAUGUUGGCUAACUUUAUUUUCUUUAGAUAUUUCUUGACCUUUGCUUUGACAUCCUUUUUAGUUUUGUAUUUAAGUGUUUCAAGAACAUUAUGGCUCAGAUUCAAUAUUGUUUAGAUAACCUGUUAAAAAUAUAAUUUUUUCAAAAUAUUAGAAUACAAAAAUAUAGUAUAACAUUUUCAGUAUAUAAAAAGAAAAUCACAAAAGUAAAAUAUUUUUCAAAAGAAUGCAUCAUUUUUUUUAAAGUUUGAUUUAUUAUUCCACUUUAUUGGUAGCAAAGAACAUCAUAACACAGCGUACAUGUGAUAAACAGGAGAGAAAAAAUAAUACAAAAUUGUGGGUCAACAGUGAAAAAACUGAGACUAUUCUGCAAAGGCGCCUUCAUCAUUUUUGAAGUUUAUCCAAAAAUAUUAAAUGAAGUACUCUGAAAAGCUUAUCCAAACAUAUAAAAUCAGGGUCUAUAUAAUGUAACAUGUUGUCAGUUAAUGAAUAAAUGCAGUUUUAUAUAAUUGUGAAUUAACAUAUAUACACAUAUAUAAAUAUAUAAAACAACUGUCAAACCAAGACAAAGAAGUAGAGGAAAAUCUGUCCCUAUAAUAAAAAUACUUUGAGAUUUUUAUUAUAGGGACAGAUUCUCCUCUACUUCUUUGUCUCACUAUCUUAGGGUUACCCCCUUAUCUGUUCCCUCGAUUUUUGGAUAAUCCCUCUGGCCAACUUUUCUUGUUAUAUAAACUAUCAAACCAAGUCACUUGAAGGGAUACUUCACUCCCCAAAUAAAAUAAAUGAAUAUAAAUCACUGUUUAGUAGAUAUACAUUUAAUUAUGCCUUUUUCCAUAGUUGUUACAUCUAAAAUCAGCUUGCAAAAGUUACAGAUCUCUUGUCUGCAGCCGUUGCAAGCCCUCCCCUUCUAACCCCUCCCAGACUUUCUGUGGCUGUCCAAUCACAGGCUUCCCAAUCAGAAGUGUUUUAGUUGUUCCCUUUAAGUAUGGGGAUGGCGACCGAGCUGGAUAAACUUUUCAGAUAUCAAUAUUAGCUGCAUUCUCCGACAUUCCAGCCACCCAAAAAUGAAAAACUUGCUGAAAAUAUUUCAGGUCAUUCGUGUGUCAUUCUAUGUGUGCGUUGCUUUGUGUGUUCUGUUUCAAUGCAGUAGGGGCUGCCUUAAAUAAUGAUCUGAAAUCCCUGCCCCAAAAAUGCAAUCCAAUGUUUCCCAGAUCCCUGGUAUAAAUUCUUUCCCAACAGCAGAACAUUGCUUAGUUCUACAACAAACUUAAUUCAAGAAUUUGAUCUGCAGCAAUUUCCGUAUUCCGUACCUCGCUGUACAUUGGCAGCACGGUCUCCCUGGGCACUCUGCUGCCGAGGUUAUUUUUCAGUGACUUGCAAUGUACGUAGCGGCUGAUUAGUAGCCUGGCCAGUCAUGGUCGAGGUUAAAGCAUUUUUUACACCGGUUCUUUCUGCAGAAGCCAAUUUCAAGGGAUGUGGAUAAAAAGGAAUUGAAGUGAAGCGAGAGGGUGGGAGGGUGUCUGCGGGCCAAGGAUGAGGACAAAUCAUCUUUGUGUAUUUUUAUUUUUUGUUUUUUUAUUUACAGUUUGCAGUUUAAUGCUUUUGUUUCAUUAUCUGCAUUUGCCACAUCAUUCACCUUUACACCUCGAAUCGAGAGAAUAAAAAACUAAUCACGUACUGGAAAACCGGCAGUAUAUUAAACACGUUCAAUUAAAAUGUGAAUUUAUUAUUAAGCAUUCUUCCCCUGAAUAUGCACGGAAAUAUGCGAACGGUAAAAUAUAGGCUCAAAAAUAAUGUAUAUAACCUCUGCUUCAUUUUUUUAUUAACAUUGCAACUCCUCCUCAUUUUAUUAUCUGUAAAUAUACCCCACUGAGUUAUGGUAGGAGAUUCAAAAAAGUAUAUAUAAAGGUGGUGAACAGCGUUUACUUGACAAGGUCUUCUUUCUUUACAAUGUGGAUGUUGCAUAGAAAAAAAAAAAAAGAUAAAAAUGGGGCGAUGUCUUACCCUGGAAAUGUAUAAAAAGACAGAACAGAGAUGUUUUGUGACAUCGAUAGAUUAAAUUCUGCUGAAAAAUUGGGCAGGGACUGGAAUUCUGUGUCAGUAGUUGUGAAAUGAGAAAUACCUCCCUGGGUCUGAAUGACAUUUUCUUAGUAAUAACCGAGAGUUAUGGAGAACCGUGAAAAAUGUCAUUCUAAAUCUCAAACUCUUGUCUUCUUACAGAUCUAAACCCGAGAUUCCGGAGAAGAAUGUUGCCAAUGAAACUUUAAAGCCAAGAAAAUAAAGGAGGGACAUCACACCAGAAUUAAACUGACUGAUGAGAACUUGGCUUAAAGGUAAGUGCCUCGAAAUAUGUAUAUAGUGACUUAAAUCCCCUCCUUACUUUCUUGCCUCAUCUUCCUUUUUAAUGCAUCUGGCAAACGUCUGAGAUUUAAGAGUUGAUUUAAAAAUGUGAAUUGAUUGUUUAAUUACCGCAAUAAUCUCUGAUUUUACUCCAUAGCAAACCAAGAAAGAGCACAUUAAAAAGAAAUGGGUAAAAAGUAACGACUGAAGCCCAGUGUGUGCUAAGCUGCUCUGAUGUAAAGAGUUUAGGGUUAGAGUGCAUUUUCCACCUGCAGUUCCACCUAUCACUGUCUUUAAUUGUUUGUUUAAAUGACUGGAUGCUUUGUAUCCUGCCCCCAAAAGCUUUCUAUUAAGUUCUUCUAGACAACCCAGCUGCAUGAAUAGAGAAGGUGUUAGGUGCCUGAUGUAGAUCUUUACACAAUCUACUAGUUUCACACCUUAAGGGUCAGGAAUCAGCCAAAUUUCAGUGCAAAAUUCUAGAACUGAAGCUUUCAGGAAGACGAGUUGAUUGGUUUUCAUGGCGAUUGCCUGAGUUUUAGUCACCAAGAAUGACUAUUUUAAUACCAUUAUGUUUUUUUUCCCUUGGGUUUCCCUUUGCCUGGGGCAGUCUCUUGCCAGAUACUAAUCUUCAAUACACCUUAAUUGCUCUGGCCAAGUAGUCUAUACCAGUAGCAUUUGGACAGAUUGCUGGUCAAUCAGAAAGGGCGAGUAUCGGCAUCAGACUGGAAAGGUGGGCGUUGUUUCCACUGGGAGAUUGCUUUAUUAGUGUAGAAACCCCCAAACCCUCGUCAUUCACCCGAAAAGUAGUCCAUUCAGCCAGAUAUCCUUGAUCUGAAUGACAUCUUGUCCGAGUGCGCAAUAAUCGCCAGUGAAGCCGCCGUGACCUAACAGUGCAGCCUAGUGACCAUUAUGAAGUCUAAUUCACUUAUAAAUCACAACGUGGUUUUUAAUAAACUACAGCCAUCCUCUUCGUAAGAUACGGCCUGCUAAUACAUAAUGUACAGUAACCACAAGAGUUUCCAAAGGCAGGGAGUUUGGGCAUCACCUUCCACAUCCUCUAAUUGGAAUCCAGAUUUUAAUUUGUUCCAUCAUAGUCCUAGUGGCAAGCCACUUCAGAAGGCGCUACUGUCUUUCAGCUUCCAGCAGCGUGGUUUGUGACAAGCUCGCUUUGUGCUAGAGUGACAUUGUUUCUGUAUAUUUCGAUAUUUGACACAUAUCUUAAAAUAAUGCAUGCAAUGAGAUAGAAUCUGGAAUGGAUGGCCUCGAGCAGUUUGCAAAUAAAUGAUCACUUUUUUUUUUUUUUUUUUAGUCUUUCCAGAGCAUUUAAAAAUUCCCAUUGCUUAAAUAAAUACUAACCUUUAAAGUAAUAAUAUUCUACAUUGCUGGGGAUAUUGCUUUAAAUGCACUAAAAUAAUGAUUAGUAAAUAUAUGGAAUGAUCUCCCAGUAAAAGUUUUCUGUAGAAAAAAUAAAUGCAAGCAGGGGGACUGUCUGUAUUUUGAUCACUUUUAAAAACACAAAGUAUUGAAAUACGAAGUAAGACCUUAGUACCUGCGUGUUGUCUUUGGAUGGAUCAAUGACCAGUUCGGGACAUCCUAAGAGCCCUUUAAUGCCUGAUUAUUGACACUAUUCUCAUUCUCCUGACAGUAUGUGUUUUGGGAAGCUCGGGGGGUGGGGAGGGGAAAUUUUAAAUGUCUCUCUGCUUUGUGCAUUGGAAAUGGAGCUCUUCCUUGUGUGUUAAUAUAUUUGUGUAGAAAAUACUUUUGUGAUCUUAAUAAUCGCUACACAGUAUCCUCGUAUAAUACAGCAUGUGUAUACAUAUCUGUGGAACUAAAGACCAGAUGAUCUUCGAUUCUCUGUAGAUCUACACCUACUCCUACAAAGCUCUCCUCAUGCGGUCUCUCUUCUCCUUCUGUUAAAGGGACACUAUAAGUGGUCUGGGUAAAGUGUUGCUGUAAAGUGUUGCCGUUUCUGAGAAAUGACAAUGUUCUCAUUGCUGGGCUAAACACACCACCAGGGGCUGUCUUUUUAAUGGCCACUAGAUGGUGCUUCCACUUCCAGAACCAAGUCAGAGUUGGUUCUUGAUGUUAAAUGUCCUCACACAUUCCAUGAGGACAUCAGACAUCCUAUAAUUCUUCUUAUAGAGAUGGAUUCAGUGCUUCACUCCGAGAAGCAUUUCAUUACAGUGAUUGUAACAUGCGCAUUAUGUCCACAGAGCUUCUGUUUAACAAAAUGGUGAUUAGGCCUGAGGGCCUCAGUGGAGGCAGAAGACACUGUCUUUGCGCUGGAUUGCAGGUAAAUAACUGCGUUAAAUAAUUAUCUUUAAAAUGGGGGCCUUUUAAUCUAAGUAGCUGAAAAGACACUAGGGGCAAACAUUUUAAAAUGCAUCCCCCCAUAGUGUUCCUUUAACCCCUUAAGGACCAAACUUCUGGAAUAAAAGGGAAUCAUGACAUGUCACACAUGUCAUGUGUCCUUAAGGGGUUAACCCCAACGCUCCCGGCUCAGUCAUAAUCCAAAUUUGUCCUUUAGUAAAAACCUCAAUGUAUCGAACAGUGUGCAGCUUAUUGAUGCUGUAAAUGGAAAUCAUAAUGAAUAUUCUAAGGAAAUCUACCUUCUAGUCAUUUCUGCACAAUACGGUGUAUAUAGAAUAUGAAGGGGCUAAUAACUUGGACGGACACACACAUAUAUUAACAUAUAGAUACAUACAUUGCUAAGUAAUGAGAUCUCACAAAUUUAGCUGUAAAAUGUAUUGGAGGAACAAAAAACACUGGUGGUCCAAGUGUCUCGUGCACCCUAACGAUGUAGUUCUUGCUGCAGAGUGCGUUACACAUCCUUCGGAACAAGUAGCUGAAAAUAAGGGCAGACCUUCCAUUAAUCAUGGGUAAGGGAUGUGACGGACACUUCCCAUCCAUCAUUCACCUUCAUGAUUCCUCGUUUGUUAGAAGCAGCUAAACUAGAAGCUGUUACAAUACAAAUUAGAGCAGCGUUUGGACAGGGACGAGGGGUGACAAGGAAGUCUAAAGUAACCUUGACCUUAGUGAGAAUUUCUGCUUGACCGUCCAAACACAGAAUCAAUGACUUCACUGUUACUGUAUCCUAACACGCUGCCUCUGGUGGAAGGAAUGUGAGAAUCACAGUAUGUAUUAGCAUUAUGUAUAUCAUUCAUAUUAACCGAUCCAUAGUCUCACAGGUUCCUAUAUGUGCUUUAUGGCCAUUCUCGGGAAUAAUAUUGAAUAAUACACCGCAGACUCUGUAUGACUGCAGAUCUCUUUGAAGAUAUUGCCAUGUCAGCUUAUGUGUAGUUUGCUGUCUGGAUUCUUAAAUAUUUAAUCAGCAUUUCAGCAAUGAUUUUCCUCAAUGCUCAUUGCUUUCAAACAGACUUAAACAUACUUCAUCCGGCAUGUUCGUACAUUAUUGCAACAUUAUUGAAUCCUUGGUGUAAAUGUACAAUUGGGGUUGAUAGAAAAGGAGUUCAACUUUUAAUUUCUUUAGUAUUUAUUGUCAUGUUUAAGUGUGUGACGAAAUUAACCUCGCCACUUGUGCCUGGAGAGGACUACUUGCCAGCCUCUUGCCAUGUGAUUAUGGUCCCUGGGAGGUUUGGCCCUUUAAAUACAGUAUUUGGGCAUAUUGUAUUUUAUUAUGCUGCUGCUGGCCCUUUAAGAACCAUCUGGGGACAUACUGUGACUUUUGGGAACAAUGCCCCCAGUGUCCCCAGACUGUUAAUAUACUGUGUUCCUGGCUUUCUCCAACUUGGUUCAGUAAAUGGGGCUCACUGAACCAAGUACCACCCUGAAGUGGAAGUGUACAGGCAAUUUACCUCCUAGGCUGGGAGCCUGCUGUAGGUAAAUUGCCGAAUGCUGGGGGCCGCCGUUCGCGCAAACGAACACGUGGCGGCAGCCAUCUUUUUUUAUUCAAUGUGGUCAGCGGUGUGUGGAGCCAAAUUCAUGGAACUGAAAUCGGCUCCACAUUUCCGCGAACACAGCUGACCUGUACCUUCUCCCAUACUGAACUUUCAGCCGCAGAGACUAAGUCCCAUUUGGACUUUUGUUUUUUUCAGCCUGAAAUAGACCGACCGCACAGCCCAAAUCUAUGGAACUGUUUUGGGCAUGAAAAUGUGAUUGUGGUCGGUCAAAAAGGGACUCCGAGCUAACUUUUUAACCCCUGGAUGGAAUUGGCUGAUUUUUGGGUAUGUUUAUAGUUAAAGUAUGCUGAUUCUGAAUAUGUAUUAUGUGAAUAUGAUGCAUAUUUUUAAAGUAACAGUAUAUGUAUAAAAAAUGUAUUUUUCCUGCCUGUGAUAAAUUACAUUAACCCAUUGUGUUCAGUAAUUAUAUCACAGGCAGAGGGGAGGGAUUGUAUGUUGGUGCUGGGUGUGUUUUACGGUUUGCCUGUAAAGGAUUGGUUGUACUGUGUCCCACCCUGUGGGAUGUCCCCUUGCAUGGGGACUUGCAUAAAAGCCAGUGUGUGGUCAUUAAAAUCAGAUCAUCUUGUACCUUUCUUGAAGUCUUGGCUCAUGUUUGGGGGAUUGGAGAACUACACUCUGGGGAUUGCUAUAAUCACUAUACUCCCCAGGGUAUGAUCACUAAGCUCUGCUAAGAACUUGUUCCUGCUCUCUGGGGAAAGAGAGGUUCACCCACUGGAAGCUGGAUCCUGGCCUUGGGUCCAGGGUGGGUGGAGAUGGCGAGACCCCGGCGCAGUUGCAUCGCUGGAAGUGGGGUCUGCAGUGCUGAUGGUGUCGGUUGGAGUGCUUGGAGUCCUCAGCGAGCACUAGGAGCAUCGAUUGGCGGAGGUACUCGGUCGGAGUGCCAGCGGUCCGUCACAAAGUGUUUUUUUCCUAACAUAAGAAAUGUGAUUGGCCAAUAAAUCCUCAAAAAUAUGAUCUUGAAUUAAAUAUAUAGAACACAUUGUACAUUACACAUGUGGUGUGUAAAUAAGGUGUACUCAGCACUUUACAGGUUACAUUACAGUAGAGGGAGGUACAGUAAGUGCAGUAGGUAUACAGUGUAUGUAUAUUUUAUUUAUAUAGCGCUAACAGGUGUACUCAGCACUUUACAGGUUACGUUACAGUAGAGGGAGGUACAGUAAGUACAGUAGGUAUACAGUGUAUGUAUACUUUAUUUAUAUAGCGCUAACAGGUGUACUCAGCACUUUACAGGUUACAUUACAGUAGAGGGAGGUACAGUAAGUGCAGUAGGUAUACAGUGUAUGUAUAUUAUAUUUAUAUAGUGCUAACAGGUGUACUCAGCACUUUACAGUUUACAUUACAGUAGAGGGAGGUACCGUGAGUGCAGUAGGUAUACAGUGUAUGUAUAUUAUAUUUAUAUAGCGCUAACAGGUGUACUCAGCACUAUACAGGUUACAUUACAGUAGAGGGAGGUACAGUAAGUGCAGUAGGUAUACAGUGUAUGUAUAUAUUAUUUAUAUAGUGCUAACAGGUGUACUCAGCACUUUACAGGUUACGUUACAGUAGAGGGAGGUACAGUGAGUGCAGUAGGUAUACAGUGUAUGUAUAUUUUAUUUAUAUAGCGCUAACAGGUGUACUCAGCACUUUACAGGUUACAUUACAGUAGAGGGAGGUACAGUAAGUGCAGUAGGUAUACAGUGUAUGUGUAUUAUAUUUAUAUAGCGCUAACAGGUGUACUCAGCACUUUACAGGUUACAUUACAGUAGAGGGAGGUACAGUAAGUGCAGUAGGUAUACAGUGUAUGUAUAUUAUAUUUAUAUAGAGGUAACAGGUAUACUCAGCACCUUACAGGUUACAUUACAGUAGAGGGAGGUACCGUGAGUGCAGUAGGUAUACAGUGUAUGGAUAUUUUAUUUAUAUAGCGCUAACAGGUAUACUCAGCACUUUACAGGUUACAUUACAGUAGAGGGAGGUACAGUAAGUGCAGUAGGUAUACAGUGUAUGUAUAUUUUAUGUAUAUAGCGCUAACAGGUGUACUCAGCACUUUACAGGUUACAUUACAGUAGAGGGAGGUACAGUAAGUGCAGUAGGUAUACAGUGUAUGUAUAUUUUAUUUAUAUAGCACUAACAGGUGUACUCGGCACUUUACAGGUUACAUUACAGUAGAGGGAGGUACAGUAAGUGCAGUAGGUAUACAGUGUAUGGAUAUUUUAUUUAUAUAGUGCUAACAGGUAUACUCAGCACUUUACAGGUUACAUUACAGUAGAGGGAGGUACAGUAAGUGCAGUAGGUAUACAGUGUAUGUAUAUUAUAUGAGUGUAACGGGUAUAGCACUUUUACAGUUUAUUACAGAGUAAGAGGAGAUUACAUUAAUUUUGAAGUAGGUAUACAGUGUAUGUAUAUUAUAUUUAUAUAAGCUAACUUUCUGGGUGUACUCAAUAGCCACUAUACAGGUUACAUUGGUAGAGGUACGAAGGAAGUUAAAAUUACGUGGUAUACAGUGUAUGUAUAUAUUAUUUAUAUAGUCACCAGGUGUACUCAGCACUUUGGGAUUACGUUACAGUAGGAGGUACAGUAGAGUGCAUUAGGUAUACAGUGUAUAUAUUAUAUUUAUAUAGAGGUAACAGGUGUACUCAGCACUUUACAGGGUUACAUUACAGUAGGGGAGGGCCACAGUAAGUUACAGUAGGUAUACAGUGUAUGUAUAUUAUAUUUAUAUAGAGGUAACAGGUGUACUCAGCACUUUACAGGUUACAUUACAGUAGAGGGAGGUACAGUAAGUGCAGUAGGUAUACAGUGUAUGUAUAUUAUAUUUAUAUAGAGGUAACAGGUAUACUCAGCACUUUACAGGUUACAUUACAGUAGAGGGAGGUACAGUAAGUGCAGUAGGUAUACAGUGUAUGUAUAUUUUAUUUAUAUAACGCUAACAGGUAUACUCAGCACUUUACAGGUUACAUUACAGUAGAGGGAGGUACAGUAAGUGCAGUAGGUAUACAGUGUAUGUAUAUUAUAUUUCUAUAGCGCUAACAGGUGUACUCAGCACUUUACAGGUUACAUUACAGUAGAGGGAGGUACAGUAAGUGCAGUAGGUAUACAGUGUAUGUAUAUAUUAUUUAUAUAGUGCUAACAGGUGUACUCAGCACUUUACAGGUUACAUUACAGUAGAGGGAGGUACAGUAAGUGCAGUAGGUAUACAGUGUAUGUAUAUUUUAUUUAUAUAGCGCUAACAAGUGUACUCAUCACUUUACAGGUUACAUUAUAGUAGAAGGAGGUACAGUGAGUGCAGUAGGUAUACAGUGUAUGUAUAUUGUAUUUAUAUAGCGCUAACAGGUGUACUCAGUACUUUACAGGUUACAUUACAGUAGAGGGAGGUACAGUAAGUGCAGUAGGUAUACAGUGUAUGUAUAUUUUAUUUAUAUAGCGCUAACAGGUGUACUCAGUACUUUACAGGUUACAUUACAAUAGAGGGAGGUGCAGUAAGUGCAGUAGGUAUACAGUGUAUGUAUAUUUUAUUUAUAUAGCGCUAACAGGUGUACUCAGCACUUUACAGGUUACAUUACAGUAGAGGGAGGUACAGUAAGUGCAGUAGGUAUACAGUGUAUGUAUAUUAUAUUUAUAUAGAGGUAACAGGUAUACUCAGCACUUUACAGGUUACAUUACAGUAGAGGGAGGUACCGUGAGUGCAGUAGGUAUACAAUGUAUGGAUAUUUUAUUUAUAUAGCGCUAACAGGUAUACUCAGCACUUUACAGGUUACAUUACAGUAGAGGGAGGUACAGUAAGUGCAGUAGGUAUACAGUGUAUGUAUAUUUUAUGUAUAUAGCGCUAACAGGUGUACUCAGCACUAUACAGGUUACAUUACAGUAGAGGGAGGUACAGUAAGUGCAGUAGGUAUACAGUGUAUGUAUAUUAUAUUUAUAUAGAGGUAACAGGUAUACUCAGCACUUUACAGGUUACAUUACAGUAGAGGGGAGGUACCGUGAGUGCAGUAGGUAUACAGUGUAUGGAUAUUUUAUUUAUAUAGCGCUAACAGGUAUACUCAGCACUUUACAGGUUACAUUACAGUAGAGGGAGGUACAGUAAGUGCAGUAGGUAUACCGUGUAUGUAUAUAUUAUUUAUAUAGUGCUAACAGGUGUACUCAGCACUUUACAGGUUACAUUACAGUAGAGGGAGGUACAGUAAGUGCAGUAGGUAUACAGUGUAUGUAUAUAUUAUUUAUAUAGUGCUAACAGGUGUACUCAGCACUUUACAGGUUACGUUACAGUAGAGGGAGGUACAGUGAGUGCAGUAGGUAUACAGUGUAUGUAUAUUUUAUUUAUAUAGCGCUAACAGGUGUACUCAGCACUUUACAGGUUACAUUGCAGUAGAGGGAGGUACAGUAAGUGCAGUAGGUACACAGUGUAUGUAUAUUUUAUUUAUAUAGCGCUAACAGGUGUACUCAGCACUUUACAGGUUACAUUACAGUAGAGGGAGGUACAGUAAGUGCAGUAGGUAUACAGUGUAUGUAUAUUUUAUUUAUAUAGCACUAACAGGUGUACUCAGCACCUUACAGGUUACAUUACAGUAGAGGGAGGUACAGUAAGUGCAGUAGGUAUACAGUGUAUGUAUAUUAUAUUUAUAUAACGCUAACAGGUAUACUCAGCACUUUACAGGUUACAUUACAGUAGAGGGAGGUACAGUAAGUGCAGUAGGUAUACAGUGUAUGUAUAUUUUAUUUAUAUAGCGCUAACAGAUGUACUCAGCACUUUACAGGUUACAUUACAGUAGAGGGAGGUACAGUAAGUGCAGUAGGUAUACAGUGUAUGUAUAUUUUAUUUAUAUAGCGCUAACAGGUGUACUGAGCACUUUACAGGUUACAUUACAGUAGAGGGAGGUACAGUGAGUGCAGUAGGUAUACAGUGUGUGUAUAUUUUAUUUAUAUAGCGCUAACAGGUGUACUCAGCACUUUACAGGUUACAUUACAGUAGAGAGAGGUACAGUAAGUGCAGUAGGUAUACAGUGUAUGUAUAUUUUAUUUAUAUAGCACUAGUAGGUGUACUCAGCACUUUACAGGUUACAUUACAGUAGAGGGAGGUACAGUAAGUGCAGUAGGUAUACAGUGUAUGUAUAUUUUAUUUAUAUAGUGCUAACAGGUAUACUCAGCACUUUACAGGUUACAUUACAGUAGAGGGAGGUACAGUAAGUGCGGUAGGUAUACAGUGUAUGUAUAAUGUAUUUAUAAAUAGUGCUAACAGGUGUACUCAGCACUUUACAUGUUACAUUACAGAAGAGGGAGGUACAGUAAGUGCGGUAGGUAUACAGUGUAUGUAUAUUUUAUUUAUAUAGCGCUAACAGGUGUACUCAGCACUUUACAGGUUACAUUACAGUAGAGGGAGGUACAGUAAGUGCAGUAGGUAUACAGUGUAUGUAUAUUUUAUUUAGAUAACGCUAACAGGUAUACUCAGCACUUUACAGGUUACAUUAUAGUAGAGGGAGGUACAGUAAGUGCAGUAGGUAUACGAAUGUAUGUAUAUUUUAUUUAUAUAGCACUAACAGGUGUACUCAGCACUUUACAUGUUACAUUACAGUAGAGGGAGGUACAGUAAGUGCAGUAGGUAUACAGUGUAUGUAUAUUUUAUUUAUAUAGCACUAACAGGUGUACUCAGCACUUUACAGGUUACAUUACAGUGGAGGGAGGUACAGUAAGUGCAGUAGGUAUACAGUGUAUGUAUAUUUUAUUUAUAUAACGCUAACAGGUGUACUCAGCACUUUACAGGUUACAUUACAGUAGGGAGGUACAGUAAGUGCAGUAGGUAUACAGUGUAUGUAUAUUAUAUUUAUAUAGCGCUAACAGGUGUACUCAGCACUUUACAGGUUACAUUACAGUAGACGGAAGUACAGUAAGUAUACAGUGUAUGUAUAUUUUAUUUAUAUAGGUGUACUUAGCACUUUAUAAGAGAAAAUCAUUUCUUGGUUUAACAGGUUACUCCAACCAUUACAAGCCCCAUUGCCGUUGUAGUGGUUAUAAUGCCAGGAAGUACCCUGGCCCGGUUUCCCAUUUAGCAAUGGUUUGUCCCCUUACCUAGGUCCCCGCUGGGCUACUGAUGCUCCCUGGUGGUCUGUUGACGCACUUCAGGCUUCUAAAAAGAUGCAGAAUCUGCAGCCUUCACCAUCCAUUGCGGAGAGCAUCCGCUAACUAGUCUCAGCUAAUCAAUGUAAUGAAAUGUUCACAGAAUGGAUAUUAAUUAGCUCAGAACUUUAAUUGUGCACUGGCUGAUGACACCCUAAUGACUCUGAUGGAGAUGGAGUUUUAUAAUGAAACGUUGCACAUAUAGACUCCUGACACCAUGACCACUUCAAACCCCUGGCAUUUAACUUAUCAUUAUUCUACAGAUUAAAUUUGUGUUUUCUUUGUCUCUAUAUUAUCUCGGUACUGGUAGACGCUGUCUACAUUUUCAGCAUCGCAGUGUGGGUUCUGAAAGCAGGGGAUACGUGUAAACAGAUUGCGACACAAUUACUGCCUGCACAUAAUGUCUAAAAUAUUUACCGCCUGAAAAAAAACCUGACAGCUGCGCAACAUAAAACAGUAAACUAAUUAUUACUUAAGAAUUUUGUUACAGGAGCAAUUUAAAAAUAGAAUAAAAAGUGUGUUGUUGUUUUAUUAUGAUCUAGAUUAUAGUGAUUUGAUAAUCCUGUAUAAAUUCACGGUUACUUUAAAACGACAACACGUGAAUAUCCAUUUUUUCCUACAUAUGUAAAGCCUGGGGAGAAAUCCUUUUAUUCUCGCUCUGCAUUAUAGCUGUCUAACGGUUUUAUUGACUAAACGAAGAAUUUGCUGCAACAAGAAUUAUUUCAGUCUGUUUUGGCCCAACACUUGCAGUUCCUUCGUUGAUUUUCUGCAAUUUCUAAUUUUUUUGCGAAAAACCACUAACAUAAUUUGGGCAUGAUAAUAAACACACAAAUAAAUAAAACUGAUAAAAUAAGUCCGAUUGAUGCAACAAUUGCGAAGAACAUGGAAAGUCCAACCCAAAUAGAGUUUACACUAAAUCAUAACUUUUAAUAUAUAGUAAUAAAGAACAGUAUUAUUGAGAUCUAAUACCUUACAAAAAUGAAUCCGAGUGACGGUCACAUCCAGCCUGUAAUAUUCCUUUAGGAAUUAUCAACUUCGAGAAAUGUAGAUUCCGGAAUAAAAUAAAAAGUAAUGUUAAACAGUACAGACAUUUAUAUGUAUGCAGUUGGCUAGCCCUAAAUUAUCGUGAAGAUGCGCGCAUUUCAUAUCGAUCGGCUAAAUCUGAUAUUGGGACAGGUAUGAAUAUUUUCAGAACUCGACAUUUAUUUAGAAAGACUCGCUCACGCACAUUUGGCUCAUUUAGCCAGGUAGAACGGUGCUAAUCUAGAGCAAAUUUCAAAUUACUCACAUAGAUUUAAUUGGUUUCCAUAGUGAUUGCUCGCUAUUUAGAAUUUUUCCCCAGGAGAGUAACUGUUUUGCCUUGAUACAUAUUGUCCAAUAGUCAUACAUAACAAGGGGACACUUUUGCUUAUGACAAAAUUCUACCAGUACCUGUAUGUAGAAUUUCUUAAAGUCAAUAUAGUCAUAUGUGUACUGAGCAAUUCUCUCACAGCUAUUUAAAAAAAAAAAAAAAAAAAUGAUUGCAGGUUCCUCCAAUAUAUUAACUUUCUAACGAACAUAAAUAGUUAAGCCACACUUUCCUCUUAGAGAUGUCCCUGAUCCUCAUGCUGUCAUUGAGUAGAUGUUCUAGAUGUCAGGACUGAAUGCGGAAACAUAGCAGUGUGUGUGUGAAAAUUUGCAUCCUGUUGUGUUUGGUUUUUCUUAUUUUUUCAGCUCAUUUAUAGAGUAGAAUAUAUUCAGAUUGUGGAAGCUGUUAUUAGUUUAUUCUGCUCUACUGUAGGCAGAGACACUGAAAAAGCAAUGCAUAUAUCGUUUUUCAGAAUUGCUAUCCCCUCCACCCCCUCUCCCCCUCCCGUCCCAAAGCUUAUACUUUUAUAACAUGUUAUGAAAUUUAACUCCAUCACCAAAAUAAGAAUUACUGUCCCCGAUUCUCUGGCGAACAGACCAGGGUUGAAGAAAUUCUCCGUUCUGUAGGAGCAUUUUUUUUUUACCAUUUAGUUGUACAUCAGAUGUACAGACAGACAGGGGACUGGAGACGUGACUUUCCAAAAAACUGGCUCCUUUUCCGCUCCUGCAGUCUGUGGACAGAUGGUGUUUGUAAAUGACCUUGAAACCUAAAGCAAGACCCUAGCCUGCUGCAUAAUGCCUGGGCCCACAGGCGGCAUUCCGUGCCCAGUCUACCUGCCCCUGCCAACGCAUGCUAAUGGGAAGCACUUAUACGGAGUGAGGAAAAUACAUGGCGAGAGGGAGCCCCAGUACAGGAUGUCACACGGCUACAUAGAACAUUUCUGCUUUUAAUGAGGGAUCUAUUGCACAAGGCAUGUGCGCACUAUAAGCAAAUGCGGUUAUUACGGCUUAUCGAAGGCUAUCUUUUAUUUAGCCCGUUAAACCAGUAAUGGCUAAGCUUGGCACUUCAAAUCGCAGCGAAUAAAAUUUCUCAUGAUGCUCAGCCAAAGCCGGGGAAUGUAGUUAGGAAACAUCUGGCGCAAGCAAGUCACUGCUACAAACAAUUCUGUGCCGGAGGGAGAGUUUACGCCUUGCACCGCGCAGCAUUGUCUGUUUUUUUUUGGUACCAGUUUAUUAACUCUUUCAGAGCCAGGCUGUUAAGCACUGCAACACGUUAAAAGACUGGAGGAAUUUGCUAAAUUGCAAAAUUAGGAAAAAUCCUUGAAUUUUCCUCCUAGUUGUAACUUUGCGUCUGAGAUUAUUCACAAAUUGCAAAAAUAUAUAUCUUUUCUGUUGGUUGCUGAGCCUUAAAUAUGGAUCAAAUACAUAACUGGCAAUAAUAAUACAUUGUCUUCAUUGAGCCAUUCCUGGUUAUGCACAGAUGCAUAAAUAUAAUUCUCCCAAAUUUACGAUCAUUGUGAGCGAGGAUAAGGCUUGGAGUGUAGACUAGCACUGUGCUGGCUGUACCAGGGAACAGAUAAUUGUAUUUGAUUUGUCCUUUGAUGUUACAGCAUUCACAGAAAUCAUGGAAAGGGGAUUUACACUACAAGGUUUAGUCCAGAGAUCAAGACUAGGUAUAUAAUGAAUGUUAUGGGCCAUCAAAACCUGCAUACAUCCCACGCAGAGCUGGACGGUGUCAAACUUUUGCCCCAGACAUUUAAAGGCAGAACAUCCUAUUAUGAGGAGUUGGUGCCAGAGGGGGGCAUAUUUUGUCAUCACCAAUGACACACACACCAACUCAAAUAUGGAUAUAGUGUAUGUGGGAAUAGAGGGUAUAGUGUAUGUGGGAAUAGAGGAUAUAGUGCAUGUGGGUAUUGAGGGUGUAGUGUAUGUGGGAAUAGGGCAUGUAGUGUAUGUGGGAAUAGGGCAUGUAGUGUAUGUGAGAAUAGAGGAUGUAGUGUAUGUGGGACUAGAGGAAGUAGUGUAUGUGGGAAUAGGGCAUGUAGUGUAUGUGAGAAUAGAGGAUGUAGUGUAUGUGGGAAUAGAGGAAGUAGUGUAUGUGGGAAUAGGGCAUGUAGUGUAUGUGGGAAUGGGAGGUGUAGUGUAUGUGGAUAUAGAGGAUGUAGUGUAUGUGGGAAUAGGGCAUGUAGUGUAUGUGGGAAUAGGGCAUGUAGUGUAUGUGGGAAUGGGAGGUGUAGUGUAUGUGGGAAUAGGGCAUGUAGUGUAUGUGGGAAUAGGGAAUGUAGUGUAUGUGGGAAAAUACAGUGUAGUGUAUGUAGUGAAUAAGAAUAUAUGUCGGGGAUACAGGCUGAAGAGAAGGGGCAGCCGGGGCUGAGGGACUGUUGAGGGUAAAGUAUAAAUAUAAAAUGUAUUUUAAUGUAAAAAAAUACAAUGAAUCCCCUCUUCCUGUAGUUUAUUUUUGGGUUGGUGGGUGGAGAUGAUGUAUCUUGACCCAGUGGAUGCAGAGAGCUACUUCAACAGUACAUGACUUUGCAAGAAAGCCCUGGCCACCCCCCCAAAUUAAGGUGUUCCUCUUUGUCCAUUUGAAAUGCUGAGGAGUAUUUAACUGUGUAUCCAUUACAUACCCUGCACAUCACUGGUUGAGAAGGGGUUGAGGCCUAUUCUCUUGUGACCCUGCCUGGUAGAACCAUUUGCCCGCUAUAAAUGAUUGCAUGGUAGAACCAUUUGCCCGCUGUCAAUGAUUGCAUGAUAGAAUCCAGUUGUAUUGUGAAUCCAGAUUGAAUUGGCCGGUAACUUGAUAAAUCUGGGCUUAAAUAGUUGAGUGGAAGAUCUAUUAUUUAUUUAAUUUUUUUCUCCAAAAACUGAAUAUUUUAACUUGGCCAUAACUUGCCAUUUAGUGGAUUAACCCCUAAGUGAAUUUUACAAGCUGUCAUAAGAGACUCCAGUAAUACGCAACAUGUAUAGACUGACUCUUAUUUUAUAUACAAAAUAUAUAUUUAUUGUGGUCCCACCAGCUCAAUUUACAUAGGAUUUGUAUUUUAUUUAUUUUUGUUUUCUUUUGUUUAUCCCAAAUCUUUUUCUGGUUGUAAAGGUUUUUAAAUGAUCAUUACAGCAGAAAACAUCCUAGGAGUUAUGUUACCGUCACAGUAAUGGCCCCCGCUGGGGUUGUAAUUCUGUGUACGUUUUACUAGGUAGACGCUUGUGGGCCUUUAAUGAGAGGGAUUAUAAAUUGGUUGCAGCUCGAGGUCUUAAAGAUAAAAAAAGCAAAAGAUCCAUGUGUUGUAACACAAGAUAGUAACUAUGGCAACAUUGCUGUCUGCUGAAGGAUUCCAUUUUGUUUAGGGAUAGUUCGCUGUUAACCCCUGGAGCGCUGGAGGGAUACACUUUGCACAGAAGAGCCAUUAACAAGCCAGCCCCAGGCAGUCUGAUUUCCAGCACCUUGCAGCUCAUUAUUUAGUAAACAGUACAUCAACAAACAUUGAAAACUCUGAACAUUUUUAUGUCCAAUAUUACAAUCCUAAAUCUCACUUGCAAUACAAUGCAAAUCCAAAGAGCUCCACAAUGCCACAAAGUAAGAGUGUGUGUGUGUGUGUGUGUGUGUGUGUGUGUACUUAGUGUGUGUAUUCCGUGCAGGAUUAAGAUUGUCCAGGGUCCUGGCAGAAUGUCUGUUUGGGGACCCCUGCUAGAGCUUUGGGCCCUGUUUCAUGGAUAGGGGAACCUGAGUGUUGUGUGUGUGAGUGGUGUUGGGGUAUUGUAUGUGAGGGAGGUUGAGUGGGUAUGUCUAUGUGUGUUUGUUUGCAUUUGUGUAUGGAUAAGGAUAAGUGCUGUAUGUGUGGAGAGAAGGCUGAGAGUGGUGGUUGAGUAUUGUGGGAUAAGCUGUGUUGUGUGUUAUAACUGGGUGUUGUAUGUGGGGGUGGCUGUGUUGUGUGUUGUAGCUGGGUAUUGUGUGUGGGGGCAUCUGUGUUGUGUGUUAUAGCUGAGUAUUGUGUGUGGGGACGGCUGUGUUGUGUGUUAUAGCUGGGUAUUGUUUGUGGGGGCGGCUGUGUUGUGUGUUAUAGCUGGGUAUUGUGUGUGGGGGCGGUUGUGUUGUGUGUUAUAGCUGGGUAUUGUGUGUGGAGACGGCUGUGUUGUGUGUUAUAGCUUGGUAUUGUGUGUGGAGACGGCUGUGUUAUGUGUUAUAGCUGGGUGUUUUGUGUGAGGGCGGUUGUGUUGUGUGUUAUAGCUGGGUAUUGUGUGUGGGGGCGGCUGUGUUGUGUGUUAUAGCUGGGUAUUGUGUGUGGGGGCGGUUGUGUUGUGUGUUAUAACUGGGUAUUGUGUGUGGAGACGGCUGUGUUGUGUGUUAUAGCUGGGUAUUGUGUGUGGGGGCGGUUGUGUUGUGUAUUAUAGCUGGGUGAUCUGUGUGUUAUAGCUGGGUAUUGUGUGUUAUAGUCUUAUUACAGCUUAUUGUAUCAUUACAGCCUAUUGUAUCCGUACACCUCAUUGUCCAGUUACAGCUUCUUGUACUGUUUUGUUGAGGCAUAAUAUUACCUUGAGCCGUCAUAUUACGGCUCAUUGUGUUAUUACAGCUCAUUGCAUAAUUACAGCUUUGCCCAGACUAAUAUCUGUUUUUGUCAUCAGAAAUAUCUCCAGUAGCUUUUUUUUUUUUAAAUUUACCACAACCCUGUAAAAUGUUAUAUUUUAUUUUUACUGUUUUGGUUAUAUUUGUAUAAUAGAUUAACUAUUAUAAAUGCAUAUUAUACCACGUUUUAUACAUACUUUUUUAGACAACUUCUUUGCUCAUUAAUAGUUUUUUUUCAGAUCCAUUUAAUGAGGGGUUUUAAUUAAUUUAUUUUUGUGUUGAUCUACGCUCUUUAUUUUGGCGUGGCACGUAAUGGUAUUUCUAACAAAUGUACUAGACUUGAUAUUAUCUGCGUGAGUACCACGUUCUCUUCAAUAAAAUCCUAAAUACCUGAUCGGGAUUCCCAUCUCAAUGGCAUUGUUACUCCCACACAGACUAUAACCAGAGAACUCCGGCAUCGCAAACAGAGAGAAUUAAACCAAUUUGUCAGGUUUUUGUUUUUUAAUUCAUUCAAUAAUUUUACACACAUAGAAAUUACAGUAAUAAUAAAAGACGAAUACCAAUAUUAGCACAUUUUAUUAGCUAACUGAAACAUAACGAUUGCCCCUUUUUUGUUUUAAUUUGGAUGAAAUUCAUUGCUUCCACCUCACAGUAAAUAUUUCAUUCACAUUUGCCACCUGCCACGAUUUACCAUUUUAGUGAGAUAAAUGAAGAACUACACUCAAUCCCAUAAUUCUGAGCCAGGUUGCAACUAGACCACGACUGCCCCAGAUGUCCUAAAUAUCUCUGUAUUCUUUGAUAUCCUCCUUCCCCAUUAUAUGAGCUGCUCAAAAUAUCCCUCCACCUGACCUACUUCAGACUGUGCAUGUGUGUCCGGGCCCUAAUCUGUAUUUUGUAUAUAUUUAGGUUUUUUUUAUGGCAGCACCUCUUCUGCUGAGAAAUGCAUGUUUCGGGUGUGACCCCAAUUCCCUUUUUGUUUGUUUGUAUGGUGUGGAGGUACAGAUAGCCCCUUGAGAGUGUGCCGAAACAACCCUAUAGCCCCUGAUAACUGGGCACAGCCCUCCUGAAGGUUGCAAAAAUGAACUACGAAAAACAUUGAUGGUCAUAGGGUCGAGGAAGAGAUAGUGAGGAGUGUGUGUUGUGGGAUGUGCAUAAUAUACGUCAUUUUAUAACUUGCUCUUUUUCUAUAGUCUUUAGACUCCAUAUGUUGUGUAUAGUCACACUUGUAACUGCUACGUGGUGCCAACAGUGACAGAUUUCUAUACAGCCAGUCUGUGUCUCGUUAUGUAUUAAUACUAACUUGUGUAUGAUCCUUUAAUAUAAACACAAAUCGCACUUCAUCCAAGUAGUGUCUGGCUGGUAAAACAUAGCGACCGGGCUGGAACAAAGCUUUUUUUAUUUUUUGGGUAGGAUGUAUAAGGAUUUAGGCUAGAAACUGGGGUUAAAAUUUUUUGGGGUUAGUUUAGAGUAGCAGGGGUUAACAUCUCCCUUAGAAAAUAAUGGGAGCCAUUAGCUGCUACAUGGCGACUGACUCCUAUUAGUAGCAGCUGCUAAUUUCUUAUUACUAGUGGUGACAUUAACCAGUUGGAUAAACAUAUGUUACUUGCUAAGAGUGGCUGAUAACGAAUAGCGACUGGUCAUUAAAAUGUAGCUGUGACAAACUGCCCUUUGCUACUGGCUUUUUAUGUGACAAACUGCCAUUUGCCCCAGGCUUUUGGAGGAGCUUGAUUGCCAGCCUCCUGCCUUAUGACUAUGGCCCUGGGGUGUAUUGCCCUUUAAGAACAUUAUUGGGGCAUAUUGAGACUUGGUCCAAUGCCCCUUUUAAAUUGUUGAAGCGGUCGAAGAGGAACUUCGAACUACCGAACAGCUGGACCACACACAAGUGGAGUGUGCAGCCAAUUUACCUCCCAGAAGCUGUGUAACCACAAGCUAAUUGACGAACAGCUGGGUGGUCGCCGUUUGUAUAGUCGAACACGUGGCGGCGGCCAUCUUGUUUAGUCGAACGCUGCCAGUGGUGUUUUGCCGUUGAGUUCAUGGAACUCAAAUCGGAUACACGACGGCACGAACACAGCUGUGCGUGUAGGGAUGCAUUGUGUGUUUCUGUGUGUAGGGAUGCAUUGUGUGUGCACACGCGCGUAGUGUGAAAGAGCUCCCUGUCUUGCCCCCUGUCUUAUAGAGCUGUCCCUUCUGUCCCUUAGAGCUCUCCCCUGCCCCUUAGUGGUCUCUCCUCUCCCCCACCCUCCCCUAGCGGUCUCUUCUCACACUCACCCACCCUCCCUGUGCUCUUCUCAUCCCCCCUCCAUGUGUUCUUCUCACCUCCCCCCUCCCUGUGUUCUCCUCACCUCCCCCUUCCCUGUGUUCUUCUUACCCCCUCUCCUCCCUGUGUCUCCUCAUCUCCCCUUCUCCUCACCCCCCUGUGUUCUUACCCCCUCUCCUCCCUGUGUCCUCCUCACCUCCCCCUCCCUGUGUUCUCCUCACCACCCACCCUCCCUGGGUUCUUCUCAGUCCCCGCUCCGGUUCUCCUCAUCUCCCCUUCUCCUCUCCCUUACUCACCCCCCUCCUCCUUGUGUUCUUACUCACCCUUGUUCUUCUUGCCUCCCGUCUUCUUGCCUCCCCUCCCCUUCUUCUUCUUUUCUCUUACCCCCUUCUUCUUACCCCUUCUCUUUCUUACUCCCUCCUUUCUCUCUCUAUUUCCCUCCUUCUGUUACUUCCCUCCUCCUUCUGUUACUCCUCCCUCCUUCUGUUACUCCCUCCUUCUGUUACCCUCCUUCUGUUACCCUCCUUCUGUUACUCCCUUCCUUCUGUUACCCCCUCCUUCUGUUACCCUCCUUCUUUCUGUUACUCCCUCCUUCUGUUAAUACUUCCCCUCCCUCCCUUUGUUACUCCCCUCCCUCCUCUGUUAACCUCCUCCUUCUGUUACUUACCUCCUCCUCUUCUCUGUUACUUCACCCUCCUACUUCCCUCCUCCUGUUACCCCUCCUUCUGUUACUUCCCUCUCUUCUUUUUUACUACCUCUUCUGUUACUUCAGCCUCCCUCCUUCUGUUACUCAACCCCUCCCUUCUGUUACUCCCCCCUCCCUCCUUCUGUUACUUCCCCCCCUCACCUCCCCUUCCCUGUAGCGUGGCCGAGCUCCUCUCCGGUCCGCGGUGCCCGGCCGGAGUGAUAGGAAGGUGAACACUCAGUGUGCACUUCCUGUCAGUCCGGCCGGGUACAGGAAACCGAAACUCCGCGCGGAACAGGAGUUUCUGUUUCCUGUACCCGGCCGGACUGAAAGGAAGUGCACACUGAGUGUUCACCUCUCCUAUCACUCCGGCCGGGCACCGCGGACCGGAGAGGAGCUAGGCCACGCUACAGGGGAGGGGAGAAGCAGCGCUGCAGCCGCCUGAGGCUCUUAACAGAGCGCUCAGGCGGCUGCAGCAUUAGGACCGGCCCUGCAGCGGCCGGAUUUAAAAGGAUUUAGGGCGGCCUGGGAGGCAGUUGCCUCCCUGCUGGCCCCCGGCCCAGCCCGCCCCUGGCCAUAAUCACUACAGGGAUUGCUAUGCUCUGCAUAUUCCCUUAGCUUCACUGAGCUCUUGUAAGAGCUCUUGUUCCUGAUCCUGCUUCGCUCUCUGGGAGGAAGAGAGAUUUCCCCACUGGAACCUGGAGCCUUGUCGUAAGUCCAGGGUGGAUAGGAGACGGCGAGACCCCAACCAGUAGUGGCGGUUCAUGGGGUCUGCAGUACUUAUGGUGUCUACGGUGCUGAUGGUCCUUGGUGAGCGCUAGGAGCAUCCUUUCUAUGGUCCAACCCUCAGCUAGCCUGGGGCAACCGUAACAGUAGCGAUAGGAUGUAAGUCCUUAUUUCAUGCAUUCAUUUACAAAAAGAGACUCUCCCUCCUAAACACCAAAUGCAAAUUAAUUCAAAACCAAUUCUAUGAUACAUAUCUAACCCAUCUGCUUUACGUAGAACUUGCCACACCAUGAGUAAUAAUAUAUCUGUGAAACAUUCCACAGCGUGACAUCUCGAUCGCCAUCGUAAUGAACUUUCCAGUAUUCGAUUGUCACUCAAUAUCCGUCAGAAAGCUAAUCUAAAAACAAAUCUGUUCAGAAAGGAAAAUAAGCAAAAAUAUUGAUAUCAAGCCAAAAACAUAAAUUCCACGGAGUAUAUCGAACAUGUUUUAUACCGUGUAUCUAUCUGUAAUGUUAGGAGGGCACCGUGGCCCUUACUAUAGAGGGCAAGGGACUGGACAUAGAUGUCAAGCCAUCCAAAUGCUGGACAGUCCGAUAUCCAUUGUCUGCCAACCUGGCCUUACAGGCUGUGUAUCUAGCAUAGACCGAGGCACGGUAUGAAUGUCAUGUCCAUUCCGUGCUUUCCUGGGUUAAACCGGCCAGCCUGUGUCUCGGUAAUUAUAAACGAUCUGCUGUGUGAAUCCUUCAUACACAAUGAACCUUUUAUGUAUAAUGGAUUUAUUGUGGAAAAAUAAAAUACACCAAGCUAUGGCAUUUUUAUUAUGUUUAUUCAUAAUGAAGAUAAAGGGGGAAAAAAAAGUCUUCAUCUAAAUGAAGAAAACCUUGAACGUUCUAUCGUUCUCUUAGUAAAAUGUCACAAGAUAAAAACAUUCGUUCCUGGCCCUGUGUUAAAGCGAUCGCCUUCAAUUCUGUCCCAGGCACAUGUACUAAAAUGGGAAUAUAGCUGUAUAGUAUAGUCUGUCUAAAAAAACGCUGGUCAAAUAGCAGAGUACGUGACUGCUCAACACAGUACCCCCACCAUGUAGAGCUAGGAGUUUAAUGUUAAUACCAUCACUCUUAGCCACUGUUUUUUGUUUUUUUUUGCUUUGGGCAUUUUUAAAACUUAAACUGCUGUAAAAAUAUCUCCUACAAACAUGCUCUUCCAUGCUUCAUCCUGCAAAGGAUGGUGAGAGUUGUAAUUCGGUAACAGCUGGAAGAGGGGGGGUAGUGCCUUCCCCUGCCUCGCAGGUCGGACCAAAUGUAGUUGUGUGCAGUGAGGCAGCACAGUUUGCAGGGGGAUUGGAUGUUGCAGGCAUUAGUGUGAAAGAUUAAUGUUCUGCUGGAAGAUGUUUAUGGGUGGAAUAGUUAGCAAGUUUUGCAGUCCUAUGGGAACCUUUGAGUAUCCAGGCUUCUGACUGCUCAUCAAGCAGGGAAGAGGUCAGGCUCCUAGAAAUGUUGACAUCCCAUUCUCUCUCAACCGCCUGCAUGCAAAUACGGAUAGGUACCGUCCACUGCGCAGACAAUUAGCAUAUUCUAACGCUAAGCAGAUGUUAACGGUGCCAGGAGGAUGGCACCAGACGCCCACUCUGCAAUCUGCUUAGAUGGGCAGACUUGAUCUCUCAGUAAUAGGGGCCUGCUGGUAAAACCAGCUUCUCACUGAGCCCCCCGCGCUCGACAGAUGCCAUCGAUUGGUCACUUCAUUCUGCAUCUAGAACAGGCAGAGCGCGAGGAUGUAUGAAUAGAAUUAUUAAUUGUGUAAUGUGUUUGGUUUUUUUCAAGCAGUAAAGUUACUUUGCAUUCUUUAAAAUUUAAAAAACAAAACAAAAAAUAGCUGUUGUUCUAAUAAUGGAUGUACUGUGAAUGUGUGAAAUGAGAGCGGCAUGUGUGCCUAUAAGCAGAAAACAGAUGGCCGGAUCGCAACUUUUGGACGCAAGGAUUGGAUUCAUUUACAAAACACGUCAGUUAGUGAAAUUCAAGGAUGGGAGACGCGUUGGCUUUGGGGUUUAGGAAGCCGUGUCUGCAGAAUGUAUACUGCGCGAUAUCUACACACACCAACACACACGCAUACGGUUAUUCACUUAGCUGGGAAUUGAGGAGAAUUGACAAAUGGUAAAUUUGAGAAAUUACGCAGAUUCACAGUUCGCCUUUUUUUGACCUAUUUUCCCUUAUCAAUGCUCUACAAUCAACUCUUCAUGGGUAACUAUUCUCUAACAUACGAAUUGUUUGAAAUUUGAAAAGAAAGUCAAACUCUUCUCCAAAAAUGUCCAAACUGAAAACCUCACUGAGUCUAGAGAAUUUAUAGCUUUUAAAAAAAAAAAAAAAUUGUAUAGUUUGGCCUGGACUGUAAAAAAAAAAAAAAAAUUGAAUGCACCUUGGUUUCAGAACAAUUCUUAUUUUAGCGCCAUAUUUAGUUCUAUAUGUGCAGCCUGGUAUCUUGCAUCGUUUUUUUUUUUUUAGUUGGGGGGAGGCAGCAGAUUAUUUGUUAAGUUUUUACAAAAAAAUUAAAAAAGCCUAGUCUCUCCUUUCAUCAGAUGCUUAUUUUUAAUAUUUGCGAGAAGAGGAAAAAUUACAAGAUAAGCGACUAGAUCGGAAGAAAGUAUGGGGGAGGGGAGAUCAAAAAUGACUUCUCAGGGGGGAUUUAGCCCAGAGCCCUAAGAAUCCAGUUCUAAAAUAUGAGAAAGAAUAUUGAAAUUUACCUUUUAUCUCAUUUAUACACUUAUCCCCCCCCACCCCCCACAUUACUUUUUGAUUAAUGGAAGGCUACACUGUGACAGCCACCUUUUUUGGUGAAAGCGUUUGCAAAAACAAUUGUUUAAGAUGACACAGAUGGAGCAUUCACGUGUAUUGUGAAUGCUAUUUAAAGCAGCUUAAAAGCCGUGUUACUGUAACAGGACAAACUGAUACAUUUCAGCCUAGAGGGGGAGGGGCACCUUUACACAGUGACCCGAGAAUAUGACCCUGAAAAAUUAUUUUGAAAUGAAAACACGUUUUUCCUGUGUGCUGGAGUAGCUCAAUAAAUAUGGGCUUGUAUGACUAAAUGGCGGAAUGGGUGCAUCAAUAGUAAGAAAGCCAAAGAAACAGUUGAUGAAAUUUAUUUUACUUCCCCUAGUGGCCACAGAUGAUACUACAGGUAAUGGCACACAGUCUGCAAAUUAUUAUUAUUAUUAUUAUUUCAUUAUUUAUAUAGAGCCAGCAAACUCCCUAGUGAUGUACAAUGGGUGGACUAACGAACACGUAAUUGUAACCAGACAAAUGGACACACAGGAACAGAGGGGUUGAGGGCCUUGCUCAAGGAGCUUACAUGCUAGAGGGAGUGGGGUAUAGUGACACAAAGGGUAUAAGUAGGGCUAAUGAAAUCGGUUGCUUGAAAAGUAUUCACUGAGAACUUAGUAGGUUAUUUCUGACAGUUGCAGGAGAGGAGUCAUGGGGGGGAGGGAUAAAAAAAAACCCGCUAACAGUUUAAGUGAUAUGCUUUCCUGAAGAAGUGUGUUUUCAAAGAUUUUUUUGAAGGAGUGGAGACUGGGUAAAAGUCUAACUGAGAAGUGAAGGGAGUUCCACAGAAAAGGUGCAGCCCCGGAGAAGUCUUGGAGGCGAGCAUCAGAUGUGGGAGUACCGACAGAGGAUAGACGUAGGUUUUCAGCAGCAUUAUGUAGGGACUUGCAAGCAAGCACCAGAAUUUAAAAUUCUAACUGGAAGCCGAUGUAGGGACUGACAGAGGGUGGAGGCUUGGGAGGUGCGGGCGGACAGGAAGAUGAGCCUCGCCGCCGCAUUCAUUAUAGAUUGCAGCGGUUCAAUCUGGGAACACGUAAGACCACUGAGAAUGGGAUUGCAGUAGAAAAUGAAAGCAGGUGCACAUGCAUUUGCCAUCUCUCUCCCCCACCUCCUUGCCAGCCUUAACCUAUGCUUUCUCAGUAGUAGGGUAAUUUAUAAAGAACAUAAUGUAUGACAGAAUGGUAAGACUGCCAUUUAAACUGGUUGCCUGUUCCCGCUGGCUGCUCGGGGUUUAGAAUUCUGCUCCCGUAUUGCUUUAAGUAAUACAUAAUCCUUAGAGCGCGGGCGGAGCCUGACUCAGCGCUGGAUUCAGGUAAGUCACUAAAGGGGUUUUAACCCCUCCCUCCCACAACAUGGGAUGGGAGGUGGGAGGGAGGGGGGCACUGCAGGAUUCUGCAAGAUUUGUUUUCCUGGCACUGGAGAGUCUCUUUAAGUUAAAUGUGAAUUCAAAGUUAAAUUUUAACUUGAAAGUCAAACUGUUUAAAAAUGACAAAUAUCAGAAAGUACACUCCAUUUUCAGUUUGGCCUAAUAUUUGAAAUUCAAUUUGGAUUCUCUAAUUUAGGGAGCUCCUUCCAGCUGCUCCUUCACCCCGUGUUGCUCACUGCUGUUCAGAGCAUUUUCGAGGCGAUGGGUAAAUCUUUUUCUGUGUUUACCAGGCGUCAGACAGAGUCUGAGAACAAUCAAUGAAUGUAGAAACAUAGAAAUUGACAGCGGGAUUCCGGAUAAGAAGCUUCCAUUCCCCCUCCCCGUUCUGUUUGUUAAAGACAAGUUCUUCUUUAAAGUGCAUGUUAAUUGCCUUUUAAAGGGACAGUAUGGUAGAAAUAUGUAAGGCAAAUAUAUUUAAAGAAAAACCUAAACAAUAUGUACAUAAUCCAGCAGAGAUCAAAUGCUUUUAUAGCCACAGUUUCAUCUCCCAUAGCAGAGUCUUAAAACAACCCUUUGUUUUUCUUUUUAAUUUUUUAUUUGCACAGAAUAUAUUUGAUGAAGUCAUAUUUUAUCUCACUGAGCUAUGUAAAUGAGAACAACUCUUACAAUAAUACCUUUUUUUUUUACUCUACAAAAAAAAGAGAACUUUAUUUUGUAGUAUGAAGGAAAAAUUAGCAGCAUGUAGAGAUUCAUUGCUGCCUCUCGAGUUUAGCUCCACCACUCGAAACAACCAGGAAGUCACAGGACCUGCUAUGUGACUGACAGCCGAGGAGGAGGAGGGGAGCGUGUAAUAAGUUUAAUUUAUAAAAGUGGCAAUAUCUUUUUAAGGCCUUGGUUUAAUAUUUACUUGGAUCAACUUUAAAAAUAAUAAAAUUAUUAUUUAUUACCUAAAACUGGAGAAAUGUCUAAGGCUGAGAUUAAACACUUCCUUCUAGCCAUUCCGAUUCAUACCUGCAAUUGUACUGAUAGGACGAAAGCGGUCAGCUGGUCUUCUUAGCCAAUCUCAGCAGCCCAUUGCUGAAUGGAAGGACAGCGCCUGUCUCUUUAACUACACAGCGGGUUUGAUCAAAUUAAUAACCAACUCAGACUAUUUUGCAAUAACUUUUUCUUACUUAGAAAGUCAUUGACUGUUUCUUCAAUAAACCUAAAAAGCUUGAAAUGGGGACAUACUGUACAUAUAUUCUACAUAUAUUGUAUUUUUGUUAUCAUACUAUCUCUUUAUCAAAGGUUUAGUGUUUGUUGCCAGCAACUUUAAUGUUGGCGUCUUCUGACAAAGUUACUCCCCCUGUGCUCAUGCUUGAUUAAAUCAAGUCAUUUAACCCUUGAGUUACGUGACAGAGCCUGUUUGAAAAGCCCAGCUCUGGCUAAUGGCGGACUGCGCAAUAAGUGUAAUUGUUUGGGCCCGUAGUUUCCAGCCCUUGCAGAUGAUGUUUCACGGCUAAUGAGCAGCUGUUAUGAUUUCUCGUCUAUAAUUUUCACUGUUCUGUUCCCUGUCUGCUUUAUUUUACACCAUUUUUCUCGCUUUAAAUCACAGACCCGUGUAAUACAUUAUAAACCCCCCCAACCAGCCACCCGUCAAGUGAUGCUGAAGAUGGAUAUGAUUGCCCUAAUGAGCGAUUAAUUAAUGAGCAGGAUGUUUAUUUAAUAGGCAUGAGAUGACCUUUGCUGGAGCAUAGUAAGUCGUAUUUCUCCAGGGAAAGUCAUGGACCUUUACCUACCCGUGCACGUACCUGGUAAAACACAAUAUGAGGGGGGGGGAGUCACCGAGGGAAUGACUAUGGGGGCUAUUUACUAAACUCAGAGUUGUGCUAAAACUGACAAGGGAACUGCACAUUUUCGUACAACGCAUGGAGUUGGAAUAAUUUUCAGUAUUGCUAUUUUGCCUGAAAUUUGCAACUCUCUCUUGUCAAAUUUCAACAGUUUCUACUUUAGUGAAUGAGCCCCAAUCCAUAGUGGUGGGAAUGGUGAUUGCAUUUGACAUUUGACAUUCGGGAUGUUCGCUAAAGUAUUAUGGGUAAUUAGGCUCUCUGCAGCAUGGCUGCCAAUGGAGGAUGGAUUCUGUGAUGAGCAACUCUUGAGGACCGUGUGUUUGUUAUGACGCUCAGUGAAGAUGUUCUAUGUCAGUUUAGGCUUUUCUGUCGACAAAACGUUCUUACUCAGUGACCUGGGGGAAUUCUGUUUCUCUAAUUGUUCCCCCAGACAAAUAUAUCUGCCACGGGCCCCCAGUGAGUCGUGUUUGCUCUGAACAGUGGACGCGUUUCGCCAUCAGCUUGUUAUUGUAGCUGGAGGUCAGUUGGAGGAUUUAAUUGGCUGUUAUGACAAACUGUGAUCUGAGCAGAUGCAAUAGAAAGCUUUAGCAGUUAAACUACAUUGAAUGUCUUUAAUAAAAGGCUCUGUAACAGUAACUAUUUCAGCAGUUAGAUAUGGCGUAUAACCGUAUUAGUUUAAUUCCGCUGGUAACCAGGUAUAAAUGCUGAAGUAGUCCAUAGCAGAGUCUAUUUUAGGGAUUUGAAGCGGACUGUUCCCCAGAUAGUGAUACCCAUAGGCAUAGAUGCAGAGAGCAUUUUGGUAGCUCUAGCCUAAUCUGUCAAGAGUAAAAACCUUUCUUUCACAAAAAGUUGGAUUCCAUUAUGAUUAUUUACCAAAGUACGAAUUUUCAGGAAUUCAAAAAAUCAUUAAAAACUCACUUUUUCACAAAAGCAUAUCAAUUAAACAGUUGAUGGCUCCCAAGUGAUUCAUCUCCUGUAACUGUCAUUUAAAAAACAAAAAACCCACACUAAGUCUUCAUUGAAUACUACUCUACCAAUCUACUUCCCUAAUACUUCCCUUACCUUUUGUGUCAUUUUACCCCACUCCCUCUAGCAUGUAAGCUCAUUGAGCAGGGCCCUCAACCCCUCUGUUACUGUGUCUCUAUACCCCACUCCCUCUAACAUGUAAACUCACUGAGCAGGGCCCUCAAUCCAUCUGUUACUGUGUCACUAUACCCCACUCCCUCUAACAUGUGACUCACUGAGCGGGACCCUCAAUCCAUCUGUUACUGUGUCACUAUACCCCACUCCCUCUAACAUGUAACCUCACUGAGCAGGGCCCUCAAUCCCUCUGUUACUGUGUCACUAUACCCCACUCCCUCUAACAUGUAAACUCACUGAGCAGGCCCUCAAUCCCUCUGUUACUGUGUCACUAUACCCCACUCCCUCUAACAUGUAAACUCACUGAGCAGGGCCCUCAAUCCCUCUGUUACUGUGUCACUAUACCCCACUCCCUCUAACAUGUAAACUCACUGAGCAGGGCCCUCAAUCCCUCUGUUACUGUGUCACUAUACCCCACUCCCUCUAACAUGUAAACUCACUGAGCAGGCCCUCAAUCCCUCUGUUACUGUGUCACUAUACCCCACUCCCUCUAACAUGUAAACUCACUGAGCAGGCCCUCAAUCCCUCUGUUACUGUGUCACUAUACCCCACUCCCUCUAACAUGUAAACUCACUGAGCAGGGCCCUCAAUCCCUCUGUUACUGUGUCACUAUACCCCACUCCCUCUAACAUGUAAACUCACUGAGCAGGCCCUCAAUCCCUCUGUUACUGUGUCACUAUACCCCACUCCCUCUAACAUGUAAACUCACUGAGCAGGCCCCUCAAUCCCUCUGUUACUGUGUCACUAUACCCCACUCCCUCUAACAUGUAAACUCACUGAGCAGGGCCCUCAAUCCCUCUGUUACUGUGUCACUAUACCCCACUCCCUCUAGCAUGUAAACUCACUGAGCAGGGCCCUCAAUCCCUCUGUUACUGUGUCACUAUACCCCACUCCCUCUAACAUGUAAACUCACUGAGCAGGCCCUCAAUCCCUCUGUUACGGUGUCACUAUACCCCACUCCCUCUAACAUGUAAACUCACUGAGCAGGGCCCUCAAUCCCUCUGUUACUGUGUCACUAUACCCCACUCCCUCUAACAUGUAAACUCACUGAGCAGGGCCCUCAAUCCCUCUGUUACUGUGUCACUAUACCCCACUCCCUCUAACAUGUAAACUCACUGAGCAGGGCCCUCAAUCCCUCUGUUACUGUGUCACUAUACCCCACUCCCUCUAACAUGUAAACUCACUGAGCAGGGCCCUCAAUCCCUCUGUUACUGUGUCACUAUACCCCACUCCCUCUAACAUGUAAACUCACUGAGCAGGCCCUCAAUCCCUCUGUUACUGUGUCACUAUACCCCACUCCCUCUAACAUGUAAACUCACUGAGCAGGGCCCUCAAUCCCUCUGUUACUGUGUCACUAUACCCCACUCCCUCUAACAUGUAAACUCACUGAGCAGGGCCCUCAAUCCCUCUGUUACUGUGUCACUAUACCCCACUCCCUCUAACAUGUAAACUCACUGAGCAGGCCCUCAAUCCCUCUGUUACUGUGUCACUAUACCCCACUCCCUCUAACAUGUAAACUCACUGAGCAGGGCCCUCAAUCCCUCUGUUACUGUGUCACUAUACCCCACUCCCUCUAACAUGUAAACUCACUGAGCAGGCCCUCAAUCCCUCUGUUACUGUGUCACUAUACCCCCUCCCCCUCUAACAUGUAAACUCACUGAGCAGGGCCCUCAAUCCCUCUGUUACUGUGUCACUAUACCCCACUCCCUCUAACAUGUAAACUCACUGAGCAGGCCCUCAAUCCCUCUGUUACUGUGUCACUAUACCCCACUCCCUCUAACAUGUAAACUCACUGAGCAGGCCCUCAAUCCCUCUGUUACUGUGUCACUAUACCCCACUCCCUCUAACAUGUAAACUCACUGAGCAGGGCCCUCAAUCCCUCUGUUACUGUCACUAUACCCCACUCCCUCUAACAUGUAAACUCAUUGAGCAGGGCCCUCAACCCCUCUGUUCCUGUGCUUCCAACUUGUCUGGUUACAUCUACAUGUUUAUUAGUCCAUCCAUUGUAAAGCGCUACAGAAUUUGUUGGUGCUAUAUAAAUAUAAUAAUAAUAUUAAAUAGGGAAAAUUCCAAAUAAUACGGUGUUUGGACCCAUACUACUGGUGUGCAUUUACACAAACAAAGUGAAAUAUUUCUGGAUAAAACAUGGUUGGCAGUGCAGUGUUCCAGGAUCCUGCAGAAUGUUGACUGGCACUGCAUCUGUUGAGGACUCAAUUUCCCAUGAAUCACAGCAAGUCGUGUUGUUGCUUUUUGGCUCAGCAAACCUUGGGAUUGCAGCUUCUAUGAGCCCAAUAUACUCUACACUACGACCUCCACUGGUAGGCCAGUGUAGGUAUAAACUACACUUUCUACAAAUAAGCGGUACUUACGCCACCUUGGUGAUGACUUACUGACUCUUAACCCAUUGAGAGCCAUCCAUUAUGUUGCAUUUUGCCUAGUCUGAUAAUAUGCGUAGGAGUCAGACAGUGCUGGGAUUUUAUGGGAUCUGUAUAAGGCAGGACUGUCUAUUAGGCCGGAAUUUUAUAGAGAUUGAUUUUGCUUUAUUCAGUGUUUAUUACUGUGUCCAAUCAUUAUAUCAUUGGGAUUUUAUUAAGUGCGCGUCUCUUACAUUACUGAGACUUUGUAAUUCGUGUAUCAUUUUGAAUACUAAAAUCCCCUUGUAACAGGACCAUUGUCGCUGUCACGUAUCGCGAGUGCCCGCAGCUACAUUCAUUCACUAGCAUUCCUCCGCUAUGUCAUUUCUAAUGCUCCAGAGUUACAUUGCAAAUCAUAGCAUCCUGAGCAUUUUAAUCAUCAGGGUCACUCCAUCUUCCUUCUAAAUAACCCCAUCUGCCAUCUCCCCACUAUUUUCCAGAUCAUCUUACCCCCCCUUUCCCAAGUUGCACUCAAUCUAUGUGAUGCUAUAAUACUGUCAGUUGCACCCUCCAUCUAUUAGAUGGGUGACCAGGCAUGCUUUGCAUCUCCUUAAAGGGACUCUGUAGGCACUAUAACCGCGUCAUUUGAUUGAAGUGGUUAUAGUGUCUGAAGUCCCCUGGUGAUGUCCUUCUAUUCAGUGUUAAAUUGUUUUUGAUGUUUUAAUGAAAGUCCCAGCAGCCCCUCCCCUCUGUGCUGCUCCAGCUAAUGUAGAAGAAUUCACCUGGGCAGCUGUGAUUGGCUGAGAGUGUCAGCUGAGUUCUUUCAGCCUAUCACAGCCCCCGUUAUAGGUAUGGAUUGGUAUGGCUAGAAGAAUGUGUGCAAUCUCUGCCUCAGCCACAUCUCCAGUGGGGGCCGAAAUGCGGGUGGCCAGGGAGCCUCAUUCAGUGUUAAACUGCUCGAAAAUGGUUUAACACUGAAUGGAGGGACAGUGCCAGGGGACUCGAGGAACUAAAACCACUUCAAUAAAAUGGUUUAACGUCAAGAGACUCCAGGCACUAUAUCUAAUUCAAUAAGAUGAAAUGGUUAUAGUGCCUUAAAAUCUCAGAGAGGUUUAUUUACUAAAUGGCAUAUUUUAGUAAAUUAAAAUAUGAGUUCCAAAAUAAACUUUAAAACAGCUGAUUUGAAAAAAAGUUUAAACUCUGCUAUAAUCACAGCUUGGUCAAAUGUUGCAAGUGAUAUUUCAGUUCACUACGAUUUGAUGUUUAGUGAAUAAAGUGUCUAAACCUUUGUUCCUCAAACCGGUCUACAGGACAGCCAAAAAAGCCUGGAUCAGAUAUGCCUGCUUUAGCACAGGUGAAACAAUCAGUAGCUCUAAUUCAUGGAGACACCUGUUUGAGAGAUUGGUAAAUGAUGACCUGCUUGUGGGUGUCGAGGACAAACUUGUAGCACACUGGAUUAAAUCAGUUUGACAUGUAAUUAGGACGUUUGGAUGUCUUACUUUUUCAUCUUUAUUUCUGUUGCUUUAGUCGAGGGUUUUUGUGAUUUCCCCUAACACUCUUUUGGACUUUUCAGUGAAUGCGGUAUUUAACAAAUCCUGCACGGCGCGUAUCCAUGUCUCCAUUCUAAAUUACAUCCCACCAGUAAAUCGACUGCAGCCUCCUUGAUGUGUCUACAUUGACACCCACAGUCUAAACACAUAUAUACCAGUAUUUUCCUUACACUGUAAACUAAAGGACAGGAAACAUGUUUUACCAGUAAGCAUACAAUCCUCAUCUCUCCCGGCGCCGGGGCAAUAAUAUGCCCAGCCAUGCAGUAUUCAUUCUAUUGAGCUCAAGUUGGUGAAAACUAGCGUCACACCUGCCACGAAUUAGACUUCCAACCAAGCAGUUUGAACAGUUACUACAGAUACUAAAACCGUGCAAUAACCAAGUGAGCUAUCUGGCUGGGUUUGUAUUUAAAGGAUGGCCAAAAAUUAGACUGUAGUCUGCAUGGUAGUACCCAUCUUUCAUACCAUGACUGGCUCAGGAAGGUUGGUUAGCAAGAAGAAUCAAAGUGAAAUUAUGGAUGGGAUCACUAGGAUACAGAACUAGAUCACCUAGGUCUUGGGCACCAACCUGAGAUUGAUAAUGGGCCUGGGGCGUUGGCUUAACCUGACCAUGGGUAUGGGGCAUGGCAGUGGGACACCUGCUUGAUAAUUGGCAGGAAUAUUGUUAUUAUUAUUUUGUUAUUUAUAUAGUGCCAGCAACCUCCAUAUCUUGACCAUGGUUAUGGAUACCAGCCUUAAAUUGGGCAUGGGGCACCUAGAUUAGCUUGACUCUAGAGAUUGGGUACCAACCUUGGCUUUUCAUUUAGCCUUAGCAUGUACCUGAUAUUGACUAAAUCCCCUACUUUAACUUUUUGGAUACACUAUUUAUGAACAUUUCUUACGCAUAUUUAAGGCCGGUCCUGUAGUUGUGGGAGUUGCGCUCAUUGCGGCUCUUUUCAAGGCGGGCUUGGAUUGCUGGGUGGGGUGGUCGUUCAUCUCCGUUAUUGCUGUGAUGGUCUCUGACGUGUUCCGUUGCCGGUCUCUGUUCCUUCUCCAGCAUUGCCUGCUGGUUUUUGUCUGUUGGUCAUUUUCCGGGAUGGUCGCUAUUGUGGUUUUCUUUUUUUUUUGGCCAUAAUCCUAUAUCCUUCUCGGUUUUCCUCCUCUUUGGUUCAGGCUCUGGUCACUUCUCUAGGUGGCACACUUUGUCCAACCGUAGUCCUGCCGAGAAGCUCACCCUUCUUGGCAGCGUUUGCCUUUCUUGCCUCGUGUCCACCAGGGAGGUAGGUUAUUUUCACCUCUUCUGGCCCACGCUGUAGCAUACGUUCUCAGUCCCCUUUCUACAUGGGUCCAUGAUCGGGCCCUCGCAGAGACAUACGUGCUCAGUCUCUUUUCUAAAUGGAUCCACAAUCUGGCAAUGCAGAGGCAUAUGUUCUCGGACACCAUUCUUCCAUGGGUCCACGAUCUGGCCAACGCUGAUGUCCCCUAUUAGCAGAUAGUACUGGUUGUUAGGGAUCUAGGUACCCACUAUGAUAGGUUUCUGGCCUCUAUGCCAUAGCCUAGUGGUCCCGCGAGGCCAACACCCAUCCUCAUAUUCCUGAGGAUGACGCCAUCGGCCCACCGCAUAGUCAUUCGCCUCGCAUUGUUGCAUAGGGAGGGUCUCACCUGCCACUCCCAUUCUAUUGUAUGCUUUAGUAGUCACCGAGAGGCCAUCACCAUAUCGUGACUUCUCCAAGUAAAUUUGAGAUAUUGUAGAACAAAUAUAUUUGUAUGGUACACUUCUUUUUGCCCUCUUUAUUACAGGCCUACUGCAUCGUCGGUUCCAGCACACCACAACUGACCGGUGCUAAUGACUAAGAUGUUUAUUGCCAAUUAUGUGUUAUCUAACCAUUACGGCAAUAUUGCCCUGACCACAAAUUUAAGGCUGGGCCUGUAGUUGUGGGAGGGGCUUAGGUCCCCUUUAUAAGGGCAUCCAAUCAUCUACCACUUUACCGUGGUUGGCCGGGCGAGUUACCCAUUCUACUGACUGCAGCAGAUCCAAGGCUUUCUCGUAACAUCUCUCGCCCUCCUCGGUAUUCUUAUCUGAUGUCCUCAUUUCUCCUUCCAACAGACUCCCCGUCCCCAAAUCCUUCCCUCCAGCCACAUAUUGCUACUUUUUUUAUUCUUUUCUUUUUCUUAUAUUGUCAGGUAGGGAUCUAAUUGGUAAUUAUGCAAAGUUUGCAGAAUCCUCUAGCAAGUCAAUACAUUAAUAAUAAAUGCCGUACAGUAUUUUCCAGGCGUUUUAAAAUCCAAAGCAUGAUGGGUAGAUGUAUGAGAGAGAGAGAGAGAGAGAGAGGAGAGCAGGCACCAGAUUUAUGUUAACUCUAUCCUUCCUAAUAGAGCUUUGGGUCUGCCGGAUCUCCUUUGAGAACCUCUCAUUCUAUACAGGAUAUACGGAACAAAGGAUUCUAAUCCGAUAUUUACACUACUACUGAAAUUCAUGGCAGCUUCCAGUGGAGAAACAAAUGAUUUGGGGUCACGGGGGGGUGCUGCUGGGCCUCUGACUCUCAGGGGGGCCUUUUGGAGCAGGGCUGUGGUGCAUUUUUAGGGAAAGAGACCAAAUGUUCACCAAUUAGCGCAAACCUCUUUUUGCUCGAUACAUGCAUGGUUACAGAGAGUCUGUGCUGGAAUAUUAUGUCAUGGACAGAGGUCUGUGCUGCCCGGGGCACAGACCUCCUGAUCCCUGGCUAGACACUGCAAACCGCACUCCCCAGAAUCUCUCCUUUCUCAUCCCCAGCUGAGAAAAACAAUGAGGGAAAAUGGGCUAAUUAAGCGCUGCCGUAUGUCUAUGUAGCAGGGAUAAUUAGGUGUGUAUGGCUAAUGAAUGAUGUAUAUGUAUGGUUUAAUUAUCUAUGUUUUUUGGCUAAUUUUAAUAUCUGUGUGUGGACUAAUUGGGUUGGGGGCAAAUUAUCUAAUCUGUGCAUGGUUCAUUAAGUAAUGAUGGGAGGAGGGUAAAAAAUAAUUCCAUACAUGUUCCCCAACCCCCCACUUUUUCUUAAUUCAGCUUUGUCCCUUAGAUACAUGAAUUAGACGAGGGUACUGCAUUCGCACAGCCACCACCCAAAUGUCUGUUCCAUGUGUGGUUAGACAAACAGUGGUAGGCACUCUGUUAAUUGAACAGCUGGAAGACUUGGAUACCUAGGAGGACAUAGCCCCCGAGGCUUGAUCCGGACAAAAUGAAUAUUGCAAGGUGUGUGUCUGCCAAAAUAAUUGUACGUAUAAAGAGAGUUGUAGGUGUCAAAGGAAUGAUUGACUUCUUCUUUAAGCAUUCUGUGUGUGGAUGAAUAAAUAAAUUUUUAAGUAUCAGGAGCACAUUUUCAGUCACUUAAAGGGAAACUAUCACUAUUAUUUUUAAUAUUGAGGUUAUUUAUCCUUUUUUUAACAGGUACGUAUUUGGUAAGAAAAUAAAAUUAAAUGUAAAAAUUCACAUCACUUUUUCCUACAAUUGGGCGCCUCCAUCUUAGCUCACUGUCAGUCAUUGUUAUGAUCUCUGUCUUUUGCACCUGGCAGUCAGCGUAGAGAGAGCAGACAGAGAGAAACAAUGUUUCUAAUUCUUCUCUUCAUUUGCAUUGAUUGCCCUGGCCGUGCCUUGUCUCAACUGCAUUAUAGAAUCUGCUAAAUCUUUAAUAUAAAUGUAAAAAGUAAGGGAGCAUCUCUUGGGAAAAAAAGGUUAACACAAGUUCCAAGUGAAUUUGAAUAUUUUAUUCUAGAGAAGUUCCAGUAAUUUUUUAAAGUAAACAUUUCACACAAAUAAAUAAAUAAAAGUGUACUAUAGUACACUGCACUGAAUACAUAGAAUUGAGAAAAUGUGUUUUGUUUGUGAAUUCACAUAUGUAAUAAUGUCAUAUGUCCUUGUAUUGACUUCAUGAGUUUUAUUUUGUGCGCCGUCACUUUGUAUCGUCCCUGCUUCCAGCAAUUCCUUUACUGUUGGUAACGUAUGCUGAAGAUACAUCAUGACCCUGCAGGCUGGCCUUGCAGCAAUGUUUGCAAAACCCGGGUAUCCUUCAGCAUGCAGCGUAAGCUGUGUAAAUGAUCUUAUCUCGAGCAUUAACACGCAUGAAGCUUGUCUAGAUGCCCGGAGGGAUCCUUUAAUGGACUAGGACUUGGAAUUAAAAAUAGGCUUGACACAAUGGUGCGUAAUAUCCACCAGCAAUAAUGGAUUGAUGGGGUAUGUGUUAAGUUGAUGAGACGAAAGAGAAAACUUGACAUACUCCAAAUACCAAAGGAACGAUGUGGGAUCAAAGUGAUGUGUGAAGGGUUGUCUCGCUGUGGCCAUGAGAAUGGUUUGGAGGUAGCGGUGAAGCUGUCAAUUAUUUAUCCACCCCUACACUCUCAAUAGCUUCAUCUUCGCCAUUCCCAACACUUAUAAUUGCUUGGUUCCUUCUCCAUCACAUAUUCAUCUGCUCCACUCCCUGCAGACAGCUUCGUUCUGUCAUAUUUUGUUUCGUCUAAUUUGGGUUUGAUCUUUUUCUCUAGUAGCAGUCCUCUCCAUCACCAUCUUGUCCUUUCUGUGUCACAAAUCUGUCCCUUUACACCCUUUUACCUGCUCUACUCUGUCAGCCUGCACAUCUAAUUGCCUCAUACUCUUGUUUUUAUCGAUCACUUUUACAAACAAAUUCUCCAACGCUUUCUUAUAUCUGUCACCUGCGCUGCAUCCGCCCAAUACCUUCUCCUUCCAAUUAGCCAUUUCUAUACAAUACGGUUUAGUUCCUUCCUUGCCACAUUGUUUACCCUGUUUACAAGAUUCCUGGACUGUGAUUCUGUCAUGAUCCUUGAACCCCCCCCUCUCUUACAUGUUAGUCCAUUGCAUGUCUAGAUCCCUGGUCCCCUCUCCGUCACAUGUCUGUUCAUUGCAUGUCAAGACCCUCUGAUCACUGUUUGUCACACUGCACACCUCAACUCUCUAAAUGUCCCGUGGGCCUCUAAAUCCCAGGACCCUUCUCUGUCAAAUAUCCGCAAGUGUUUUUGUUGUGUGUAUGUCUACUUUUUCCUGAAUUCUGGGCAUUCAGCUGUUAAUCGUACAGUGGUGUCAGGAAUGAGAAAACAUUUCUCAUAUGAAAGUAACAGGGUUGAUGAAGCUAAUAGCAUUGGUGCUCCUGCGUUCCAUCACCGUGACACAUCACCAGCAGAGAGGAGACAGUGAUCGCCAGACAAUCUGCAAGGUUCCUGCCUCCAGCAGCUCCUGUGCUCCUCUCCCUCGCUGCUUCCUCCUUCUCAAACUAAUUAGAAGAGAGAAUUUAAACACUGAGGAAUGUGUUAAACAGCCAACAAAGGCACAAAAUAUACAACAACCACAUGUUCAGAGACACAUUGCAGAGGAGACUAUUUAGUCAGACAGACCUGAUUUCGGUUUGAUUGUACUUGCUGGUUGAAAGCAAAGAAAUGUCAGAAUCUUCACCAAUGGUUGAUGCACAAUCUAAUUAUCUUCUAUUUAAAAAUGUGUCUUUUAGCCAGUUGGCAUGGGCUUUACCUAAGGUUUAGUAAAAAACUGCCUAUAAAUUAUUUCUUACAAAUUGACAACAAUGUAUGUAGCACUCUACAAUAGGUGGACUAACAAACCAGUAGUUGCCACAAGGCAAGUUGGAUGUAGAAGAACAGAAGGUUCUGAAAGCACAACUCAAAUGAGCUGAGAAUCUAACCAUAGCAGGUAGACUUAGAAGUCAACCCCCUGAAUAAAAUCGAAUUCCAGCAGUCGUACAGAAACAUUUUACUAGAAUAUUGAGAUAUAAAGGAAACCUCCUACAGGGUUUUCUGAUGCAGGGUGAAUAGCUGCGAAUUCAAAAUUAUUUUAAGCCAAAAAAGAUGAGCUGAAACCUUGGUGAAUUCAUGGCAUGUCAUGUUUUGAGUCUUGCCAAGUUGGCUUCUUGUUCCACCAAUAUCAGAUAUCACCUCCAAAACAUGUAUGCUUGUAAUUUAAAAUGACCAACCUAGGCAAUCACUAAAUUAACAUUGUUGUCGUUUUAAUCAACACAUGUAAGGAAAGUCUGUUCACUGUACUGUCUGCGAGCUCCCGGUAUAGUCCUCAAGAAUUUGUAGAAAUAAACAUUUAAAAGCGAACAUCCAAUGUCCAUGUUAAUAUUAUCAUUAUUAUUAUACUUUAUUCCAUUACUGUUUUAAAUUGGCUUCUUUUAACAAAUUUAGCUAUUUAUCUAAAAUAAAUAGUUUUUAGUAGACCAUGAGAUCAUCUAAAAAUCCUUCGCAAUGUCUCAUCCUCCAUUAGUGACCCCAAAAAAACAAAAAUAUCUCUCCUUUUACGUAUGAAAUAGCAUAGUUAGGACUCGCUAGAAUAUAAACACAUUAUUUAUUAUUAUUAUUAUUACUUUAAAUGCGGACAGGUAAUAUUUGACUCUGGGUCUGUGGAUGAUUAUGGCUUAUAUCAUGUUUGGUAUAAAUAAGCAGGAACGCCUGGGAUGAAUGAGAUUAUCUGAAUACACAGGUUUUAAGGGAAUGUUAUUGCAUCAGGGACCAAAGUUUCGCGAAUAACUUGACAUAUUACAGAAAAUAGAUUGUAAGCUCAUUAGAGCAGGCCCUUCUUCACUUCUUGUCACUGUUCAUAUUCUGCAUGUUGAUUACAUGUGAUCAUAUAUCACUGUUCUAUAAAUGUAAAGCGAUACGGAAUAUGUUGGCACUAUAUAAAUGAUAAUAACAAUAAUUAGCUGUAAUGCAGGAAAUGGAAUGGAAAAUGCUAUCCGUGAUCCUGAUAGUGUGGCAUUUCUGACACGUUUAUAAAUGGUGCUAGAUCAGCGUUCCCAAACUGUUCCCAGGGGUGCCGCGGAAUGUUUCCCCGGUGCUAUGAUUCUCAGUUUUCAUAGGAAAGUAGGAUUGAAUUCAAUGUUUUCUUAUGAGCAACAUUUGGCCACACAACCAAGUUUCACUCGUUUGUUGUUGCUGCGGAAGCGCCUCUAGUGGCUGUCAGGAAGACAUAACUUGUACAAAACUGCAAUGGUUUAUAUGGCAGGGUUAAAAGGACAGGGCCACUGCACCCAGACCACUGGGUCUGGGUCUGAGAUAAAACGGCCUGGUGACUUUCAUGGUCCUUUUUUUUUAAUAAGAAUUCUUUGUCAUGUUCUUCAAACUAUUCCUGGACAAUUUUUGCAGUGUGGCAGAGAGCAUUAUUCUGCUGAAAUAGGCCACUGCCAUCAGGGAACAUCAUUGUCAUAAAGUGGUGUGCUUAGUCCUCAACAAUCUCUAGGUAGAUGGAGCAUCAAGGCUCUUAUGGCAGUGGACAGGUGUCAUCAUGGGCACUCUGACCGGCCUGCGGCUAUGCAGUCUAAUAUGCAGCAAACUGUGAUGUAUUGUGUGCUCUGGUACCUUUCUAUCAUGGCCACAUUUUUCAGUAGUUCUCCUAUGUAAUGAGAUAGCUUUUGCGUACUGAGCCUUGGGCACCCAUGACCUUGACUCCAGUUCACUGAUUGUCCUUCCUUGCACCACCUUUGAUAGGUUCAAACCACUGCAUACCAAGAACACCCCACAAGACUUGCCAUUUUGAAGAUGCUUCCUGCUUCCUGCUUCCUGCUUCCAACACAUGAACGUCUAGAACUGACUGUUCACUUGCUGCCUAAUACACCCUUGACAGGUGCCAUUGUAACGAUAUAAUCAAUGUUAUUCACAUCACCUGUCAAUGGGUUAAAUGUUGUGGCUGAUCAGUGUCCCAGUUAGUCAUUACUACUUGCAUGUAUAGUGUAUUGUCUAGCUGCUUAUCGUAGACUGUCUGAUGGGUUAAAAAUAUCAUUUUAGAAGAAGUCUGGGAUUUUUUUUAGGCAGAAUUACCAACAAUCAUGGUGAGAAAUUACAUUUUUACAUUAAAAAUAAAACAAAAACUUAAAGAAAAAAAAAUGUUGAUACUUCUUUUUUUUUUUUUACAGAAGUUAAAGCAACAGUAUUGGUCAUAAAAUCUACUUUAUUACAGCCCUAACUUUUAUUUUUUCGAAGCAUGCUUUCAGAGAACAGAGCAGGCUUUUGGAUCACCCGCAGCAGUAGCUUAGAUCUCUCCUAAUUACACCCUUUCAAAGAGCUGUGCGGACACUUAGAGAUCAGAAAGUUUGGGCUAGCAUAGAAACCCUAUUUAUUUGAUCCCAUUACUGAUCUUUUUAAUUUCUCAUCUCUGCUGGUGCAGCAGUAUGCGUGAUGGAGAAGGCACCAAUCUGCUGCUCACAGCAAGAACUGGAGUUGCUUGUGUUUUCGUAGAUCUAAGAGCAGCGUGGGUGGCUGGAUAAUGCUUCUUGGAGCUCGGGGUGUAGUGUGGACAGAAAUUGGCAAACAGAUGCCCUUUCCUCUGAAAAUCUGUUUAAUAAUUGCUUUGCUUGCUGUAAUGACAACUUAAACCAGAGGUGUCAAACCGUCCAGCCACCCCACAUGUUCUUGGACGGUAUCGUUCCUAAUUCUUAGCUAGAGUAAAGUUAGUAUUACGGGAUAUGCAGUCAAAAAAAUGCAACGUGGUAAACAAGCUAACCACUAGAUUAUCAGGGGUGUUUACUAAAAUGAGAACCAAGGUGAACUCAAGGUAAUUUACAACAUUAAGGCCAGUUUAGCUGAACUGAACGUAUAGCUGAUUUGGGAGAAUUUUUCGAGUGUGGCUAUAUUAACUUUAAAUGGAGAGUUCACUAUAGAUGCUCACUUGUAAGUUCUUUCAAGCAGGCUGCUGCCAACUUUUUGUUUCUCUCCACCUUAAAUGUGUUUGUUAAUGUUUGUUUUUCAAGUUGUCCAGCUGUUCGCUGCUGAAGACUGUUCGUUUUCUGUGUGAAUAUAUCAUUAAUAAUGGGAUGAGCGCGGAAAGGUGAUGUCAAACACUGGGUGACGCUACGUAUGUUACUCAUUGCAGCAAUGCAUGGGGUCUAAUGCUAUCUCGGUGGAAGUUCUCCAUGGCUGGAACUCUUAUAAUUUUUGGCAUCCGGAUAUGGUGAAUUUCUUCAUUGUAAACUGUGCUGUUACUAAAAGGUUGGCAGGGAAUGCAGCUGUAUGAAAUUAAACAUAAAUAAAUAUAAAUAAUUGUGUGAAAUAUGUUUAGUGUUGAAUGUGUGCAUAUAUUAUCCCUGUGGCAGUUGGCCAAUUAAUUCUCUGACAGCCGCCAUAUUUUCAGAAUUUGUGUCAUCGGUUCUCCUCCACAAAGCAGCAGGAUACUGAUAGACUCCUUACUACCUUUGCAGCUGGCAAUAUAAUUAAUCUGUAGUGGUAAUAUGGAGCCAAUAAGUAGCUGACAUGGUUAACAGAAUCAACAAUCAUUACAGAUUAAAACUGAUUGAAACCACAAUCAGAUCAGUCCUCAGAGUCACAGCCCCAGUCCUGCAGUUUGAAGCAUCACAACUUUUUAACUAGCCACAGCUUGAGUGUUUCAGGUCUCUGCUGUAGAGUGACUGAGCAGUUUGAAGAAGGUGGUGGGUAUGUGCAGAAAGCUUCCCUCCACCCAACCCCUGGCCAUAUAUUGUAAAAAAUAGGACUAAUGCACAGGACACCCACGUAGUAAAUAGUAUCUUCCUGCUCCUGAAGGUUAUACUGGAAAGAAUCAGAUGGAGAGCAUGCCUUGAUCCUUUCAUAAUUUUUUCUCUUUGCCACUGCACAUUAGGCAUGUUACAUUAAUCACUCUUAAAUGGACACUCCAGACCACCACAGCAUUUUAGCAUGCUGAAGUGCUUUAUGUGCGAAGAGUGUGUCCUCUUAUUUCUAUUUACAAAACGUGCAAAUUUCAGUAGAAAUUGGAACUUGUAAAAUUAACCUUGUUAACCCCCCCCCAGCUGUCAAUCUGGCAAUAGGUCCUGUUACUUCCUGGUUUGGUUAGCUCAGCGGAACCAAACUCAAGAGGCAGCAAUUGCCCAGAAAACCUGCCUUGCAAAGACUUCUCAUUGAGCUGCAUUGGGAAGUCUGUGAUUGGUCAGACACAGAAAGUCUGGGUGGGGUUAGAAGGGGAGGGCUUGCAAUGACUGCAGACAAGUGAUCUGCAGCUUUUGCAAGCUGUUUUUAGAUACACUAAUUAAAAAAAAUGCACAAUUAAAUGCACACAUGUUUUCACUGUAGGUAUAUCUAAUAAAUAGUGAUUAAAAAUUGUUGUUUUUUGUAUUUGGCACUGGAGCAUCCCAUUAAGUGUCAAGGGAAGAGAACACGGGAUAGCUGACAAAACACAAGCAAUCAGACCCUUGAACUUACUCAUGAGUGUGUGUUGCUCUAUAAUUUUACGAAUGCAGGUGUCUCUAGGGACAUAUUUGGGUGUAAAUUCUGGUGAGAUGCAGGGUUUCUCCCCCACCUUCAUACCUUUAGCCAUUGAGUUUUGUUAAAGCAUUGUAUUCACAAUCUACUCUAUGUUUUCCGAGAGAGGAAGCGUCUAUUUGUCUCUCGUAUGUCCAUAUACAUGUCUGUGUGUGUGGGGGCUGACUUAAUGGACCAACUGGUUAUUACUUGCUGCCAUAAUGUAUGUUUCCAGUCCGAGAAAGCUGUUAGACUUUUCUUGAUACAUGAUCAGAUGGAUGUGCGAGAAGCAAGAACAAGCACUUGUCAACUCUACAAAACACGGCAAUGUGUUGUUGACACUGAGGCAUUUUUUCAUCAAACAAGGAUGUUUGUAUCUCUGCUUCUGGAAUCAGCUGCCACUGCUAUCUACAGCGUAUCUCUGCUUGAUAAAUAGCCUUCGGUGGAACUGUCUUACCAUGAUACGGGCAAUACUGGAGGACACGUGAGAUGAAUACUGCUGAUUGAGAGUAUUUUAUUACAUUGUUUUUUAUGUAACAAUAACCAUAUUUCUGUCCAUUAGAAAUUAAUAAAAUCUCGCAAACCAGACCUUGGUUAGCUACUAAGAAAAUCAAUGCCAAGCCUCUUUGUAGCAGAGGGACGAUAUAAAAUGGAAUUGAUGAACAAAUGCAUGUCCUUAAAUGUAAGAGGCCGAAAACCUUGUAUCCGUCAAUAAUUAAAACUACAUAGAGGUGAUUUAAGGCUCAAGUUAUUUCUAUUGCACAUAGCCACCUGUCUGUCUAUAAAUACCUUCGUACAGGGGUGUAAGGCAUCACGUUCAAGUCAUGUUCUGUCCCCAAUCCAAGGAAAAUACUUUAAAAUAUUUUAUUGAGCAAUGUGCUGCUCACUCAUAUGCUCACUAGCUGUCCUCGCUAAUGUUUUAAUAUUUUUUUUAAACAGAGAACAACAGCUAUACAUACAUAUACCAAAAUCAUCAUCAUCAUCAUUAAAAGAUUAAUUCAGACAGUGUAUAGUGUUGCAGAACAUCCACACAAGAUAUAUAAUCCUCAAGAAAGACAAAAAAAAAGGAGCAAAAAUGAUGCAGUAUAUCUGGAUGAUAAUUUAAUAAAAGGAUAAUUUAAUAAAAGGAUAAUUUAAUAAAAUCACUAGACUUGUGUGCGGUGGAACAUUUUGGUACAACCGAAUCAAUCCAUCUAAAAAAAAUUAAAUAAAAAUAAAAAUUGUUUGGCUGGUUUGAUAGUCAUCCACAUGGCAGUUUAGCUCGUUUGAAUAUUACCCCAAACAUAAUUUUAAAAGCGAUUCAGACAAACUAAAAUCAAAUUAAUGUAUCACAAAAUAUAAAUAUUACGUAUAGAUUUUAUAGUAACUGAUAGGAGCAUUUUUCAGCCAUUGGGUUAACAGAUCAAAUGAGAAAAAGUGACCAACAGAGGGAAAAAGAGCGAGAGGGGUAAAAUAAAACAAUCUAUAUUUAUACAUUUAUGUAUUGAUUAAAUGUGUGUGUGUGUGUAUAUAUAUAUAGACCCCCCUUUUUUUCUCCAUUGGUCACUUCUCACUUGAUCUGUGAAUAAAAUCAACUUUUAAUAACUGUCCCCUAACCAUAAACCAUUGGUUUUUGCUUUGUUUUUGUUUUUUCCAUCAACCAUCCUUUUUUGGCGCCAUGGAUGGACCUCUGAAACGUAAAUAAAAUAAACAUGCUCUUCCAUUGCACAAGUAAUUUCUUCAGUUAUACGUUCAUAUGGUUCUUUGAAGUUAUGGAAUUCAGAUGAACUGCCAAUUGGACUCCAUGUGGACCAAUAGCAAUCCAGCCGGAAACAAAUCCACAAGUCUAAAAAUCACUCACAUGAUACAGAGCCAAAUAACAAGCUCUCUCUGAGAUCCUGUUCAGAGGGAACACAUAAGUUCAUGUUGGCUGCAGAUCCUAUUGUUUAUCCUAUGAAUUUGAAAAGAGGUGGUAUAGCAUAGAGAAAUAAAAAAAAAUAUAUAUUUGUAACCAAAAUUGCAGCAGUAAGCAGGGGCAACAUGGGAAAAUGCUAUUAAGGGUUGUCUAUCGGAGGUGUCUCCUCCGUCCUCCCAGCCCGUGCAGUCUAUAAGCUACGAGGAAGGAAAAGGUAAUCACUUCCUCCGAGCACUGUCUGCAGCUAUUAAAGGGGCCCAGUUGCGCUGCCUGCCUAUCUGGUUGUUCUAAGUGUAAGCUCUACCCGAAAGGCCCGAACGCCCCGCAGGCACUGGUUCAUUUACAUUGGCGGUAGUUCUUUUAAAAACUGAGAAACAAUCUCAUGAUGGCCGCCUCCACACUGAAACACUGUCAGAUCUUCAAAUGGUAAUUUACAGCUAAACUUAGUCAAGCUUGGCUAGUAGACAAUAUUGAUCUGUUGAGAAUAUUGUUUUAAAUGAAGUCACAGUUUGCGUAGAACAAUUCAGAUGAGCUGAUUUAACACAUCUCAUACUCAUGCCACGUAUUUCGUCUGUGAUAUUGGAACUAGAUUUGGUAUAAUGUCCCUGAUAGAUGUCAUACAGGAAUACCCUGAUGUACCCUGCAGUGUGUCCGUGAUCAGAAAUACCAGCCUCUGAAAUUGCUCAUGUGUAAAACAACUUAAAUGGAGCACUGUAAUCACCAUAACAACUACAGCACAUUGUAUCAUUACAGUGGGCCUGGGUUUGUUUCUAUUUACAAUCCUUUAAUAGGCAGAGAAUUCAUGCAAGUUCCCACAUUGAACAAGGAAUAAAGAAGAGGUCACCUGCGUGUAGUUUAGAGGCCCAAAGAGUUCCGGUCUGCACAUGUGGAGUUACCUUGUAGCUCAUUCCCAAGCUGAAUUAACAACAGCAGCUGAAACUGUAACUCCCACUAAUCACAGCCAUUACUGAGCCAUAUAUGGCUCAGUGCUUCUUUAACACCUCCAUUUAAUAUUAUAUACCCCACCACUACCCCUAACACUUUCCCUUAACCCCUGCAUUACCCCUAACACUAACCCUUAACUCCUGCACUACCCCUAACACUAACCCUUAAUUCCUAUACUACCCCUAACACUAACCCUUAACUCCUGCACUAUCCCUAACACUAACCCUUAAUUCCUAUACUACCCCUAACACUAACCCUUAACUCCUGCACUACCCCCAACACUAACCCUUAACUCCUGCACUACCCCUAACACUAACCCUUAAUCUUGCACUACCCCUAACACUAACCCUUAAUUCCUAUACUACCCCUAACACUAACCCUUAACUCCUGCACUACCCCCAACACUAACCCUUAACUCCUGCACUAACACUAACCCUUAAUUCCUAUACUACCCCUAACACUAACCCUUAACUCCUGCACUAUCCCUAACACUAACCCUUAACUCCUGCACUAUCCCUAACACUAACCCUUAAUUCCUAUACUACCCCUAACACUAACCCUUAACUCCUGCACUACCCCCAACACUAACCCUUAACUCUUGCACUACCCCAACACUAACCCUUAACUCUUGCACUACACCAACACUAACCCUUAACUCCUGCACUACCCCAACACUAACCCUUAACUCCUGCACUAUCCCUAACACUAACCCUUAAUUCCUAUACUACCCCUAACACUAACCAUUAACUCCUGCACUACCCCCAACACUAACCCUUAACUCCUGCACUACCCUUAACACUAACCCUUAAUUCCUAUACUAUUCCUAACAUGAACCCUUAACUCCUGCACUACCCCCAACACUAACCCUUAACUCCUGCACUAUCCCUAACACUAACCCUUAACUCCUGCACUAUCCCUAACACUAACCCUUAACUCCUGCAUUACCCCUAACACUAACCCUUAAUUCCUACACUACCCCUAGCACUUCCCCCAUAAUCCUUACACUUCCCCUAACACUAACUCUUAAUUCUUACACUAGCUCUAACACGAACCUUAACCCUUACACUUUCCCUAACACUAACCAUUAACGCAUACACUACUCCUAGCACUAACCCUAAACACAUCCACUACCUCAACACUAACAAUUAACACAUUCACUACCAUAGCACUAACUCUUAACUCCUUCAAUACCCCUAACACUAACCCUUAACUUUUACACUACCCCUUGCACUAACCCUUAAUUUCUACACCACCCCUAAAACUAACCUUUAACCCCCUACACUACCAUAAUACUUAUCCCUAUACUACCCGUAACACUGACCCUUAAUCCCUACACUAACCUUUAAAGGGAUCCUAUAGUGCCAGGAAAAACAAGUCGUUUUCCUGGCACUAUAGGGUUAAUAGGUGUCGUCGUCCCCCCGCACCCUCCCUCCCAUAGGGCUGAAGGAGUUAAAAAGCCAUGCGCACAUUAGACUUCCCCAUAGGAAAGCAUUAUUCAAUACUUUCUUACGGUGAAAAUUGGACGCUGGAGGUCCGUGAGAACGCCCAGCGUCAGAUAACAGACCAAAAGUCAGUUUGGAUUCUGGAAGCCCUUUAGUGGUUGUCUGGUAGACAGCUGCAGAGGGCAGAUUUAGAGCUGCAAUGUAAACAUUGCAGUUCUCUUGAAUUGCAAUGUUUUACAUUGCAGCACUAAGUGCAAAAGGGUCACAGCACCCAGACCACUUCAACUAGCUGAAGUGGUCUCGGUGCCUCCAGUGUCCCUUUAAUCCCUGCACUACCCUAACACUAACGUUUAAUUCCUACACUACCGAUAACACUAACCCUUAAUUCCUACAAUAGCCCUAACAGUGACACUACCCUAACAUUAACCCUUAAAGGGACACUCUAGGCACCCAGACCACUUCAUCUUAUUGAAGAGGGACACUAUAGUGUUAGGAAUACAAAUUCAUUCCUUUAACUCCUCCACUAUCUUAACACUAACUGUUAACUCCUGCACCAACCCUAACCAUUAUCCCCUCAUAAGCCGUAGACUGAAUGUACCGUGUAACAUGAAAGAUUCAGCAUUGCAAAGCAAGUGUGAUAUUUGGGUAUAUAACCCCCCCCCAAUCCUCAGUAUCGUGCUUUAUUGUGGUGUCUUCAGAAACCCUAGUUGACAUUAUUUCCCCUGAAUGUCGGAAUCACUGUUGUAGUGGUUAAUGUACUCAGUGUCUCUUUAAAUAUCAAUAUUACAAAGCUGAGCUGCAUGCAUACAGAAUAGCUAAAAUACUGUUUUCCAUUAUAGCUGAUUUCCUCACAGAUCUUGAUGACUGAUUUUUUUUUUUUAAGUUUAAUUUAAUUUUAAUUUAAAUGAUAUAAAAACGUUACAGCGCAAACAAACUAUUAACAAGUCCAAUUCUAUUAACUUAUAUGGAAAAUGAAAUCAAGAUCAGUUCUAAAUAACUAUUGUCCCUUAAAGGGUUACUCCGGAUCUCCGCCACACUCCGAUGAUCCCUGGUAGUCCAGUGACGCACUUCCGGCUUCUGCAGAAGCUGUGGCCUCUUGCCAUUCAUUGCCUGAGCGUGUCAGCUGACCGCUCUCCACCAAUAAAUGCAACUCUCGGCAAUGACAUUUAAUAUUGACCAGCCCAGAAAUCAUUCCAGGCUGGCUGAUGACACCCCAGUGACGCUGCAGGGGGUUGGACAGCCAAGGGAUUACACUCCAUAUGUGCAGCAUUUCGUAAUAUUAUACUGCUCACACAUACUCCAGGCACCAUCAGCACUUCAAAUCACAGAAGUGGUCAAGGUGACUGGAGAGUUCGUCCACAAAGGAUUUGCAAAGAGUGUCAUUCGGUGUAUGGAAAGGUUUUAUGAAAAUACUUCUGGUUGGGAUCCAGAAAUUGUUGCCUUGCAGUUUUAACCAGUUUCAGAUGAAUUUGCCGAUUUUUUUGCCAUGCUGCUUGAUAGCACUUGUCUCUAAUGCACAGGUUUGCUACUUCAAAAUAAAGCAUGCAAUGUCCGCUCAGUGAGCAUGGGUAAUAAGAUGGCAUGUCCAGCCGUCGACCAUCCACGCAUGCACAGGCUGCUGUUGAAUUGUUGAAUGAAUGCUGGAAGUGAAUGGGCACAAUAACAUUCUUACCUUUUAGGGAAUUUUCUCUGGUGUCCCGAGAAGCAGCAACGCCUGUUCAGAUCAGGUAUGUAUGCAAAAUAUUUUAAUUUGGUAAAGCCAUUUGCAAAAUAAUUGCCAUACCAGCAUUAUAUUGAUUCUAAAUUGGAAAGAAAGAAAACAAGUCUUGUUUGUAAAAAAAAGAAAAUACAUCUCUUUUUAAUCUUUAAAAAAAUAAAAAUAAAAAUAAACUUUUGCCCCCUCCCCUUCUCUCCCGAGGACAUUUUGAUUGCACUACUGUUGGAAUGGGGGCUCCCCCCCCCCUCCCCCUUCCUCUCUCUUUUCUUUUUCCUUUCCUCUGAUCUUUUUCUCUUCUCACUUUUCUCUUUCUACUGUACUUUUGUCUCCUGCUCCUUUUCCUGCUAUCUAUUUUUCUCUUUUCCGUUCUCUCUAUCUCUUGAUAGCCAAGAGAUUAGUGUUUCUCCGCGAUAGGUUUAAUCAAGCUGUCAGAAGUGCUGGGAUACCCAUACAUAGAAAUGGCUAUAACACGCAGUGUAGUAGACUGGGUCCCAAAUAUAGCCAAUAUGCCUGUGAGACAGGUGACAGCUCCCUUGAUGGGGCAGCGACCGGAGGGGAACGCGGGUAGAUCUCGCUUGGCCUACCUGAUAUAUAUAUCUUAGCUUUUUACAAAACUCUAAGCGGGCUUCUGCGUAAGCCUGAAGGUUUCUAUGCAAUUGUUCCACCCGUUGAGUGAAAGCAUACAGUUCAUCCAAAAAACUCUAGACGGGUAGCAAGGCACCAACGAUUUCAACAUGACUUAUCGAUAUGUAAUGGAUAUACGCCUCUUGUGCCCAAGGCAGUGUUGCUUGCCAUUGGCUUCUGCGUAAGCAUUUAAGUUGGCCAUGUACUUGCUAUAACCUAUAAUAUGACACACACAAAAAAAAACAAAAAACAAAAAAAAACCCUUUGUAGACGACAGGUACCAAUAGUUUUUUAAGGAAUGGGCGUAGAUCGUAUUUGUUGCACUAUGUUAUGCUUAUGAGAAUUGAAUUCACAUUGGCUUCUGCGUAAGCCCAAAAAGUUGAUGAAUACUUGCUGCGUCUAUUGAGUGAAAAAUAAAGAAUUUAAAAAAAAAAUAAAAAAUAAACUUUUGUUGUUUCUCUGUCCUUAAGACUUUAAUGUUUCUGUACGUGAGAACGUAAAAUAAAAAAAUUAACUAUAGUGGGUUCAGACACGAAUUGGUGAAUUGUUGGGAACUGAAAAGAGUAUGUGCAAAAUAACGGUUUAAAACAUUCUCCCUUUCUGCUGCGCUACAGCGAGGUUAACUUUUAGUAAACUAUGAAAAUAUUAAAACUCUUCUCUCUUAGCAUAAAAACCACCUAAUUUAUUAUGCACCAGGUAAAGGCAGCAUUUAGUGGAACACCAGCGCUCUACACGGACAGCCUAAAAUUAGCCACAAGAUGUAGCAGUGAAUAGAUGGCAUUAGCGGAUGUUCUGAAGUAAUAUACUAUUCUGUCUGCUGAUAGGUGACUUUCGCUAUCACCGCCAAUAACUAGGAAUAACAAGCAGAGAUACUGCACAGAUUGCAGGCAAUUAGAUUGUAAUUGUUUGGAUGUGUUUAUAGUUAUUGUGCUGUAAAUUCAUAGUUCUAAGGGUUUGGAAAUCCAGUUAGCGGUUGAUAUGUUGUAGCUUUAUAAAGCUAUAAUGGCUGUGGCCCUUUAAUAUAAAAGAUAUGUGUUUUUUAACUCUCCCAGCCUCUCCGUUAUCAGCGAGAAAAAGGGCCAUUGCCUGCUCUAAGCUGUGCGUAUCAGGUUACUGCCACUGAUCCAAACAGAGCGGACUGCUGUCUGUAGAAUACUCAGGGAACACAGCAGCUCACACUGGAGGGGGCAAUUAAACAAACUCCCCCUUCACCCCCAAUAUCUCUUACACUAAAGGGAUACGGACAUUACAGUGUAACUGCUGUCUGCAGAAUACUCAGGGAACACAGCAGCUCACACUGGAGGGGGCAAUUAAACAAACUCCCCCUUCACCCCCAAUAUCUCUUACACUAAAGGGAUACGGACAUUACAAGGUAACUGCUGUCUGUAGAAUACUCAGGGAACCCAGCAGCUCACACUGGAGGGGGGGCAAUUAACCAACCCCCCCAAUAUCUCUUACACUAAAGGGAUAUGGACAUUACAAUGUAACUGCUGUCUGCAGAAUACUCCGGGAACACAGCAGCUCACACUGGAGGGGGCAAUUAAACAAACUCCCCCUUCACCCCCAAUAUCUCUUACACUAAAGGGAUACGGACAUUACAAGGUAACUGCUGUCUGUAGAAUAAUCAGGGAACACAGCAGCUCACACUGGAGGGGGGCAAUUAACCAACCCCCCCCAAUAUCUCUUACACUAAAGGGAUAUGGACAUUACAAUGUAACUGCUGUCUGCAGAAUACUCCGGGAACACAGCAGCUCACACUGGAGGGGGCAAUUAAACAAACUCCCCCUUCACCCCCAAUAUCUCUUACACUAAAGGGAUACGGACAUUACAAGGUAACUGCUGUCUGUAGAAUAAUCAGGGAACACAGCAGCUCACACUGGAGGGGGGCAAUUAACCAACCCCCCCAAUAUCUCUUACACUAAAGGGAUAUGGACAUUACAAUGUAACUGCUGUCUGCAGAAUACUCCGGGAACACAGCAGCUCACACUGGAGGGGGGCAAUUAACCAAACCCCCUAAUAUCUUUACACUAAAGGGAUACGGACAUUACAAUGUAACUGCUGUCUGUAGAAUACUCAGGGGACACAGCAACUCACACUGGAGGGGGGCAAUUAACCAAACCCUCCAAUAUCUUUUACACUAAAGGGAUACGGACAUUACAAUGUAACUGCUGUCUGUAGAAUACUCAGGGAACCCAGCAGCUCACACUGGAGGGGGGCAAUUAACAAAACCCCCCCAAUAUCUUUUACACUAAAGGGAUACGGACAUUACAAUGUAACUGCUGUCUGUAGAAUACUCAGGGAACCCAGCAGCUCACACUGGAGGGGGGCAAUUAACCAAACCCCCCCAAUAUCUUUUACACUAAAGGGAUACGGACAUUACAAUGUAACUGCUGUCUGUAGAAUACUCAGGGAACACAGCAGCUCACACCGGAGGGGGCAAUUAACUAAACCCACCAAUAUAUUUUACACUAAAGGGAUAUGGACAUUAUAAUGUAACUGCUGUCUGUAGAACACUCAAAGAACACAGCAGCUCACACUGGAGGGGGCGUUUAACCAAAGCCCCCAAUAUCUCUUACACUAAAGGGAUACGGACAGUACAAUGUAACUGCUGUCUGUAGAAUACUCUGGGAACACAGCAUCUCACACUGGAGGGGGCAAUUAACCAAACUCCCCCCCAAUAUCUUCUACACUAAAGGGAUACGGACAUUACAAUGUAACUGCUGUCUGUAGAAUACUCCGGGAACACAGCAACUCACACUGGAGGGGGGCAAUUAACCAAACCCACCAAUAUCUUUUACACUAAAGGGAUAUGGGCAUUAUAAGUUUAAUUAAUCAAAAUUAACCUGUAAAAUAACAUAGUAAAUUAUUAAACAUGGUUUUAAUUGUUAUUGCAUUUGUGGGUAGUUUUUUUUAUAGUCUUGUAUGGUAUGCUAAUUGGUGACCUAGCAGGGAAGGCUAUUGUCCCAAUUAAAAUAUUAUUGCCCCCUGAUUUACUUCUAAACCUUUGUAGAGGAUUAGCGUGGAAGUGAAAGUGGCAGUUGAAGGCUUUCUGUUCCCUUUGAAACCAUGAACGCAUUGUCCAAUCUCUGCAGUAAGAUCGAUACAUUAACCUUGUAUAAAAUACUGACUCUGUUUAGGAACUCUCAGCGUUUGGGCCUUGUGCAUGCAGUAUCCAGAAUGAAAUGGGUCACCUAUUGGCUAAGAUUGGGUUUAACAAAAACACAACCAAUUGCCUUGUUGAUUUUUGAAUGUCCAUGCCUUGUAGCCUGUUCUUAUUCCUGGAACCGGUUUAAAUUGCAAAAGACACUGUUUAUUAAGACAUCUAGUAUGAAUUUCAGAUUGCUUGUCACUGAUUCUUGGUGAUACUUCCAACUUUCUUCUCCCCAUCCUCGGCGAAGAGUGCAGCACAUAAAUAUUUAAUAAUCUGCUACUAUAAGUCUCCUUACACCUGGCCACUAUUUUACUCCGGUAUAUUAAAUCUUCUCUUCUAACCUCUUCUCUUCUCUUCAUGAAAUGAAAUGCUCAUCCCAGAAGAUGUUUUCUUUGUGAUUAACAAGGCAGCAUCGAUUUACCGCAACAUCCCGGAUCUCUUACUUCUAUUUCUCACAUACCAACCAUGGACUGAUAACAGGACUGUAACUCGGGUUCUAUUUAACAACGUAGCACCAGUGAUUACACCAAACAAAACAAGAAAUGGUUAAUAGACUUGGAAAUUUAUUUUGGUCAAAACUGCAUUUCGUCCAAAUUUGGAAUGAUCAGGUGAUGGAAUUCCCAAGCUCCACGACGAAAUGUAGCAGAAGCUUGAACCAAACAAGUCGCACACCGUCUAAUCGUGUUCGUUUUCAUUUGUGAUUCCAGGUUUAACCUGAGGCGUCUUAAAAAGAGACGAUUGAUGGGGGAAAAAAGAUGACAGAUGGCUAGGGGACAGUCACUAAAUGUUUAUUAUAUUUUAUUCACAACAACUGACAAGUAAGCAAUAGAGGGUGGGGGUGGGGGGUGAGGAGAGUUGUGUGUGUGUGUAUAUAUAUGUUUCUGAAUCGGGUUUUAGGUACCAAAAUUCUGCCGAGCAGAACUAUCAUAUGGGUAAAAUUUGUGCGUCCUGAAAAUUUUCCAUUUUCAGGAAAAAUGUUUUUAGCUGAACUGAAUCUCGCUGUAGACAAGAUAAGACGAUAAUGGUGGGACAUUAUUUCACUGAUGACUAGGACAAACUCAAGCCAGCGAUAAGUUAACGUGUAGAAAAAAGAGCAAAAUGUGACGUUAACAUGAAUAUACUAUUUAAUGCUGCACAAAGUUAAAAGAAAACGCUGGAAGAAUUCAGCAGGCGUAGAUAUAUUCAUACAGCUCUACCCUGACCCAUACAGCUCUACCCGGAGUGAUUGAAAUAGGUUAGUUAACUUUUGCAGACAAAAUGACUUUUUUAUGGUGGAAUUUGCUAGGAACUUUAUUUGUUUUGGAAAAUAUACUUUGACAUUUUCAUAGACUAGAGAAUGGCUGUACAACGCCACUCCCAUUGAUUUCACAUGCGCAGGGUUUUCUAGGAUAUAUUGCCCACUCAAAUAGACAUUUUUCAGUGAAACAAAUGAAUGAAAAGUGCAGAGAAUGUAGCAUCCUGCCAGUUUCCAUUCAUUCCUUAUAAUGGUUCUCAUUUAUUUUCUUUCUUACAGAAUUGUUGGGUGUUUAAAAUUUGAAAUUCACUUUGAAUUCACUUUAGACUGAAAUAGCUGAACUGGAGCCACAUUUGCAUUAGAGAAUUCAGUGAUUUGAAGUGGUCCUGGUGCCUGGAAUCUGUAUUUGACACCACCUCCAGACACAAUAUUUAAGUGUCAAUGUUCUGGGCAGGCUAAUGUUAACUCUGUGCAUAAUGCAUUCAUUGGCUGUGAGCAGUCAGCUGACACCUCCGCCAGUGAUUGGUCGGUGGGACUGAUUUUUGGCUUCUGCAACUCUGCAGGAGUCAGAAGUUGUCACUGGCCACAGGACGCAAAGGGCUCAGGUAAGAGGUUACAAAACAGCUUGCCCCAUGUCUUUGAAUUCCACACGACUCUUACUUUAGUAAAUAACCCAGUCAGACUGGGAUGUAGCAAGAUCAGGGGCGUUGCAAGGAUUUCUGCCACCCCCUCAUGUCACUCACUCACUGACAGACAUACACUUACUGACAGACAUACACUUACUGACAGACAUACACUCACUCACUGGCAGACACACACACUCACUGACAGACAUACACUCACUCACUGACACACACGCACUUACUGACAGAAAUACACUCGCUCACUGACAGACACACACAGACACUUACUGACAGAAAUACACUCACUCACUGACUGACAGACACUCACAGACACUUACUGACAGAAAUACACACACACACACACUGAGAGUAAACACUCACACACUCACUGACAGACACACACUCACUGACACUCAUUGACAUACUUACACACACACACACACAGGCAGACACUCACUGGCACACAGACUCACAGAAUUUUUUAUUUUCUUUUAGGCCCAUCCAGUCUCCCUACCUCCAUGGGGUCCAGUGUGGGGCUGCUCCUUAGUCCUCCAGCGUGCUGUUUAGUAUACCAGGGUCAGAAUGACAUCAUAUUCCGGCUCCCAGCAUCACAGAGGGCACCUACCAUCAAGGUGAGAAGGUGUCUGCUCUGCCAUACUGGAGGACAACUUACGGGGCGCCACCUCCUGGGCACCCUGUAACAGGGCUCCUCUGGGCUCCUGGAGGAUCGGCCCAGCGCUAGGGGAGAGGGGGCGGCUCAAGAGCUGCUCAUCCAGCGCUGCUGCCCAAGACAGGGGAGCCCACCAGGAAAUAUCCCGGUGGGUGCCCCCAGCAAGCCCGCGCCGGCCCUGAGCAAGAUCCAUAUAUGCAAAUUAAAGGGACUCUUAUGAGGUCAUCAGAAGACUUGACUGUUGACUGUGAAGGAGACUUUACCAGUUUCCCUUAGUGCGCUAAGCAUGGUGAUGGCUAAUCUUUUGGCCUUGUUGCUGUUCACAACUACAAAUUUACAGGAUCAGGUGAAUAGUGGGUCCUAUUUAUGAAUAACGAUUAUGGGACAACGUUCUAUAAGUGGAACUUUUGGAAUGAUCAAAGGUAUGCAUAUUCUGGUGACACAUUACGGACAUUUGACGACUUCAUGACCGAAAGAUUGAUCAUUCUCCCUGAGUUUAGAAUGAAAUACCUGAGGGUCAUAAUGAAGUCUUGAUUUUUUUUACCCAAUUUGUUCUCCUGCAAAUCAAACUCUGUGUCUGAUGGAGACUGACGGUUUGGUCAUGGUGGAUCUGUUUUCCCUCCUGACACCCAGUGGGGUCACUUCUCCUGUGUGACCCCCAUUUCUGUAAUAAGGCUGCUGUUGUCCAUCUUGCCUUGUAACACAGAGUGGCAGGUACUGAUUGUUAGUCCAGACAGCCUCUGGCUUCCCAUCUCUAUCUCUCUCUCUCGCUCAUCCUAACGUUAUUGAUUUAAUUAGGCUUGCUAUCUGAGAAUAGGUUGGUGUGUGGGUGGGUGCUGGGUUGGCGUAGUGGGUUAGGGGGGGCUGGAGGUUUCCAGAACACAGGCUCUAAAGACGUGACAAACGGUGGCUUUCAACUGCUACAAACAAGAUUGGAUGAAAAACCUUGUUACAUUUUAAGAAAGUGUGAACAUAGAUCUUGUGAAAAUUGCACAAUUCUACCAUUAAUGUAUCGACAAAGAAGGUUAAAGGGCAACUUUAUCCACAAUCCGUGCCAGGCUGCAAUUCGAUAAUAAUCUCUUACUUGGGUUGAUUUCUUUUUUUUUUGCACUGAACUUCUAUGCAGCCGUUACUAUAAUGUCCAUUAUUUAAUAUUCAGCUUUGUGUAUUAAAUAAUGUCUAAUGUAAAUCUCUAAAACAAACCUUUAUAGGCAGCUGUCUGACGUGUAUUUAAUGUAAUCUUAUAACGUGUAAGCAAGUUUGAAUCCACGCUAAACGUGCUGACUCUAUGCUAUUAGUCCUUUUAGUGAGGCAAACAAACUACCUGCAUUACCUUUUGGUUAAAGGACAGCCCCCGCAUGGAGAUAGUGCUGGCAAAUUAAUAUUUAAUUUGAGAUAUUAGGCAGUUGUAUAGAGUUCUCUAUGUUGGCCAUAGCCCUGUCAGAGUUCUACAACAUGUGUAGACAAUUUGUGUUCUAGAUUCUUUCAUAUUUCUGGUUUAAGGAUUAUGUUUGAACUGCAGGGGCCAUUCAGGUACUUCAAUUUCCUUUUUUAAUAGGGUGUAAAAAGAGGAAAAGGCUCAAACUAACUAAGUCACUAAUAAAGUAAGUGGGGUUUGCCCUAAAGGGGCAGAGAUCAUGGGUGUGGUGCCAGAACAGAAGUUAGAUCAAAUUUGUAGUUUGUGGACAGAGCCAGGCUAGGAAUGUUAGAAGCUGCAGGAAACCACACUUUCCGUGUCCUGGGUCCCAAGCAAAGUAUAGAUGGCGUACUGUCUGUCAAGAUGGGUGGUGAUACACGUACUGUCUGUGAAAUGCGAGGGCAGGUGGUGAUACACGUACUGUCUGUGAAACGCAAGGGCAGGUGGUGAUACACAUACUUUCUGUGAAAAGCGAGGGCAGGUGGUGAUACACGUACUGUCUGUGAAAUGCUGGGACAGGUAGUGGUACACGUACAUGUACUAUUUGUGAAACGCGAGGGCAGGUGGUGAUACAAGUAGUGUCUGUGAAACGCCAGGACAGGUGGUCAUACACAUAUUUUCUGUGAUAUGUCAAGACAGGUGGUGAUACACGUACUGUUUGUGAAACGCCAGAACAGGUGGUGAUACACGUAGUUUCUGUGAAAGGCCAGGGCAGGUGGUGAUAUACAUACUGUCUGUGACACUCCAGGACAGUUGUUAUAGACUUUCAUGUAGUUCUCUUAUAGUUUAAUGUGGGGACAUGCAUAGCUCAAAAAAUAAAAUACUGUAACCUAGGAAGAAAUGGGGGGGUAUCCACAUGAUCGUCUGGAUCAGCAGGCUCCUCCAAAUUCUGGUGUAAUUUUAGGAGAUCAAAGCUGCAGAGCUGGGCCACCUAAACGUAAGCGGUCCAGGAACGUAGGUGGCCAAUGUUCAGUUGUAGGUUGAUUCGUCACUUACUAAUGUAACUAAUGAUCGAUCUAGAACCCAGUCUUCUUUAUUUGAUCUCUCUCUUAUUUUUAUAUUGUGAGAAGCUUCUUUUUCUAGAUGCAGUGAAACAGGACUGCAGAUAUCAUUCAGCUUUUCUUGACAAUAUUUAGCUUUUUCUAAGAUAUUAAAGUCCUUUGAAAUUCAAAUUAGAGAUAAGAUGUGUAUAAUAUAUGUAAUGGGUUUAUACAAAUAUUUGUAAGUCUCGUUCUCCUUAUUUUGUCCUGAUUAGGUGGCUUGCUGCUAUACUUUGGGGUUACAUGAAAGUAUAUUUUAGACGUAUAAUGCAAUCUUAGUUAUUACAUUUUUUUGUGCCUCAUAACUCAUGUCAAAUUACUAUCGCUCUGAAAUUUGGAGCAACAUUUAAUGCCUUAUUUACUGUGAACUCCUUCUAAAAAUAUAAAAAAAGAGAAAAAAUAAAUGCUAUCCUUCAAAUUAACAAGCCGAAGAAGCAUUCAAAAUAAGGACAGGGUAUGCUGAUAUUUUGCCGCUAUUUUUGUGGUGUCUGCAGCUAAAUAUUCUGAUCUGUAUUUGCAUAAUUACCUAAAUCAGCCUUNNNNNNNNNNNNNNNNNNNNNNNNNNNNNNNNNNNNNNNNNNNNNNNNNNNNNNNNNNNNNNNNNNNNNNNNNNNNNNNNNNNNNNNNNNNNNNNNNNNNCUGAGUGUAUAACGGAGCUCCACAGCAAUAAUACUCCCAGUAAUGUGUCUGACUGUAUAACAGAACUCCACAGCAAUAAUACUCCCAGUAAUGUGUCUGAGUGUAUAACAGAGCUCCACAGCAAUAAUACUCCCAGUAAUGUGUCUGUGAGUCCUGCAGGAACGCGUGGGAACGCCGUUCCCGCUGUUCCUGCAGGCACUCUGCUGCCCCCAAAUGCCCUCCCCUUCUCCCCGGGUUCCCCCUGUCAUGGGGGGGAGCAAGAGGUGAUUAACACGCCCCCCCUCCCUGGUCGGGGGCGCCUAUCUCCAUACAACAAGCGGCGAGGGAGCUGUGUGUUCUCUGCUCCCUCUCGCCGCGUGCCGUUUGUUGAUGGCGGUAGCCAGAAUAUGAUGUCAUAUUCCGGCUCCCAGCUACAGCAGACAGCCCGCGCUGUGAGAGGAAGCAAAGAGCACACAGCUCCCUUGCCGCUUGUUGUAUGGAGAUAGGCGCCCGACCCACUGGACCCCAGGGACAAGUCCACGCUAGCUCUCCAGGUAGGGAGGCUGGGUGGACAAUUUUUUAUUUAAAAAAAAAAAAAUUGUGUGUGUGUGUGUGUGCCUGUAAGUGUAUGUGUGUCUGAGAAUGUAUGUGUGUGUCUGUAAGUGUGUGUAUGUGUGUCUGUGAAUGUGUGUGUGAGUGUGUGUGUGUGUGUGUCUGUGAAUGUAUGUGUGUGGGCCUGUAAGUGUGUGUGUCUGUGAAUGUAUGUGUUUGUCUGUGUCUGUAAGUGUGUGUGUAUGUGUGUCUGUGAAUGAAUGUAUGUGUGUGUGUCUGUAAGUGUGUGUCUGAGUAUGUGUGUGUGAGUGUAUGUGUAUGUAUGUAUGUACAUAUACACACACACACACGAGUGUAUAUUAUUUUUUUGGGGGGGUGGGAAUCUUGGGAGACUUGACCCCUGCCGGCAGGGGAGAUCUCCGAAUCUCCCCUGUUGGCUCAUGUAGAGCUGGCGCUAUCUGAGUGUCGACUCUGCUCUAAGCCUCCAUGGGCCGGCGGGCAGAUCAAAGAUCUACCUCACCAGCCCACAGCAGCAUGGAGGGAGGCAGCAUGCACACACAGCACCCUCACAUACACUGCACACAAAACGCACCCUCAAACACACAGCACCCACACACACAGCACACAUACAGCACCCUCACACACAGAGCAUCCUCACACACACACAACACACACACAGCACUCUUACAAAGACACAGCACCCUCACACACAGCAAAUUAACAGCACCCUCACAAACACACACAGCACCCUCACACACCGCACACUAACAGCACCCUCACAAACACACACAGCACCCUCACACACAGCACACUAACCACUCCCUCACAAACACACGGCACAACCAGCACCCUCACACACACAUAUCACACAAACAGCACCCUCACACACACAGUACACUAACAGUACCCUAACACACAUAUACAAACACCCUCACACACAGCACACUGCCAGCACCCUCACACACAAAUUGCACUCACACACACAGCACCCUUACACACACAGCACCCUCACACAGCACACACACACACACAGCAGUAUAUGUACAUACAUACAUGCGGCGUGUGUUGUUGCUUUAGGGUGCACACGCCUAUGGUUGGGAUGUCUAUUUAUGUGCAAACUAUGAUCCAAUGUGGCUGAGCAAGGAGAAGUGUCAAUCUGCAAGUCCACUUUCCUGCACAUGAUCUGAAAUCGCUGACAUAAUUCUACCAUAGGCCAUAGUCCUCAGAGUCCAGCACAGGCUGUGUAGGGUGCUUAGAGGACUCUUAUCAACUAAUUCGUUUUAAUUAUGUACUCACAAUCCUACAAAGAAUGAAGGUGUGCAGGGAGUAAUCUCCGUGGGGUCAGAGUAGGUAAAAUGGGAAGCAGUUGGUAAUCGAAGGUUAGAAGAAAUGCUCAACUCCCAUACUAACCAUAGCUUGACUAUUAAUCCAAGAUGCUUUUUUCUUGAUUCUUAUUCCUUACCUCCACUAUGAACCAGAGUCUUGUGGCCUCACCAUAGCAUCUCCUGUCAUCUUGGUACCCAUCACACUACCACACCACAACACAUGAGAACUCUGGUGCCCACAAUGUACAUCUGGGGAUGAGAGUUGAUGGGGACUUGUCCAUGGGGCUUCAAACAUGAGCCACUUUCCACUUGUGUCAAAGCUGAUUUGAAGCUGAAUCGCCUCCUGCAGUUGUGUGGAUGCAUAUACUGUGGUUAGGAUAUGAAGGGAAAUCUGGAAGGUGGGUUGUUGAUCUCGGGGUAUCGAAUCCAAACCAGAAGCUAAUGUCUAACCUCUCAUAAGGUCUAUAGUGUUCUAUAGUGUUCUAUAGUGUUCUCAAAGCACAUCACUCAUCAGUAUGGCCCAAAAACUGUUGGGUAACAUACCUCCCAACAAAUAGACAAAGAGGGACACUUUCAUUUUAUGGGCGUGGCUAAGAUGUUGUCAGCGGCGGGGCUGUUCAGAGAACUUUUUUUUUUCUUUAUAUUCCGGCUCCCGCCAUCAGCAAACCGCGCCCGGCGAGAGGGAGCAGAGAGCACACAGCUCCCUCGCCGCUUGUUGGAUGUCCAUCACCUUUUGCUCCCCCCAUGACAGGGGGAAGACGGGGGGAGGGGGAGGGCAUUUGGGGGGCAGCAGAGUUCCUGCAGGAACAGCGGGAACGGCAUUCCCACGCGUUCCUGCAGGACUCACAGGCGUGCCGCGGGGAUUAGGGUGUGCUCAGGCAUACCUGGCACAUCCCGUGCGCACGCCUAUGAUCCCAACACUCACUUUGUGCCAUGAAGAACUUGACACUGAUGGGUCGGAAUGGAAAUCCUCAUGUUGAUACAGUACAGUAAAAUUAGUUAAUGACUAAAUGUUGCUUCUUCCAGUAAUUUGUACCCUACAUGGGGGACAGGGGUACCACAUAAUGCUACCGCCAUUGAGAGUGCAGCUUAAGUCCUUGAUCUUUGACAAAUGUCAUGGUAAAACAAUAUGGUUUAAAAAAACAUCUCAUGACUAGUGAGUUUUGUGUGUUUAGUAUUAUUUUUAUAUUUCCUCCAUCGUUUUGAGAAACUUUUAGGAGACAGGCUGCUGUGGCUUCUAGGUGUCAACUUACUAGCAAUACAUACAAUCAAAUACAUCACAGAAUGUUUGCUUAAAGUAGUCAUGGUUGAAGAAUCUAUAGAUGUGGAGGAAGUUACAUCUGUAAAAAAAAAUACUUGCGCCUACAUAAACCCUCACUGUGAAGGCUAAAGAAUCCACAAAUAAAUUGUGAUUUGUGCAAAAAGUGGCACGCUAAAUGUUUUGGCACUAUUUCUGCCGGCCAGAUCUGUGCUUCUGGGCAGCAAAGAAAACUGUAAUUAGCGUAGCUCUUCCCAGUAAUAAAAUAAUUGCAUGUACGGCUUUUUUAAAGUAGUGGCAUGGCUGCCAGAUUUCUGUGCGUGCAAGCACAAAAAAAAAAAAAUACAAAAAUCAUUAAAAAAAAAGAUAUUCCAAAUCGGUAAAACCUGGAACUGCCUCUUUAUAUUCCCACUAAUGACGGUGUAACGCAGUUAAAGAUAUAUAGCGCUCCUUGCCUUCGUAGUGCCAUAGGUUGUGCAAGCUGCAGUAAUUCUCCAUUUCUUUCGCUGCGCCUUUUAUAAAUCAGGACAGGAGAAAUAAUGAGACAGAUGGGAGGUGAGAAGACUUUUAUUAGGAUUUUUUUUUCCUGCUUUGGCGAGAACGUAAUUCAGCUUUAAGGCAGCAGAGAGAACAUAAAUGAUUUAUUUCCUGAAACUUGUUGUAGGACAGGAGCCAUGGGAAUUUAUGUAUGGUUUGUAAAGUUAGUUUCUGCUAAAAAUAAUGGUAGAGUUUGGGGAGGAUUUAAUGGGAUGAACGUGUUUUUUUGGUUUUCUUCCCUAAAUAUAAUUUAUUUUUAUUAUCCAAGUCAGAGGUACUCAUUGUAUUGACCUCAGAAACCUAUAAAAUGCUGAGCAGACCACAUUGAGAAAUUAAGCCUAGAUUUAAAAAAAAAAAAUAGCGAAGUUGGUGUGUUAACUAACUGAGCUCUCACUGACUAGUUAUAGCCAUAAGUUAAAAUGUAAGAACAAUACAAAUGUAAUAAAUUAAAUAAUAAUAAUAAUAAUAAAAUAAUUCAUCCCUUGAAAGUAAGUGAGGCAUACCCUUUUGGUUUAAAGAUCCAGUCCAAAAACUGAUUAAAAAUGAAACCAGCCUUAUCUCAGUAGGUUUGCCACAAGGACAAUUUACUACAAAUUGCUGUUAAGUAAUCCAGAUUGCUCUUGUUUUAGUGAAUCAUGUGGGGUGACAGAUAGAUAAAAUCUCCGGUUAGUAUAAAAUAAAAAAAUCCUACAGAACAAAAAAAAAAAAAGUGUAGUUUCAGAAUUUCGCAUUUAGCAGAAUCCCUGCAGAGCCUCUCUGUAAGCGUCCCCAGAGCCGCAAAAGGACUGCGAAAUGGACGUAUUCAUUUGAAUCUGUCUAAAAAGGUUAAACAGCAGCAGUCUGUUAUCUCUCCAUUCCUGCCCCAGAGUGUUCACGCAACAGAUUGUCUUGUCCGAUGAUUUAAAGCUGGAAGGUUUCGCAGUGACAUAGGGAAAAGAGAGGGUUCCGCGGAUUAAAAAAAAUAAAAUAAAGAAAAUACAAAAAUAUUUUUAAAAAAGUAUUUUUUCGAAACAGCUGAAGCGACAGCAGUUCCAUUAACAUCAACAUAUGUUUGGAGAACUCGAAGCUGAAGUAGAAACCAACCACAGAUAGUGGGGAAAAGCGAAUGCUAAUCACAUUCAAGCCACUGGGAUAUACCCUGUCUAUUUACAGCAUAAUAACGAUCGAGGUGGGGAGAACGUAGACCCCCUAACUCCCACCCCCCACCCCUGAUGUUCUCCCUGGUGUAAAAAAUCUGAAAACAGCCAUAAUUACCAGCAUUUAACUCUAGGCAUGUAAAAUCUAUUUUUCUAACAGAAUGUGAACAUAAUUGCUGAGAAUAAAAACCUCGUGUAUUAGGAGCUGUGAUACGACCUGAUGUGUAUUUUUUUCCCUUUCCCUUGAGGAUGACUCCCCUUUAUGUAUCGAAAUUUCCUCUUCUCUCUAUCACAUUCCUUUUGCCAUUAUUUAAGAUUCCCUUUUUUUCUGCACUGAAGCCAACAGAUUCCUCUUCUUGUUUUUUUUUCCAGCUUGCUGAGCCUGAGGUCCUGCUCACAUCCUCUGCUGUCCGAGGACAUCUGUGG